rnacentral:lncRNA from 1 species
GAAUUGUGGCUUGGCAGAAUGAUUGGUUCUCAACCAUUGAUAUUUGAUCAUGCUGCUCAAUUCUUUAUGCCGAAUGAUUCUCGGUUUCGUAAGUUGGUUGAUUGUUGGUUGGAGAGAGGUCUGGUGUGACCAUGGGAAGGUGUGAUUGGAGAGGUUGAAGUGGGUGGCCAAUUCACUGCAUUUCCCUCUUCACCUCCAAUAAAUUGGCCCUGGUAACAAAUCUUUGUUUUGCUUUUGUGUUUCUUUCUUGUUGAUUCUAUAAUGCUUCUUUGCAUUAAAAUGGGAAAGUAGUCUAAUUAAAUCACAUCGGUAAGAAACUGAAUUAUUGUUUUUGAUGUUUGCUGGAAGGUAGUUAGCUGCUUGCAUAUUGAAAGUCCCAAAAUCAUUAUAUUUUUGAGGUUUGGCUGGAGAAGGAAGAUAAGAGUAUAUGAAACUAAAAGCUACAAUUACAUGGUCACGGGAUUUCAAUUACUUAGGCUGCAUGGCUAGACUUAAUGAAACAGUGCUGAUAAUGAUCAUAAUUGAGGAAAAGAAUAAGCAGUAUGACAUUUUGCACCAUAGUAUUAUGACUGCAAUUCCUGCAAAGUAACAGGCUUUACAUAUGGAUUAUUAAUAUUGAGUUGGAGUUAGUUAUAUACAACAUCUUACAUGGUAUACCAUUAUUUUUAAAUUAUGUAAAUCAGUCGCUUUGUCCUUCGUGCCAUGGCUUAAUACAUUUUGAUGCAUGUUGAAAACCUCUAUAAUUACUGUAGUGAGACCUUGCUGGAUAAGUAAUCUUGAGCCAUUUAAUGGGAUGUAGCACUUGAGCAAGAAUGGAAACCUCGUGGGCAGUUUGAUGUGGUCAUUAUUGCUCAUAAUGGUGAUUCAGUGCGGCUAGCCUUUCUCCUUUUCUCUCUCUGUGAAUGUUAUAGUCUUACAGUCGUUUGUAUUACGAAAAUGCAGGUUAUUGUUUUCUGUAGUUGCAUGAAUGUUACAAUGGGCAUUGCUAUUGGAAAAGGAAAAAAAAAAUAAAAAAAAGAAAAGAAAAAAUAUCUGAUUUUACAUUCUAUCAUUACAAUGGAUUAGGAAUGGUGAAUAAUCUCGUUUGGUACAGGGAAACCCUCCCCAAAUACAAAAUCCUAUGUAGUUUGUUGAUCUUUUAUUUAUUAAAAUUUUGUGUUGUGUGUGUUUNNNNNNNNNNNNNNNNNNNNNNNNNNNNNNNNNNNNNNNNNNNNNNNNNNNNNNNNNNNNNNNNNNNNNNNNNNNNNNNNNNNNNNNNNGGGGGGGGGGGGGAGGGGAUGCUAGGACGUCAAAAAGAUUGGAAAGCUUCAUAAAAUUUCAUACAAAUUUUUCACUCAAAAUUUUGAAAAAAUGAUAGCUAGAUUACAACUAAGAUUAGUAGCAACUCGUAGCUCUAAACAACUAGAAGGCAGUAUUAAAUGCCAAUUUGUGAAAUAGAACAUGGAACCGUAAGCUUCCAAGUAGUGGGAGGAGCCUGGGGCUCUGACCAUAUGCCUUUUGAAGAAUGAGCCGGCGACUCAUAUGCAGUAACUUGGUUAGGGGAAGCCACAGGAGCAGCAGCUAAGCAAGUCUUCAUAGAGCAGUUGUCACUGCUUAUGGACUCGAACAUGGGUGAUCUAUCCUUGACCAGGAUGAAGCUUGGGUGAAACUAAGUAGGCUAGAAUAAUAUGAGCUGACUUUCACUCUUUGCCAUUGAUGUCAGUGACUGUAGAUAUGUCCACAACUCAUCAUGUUGAUAAUGUCCUAUCAGUGUCUUGUAAAUUUCUCUUAUGAGUAUUAAAUAGGUUGUUACGAAAGAAUUAAAAACAUCUUUAUAAAUUUAACGACCAGAUAUGUUUGUUUCCUUUCUGUUUCUUGUUGAUUGUAAGACUGUUUAUUGCUUGUGAUUUUCUGUUUACAUUUUGGCUUUGUCUUGUAAUAGUAGUUCCUUGAUGGAAUAAUAGGAAAAUGUGCAAAUUGGUUGCUCGGUUCAUCUGGCUUACCUCUAAUAGCUAGAUGAACGAAGGUAUAUGUACUUUGAAAUAUUCAGUUUUUUUUUUAAAUUAUUAUUAUUAUCCAGCCUAUGUUUUAUUUAGUAUCGACCCUUUCUAAAUUAUUUCAAAGAUAUCUGUGCCAUUCAUUCAAUGACUUUAGAUAUGUCCACAACUCAUCAUGUUGAUAAUUUCCUAUCCACGACUUGUAAAUUUCUCUUAUGAGUAUUACAUAAGCUGUUAUGAAAGAAUUGGAAGCAUCAUUAUAAAUUUAAGGACCAGAUAGGGUUCUAGAUACAGAAGACAAGGUUAUGUUUGUUUCCUUUCUGUUUCUUAUUAAUUGUAGUCUAUUUGUUGCUUGUGUUUUUCUGUUAACAUUAUGGCUUUGUUUUGUAGCAAUAGUUCCUUGAUGUAAUGGUAGGAAAAUGAGCAAAUUGGUUGCUUGGUUCAUCUGGCUUACCUCUAAUUGCUAGACAAAUGAAGCUAUAUAAUACUUUGAAAUAUUAUAAGUUGAAAUAUUAUAUAUUAUUCACUUGGAAAUCAUCCUAAAAUUUAAGAGUUUAAGAGAAAUUGCAAGUGAAGUAAUUCUAGAGUUCUGAGAGUGUGAGUAAUUGGAGAGUAUGUGUAAGAGUACUGAGUGCAUUUGGGUUAUAGGUGAGUGAGAUUUCUCUACUCAAAUUUGUACUCUAAUAAUUGUUAGUAAUACAAUUAUUUUUCUCUUACUCUCGUGGACGUAGGUAUAUUGUUGAACCACGUAAAAUUCUGUGUCCUUUAUUUUUCUGUGAUUUUUUAGUGCGCUUGAUUCCGCAUUCCGUGUACAAUAAGUUUUUCAGAACAAUAUCAAGAUCGAUUUGAAUAAGGGUAUCCAUAAUUUCGCGACUCCAUAUGCCGAAGUUGAUUUUCCCAUCAAACUUUUCAACAUCGAUCUUUUGGCAUCCUAUAACAGGUGCUGAAUAGUGAUUUGACAAAUCUCGCCUCCUACCUGAAGUGUCUUCUGAAAUAGUCUCGGUAGAUCUUUUCCUAAUUUUGGAAGUUUCACCUUCUACCAUUUUCUCAACGAACUAUUUCUAUUUGAAAAACAGUCUUUAUGAUGUUAAUUUCGCGUGAAUAAAUACACUAGGAAAGUUUCCAGGAGAAUGGAGGGCUCACAACGGUCCCAUUUAAAACUCAGAUUUUUUAAACUCUUAUCUCCUUGUUGACAGAACUUUUCCUAAACAUGCAAAAAUACACACUAUUUAUAAUAGACUGUCUCCUAAGUACAAAUGACCGUCUCCAUUGUAUUUGUGAGCAGUACCGUAUACGAGAAUAGUACCGUAUACGUGAACAGUACCGUAUCCCCCAAGAACGAACCGCCGGCUCUGAUACCACUUGUUGUGCGCAGAAUGUGGAAUCAAGCGUACCAAAUAAUCACAAAAAAUAAAUGACAGAAUUUUACGUGGUUAAGCUAUAUGCUUAUGUCCACGGGAGUAAGAGCAAAAUAAUUGUAUUACUAACAAUUAUUAGAGUACAAAUUUAAGUAGAAAAACCUCACUUUCCUCGAACCCAAAUACACUCAAUACUCUCACACACACGUUCCAAUUGAUCACACUCUUAGAACUCUAGAAUUGCUUCACUUGCAAUUUCUUUUAACCUCUCAAAUUUUGGGAUGAUUUUCAAGUGAAGAAUGCAUCUCUAUUUAUAGCCAAAAUGGUUGCACUGUUGCACCAAACUCUUGGUUAAAUUGUCAAUUAAAUUUGUAACUAAAUUCUUCAAAAUUGACAAACACAUGCAUGUGGUGCCAACUUCCUCCAAAUCGUCAAUUAUGCAUAUGGCUUACCUUUUCUUUUUCAAGAAAAUGAAAAAACAACUGAUAAUGUAGAUAAUGAUGAUUUUAUAGUAAUAAGGAGGCCAAGAAGAGAGAUAAAGAAACCCAAAUGGCUUACUAAAGAUAUAGUGGUAGCCUAUGCACUUCCAGUUAUUAAUGAUGACAUCUCCAACACUUUCGGUGAAGUAAUACGCAACUGUGAUUAAUGGAAGUUAGCCAUAGAGGAAGAGAUGAAAUCUCUCUAUCAAACCAGACUUGGGAACUUGUGGAGUUAUUUAAGGGGAAGAAAACUAUUGGUAACAAAUGAGUUUACACCAAAAAGUAAAGAUCUCAAGAUCAAGCAACUUUUCGUUAUAAAGUAAGGCUCGUAGCAAAAAGUUUUGCUUAGAAGGAAGGUAUUGACUACAAUGAAGUUUCUCUCCAGUCGUAAAACAUACUUUCAUUCGUAUCUUAUUUGCCUUGGUAACUGAAUAUGAGUUAGAGUUGACUCAAUUGGAUGUUAAUACAUUAUUCUUACAUAGUGAUUUGGGAGUGAUUCAAGAGAACAUUGAGGUCUUUUGUGAUAACCAAAAUGCAAUAUUCUUCGCGAAGAAAGAACGAACCGCCGGCUCUGAUACCACUUGUUGUGCGCAGAAUGUGGAAUCAAGCGUACCAAAUAAUCACAAAAAAUAAAUGACAGAAUUUUACGUGGUUAAGCUAUAUGCUUAUGUCCACGGGAGUAAGAGCAAAAUAAUUGUAUUACUAACAAUUAUUAGAGUACAAAUUUAAGUAGAAAAACCUCACUUUCCUCGAACCCAAAUACACUCAAUACUCUCACACACACGUUCCAAUUGAUCACACUCUUAGAACUCUAGAAUUGCUUCACUUGCAAUUUCUUUUAACCUCUCAAAUUUUGGGAUGAUUUUCAAGUGAAGAAUGCAUCUCUAUUUAUAGCCAAAAUGGUUGCACUGUUGCACCAAACUCUUGGUUAAAUUGUCAAUUAAAUUUGUAACUAAAUUCUUCAAAAUUGACAAACACAUGCAUGUGGUGCCAACUUCCUCCAAAUCGUCAAUUAUGCAUAUGGCUUACCUUUUCUUUUUCAAGAAAAUGAAAAAACAACUGAUAAUGUAGAUAAUGAUGAUUUUAUAGUAAUAAGGAGGCCAAGAAGAGAGAUAAAGAAACCCAAAUGGCUUACUAAAGAUAUAGUGGUAGCCUAUGCACUUCCAGUUAUUAAUGAUGACAUCUCCAACACUUUCGGUGAAGUAAUACGCAACUGUGAUUAAUGGAAGUUAGCCAUAGAGGAAGAGAUGAAAUCUCUCUAUCAAACCAGACUUGGGAACUUGUGGAGUUAUUUAAGGGGAAGAAAACUAUUGGUAACAAAUGAGUUUACACCAAAAAGUAAAGAUCUCAAGAUCAAGCAACUUUUCGUUAUAAAGUAAGGCUCGUAGCAAAAAGUUUUGCUUAGAAGGAAGGUAUUGACUACAAUGAAGUUUCUCUCCAGUCGUAAAACAUACUUUCAUUCGUAUCUUAUUUGCCUUGGUAACUGAAUAUGAGUUAGAGUUGACUCAAUUGGAUGUUAAUACAUUAUUCUUACAUAGUGAUUUGGGAGUGAUUCAAGAGAACAUUGAGGUCUUUUGUGAUAACCAAAAUGCAAUAUUCUUCGCGAAGAAUCCAAUAUAUCACGCUCGAACGAAACACAUAGAUGUGAAAUAUCAUUAUAUGAAGGAGGUUAUCAAGAGCGGUGUUGUGUUGUUGAGAAAGAUCGAUACCAAAAUAAUCCAUCACAUAUGUUGACAAAUGUAAUUACUGAAAGUCUCAACAUUACUUGAAACUAAUUCAAAUUCUUCGAAUGUGUUGAGUUUGGAAAUUUUGAAUUACGGUUAGCUUGAUCUCAAAUUUUUGGUACGUAAGCAGUCAUAGAGAUGCAGCCACUUUGAGGAUGAUGAUUUAUUAAUAGUCGGCUCAUAUUUGGACAAAUCUGAGCCGAGGUGGAGAAUUGUUAAAAUACUUUUGGUGAGUUGUUUAUUCAAAUUGGUUGAAAAAGAAAAGGUAAGCCACAUGCAUAAUUGAUGAUUUGGAGGAAAUUGGCACCGCAUGCAUGUGUUUGUCAAUUUUGAAGAAUUUAGUUGCAGAUUUAAUUGACAAUUUGACCAAGGGUUUAGUGCAACUUGGCAACCAUUUUGGCUAUAAAUAUAUAUGCAUUCUUCACUUGGAACUCAUUCCAAAAUUUGAGAGCUUAAGAGAAAUUGCAAGUGAAGCAAUUAUAGAGUUAUGAGAGUGUGAGCAAUUGGAGAGUGUGUGUGAGAGUACUGAUUGUAUUUGAGUUCUGGAAAAAUGAGGUUUCUUUACUCAAAUUUGUACUCUAAUAAUUGUUAGUAAUACAAUUAUUUUUAUCCUACUCUCGUGGACGUAGGUAUAUUGCCGAACCACGUAAAAUUCCGUAUCCUUUAUUUUUCUGUGAUUAUUUAGUGCGUUUGAUUCCGCAUUCCGUGUACAACAAAUAUUGUCACACUUUUUAACCAAAUAUUGUCACACUUUUUAACCAAUUGGCUAGACCUCUAGUUGAAUCGAUUCAUCCUUAAGCUUGAACUCCCAAGCUAUUGAAAGAUAUUUGCAAUGAGUUCAGUUUUUUUCCGCACACUUAUAUAGAGUUUGCAAUAAGAUUAGCUUUAUUUUCCCCUUUAUACUUGAAUCAAUAUGACAUUUCAAUUUUACAGCAAACUUCGAUGCUGCAUAGAUAUGCAUAUGUUGCAAUUUGGAGACCAAUUCUAUGAGGCUAGCGCAAGAACAAAUGAGAACCAUAGUUUCUUUGUUUGCAUUUGGGAAAUAGCACAUGAAACUGUGGUCUCUUCGUUUGCAUUUUUUUCCAACUUGCCGUAAUUUUUAUUUACAUUGUGGGGUGUAAAAAGUUCUUAAACUAAAAAGAAAUUAUGUGUUGACUUCAGUGUAUAUGUAUUUGUUUGUCCUUUAUCGUAAUUCUCAUUAAGGUUAAAAUUGUAAACUGCAUAAUGGAAUUUUGUCGAGACUUUUGAGAAGUGUGAGAAGCUACAAGAGGGGGUGCUAAUAGUCUCAACUUAUUGGAGGGACGCUAAAGAUUUUUAAUGGGCUAAGCCAACAUGGGCCCGCUUCUACAAAAAUCCAUCAGAAGAAAAACACAUAUUGGGCUUUUACCAACACUAGUUCCUCGCCACACCCCUCAAAAACUCUUUAUAACUUUUUUCUUUUUUCUUUUUAAACUAAAAUUACCUAAAAAACUAAAUACAAUUUAUUUUAUUUCUUAUUUUUAAAUACAAAUUUCGAUUAAAUAUUUUAAUAAAUUAUUCUUUUAAUAAACAUUUUACACAUACCUCAUUUCAUAAUUAUAUUUUAACUUUUAUAAAAAAAAUUUGAGAAAAUUGUAAGAUUUUAAAAUUAAAAACAUAAAAACUAUAUAAUAAGAAAAAUAAUUUAAGAUUUGAACAAUUAUAUGUAAUUUAUAAACAUUUAAAUAAAUUAUUCUUUUAAUAAACAUUUUACACCUAGCUCAUUUCAUAAUUAUAUUUUAAUUUUUAUAAAAAAUAUUUUGAGAAAAUUGUAAGAUUUUAAAAUUAAAAACAAAAAAAACUAUAUAAUAAGAAAAAUAAUUUAAGAUUUGAACAUUUAUAUGUAAUUUAUAAAUAAAAGCCUUAAAAAUAUAAAAAAUUUUAAGAUAAAAAAAUUUUAUGGGAAGAUAAUUAAUUUUAAUAUAUGUAUCUGUAUUAAUUGUAUAAGAGAUUUUUAGAAAAAGAUAAAUUCUGCUGCUGUACGGCCAAGAAGAUAAAUUCUGAAUUAUAUUUUUUUAAAAAUUGAUUAUUUUUAAAUUAUUUUAAAAAAAUUUUAAAUUUUUUUAUUUUUAUUUAAAAAUAAAAAAUAGCAGUAAAAUUAGUUUUUUAAUGAAAAAAUUAAAAUUUUUAAAAGUAAGGGAAACAAUAUUAGAAAUAAUCAGAAAUUAACCCAAAAAUAACGUUAAGAAAGCUCCAAAAUGAUUACCCCUGUAUCUAUAUAAAUACGUCCACUGUAACUCAUCUCGACAAGUCAACAAUCUACUCUAGGGUUGGUUCGUCGUCGGAAAUUCACUGAAGAAAGAGUUCCUUAUGAUAAGCAAGCUGAAGAAAGCUGAAGAAAGAGACAAGAUCUCGAGGAAAUUCACUACUGGAUGAAGCGAGGGUUCUAUAUAACUGUCUCUUUUUAAACAAACUUAUGCAUAUUCUUUCAUGUGCUGUAGAAAGGCCCCUCAACCUCGGAAACCUCACCAUGGACUGGGAACGAAGAAAGUGGGAUCUGAUGGUUGGCAUUGAAGGUGGCAAGCUGCAGAAGAAAGAUGGCGUUUUCAAAGUUGAAGGGCCUUUCUAGAGCACUGGAAUCCAUUCAUAAUUUAGCUUGAAAUCCCGAAACACAAGGCUUUUUGUGCAUAUUUAUAUAGACUUUUGCAGUAAGAUUAGCUUUAUUUUCCCUUUUACACUGCAAUCCAUAUAACAUUUCAAUGUUACAGCAUAACUUUGGUGCAGCAUAUAUAGAUACGUAUACGUUGCAAUUCAGGCUUUCUGCAAGACUGGUAUGAAUUUGUUUUUAGAAAUCCCUUUUUUUAUAAUCGAGUCCAGUUAUGCUAAGACUCCACUUUUAUGGGCAUUACCUUGUAAUUUCAUUUUUGUCACAUCAUAAUUUGGAUCUUUGUUACCAAGUUGGGCUGUAACUAUUUGCUGUUUGUGUUGCAUUUGGAUUAGUGGUUGAUUUGGACAAGCUCAACAAGUUAUUGUGUGGAUUACUCUAGUUUUAUUUUCUUAUUAUGCUUUUUGAGAAACAGAAUGGAGCAUGGCAUUCCAAUUUAUUGAAUAUUUAAAAUAACUUGGAGAAUUUCAUAACUAAGAAAAUUCAAAAUUUCUUUUUGAUGAUUUAUGUAUUUUUCUCUUUUUUGGGGGGAUGUGUGGAGAUGCAGCUCUUCCAACUAAUACUCCAAGUAUUCCAUGUGUCUUGGAUCCUCGCGGAAGUGCUGGUAUAUGUGGUGAUCGGUUGUUGGCUUCAAGCUCAGAGUCAGCUGCCUUAAGUGGCUGGCUCUUGCUGAGCAAGUAAGCAAGAAUAUGAUUUUCUUUUGCUUAUUUGGUUUUCUUUUUGUGCAUAGAAAUAUAUAUUUCAUGAUUGAUAAUUAAUAUCAAAUAAUAAAAUCUCUAACACAACCUCUAUACCCCGAUAUAUGGACAUCUAAAUAUAUAUUCGUAUAUUGGCUUCAAUUCUGUUUGAAAUAUCAGACAAAUUUCAAUCAUAAGCUUGAAGCAUGAUUAUUCAUAUGUAAAUACUGUAACUGGUCUAUAUAGAUUGUAGCUUAUUUAUGAAGUCAUGGAAUUCGUUCUGAGGUGUUUGAUGUUGGUCUGCAAACAAAUAUUCUGCCACUCGAAGGACAUGAUAUAGGGCAAUUUCUGGGUUUAGAAUCCAUGGAAAAAGAGGAAGCUCAAGCAUAUCAACCUGCCAUUUGAUUCACUAAGCAGAACAUUAAAAAUUUCUAGAGUUGUUAAGGUAUGCUUCUAUCUACACACUGUUUAUGGAUUUAUGUUUUUUCACUUUGGUCGCCCCAUAUAUUAAUUCUCUUGCUUUUAUAGCUUAGACUAUUAGAUUGCAGUCAUUGAUGAGAGUAAAUGCUUGUUUAAUGGUGAUUGAAACUAUUUGCUAUCAACAGUUUAGCACGUGUUAAUCAUUGAAUAUUGUUUUUGUGACAAGGUUUUUGUGUAUCAUUAACUACAUGCAUCCAUUGUGAUGCUUAGUGCACAUGAAACUUAGGCUAGCCCAAUCUUUUUUGGAUUGCGUUUUUGAUAUGAUUAUUUCCAUCUUUGUGAUUUAGGUAUUUGUGACUUUUAAUUGAUUGAGGAAUGGAAUUAAAACAUUAGCUGCUUAAUAAAAAUGGGUGUUUAUUAAAUAUCUUAGCUAAAAUGCUUUCAAAAUUAUCGUGCCUCCAAAAUAGGACUCAGUUCAAGUUAUUCAAACUUGUAAAACUUAAAUAUUGUGAGUUUCAAGUUUUUGAAUUUUGUGUAUCUGAGCUGGGUGCUCAGUUAGUCAAUUACAUCCAUGCAGUAUCUGGGGGAUCAUGGCUUUGGAGGAAGAAUGGAACCAGAAUGAUAGGUCCUCAACCACUGAUAUUUGGUCAUGCUGCUCAAUUCAUUACUGUGAAUGAUUAUCGGUUUCAUCCAUCGGUUAAUGGUUGGUUGGAGAGAGGGCUGGUGCGACCUUGGGGAGGCAUGAUUGGAGAGCUUGAAGUGGUGGUCAAUUCACUCCAUUUCCUUUUUUACGUCCAAGAUACAUUGGUGUUAAUGGGUUGCACCCUCUUGCCAACUCUUGAUUGGCACAGGUGACAAAUCUUUGUUUUGCUUUUGUGUUAAUUCUUUUGUUGGUUCUAUUUUGCAUCUUGCAUAUUCUCUAAUUAAAUCACAAUGGUAAGAAACUGCUAUGUAUUUGAAGUUUGCCAGUAGUUAGUGUUGCAACAUGGGUUGAUCCUCCCAAGUGCAGUUCUAUGGAACUGAUUCAAGGUCCCAAAAUCAUCACAACUUUGAGGUUUAACCACACUAGGAAUAUAAGAAUAUAUGAAACUAGAAAGUUAAAUUACGUGUUCAUGUGAUUUCAAUUGCAUAGGCUGCAUGGGUGGACUUAAUGUAAUGGUGGCGAUAAUGAUCAUAUAACUGGGGAAAAGAAAAACUAGCACGAACAUUCUUGCACCACUGUAUUUUGAAUACAAUUCCUGUGAAGUAACAAGCUUAUACAUGCAACAUUAAUAUUGAUUUGGAGUUAGGUGUAUACAACAUAUUAUCAAGGCAUACCAUUGUUAUUAAAUUAUGUAAAUCAAGUCCCUUUUCCCUUCAGCUGUAUCCUUUAUGGUCUAAAUCUGUUUUGAUGCUUGUUGCAGACCUCUGAGGUUAAUGUGAUGAGACCUUGCUGGAUAGGUAAUCUUGAUCCAUUUAAUUGAAUGUGGCACUUGAUGGAUAGUGGAAUACCUUGUGGGGUUAUUGCUCAUAAUGGUGAUUCAGCAUUGCCAUCCUUGCUUCUCUCUCUCUCUCCAUCUGUCUCUGUCUCACUCUCUCUCCCCACUCAUGUGUGAGCUGCCCCAAAUGCACCUCCAAAAUCGGAGAUUAAUUGGGCGGACGCCAUUGUGGGGCAUGAUGUACUCGUGAGUGUCAGAAUUUGAGGCAUGUGUCCCUAUUUGAUUGAUUGGACGGUGGACUCAGUGUAGGCAUGCGCAUAUGGGAUCAUCAAUAUUCACAGGUCACUAUUCCCGCUCGCGGUGGGGUGUUCGUAUUACGCCCUCGAAAUAGUAACCGUUCGAUUGACACACUUUGACCAUGGAGGGUUGAGAUCUUGCCACGCCACCAUGCGCGGUGUACACUCACGAUAUUGAUUGGGUCAUACACGCUUAACCAUUCACGCCUUAUUGGGAAGCAAUCUUGAUCGUUCAUUGUCUUGAUCCGAUGCUUCUCCACAUUUAGCCGCAUUUCUCCUUUACCGAGCGACCUUUGUUGAACGCAUCUGAACCGGUGGAUCGUGGAUCAACUAUUCCUGAACGCAUGCUCGCCGUGCUUAUCGCAUGCUUCCAUUCACUGGAUUAGAGUGGAAAUUUUGCCUUCGGCUGAAUUGAAUGGGUCGUGUGAUUUGGCAGGAUUAAUAAAAUUUCUUCCCCUUUCCUUUUUUUUUUUUUUUUUUUUUUUUAAUUUUUUUGUUUUUUAUUUAAUUUUUUUAAACAUCUGAACCGGUGGAUCGUGGAUCAACUAUUCCUGAACGCAUGCUCGCCGUGCUUAUCGCAUGCUUCCAUUCACUGGAUUAGAGUGGAAAUUUUGCCUUCGGCUGAAUUGAAUGGGUCGUGUGAUUUGGCAGGAUUAAUAAAAUUUCUUCCCCUUUCCUUUUUUUUUUUUUUUUUUUCUUUCAAUUUCUUGCUUUUGUAUGUAAUUUUUGUAAAUUGAUUAGCAAAAUAUGUGCUUUAUUUUCCAUCUAUGUGUGGUUAAUUUAGAGGUCCUUUUUGUGUACACCUUUAUUUUCAGGUCCUCACCAUUUUAUUACCCCACACAAGUAUGUCUCUCCCCUCCAUCGACCCCAUACUUUAUCACCCCUUCGAUUAAUUGAAACUCUUUUCUUGAAUCCAAACCUAAAAAUGUAUCUGGUGGGAGGACGGAAAUUUGGUUCAAUUCAAGGGUCCUCUUGCAUCCGGGACGAAGCUAGAGGAUGUGAAGGUUGGGAUUGAAGGUCGCAGGUUGCCUAUAACAAGCUGGGUGGCAAGUUCACAUCCUCUCGUUAUCAGGAACAUUUUGCACCGCUGUAUCAUGACUGCAAUUCCUGCACAGUAACAAGCAUAUUUGUAUAUGCCACAUUAAUAUUUAGCUUAUUUAUGCAAACAUCUUAUCAAGGCACAAACGUACUUAAAUUUAAAGAUGGCAAUUCAAAAGUAAAUUCCAUUACAAUCAUGAAAAUCAAUAAUUCCAUUAAUUAAUUGAUUUUAUAUAAAUUUUGAGAUAUUUGAUAAAAGUUAAUUAAAUAUUUAAAUUAAUUUAAUUACGACAAAUUCAAUUUUCUUAUUAAUUGCAUUUUAAAUUUGUUUUAAUUAUUAUUUUAACUUAUUUACAAUGAUGGCGAUCGAGCUGCCAUACUCACUUCGAGGACUUGACAAUUAAUGAAAGGAUAAUAAGCUUUUGAAUAUACGUACCGAUUAGGUAGGGCCUUUUUAGUCUCACACAAAAUGGCUUUUAUGCAAAUGCUUGCAGCUUCCAUUGCAAUUCCUUUUACGAAAUGGCCUACCAAUUUACGAAAAUGGCUGGAUCUUUCUAGCUUGACGAAAUGGCUUUAAUGCAAAUGCUUGCUGCUUCCAUGACAAUUCUUUUUACAGAAUGGCUUUCAAUGUAAAUUACCUCCAUUUCUCUAACCCCCACUUCUUCCAGCUGUUAGCGAUAAGUUGAAAACAUAAAAAUUUCUUUUUAUCCAUGUUACGCAUUUUUACACUCAUUCUAAAAUCUGGAGAUUACUUACUUAAUCGUGUUGUAAUUCAACAGCACUCUCCAACUUGGCCCAGUGGUGACUUUCUCAAGCACGAGUUUGACCAAAAGGAUUGUGCUCUCCACCUGAUCCGUUGAUCUUAAACUAAAAAACCUGAUGAUUGAAUCUUUGUGGAAAAAAUGAUCAGGCGGCGAUGCUGCUACGUAGUGUGGUUUAGUUCAUUAUUCAAAACAAAAGAGUUAAAAAAAAAAAAAAAUGUUAUGUGUCCCAUUUUUUACCAUACAGCGCACAUAAUUACUUAUUGAAUCAUUUUUUCGGCAUCUACACUUAUCGUAGAAUAACUAAUUUUUAUUUAUUUAUUAUUAUUUUUUUGUAAUGGUUUCUUAAACAGUAAAAAUUGCCAAAACUUUUGAGUAAUUAGUUGAGUUUGAAUGAGGCUUUGAAAUGUGGUUAUCUUGGAUAUGGAUGGUUACUAGUAGGAGGAGAAAUUAGCUGCUUAUUCCAAUAUAUCAAAGGUAAUACAUCUAAUUAAUGUAUGUAUGACAUGUGUAGUUCAGUUAAAUAUAACUACCAAUUACAUGGUGAUUUUUUAAAACAAAUACACGCACGGCAAACACGCAUAAAUUGUCUCCAAUUUUAUUGGUGAUCGAAACAAUUUGCUAUCUAACUGUAUAGCAUGUGUCAAACGUUGAAUAUUGUUUCUGUGGCAUGCAAGGGUUUUGUGUAUUAUUCAUUGCAUGUAGCUAGCCAUUGCGACACUUAGCAUGUAUGCAACUCAGGCUAGGGCAAUCCUUUUCCGUGUCUGCUUGCUUCAUAAGUAGCUGAUAGCACGAACAGAGGAAGUAAUAAUAUUGGAAUAAGCAGAAGCAAACUUUAAUUUCUAUGCAAAUGGGCUGUAAGAUGAUUAAGUUGAGGGGGAAAUUGUAGGUUAGUUACCUACAAUUUUUAUUUUUUAUUUUUAUUUUAACAUAAGCUUUAAACAUAUUAAUUUGUUUUUCAUUCAACACUACUUAAUAAAUAAAUAAAUAAAUAAAUAAAAAGACGCAACAUUUAUACUAGGAAUGUAAAUAAAUGGAUUAUUGAAUUUAAGAAAAUGAAGCUGGGGAAGUUCUAAGGAGCUCUUUUAUAUAUAUGUAUACACACACACACAACCGAAUUUAUAUGUUACUCUAUAUAUACACAGACACAUACAACCACCAAAGUAUAUAUAUAUAGUAAAAUAAAUGACAAAUCGUAUAAAUCAUUAUAAAACCCUAUAAAAAAUAAAAGAGACAACUACAUCUAAUCAAACAUAAACAUGAAAGACAAAAUCAUGAAAUAUCAGCCUUCUUCAGUGUUUAUUUCUUACAGAAAGCAAGCUUUCGAAUGUUCAAUAAUCAAUAUCGUCUGGAAAAAAAAAAAAAAAUUCCUUUCUGUGCAAUUACACUUUCAACAAAUCCCAUGAUGAUCAAAAGCAGCUUUCCUCGAUCCACGUGUCGUAACCGGAGAGGACUGACCAAACAUCCGACUGCCAUUCUCGUAGAUUUAUGUUGAUUCUUCUUGACUAUUUGCAAGCCUAAUUAGAUGAAUUGUCAAACACGAGUCGAGCUAUAUAAUAAAUGAAGAUAGAUGAAGUGUGAAACGCGCUUACUCGGAAUUUAAAGUCAACAAACUUACAUUACAUUACACGCAUUGAGUCGCAAUCUUGCAGUUUAAAUUUUUUUUUUUUUUCAAUUAAUUUUUUUUAUCAUUCUUGUUUUCGCAAUAAUUGUCUUAAAAUAAUUAUUACUGUAAUUCUGCAUGACAUUCAACGGUAUUUUUCUGACCGCAUUUCUGCCACAAUUUUCAAGUUUUAAACGGAAUUAGUCAAUUACAGGAACCUUUCCUCCCUUGACGAUGUAAAGGAUUACAUUUUUCAACAAUGACGUAAACAAUGACAUAAAUUUUUGUCUUUCAGUCAAUAAAUGAGGAUUUAGAAAACAAAAGAAAAUUUUUAAAAUUCACUAAAAGACAAAUUUUUUUUGGUCAUGUUCCUUUAUCAUUUCCCUUUCAGUCCCUUUCAAUAGAGCUACUGACCGCCGUCAUUUUGACCAUACAUUUGAUUUUGGUGGUAAGAUAACGCCUAGAAGAGUUGUCAAGACCAUGACAAAAAAAAUUUGUCUUCUAGUGAAUUUUUAUAAUUUUACAUUUUUUUAAAGGGAACGCCUAAGUUACAAUCAAUGUACCUUACGUUCUUUGUCUUUUUCUUUUUGGCAAAUAUCAUAUGAGCCCUCCUAAUUCUUUUUAUUUUCAAUUUUUACAGCUGUGGAUGUAUUUGUCUUCUUCCAUCCCUCCUAUCGAUUUUUUUAUUUUCUCUAAAGUUUUAUUUAUUUCUUUAAACAUUAUUAAAUGAUUAUCAAAUUCAUACAAAUCUAUAAAUUCAGAAUAAACUUCUGGUCCUAAAUUUAUUAAUCCUAGUCUUGAAUUGUAGGUUUAUUGCAUGUAAUUUAAUUAUAUAAUUAAAUUAAAGAGAAAUUAUAUAAAAAUAUAAAAAAUAUACAUGACAGACUUCAAAAUUAACAUGCAAUAGCUUUCAGAAUUACCGUUAAAAUCAUUCCUAAGAAUUAAUUCUGAUUAAAGGGCAUUAUCAACAUAUACUCUGAUUAAUUCUGAUUAAUAGAUACCAUUUGAUAUUUUAAUUUACCAUUUUAAUUCAAUUAAUGUAGUUUCCAUAAAAUUCAAGGGUGCCAAUAGAUAUUUCACUUCUUGAAUGUAUGUUGCGUUACACGUAACCUAGGUUUGGCCAUUUGAUAAUCGUAUGUUAUUAUUUAAAAAAAUAAAAAGAACAUUGGAAAGAAUGAAAAAUAGAUGUAUAAUUGAUAAAAGAAGGCAAAUACAUCCAUAAACAUAAAGAAUACAAGGACUCGUGUGAAAUUCGCCAGAAGAAAAAAGACAAAAAACGUAAGUUACGCUUAACGUAACUUAGAGGCACCCUUUUUUAAAAUCCUCAUUGUUGACUAAAAGACAAAAAUUUAUGUCAUUGUUUUGUCAUGCUUUUGUUAGUUUAGCAUUGCUCUAAAUAAAAGACACAACAUUUAGACGAGGAAUGUAAAUAAAUGUAUUACUGAAUUUAAGAAAAUGAAGCUGGUGGGGUACUAAGGAGCUCUUAUAUAUAUAUACAUAUAUAUAUACAGCCAAAUUUAUGUUACCCAAUAUAUACACAGACACAUUCAAACACCAAAGUAUAUGUAUAUAGUAAAAUAAAUGACAAAUGGUAUAAAUCAUUAUAAAACCCUAUAAAAAUAAAAGAGACAACCACAUCUAAUCAAACAUAAACACGAAAGACAAAAUCAUGAAAUAUCAGCCUUCUUCAGUGUUUAUUUGUUACAGAAAGUCAGAAAUCAAGCUUUCGAAUAUUCAAUAUAGUUUGAAAAUAUAUAUAUAUAUAUAUAUUCCCUUUCUAUGCAAUUACACUUUCCUCCUCGCUGGACGUGUCGUAACCGGAGAGGACUGACCAAACAUUUGACAGCCAUUCGUAGGUUUUGUGGGUCAUUGACGACAGCGUGUUUUGACUUGCUUUCGUGUUGAUUCCCUGGAGGCUGGAGCUGUUGAUUCUACUGUGUACCGCUCGUGAGUGUCAAAAGUAUCAUAUCCUCUCUCUCUCUCUCUCUCUCUCUCUCUCUCUCUCUCUCUCUCUCUCUAUAUAUAUAUAUAUAUAUAUAUAGUGAUGAUACAGAUACAAACUCCUGUAUAAAUUUAUUUUUUAUAAAUUAAUGUGAUAUUAAUUUAUUGUUUGAAUGAAAAUAUACAAUAAUAUAAAUAAAUCACGUGGGUCAAGAGAUAUUUAAUUCAACUAAUAAAUUAACGGCACAUCAGUUUAUACAAAAUAAAUUUAUUAAAGAGUUUGUAACUAUAUCAUUAUUCUAUAUAUAUAUAUAACAACACCCCUACCGUUUGAGCUAUGUAAGAUUAAGUGAUGUCACGAGUGAAACAUGUGAUUCGUUCAAUCGUAUUAGAUGAUAAACACCGGUUGUUGUACACUUUUAUUUUAAAUAAACGGACAUGUCAUAUAAUUGUAAUUAUACAAACCGACAUGCCUUAAAAGUGUAAUUAUAGAAACCGAUAUCUCUGUACGCAUCUUGAUUUCCUGAUUUCGACUUCACUUUACACCAUAGUAUUUCUUUUUCUUAAAAUGGGUUUCACUUAUCAAAUAACAACAAAAUUUUCAUUGUUUCAAUGAGAGUAUUCUCAUCCGCUCGAAAUAUCCCGAAGGAAAAAAAUUUAAAAACGAGAGCACCCUUUCUUUGGAAUUUACGUUUUUAACCUUAUUCGGUAUUUCAAUGAAAAUAAGAACUUUUACACCCCAUGUGUAAGUUCAUUUUUAUGUAAAUAUUGAGCUUUUACAGAUUACCUCUAUUUCUUUAGCCCCACUCCUUCGGAAGGAGUCCUUCCCACAUGGUAGCGAUGAGUUGAAAAAGAGAAGGAGAAAAAGUAGGACUUUUGAAUAGACUUUUGCCAUAAAUUAUUAUUAUUAUUAUUAUUAUUAUUAUUAUCAUCGUCGUCGUCGUCAUUUUGUGAGAGACGGUUUUUUAAACAUGAAGAAGGCAUAAGAAAUUGAUAAAAGUUGACUUGAUGGUGAGAUUUCCUUAUUUCCUUCGUUGUCUUCGUUAUUGAGGGAGUUGAGUGGCUCUUACAGAGACGAAGGGAGUGGUAAGGGGGCCGUGGCGGUAAGGAGUAAGACGGAUAAGAUAAAAGCUAAAGUGUUUUUAAUUUAUUAUUUAUAUUACUUUGAAAAACUUACAACGCAGGUUGGGCUUUCCUACUUUUUUAUUUUUAAAAUUUUUCAAAAUCUCUCUUUCUAAGAUAAGAACUAAAAUAUUAUUUAUAGACUAAAUUUACCAUUAAAAGCUACAUUUUAAAUUAUCAUAUAAUAGCGAGUCAAUUACAUAAUUAUAUUGUGACGUGAUAUUUGUUGUAAAUAUGGUUAGUGAUUUUUACUGUAUUUGGUUAGUAAUUUGUUAAUUAAUUUAAAUUAGUUGUUGAAUUAGCAAAUAAAAAUAUCAAUAAGAUAAAAAAUAUAAAAAUUCAAUAAUUAGUUCUGUUGGUAAAAUCUCUUGAGUGUAAACAAGAGAUCUGAGAUUCGAACCUUACUCUCAUGAGUUGAUUCUUGAGAGUGAAUUGAAAUGUUAUUUGCUACGCUAUAACUAAAAAAAUCAAAUUGAUUUUUAACUAUCUAAAUGUAGAUACAUAUAUUUAAUGGAAUGAACUAAGACUUUAUCUUAUCUUAUUAAUAAAAUUAUAAAUUUUACAUAAAAUGAAGAGUUAAUGAUUGGGUAAAAAAAAAGAAGAAAAAGAACCCAACUACCCCUUUGUCAUUGAAGUAUAUCUUUGUGUUUGACUCUAUUUUUUCUUUACUGUAUCCUGUUUAUUGCAUUUUUUAUUUCAUUAGAGCACUAAUCUUAUCAUUUAUUUUGUUUUAUUUAGUUUACUAAAAUUGUACUUUAAGAUUGUUGUAGUAAGUCCUAUAACAUCAAUUUAUGUAGAGACGAUCUUAAUACUUAUCAUUAUAUUGUUUGUUGUGUACACUUGCACAUUAACACCACUAUUCAUCAUAUUGAGUAAACACCAAAACCCACCUAAGUUAUCCUACGAGCUCUACUGAGGUCCUCAGACAAGCUCUCUAGAGCUAUUCUUGAGUUCACUAGAGUUGUUCCCUAAGCAUUCUUGAGCUCCUAGUUAACUCUCUAAAUUAACUUUACAGAGCUCCCCAUAAUAUUCCAAACUCCUAACACCGCAGCUCACGUCCCAGAUCAACUCAGCUACACUUUCUGCCCUAAAUGUCAGAAAUACACAUCUAAACCCAAAACUUAGCCCAUUCUCUCCUAAAAUAUAAAUUUUAUUUGCUUCAAUCAGAUUUUACCUGGAUCCGUUGAGAACAACCACUUAGUGGUUCAAAAUCGAAUCCUGGCAAAAAUCCAGCCAGAAACAACAACAACAACAACAAUAAUUAAUGAUAAAAAAUUGUAAUAAUAAUAAUAAUAAUAAUAAUAAUAAUAAUAAUAAUAAUAAUAAUAAUAAUAAUAAUAAUAAUAAUAAUAAUAAUAAUAAUAAUAAUAAUAAUAAUAAUAAUAAUAAUAAUAAUAAUAAUAAUAAUAAUAAUAAUAAUAAUAAUAAUAAUAAUAAUAAUAAUAAUAAUAAUAAUAAUAAUAAUAAUAAUAAUAAUAAUAAUAAUAAUAAUAAUAAUAAUAAUAAUAAUAAUAAUAAUAAUAAUAAUAAUAAUAAUAAUAAUAAUAAUAAUAAUAAUAAUAAUAAUAAUAAUAAUAAUAAUAAUAAUAAUAAUAAUAAUAAUAAUAAUAAUAAUAAUAAUAAUAAUAAUAAUAAUAAUAAUAAUAAUAAUAAUAAUAAUAAUAAUAAUAAUAAUAAUAAUAAUAAUAAUAAUAAGUUACCAAAAUUAAUAAGUAAUAAAAUUUAGAGUAGAGUAUCGUCCUACAAAAAUUAUAUAUCUUAUUAGUUACCAAAAUUAUUCUGACCCAUAUUUAUUUAAACAGUCGAAUAAGUGAAUUUAAAUUAAAAAUAAAAAUAAAAUAAAGCAACUAAAAAUUAAAUAAGAAUACAAGUUGUUACAGAAAUCACCAAUAGAUUAAGACACUAAAACAUCUGAUUUCAUCAUAACCAAUCUAAUUUAAUUCCCCAUCUAUACUAUUAAAGAUUUUACGUAUGUUGACAGUUGAAUAACCCUAAUUCCUUUGAUAUUGUUUCUCAAGCAAUAUCAAAUAUAUUGCUAUAUAUUACUACACAAAAUCUUAAUGUGCAUUACAAUAUGUGAAAACUCAUUAAGUUUAUGUUAUUCUUAAAUUAAUUGUACAAAUCAGGUUAGUACAUCUUUGUCUCCCAUGUAAUUCAAGGUAUCCAUUACACAGAGCAAAAACACAUAAAUCUCCUUCUUGCUGUUGUUAUUUAUAAACUAAAAAUAACAUAUAUUUAUAGAAUAAAAUCUUUAUAGUUAAGAUAUAUCGUAAUUCUAAUAAAAUAAAUUAGUUCAUUGAAAAUAUAAAGAGAACAUAUUAGGGAACAUUUAAGCAAGACAAUUGAAAAAAAAAAAACAGAGAAAGAAAAACCCAACAUCCUUCUCUCUCUCUCUGUCUGCUUUUACUGCUCUCGGCUUUUGUAAAUUCUUGCGGCUGCUGUUCUUCUAAUUCUUUUGCUCCCGGCUUUUCUUCUCUCUGUAAAAUAAUCUUUGGCCUCUAAAUCCUUAACUCAAACGUAUUAAAAAAAUUAUCAAAGUAGGCCAAGCCGACAACUUUCAAGACUAUCACGUGCUUGCCAUUUAAUCUAUCAAGUAGUCCUUGGCCUCUAAAAUUGGAAGCCAUUGCCCUUUUCUUCUUUUCUUUUAAUUUCAUGCUCACUAUUUAACUUCCUAUGUGUUUCGCGAAAUUUACAGUCAAAUAUUUGUUUUCAUAAAUCAUUAAUAUUGUGUCCAAUUGAUUUCUUAAGUCCUAAUUGAUUUCUUUUUUAUUUUUAAAAUGUAUCUACAAUAAUAAAAUAUUUAUUUUAAAGAUAAAAAAAAGCAUAAUAAAAUUAAGCUAGGGAAGUACUAAAAUAAUGUAUAAAUUCUAAGGAAUAAUUGGACACAUGAUUAUCAGUUGCAACCAAGAAAUAAUAUAUAAAAAAAUAUUUUGUGAAAGAAAAAAAUAUCGUACAUGAAAAAUAAAUUUGAAAAAAAUUAAUGAUGAAAAAAAAUAUAUAUCUGGAAUUACUAAAAAAAUCUGUAAUUAUUUUAUAAUUUUUUUUAUUAACUUACAAAUUCAUUUAAAACUCGAAAUCAGGAUCUAAGUUAUAGAGCAUCACUAAAAAAAUUCUUUAAAUGAAAUUAUGUUAAUUUUGUUGGGUUUAAUUAUUGUCUUAGUAUAUGAAGUUGAAAAUUGAAUAAAUAUCAAAGUUGGUUUAAAAGUUUUCAAAUGCCAUGCAGGGCUUCAGCCCUGCUUCUAUAGAUGAUUGUUGCAACCUGGAAAGAUGCAUAUUCCGACGAGCAUUAAAAAUUUAUUUUAUGCAUGGUGUCUGUAUUUUCUUUUGAGUCAAACAAUUCAAGAAAAAAAAAAAUAUUAUGUUGUUGUCUCUGCAAGUACAUUAAAUUAGUAAAUAUAAAAGAUUAUUUCCUGCUCCAAGCCUCCAAUGUCAAUUUUUACGGCAUAUUGUGUCUUUUUCCAUACCCACUCAUGUUUGAAAAAAAAGGAGAUAGACCUUUUAUGUUGAGAAAAAAAUGGUGCACAAAAAGAAUGUAAACGGAAUAAAAAGAAAAUGAAGCUUCCAAUAUUAAUUAUACGGCAUCAUCUAAUCGACCCUUAUCGGUUGAGCUACGUAACUCAUGUAAGAUUAGGUGAUGUCACGGGUAAAACAUGUGAUUCACUUGAUCGUACUGGAUGACAAAUGCGGAUUGCUAUACACUUUCGAUUUUAAUUAAACCGACAUGUCAUACUUUAUAAACCGACUAAAAAACUUCAAAGUUUAUCAAAUUACAAUAAAAUUUUCGAAGGUAUGAUUAUGUUGGAACCGCUUUAAGAUAGAUUACUCUUUUAUAACCACACGAUCAAAGUUAUAAUGAAUUUUUAAUUAUUUAUCAUUUUACGUGUGUGACUGAGAAUCGUGCUCUACCUUAAAAUAGUUUCAAGAUAGCCAUAACUAAUUUUCAAAAAGAAUAUUCUCCUCCGCUCCCAUUGAAAAUAUCUCAAAAAUAAAAAAGAAAAUUGAAAACGAAAGCACCCUUACUUUUGAAUUUACGUUUUUAACCUUUUCCAGUAUUUCAAUGAUAUAAUAACUUUUACACCCCUUGUAUAAAUUCAUUUUUAUGUAAAUAUUGGGCUUUUAUAUAUUGUCUAUUUCUUUAGCUCCACUUCUUCCACAUAUUAGCGAUAAGUUGAAAACUUGAAAUGAAAAGAGUUUCCUCUAAAAUUUGAAGUUUAAUAACUCUUUUUCUUCAUGUUACGUUGCAUGCAUUGAGUUGCAGUUUUGAAAUUUAAAUUUAUUAUAUUAAUUUUUGGAGUCAAAGUACAUUUCUUCAAUGAGUAUAAUCACUAUCUUGGUGAAGAAAAUUAAUUCUUUAUAAUUUUAGUCCCUAAUGAUCUCAAUUUAUUUAAUAAAUGUGUAAAAGUAACUCUGAAGUACAAAAAACAAAAACUAGAGUCCAAUUGGGGACAAAGUUGAAAAUAAAAUAAAACUCAGGGGUAUUAAGAACUUUGUGUGCCAGCCUUGACACGUGGAGAGCCAAUUCUACAAAUUGUAGAGCCCGACAUGUCGCACGGCUUAGCUGUUUCGUCCAUUUUUCAUUCUUAUCCACCAUUUUUCCCCACUUUGUUACAUAUAAAUAAGCCACUUCACUCUCCCCAUUCUCCAUCCUGUUUCAAAUUCAACAAGUUCAAUUGAUUCGCUUCUGUAUUCUUACUCGUCUCAACAACCUAGGAUUUCAGAUUCUGAAUAUGGGCCUGAUCGUUGACCGGAAAAAGCCAGAUCCGGUCUCUGCGAUCUGGGAAGAGGAUGAAAGCUCUGUCCAUUUCAAGGUCUUCCUUGCAUCAGGAAUGAAGCAAGAGGAUGUGAAGAUUGUGAUUCAAGAUGGCAAGUUGGUUAUAAUGACCGAGGCGACAAGUUCACAUUCUCCGUCUCCCUCUUCAGCUUCCACGAGCAUAUCAUCUUUCUUCAGCUUCCUGAAGAAGAACGAGGAGGCAAGAGACACCUCCAGUCUCAAUCGGCCGACUGAUGGCAAGAUCGAGAUGAAUUUCAGCUUGCCAGUAGGUGUGGACCCGGAUGGCUUCAGUACUUCAAUGGAUGAUGCUGGGGUUCUCACUCUCACUUUCAAAAGACAGAGGGCCUUUGACCUCAGAAACGUCGCCAUGGGCUGGGAGCAUGCUAAAGACAGCAAGAAGGGCUUUGUUGACUUCAAGGCCUAUCUCGCAGCAGGGACGAAGAUAGAGGAUCUGGUGGUUGUCAUAGAACGUGGCAAGUACCUUAUAGUAGGCAUGCUUCAGAAGAAAGAGCAAGAAGGAGAUACCAGUGUCAAGCAGUACCACGGCAACAACUUUAGGAGCUUCCUGUUCCCAGAUGGUGUGGACCCCUUUGGCUUCAGUACUUCAAUGGAUGAUGCUGGAGUUCUAACUCUCACUUUCAAAAGACUUAUGCCCUUUCUGUCCUCUACUGUACCAGAAGGGGCCUUCGAAAACGUCAUAAUGGGCUGGGACUGGGAGCAUGCUAAAGACAGCAGGAAGGGCUUCGUUGACUUCAAGGCCUAUCUCGCAGCGGGGACGAAGAUAGAGGAUCUGAUGAUUGGCAUAGAUGGUGGCAAGUAUCUUACAAUAGGCAUGCUGGAGAAGAAAGAGCACGAAGGAGAUACCAGCCUCAAGCAGUACGAAGGCAACAACUUUAGGAGCUUCCUGUUGCCAGAUGGUCUGGGCCCGUUUGGCUACAGUACUUCAAUGGAUGAUGCUGGGGUUCUGACUCUCACUUUCACUAUACUGAAGCCAAAUAAAAAGCUGGUGUCAAAGUCAAAGUUGCUGGCAGGUAUGGCUAGAGUUGUGCCUGCUUGUCUCAUGAUAGGUUGCGAGAUAAGCGACAAGAUAAGUGGCGACGACUUCUAUUAAGCGGGUGUCUAUCCUAUAUUUGUGUCUAAUAAGAUGAUGAUUGUAUGCUUGUGUCUGGUCAAUUUACUGGGGUGUAUUUCUUUUCCGUUUUUGUGAAAGAUCUUGAGCUUGUCUCAAGCCUUUUUGAGUCUUUAAUAGUAAUAAAUAAAAAAAAAGGUUUAUUUUCCUACUUUCAAUUUUAAGGAUGACCGACAAACCUUGGACAGGAGACUUUUAUUCAGUCAGAGUCCCUCGGGGAAUUGAAUAUUCCACUCACGUGCAGGUAUGGGCUGGGGCCCGGGGGUAAAUUCCAUAAAACAAUACGCACGUUUGGUUUCUGGAAUACUGAAAAAGUUUCCUUUGAACCUACAGGACUAUCCUCGUUAUUGUCCUAUGUCCUUAUUUAAUGGAUCUAUCUUUUAAGCGCUACAUUUGGCAUUUGCAGUUUAUUGGAAGAAAGCAAAUGAUUAAAAGGGGUAAUUUUUAGGGAUUGCCCCUAAGGUUUAGAGUAUUGACAGUUUAAUAGAAAGUAUUCACGUAAUUACAUAAAUAUUUUUUGACGUUCGUAUUCCGUUAAGUGGACUGUUAGUUGAUUGUUGGAAUUACAAAAAUACUCUUACAUAGGUAAGGUGAAGUAUCAUCUAUCCCUCCAAAAAAUUUUCAAUAUGGGAUUAGUUUGGGCUUCAGUCGUUGCUAUACAAAAAAAAUUAUUGGAUUCCUCCAUGUGUUUGAGUAUAAGAAACAGUGGUUGAAUUACACUUAAUAGUGGUUUCUGGUGAUAAUGUGUUGUGGUGGCUUCUUACUGUUGAAACAGUUGCCAAUUAUAUAUUUUAGGACUGUUUGGGCUUGCUCCUUGAAGUCAACGGUCUAGUUGAUAUGGCUUGUCUCUUUCAAGAUUAAUUUAGUUGCACGGCUUUGAACUAACUCUUGCAGAUAUGUAUGGGAUGUGAAUCUGUUCAUACAUCUAUCUUGCAAGAUUGAAAUUACAAAAAGCAGUUUAAAUGCUAGCAAAAGGAAGGAAAGUUCCUAGUAGGGCAGAAACGCUUUUGGUCCACAUGAAGAUGAUGUAAUCAUAAAGCAUAGGUUUCUAACCCGCACAACCACCAUAAGGGGUAAACCCCCAUUGAAGAAACUUCAGAAGAAAUUUACCUCAUUUUUACUUGAGAUUGAGAAGGAUGAAGAUAACAAUAAUGACUAUGAAAAACUUGCUAAAGCUUUCCUGCAGGAGUUGUCCACUUUUAAGAUUCCACUUCUUAAGAGUAAAGCUGUUAUUGAUGCAAACCUCAGAGAGAAAGAGAACUUCAAUGAACUGAAAGAAGAGAUAAAUAGGCAAAUAUUGCAGGUGGAGGCUGACAUAGAAGAUUUAAAGAAACAACUUGAAGAGAGUAAGAUUGAAAGACAACACAAGGAGGAGUGUUAAUGUUUGUGGGGGUAAUGCUUGCUUUUGUUCUUUAGCCACUGGACAUUUACAAACUCGAGACCAAUUACAGAACCCAGCGUGAAAAUUUCAAGUUUGCUUGAAUUUUUUCCAUCAUUGAAGGGCCCUUUUACGAUUUUAUCCUCACCACCCUAAUUAAUACAAAACGGUAUAUUAAUGUCAGGGAAAGUAUCUGAGAAUACAUCAAUACAAUCUAUUAGACUGAGAAUACACCAAACCUCAGGAGAGGUUUUUAAUAAUUACCCAUUUUAAAAGCAUGUUGUUCAAGGACUACUACAAUACAAACAAUAAUAUUAUUUGAGACAAUUCAUAGGGCUUUACUUGAGUGAUAAACAAUUAUAUUACUGUUCAACCUAACAUGAUGUGCUCUUUCUGUUUGUUCAAAGAAUUAUGAGAAGAACCUCAAGUACAUUAAUUGAAAAAUGUCCAAACUGGACAAUUCAUAUUCAUGUCAUAUGACCCAGGUUUGUUAUUUUCAAAUUCUAAUUAAGAAAUUUGAUUUUUUAAGACGAUUUUUAUUAUGACAUUUGUAGAUUUUGUCUUAAAAUAGUACUUAUUGUGACGAUUUUAAAAAAUCGUCACAAUAAUCUCGCCCUGGCUCAUGUUAUAUUUUGUAAUAAAUAAUAUUUGUUUUGGGACCCAUUAAUUGGCCACCUAAUCAGAUGUUUUAUGACAAACAAAAAUUAGUCGCAAAAGAGCAUGUUUUUUUUAGUGCAAAAAUUUCCCUCCAUAAUUGAUCAUUUUCCGACAAAAGACAAAAUAUUAUCUUUAAUGACAAAAAAUAUGGUAGUGAAAUGUAAUCAUAGGUGACACAAUUCUUUCGUAAUUAAAAGAGGGAUGUAAAAUUAAUCAAACCAUUUAUGAGAAAAAAAUAUUAGUCUCGAAAGCUAAUAAGGUGUUAGCUAAUUUUAGGACCCUAGUUUUUUUGUCACAAAUAAUUACUUACUUGACAAAACUAAAAAAUAGUAAUUUUAAAUUUUGUCUUGAGUAAUAAUAUAAUUCAUGACUUCUUUUUUUGGCACGUUAUUUAGUAUCUGACUCUUUUUUUUUUUUGUGAUGAACUUUACAACACUGAAGAAAAAAGAAUAACAACAACAACACCUAAACCUAAAUAAUAAUACAGCCUAACUCUCACUCACAGCCGAAGAAAACAAAGCAUUCACAGCCACCAUCACCUUAGCCUCUCACUCAACUCAUAGCACUUAGCCUCCCACUUAAAUCACUCAUCAUUGUUCGAUUGAAGAAACUUCAGACCAUGCGAAGACCGAUGGAAGCGUUGGUAGUGCUGAUGCGCGGGGGGAUGCGGCUGGUCGAGAUCCACGACCCGUGCAAAUUUGUUGGCUGGCCGCAGCAACUCUGAUGGCUUCUGGGCAGUGGUGGCGAUUGGAUUUUGAAGGGGUUGUUGUGAGGAGUAAAACUCAGGUGGUAGUGGUUCGAAAAUCCGGUGGAUCUGACCGAUCAUGGUAACGCUUUACGGGAGAAAUCACAGUUUCAUGUAGCCGUUUCUGGCUGCUUUUCGGUGGCGGUGAAGAUACGCGGGUGCUCGCCGGUGCUUGGGAGUUAAUAAUUUUACUUAACAUUUUCUCUCUUCAAUUGCUAAUCUCGCAAUGCUUCUUUCUCUUCCGACGAGUUUUUGGAAACUUCUCCGACUAGGUAAUUUUCACUUACCCUAUUUGUUUGCCAGGAAACUAACCAAAGUAACAACAGUGAAUAACAGUACGUGAUUAUAUGGAUUGCUAACUAAAUGUGAUAGUUGGUUCAAAUGAAAAAAGAUUUAAGAUAUUAUAUCUAAUACUUAACUUGAAUUAGGGAAUGUGUGUAAAAGAUUUGAGUGUAAAGUAGCUCAGAAAUGAAAACGAAUAUAGAAACAUCUUGGCUGAAAUGAUAGCCAUACAUUAUUUUCUUGUAUGUUGAAUUGAAAUGAUUUAUUAAUUACUGAAUUAUUUUGUUUCAUCUGUGAGGAAGUCUUUUGCUACAAUAGCUUUUGACAUCGAACUUGUUUAGGUGCUUGUUAGAUUUGUUUCUAAGUGGUUUGAUGUUCUUGAUUUAUGAAUGCAGUUGUUUUCAAGAUGGUUUUAGUAGGUCUAGGAUGAAGUUGAUAUUGUGUAUGUUUUUUUGAAUGAUUAUCGUGCAAAGCCUGCUGCCAAAUCAUUCAAGUUAAAGUAGAACUUGUGAUUGACAAGGCAAAGGUAUCAACUGCAAUACUGUUCUGUAUCAAAAUUUUGUUCUUGGAAAAAUAGUUUAUGCUAUAUAAUUUGUACAUUGGCCAUAAGGUGAUGCAUCCUUUGCUUUGUAGGCUACUACUAAGUAUUCAAUUAGGGUUCUUUUUGGGACAGCUCUCAAAGCUUUAAUUGUUAUUGUCUUUACCGCAAUUAUUGCCAUCCUUUCAAGUAAGAGGUAUAUUUUGAAAUUGACACUAAAAUCAUAGCAAAUGUUUAUUAUUAUUGUUGGAUCCUUUAUAGAAGAAAGGUAUUCACCAUCUGGUUCUUGAAAGUAGUGAUGAUGAUGAUCGUGGGAGACAAAGACGAUGCAGGUCAUUUGAUUCAGGAUUUAAUAUUUACCUCUCUCCAUCUGAUCUAUUUUGGUAAAUAUUUUUUAGUUUCACACCUCAGUAAUAUUCCCAAUAUUUUAACAGUUCAAAUUUAAUUAUAUGAAAACCACUAAUUUAGAAGUAUAAAAUUGAACUGAAAUAACUUUCCAAUUUUCAUCUAACUGCAAACUUUAUUCUAAAAAACUUCAUAUAACUAUGUUCCCUUCUUAAAUCAUGUAAGGUAUUGGGAUCCACAUUAUUAUAGAAGGCGACGAAUUCAGACAGAUGAUGAUGAAAAGAAAAUGAACUUUAUCGAAUCCGUAAGUAAAGAUUUCAAAUUAUGUAUUUUCCUAGGAUCCAUAUUUUUCUAGAAUGCAUUUAUAUGUAUCAAGCUUGAAGAUAAUCAUGAGAUUGGUCCAAUAGCUUUUGCAAACCUAAAAAACUAAACAUCAUUUGGUUUGGAUUUGAUUUGUUACAUGUGAACCAUGCUACAAAAAUCUUUUGAGAAUUAAAAUUGAAUUAAAGUUCCAUUUUUCUAUGAAUAUUCAUAAAUUGCAUUUUUCUUUUCUCUGCUUCUUUUUUUUAAUCAAUAUCAAGCAUUCUUUUCUCAUAUGUAUGAACUUUAUGAUUGCUGGAGAUUGCAAGUUGUUCUGUGUUUUUUUUUUUUUUUUAAAGUGUAGGAGCCCAAUCUAAGCAUUAACAAAUACUUUAAAAGAAAGAAAUCACAUAAUUUCUAUUGAGGAUUGCGCAUGAUAAAAUGUUGCCUUUGUUGAUUCGUGGUUGGGUUAAUUUCUUGUCAUUUACAUGGUUCAUUUAUGGUUAUUUGGUUUGCAAAGUUGCCUAUGGUUGAUUGAGUUGUUUUUUUGCUUUAUACAGGUGUUGUUGGACAUGAUUUUUGGGUCAUAUAAGGUUGACUUGCGGGAUUUCUGGGUUGCAAAAGCUUUGUGGAUUUCAGUUGUACUUGCUGCCAUUGAUUGAGUAUUUUUGGAUUAACUAAAGGAAUGAUAAUUGUAUCAACAACUGGUAAUUGUAUACCCUUUCAUGGAUUUAUGUUAAAAAUAUUUUUCACUUUAAAGUUUUUUUGUCAUUAUAUUUUGAAUUCUAUGACUACAUAUUGUUAUUAAAAUUCAUGUAAGACUGUAUAAAUUGUUCUUAAAAAAAAUUUGAAACUAAAUUAAUUACCAUUUGUAUUUGCCAAAAUUGUCACAAAAGACAAUUACUUAAGACAAUUAUAUAAGGUCGCGAUAUGUAAACUUCAACAGCAAAAAAAAAAUAGUGUCGCUAAUUAUAUCUUCAAAUCUCUAAAAUGAUGAUUUUUAGUAAUUAUUGAGGCUAUAUUUUCACACUCUUGAGACAAAUAUUAUAAUUAUUAUAAAUCACAUAUUGAGACAAAUAUUAUAGUCACAAUAAACCACGUAUUGAGACAAAUAUUAUAGUCACUAUAAAUCACUUAUUGUGACAAAUGUGAAAUGUCAUUGAUUGCAUUUUUUUAAUAUUUAAUUUGACCAUUUUGAAUAUCAUUUGUGACAAUUUUAACUUAAUUUUAAGACAAUGAUUGUUGUCACAAAAACAUAUUUUUAACAUUACGAAAAUAAUUUUGGUUGCUAGAACUUUUUAAGACGGUCUUUUUAUGACUAACGUGUGACAAUUUAUUUUUUGUCACAAAAGAUAUAAGGUGACUAAUUUGUUAUCUUUAGUGACUAAAUUUUUGUAAUAAAAUAUCAUUUUUCUUGUAGUGACUAAUUUUUUGUAAUAAAAUAUAUAUUUUCACAACAUAGAUGUAAGAUGAGAUUUGCUAAGAUAAAACAAAUUACCUUACCUAAAUGCAGUAUAGCUAUUACUUUAAUUAACUAAAAUAAAGGAAAUUCGUAAUUAACUUUUUAGUUUUUAGCCAUAAAUGGACCUUGCAACAACCGGAAAUUGUGGAGUGUGGCUAUUAUGUCAUGAGGUACAUGAAGGAUAUAAUAGCAUACAUUGAUUUGUUACUGAUCAAUGUGUGUUAUAUAUAUAACAAAUUGAUCAUUAACAGUUCAAUGGAAAGGAUACAUUCACUUAGGCUGAAGUAAAUAAGGAUCAUUUGGAGUGGGCUAACCAUUUUACUAAAAUCCUUUUAUUUCCUCUUUUUUUGUUAGGGCAUGGUCACAUUUUUUUUUUUUAGAAGGAAACUAAGACUUUCAUUGCUUCAACUUUGUGAAUACAUCCAAAACGGCCUAAGGAAUUUCAUUGGCCCAUACAACUAACUCUUUAAAGUCUAUGGCAAAUUUCGCCAGACAGUGAGCUUCUAAAUUACAAGUUCUGGGGGUAUGCUCAAUCCUGACAAACUCAAACUGCCUACACAUGCUUUGAAUCUCUGAAAUCACCCAAAAAAAUUCGGUCCUGCUUCCUUUGUUGACUAAAUUAGUCAUUUCCAGGCAAUCUGUUUCUACAAUCACUGACUGCAUUUUUGCUUCUGUUGCAACCUGGACCCCCCAUUCCACAGCUUCAGCUUCUGAGUAUCUUGCUUCUCCUCUAAAUGGUACAGUUUUGACAGCUGCCAUCACUAUUUUGCCAUCAGACCCUCUGAACACAGCUCCCAGCCCGACUGUUUGCGAUCCAACAUGGAUGGCUGCAUCAACAUUUAUCUUAUAGGUUCCAAUUGGAGGAGGUUCCCAUUGCUUUUUACAUUUCUCAGACCUUGACUUGAGGACAUUAUCUCCAACCUCUCUCACUCUCUGAAAAGCUCCUACCACAGCUUCUACUUUGGCUGCAGAUACUAGAUGGUUCACCUUUUUUCCUUAGAAAAUCUUCUUCUUUCUAUCAUUCCAUGCAACCCACCAGUAAGCUACUACCAGCUCCAUCUGAGAUUUGGUCAGUUUCUUGUACAAAUCCUGCAUUGAACUCAACACAUCUUGAUUUAAACCGCCAUGGAGCUCUACUGUAAAAGAGGCUUGCCUCCAAAUUUUUUGGGAGCUUUUACAAUAUAACAGUGAGUGAGUACUAUAUCUGAUGCCAUUUUUAGUUCUUGCAAUAAUGUGUGGAUGUCAUUGUCUGUGUGAAUAUUUUUAGUUCUUACAAUAAUGAUAUUUAAUUUUUGAUAAUUAGUGAUUGAGUAUAGAAAGCGAAACAAGGUUCUGUAGGUCAGUUCAUAAAUAAGUAUAUGUUCUUAUUGUAAAUAUAUGUUUACGUUUACACACUUUUAAACAAUUGCUUAGAGCACUAGCAUAGUAAAAUAGAUGCACAUUUCAGCUUGAAAUCCCAAGCUAUUAAAACAUACCACAAUGAGUUUAGGUUUAUGUACAUAUUUAUGUAGACUUGAUAAUAAUAUUUGCUGAUUAUCUGCCUUAAACUUGAAUCAACAUGAAAUUUCAAUUUCACGACAUAGAUUUCUAUCAUGAUUUAGCUUUAGAAAUAAUGGUCGAUUUGGACAGAAUUGACAAGAUUUUGUGAAUUUGUGUGUAGGUCCCUGAUUUUGUUUUCUAGUUAUGCCCAUCCAGAAAGUGAAAUGGAACAUGCGAUUCAAUUUUUAAAAUAUUUGGAACAUGUUAUGCUCAUUUGUUUCAUAUUAUAUGCUUGCAAACGAAAUGUAGUUUUGGAAUCAAACUUAAUUGCAGGUUCUAUUAUAGACUUACUCAAUUGAGAUGCUGCCCUUUCUAAGAGUGUGUUUUCAUUUAUCACUUCCAACUUCUAAUAGUUUGCAAAACACACGUGAUUUUGGAUGUUGAUAAACUUGCUAUGUAAUUUGUUUAUUAUGUUUAGUUGAUACCAAUUUCAAAGACAAAAAAUAAAACAUGUGAAAUUUGUUACAAUUUGCACAUAUAAUUACAAUCUAGAACUCUAACUAAUCUGCUAAACAAUAGCUCAAAAAAGUAAUUCAAUUAAUAUUCAGAGAGGUAUUUAUUUUUAGUUAUUUAAUUAGAAUCAAUAAAAAUAAACAGAUCAUUUCAAAGUUAAUCCUAAGACAAGGUAAGUUUAUUUAUGGGCCAAGUCAGGAAGAAUAUAUCAGUAGAAGUGUAACAUCCUAAAUCAUUAGUGAGAGAGUUCCCAGACUACUUUAUAAGCCUUAGGCUCUCUUAACCAAGUUGACACGUUAUGGGUUGUAAAGUGCAAUAACAAAACCAUGAUGAGUUGUGUGCCUAAAAUGAACAAUAUCUACGUGGUUGUUGGACUUAAGCAUGUUAAAAUUGGUAUCAAAACCAAGUCUGGAAUUCUCUAGAUUAUAGAUUUCCUUUAAGGUUAGUUUUGUCUAAGCUUAAUCAAUCAAAUUAAUAGUAUUGUUUGCUUUGAGAUAUUAAGGUACUUUUAAUUUCAAGGAUGAUUCUGUAGAUUGUAGACUUCCUUUGAGGUUGGUUUUGUCUAAACUCAAUCAAUUGGAUUAAUAGUAUUGUUGGCUUUGAGAUAUUAAGGUACUCUCAAUUUCAAGGACGAAAUUUCUUUUUAGGUGGGAAGAAUUGUAACACCCUCCUAUUUUUCUUUAUUAAUAAUUAUGGUAAUUCUUAUUAAGGAAAUAAGAAGUAUUAUUUCUUUUGAUCAAUUUAUUAGGAUAUUUUUGGGAAUGAUAUUAAUCUUUCCUAAUUUAAUAGGGUUUGUCCAAGGAUUUCCUAUAGAAUAACUCUUUUUCUAAUUUCUCCUCCCUCAAAACCUAAAUUGAAAUACAAUCUCUAUCUCAUUAUUAUGAUCUUUUAUAAAUCCAAUAUAGAUGUCUUAUUCGCAUAUACAAUUAAGAUUAUUUAUGAAAGUUUGUGCUCACCUCUUGAGGUUGUAUGAGGACCAUAUCUCGAGGGUUAGAGUAUACAAAGUGCCACAUGCAAAUCAUUACAUAUGAAAAAUGAAUUUAAAUAUUUUGGCUCAUUGUCUAUAGUCAUUUUAAUUCUAAUUCUGAUCGUAUUAUAUGAUAUAUAUGUUCUGAACCAAUACUGAAUUUCUGUUCUGAGUGUGUAUAGGAUAUUCUAAUUCCGAUUCUGAUUUUGCUUCUAGUCGGGUCACUAGAACUAUAGGUGACACUAUGUGACUAUAGUUAACCUUUUGUUUUAUGUGUAUAUAUGUUAUACAAUUUGUUUUCAUUAUUAAUUAUGCUUUUGAUAUCUUGAAUUCCUUAUGAAUUUAUGUCAUUUUGUUAUAAUAUAUCAUUCUAUAAAAUUUAAUAUUUCUAAUCUAUGUUUUGAUAAAAAUAGCUUGCAAUACUUUUGGUACCCAAUAACCCAGUGUGUUGAGAAUGAUUUUACUUAUUGACUUGUGGCUCACCCCUCGUCAUUUAUUUAUAUUUUUAGUAUAAAUAAUAGAGUAGAUAGAGUAGCUUUUUGUGAGUUAUACUUAUAUUUUUGGAGACUUUUGUUUAUAAAUAACUGGAGCUGGGAGAAGAUAUUUUAGUAUUGGAGUUGUUUCAUGAAUUUUUUUUGGAUUAAUUUGAAUAAAAUUUAAGGUAUGUCAGUUUGAAAUUUUUGUGUAAGGAUUGUGAUUUGUAAUUAAUCCCCUUCUUCAUCAUGUGCCCCACAUUUUAAAUUUGGGGUGUUACAAAAAGCGUGCUGGCAGCAUCAAGUAUAAAACAUAGGACAAGAAAUAGAUUGUAACAAACAAAACUACUAGUAAAUGAUGACUAUUGUCAUUUCAUCUGCAUCUUCAUCUUCUCUGAUUCUUCAACCCCUUAAACAUCCCAAAACCCUCAUGAUUGUCAAAGGCAAAGACACUAAUUUCAACCAUUAUUAAAGCAAUUUCUCCACCGAAACGCAACAGCACAAAUGCUCAAAAACCUACUUCAAGGAACCGCCACAGAAGACCAUCAGAUGGCAGUUCAAGAAGGUCAGCUCUCAAGAGAACAUUCACUCAAGAGCAAGCCACCUUCGCCGCACCCAUCUCCAGUGACCGCAUGCGGUGAUUAUUGGUGGAGGCAUGGCGGUUCUUGCUUAUGUUUUGCGUUUGAAGAAAGAGAGGGGUCAAGUCCACCUUUUUGACAUGGUUUGUCGUUUGUCUUGUUUCUUGGCUUUUUCUUUUGUACUUUUGUGUUUUUUACGUGGGUUACGUUUGUAUUUGAUGAGAGCAUAUGCUUGUUCGAUGGUAAUUGAAAUAAUUUGCUAUGAGCAUUCUAGCAUGUGUUGUUAUACAUCGAACAUUGUUUUUGUGAUUUGUAUAUCAUUCAUUGGCAUUCCAUGCCGCCAUCGCGACAGUCAGUUAGUAUGCAACCCAGGCAAGCUCAAUUGAUCUGUGAAAGCAUUUUUUAUUAUGAUCAUAAAUUUAUAAGUAUGUUUAGAAUUGAAGUGUUGUGACUUUAAUUUAAUCCGCAGUUGUUGAGGGUUGAGGAAUGAGAAUAAAAUACAAGCUGCUAAAAGGUGGGGUUUUAUCAAAUAGUUUAGUCAACUUUUUAUUUUUUCUUUUUAUGGAAGAGAUGAAAACAUACGAUAUAAAUAAGUAGCAAGAGUAGGUUUGGAUCCAAAAGACAAGUUUAUGUCUGUUUCCUUUCUGUUUCAUUAAUUGAUUAAAAACUGUUAAUUACCUAUGUAUUUUUCUGUUUACACUUCGGCUUUGCUUUGUAGUAAUAGUUCCUACAAGUAGUGAUAGGAAAAUGUGCAAAUUCGGUUGCUAGGAUCAUCUGGCAUAUGCUUUAUUUUCUAGUAGCUAGGAAAUGAAGGUAUAUAACAUUGAUAUAUUCAAUUUGUUUAGUGUUAUCUAGCCUAUGCUUUAUUUCUGUUGACUAUUCCUAAACUAUUUCGAAGAUUUAUGCUGCUUUCCUGGUUUGUAAAGGCUGGAACUAAGUUCUAUAUGGUCCCUGCUUCCUGCUUUUGAGGAUUCCCUUCCGCUAGGCAGUGCAGCGACAUUUGAAGGAGCCUUUGUAAAAGGUGUUGAUUCUAUCUCAUGGAUGGCAAAUCACUCAGCGAAGCUUUUGAGUUGUCGAAGUGACGGUCCUCAUUGUUGGACCUUCUUCAGCACUGCAGCUUAUGGAAAACGAAACUAUGUUCUACGGAUCAGUUUGUACAUAAAUGUGUGUCUUGUUUAAAAUACUUGUUUAAUUUUUUAAACAAUUGCCUAGACCUCUUGUUGAAUCCAUUCAUACUUCAGCUUGAAAUCCUAAGCUAUUUAAACAAGGCUGUAAUGACUUCAGUAAUUUUUUUAUUUUUUUUAUUUUUUUUUGUGGUGCAUAUUUGCAAAUUUUCCAUUUUAUAAUGAAUCAAUAUGACAUUUCAAUUUUACAGCAUACUUGGUGCAAUGCCGAUAUGUAUAUGUUGCUAAUCAGGCUUUCUGUGAGAUUUGUCGUUUUUAAUCAUUUAUUAGGAAAAUACCCCAACUGCAACUACUGAGAAGGUGGAAACACGUAUGGUCAAGGAUGUGGAAGCUGCGUUCUGCCUACCGAAAGGUUCACUUCAAAAACCCGUUUAUACUCAAGUCCAAUUAUGGAAAGACCUCACUUUUAUGGACAUUACCUUGUAAUUUACCUAUUUCCAUGUCCCAUUUGGAUCCCUGUGUGGGGCUGUAACUAUUUGCUGUUGGUGUUGCUUUGGAAUGAGUGGCUGAUUUGAACAAGCUUAGCAAGUUAAUGUGUGGACUUCUGGCUAGUCCUUGUCUGAUUUUCUUGUUAUGCUCGUUUAAAAAAUGAGCUUGAACAUUUACUAUUUAAAAUAACUUGAGAAUUUCAUAAUUAUUUAAGAAAAUUCCGGGCUAGGGGUGCACCUCUUCCGACUAAUGCUCCAAGUAUUCCACGUAUCUUUGAUCCUCGCGGAAGCGCUGGUAUGUGUGGCAAUUGGCUGUUAGGUUCAAGUUUAGGGUCAGCUGCCUUAAGUCAUGUCAUGGCUCUUGCUGAUCAUGUAAGCAAGAAUAUGAAUUUCUUUUGCUUAUUUGUUAGCGCAUAGCAAUAUAUAUUCCAUGAUUGAUAAUUAAUAUCAAAUUAUAAAAAAAAAAAUCUGUAACACAACCUUUAUAUCCUUAUAUGUGGACAUCUAAAUCUAGAUCAGUAUAUUGGCUUCAAUGCAGUUUGAAAUAUCAAAGAAAUUUCAAAAAUAAGCUUGAAGCUGGAUUAUUCAUAUAUAAAUAAUGCAAUUGGUUUAUCACUGCAUAUUAUUUAGGAAGUGGUAGAGUUUGCUGUCGGUUUACGCAAUGAGUUUCAGCCACUUGAAGGACAUGAUAUUGGACAAUUUCCGGGUUUAGGUCCAUGGAAAAAGAGGAAUUUGAAGCAUGUCACCUUACCAUUUGAAUCCCUAAGAAGGCCAUGAAAAUUUCUAGAGUGCUAAGGUAUGAUCCUAUCGACACACUCUUUAUGGAUUUACGUUUUCCUCUUGGGUUACUCGUAUAUUAAUUCUCUUGCUUUUAUAGCUAGGAUUAUUAGAUUGUAGUCAUUGAUGAGAGUACAUGCCUGUUUGUUAUUAUGCUUUCAAAAUUAUGUUGAAGCAUAGUGGUUAGAAAUGCACCCUAAGUACCUGCAAACCAUGCCACCAAAAUAGAACUCAACUCCAGUUGUUUAAACUUGUGAAAAACUUGAAGUUUGUGUUUCAAAAUUCAGUGCUGAGUUAUUCAACCACAUCCAUGUAAUCACUAUUACAAUUGUAACUGUUAUUUUCCUUUUAACACGGUGCCUUGCUAUGUCAGGGGAAUCAUGGCUUGGGGGAUGAAUGGGAACCAGAAUGAUUGGUCCUCAAUCUCUGGUAUUUGAUCAUGCUGCUCAAGUUUUUGCCGUUAAUGAUCCUCUGUUUGGUCAGUUGGUUGAUCAUUGGUUGGAGCGAGGUCUGAGGCAACGGUGCGAAGGCGUGAUUGGUGCGCUUGAAGUGGAUCUGGUCAAUUCACUCCAUUUUCCGUAUUCACUUCCAAGCUACAUAAGUGUUGAUGGGAUGCGACUUUUCGCUGCUGACUCUUUUUUACUGGCCCAGGUAACAAAUCUUUGUUGUGCUUUUGUGUUAGUUCUUUUGUUGAUUCUAUUAUGGUUUUUAUUUUGAAGUUUACCGAAAGCAGUGUUGCAACUUGGAUCGAUCCUCCCAAGUACAGUACUAUGUUACGGAUUCAAAGUCCCAAACUCAUCUCAAUUUUGAGGUUCAACCCCAUAAGGAAGAUAAGAAUAUAUGAAACUAGAAGCUAAAAUUAAUUCCAUGGUCGCAUGAUUUCAAUUGCAUAGGCUCCAUGAGUGGACUUAGAAUGAAAUGGCGGCGAUAAUGGUUUUGUACCCCUGUUUCAUGACUACAAUUCCAGCAUUAUAAGGCAAAAAAUGAACUUAAAUUCAAAAGUAAUAAUAUUCUAGAAACUAAUAUAAUAAAAGUCCAUGGCUCGCACUGGUGGAAGUGUUGGCUGGUGCUUGCAAAUGAUAGCGAACUUGGCAGGUCCUGUGAGUUCUAUCUAUAAAUUAAAAAAUAUUAUUUUUAAAAUAAAAACUUUUAUUUGCGCACGACUUAAGUUUCCCCCGAUCAAAGGUAGCAUUUUUCGUUUUCAUACUCUUUGUAGACGUCGCAAAAUUUUCCAUGUCUGUUUGUUGAAUUAACUGUUCAUAGCAAGAAAGGGAGGAGCAUGUAUGACUUUCUAGAAGGAAAUAUUAUUGGAUAAGCAGAAGCAAACUUCCGAGUAUACCGAUCAGGUUGCCUUUCUAUGCAAAUGGACUGUAAGUUGAUUAAGUUGAGGGGAAAAUUGUUAGACCCAGUUGCCUUCAAUUUUUUUUUUGGACGGUUUGAACAUAAGCUUCAAGAGAUUUCUAAUCAACAUUUCACACUAUUUAAUUUAACCUCCCUUCUUCCAGCUGCUACAAAAGGACAUUGACGUUCUUUGCUUGCUUUCCCCUGACGUUUUCUAACAUGCCAAAUGACCCAUCUCCAUGUGCGCCUUUUUCUCGACACAGAUUUUCAAUAUUGUGGAUCCACCUAUAAUCCAGCGGCUGUAUCUCACACACAGGAUACAGCCGCCUUUUAUUAUUUUUUUAAUUGAUUUUAUAAACGGAGACUGGUUACCGCUUGUUAUUAGUUUAUUAAUAUUAAUUUAAAGGUGGGGCAGGUAGGGCAUAUGAGAGCCCAAAUAUACUUGUUAACUCUUACCUUCCAAAUGAUUUAACUUGGGACGUAUACCAUAUUUUUAUAAAUGAUUACAUAUAUAUCUUUUUGGACAAUUAUGCCCCAUGACUAUGGUGACAUAAAUUCACAAUGUAAUUAUCUAUAUAACAAAGAUAAAUAUUAUUUUUAUUAAUAUGCAUAGCGACAACUUAAUUUCUCCUUACCCAUGUGAGUAGGGUUCCAACUCUUAACCAAGUGGCACCCACAACAAUAAUUACAAUUUGAAUACAACAUUAACUACAUAAUGUUGUAUUUAUUAUAUUUAUGGUUAUAUAUUUUAAGCAUGACAUUGUUACAAAUUUUUAGAUAAUAAAAUCAAGUGUCAUUGAAAUAUAGCAAUUAAAAUUAAGUAGCAUUUAGGGUUUUUUUUUUUACUUAAUGACUUAAUUUCAAUCAUUUAAGUCAUUAAGUUUGUUUGUUUUUCAACUUAAUUAAGAUUGUCAAUAAUUAAAUUAUUAAGUUAUUAAGCCAAUUUUUUAGCUUUUUAAUUAAUCUAAAAACUCUGAAUGAUAUCAUUAAAAGAUAUUCUCCAAAAUAUCCUUAUCUAAUUAAUUAAUUUUCAUUCUUACCUAAAUAAAAUUUAAUAAUUAGUGCUAUUACCUAUAUCUAUAACUUGUGAUAAUAUAGUAGUAGACUAUUAUUAUUAUUAUUUUUUAUUUUCUUCAAGUUAGCAUUAUUUAUUUUCACAAUUUUUUAUGUAUGUUUUUUUAUAUAAAAGCAUCAUAAACUACAAUAAAAUUUAUUAACAUAUACUAACUUAGAAAAUAAGGGGUUGUAUUCAAAUGAACAUGAUUUUUAUAUGACGACAAUAUAUUAUCUUAUUUAAGUUUUUUGAGAUGUUUAUUAUUUGUUUAACACUUAUAAUUUAUAAGGGUAAAAAUGUAAAAAUACUAGCUUUUAGAAUUUCUUAAGUUAAAAAAACAACUUAAUAUUAUUUUUAGCAAUUCAGAUAUAAAAAAAUUCAUUCAGAUUUAAAUAUUCAGUUUUAUUCAAAAUUCAGACUGAUUCAGGUCUGUUCAGAUUUCAGACAAAAGAACAAAUUACACAUUUUAGUAGGGGUGUUUGCUUAUCAAAUUUUGCAAAUUGCACAUUAAUCUAUAUCUAAUCCACGAUUUUAAAGAUUACAAAUUUUUAAUACAAUCCAAUCCAUAGAUUUUUGAAAUUCAAUCGAAAUUCAAUGCGAAAUUGGACUGAAAAUGAAGAAAUUAGAGAAUAAAUGGGCGAAAGCCGUUGUGGCGCAUGGUGUACUGUACUUUUCAGCGUUCGUUGACUUUGAGCCACGCGUCCAUAUUUGAUUGCUGGACGGUGGACUUACUGUAGGCAUGCGCAUAUUGGAUCAUCAAAAAUUCACAGAUCACCACUCCUGCUCGCGCUGUGGUGUGAUUACACCCUCGAAGUAGUAACCGUUCGAUUGACAUACUUUUACCAUGGAGGGUUGAGAUUUCGCCACGCCACCAUGCAGGGUAUAAACUCACUAUAUUCGGUCAUACACGUCCAACCAUUCUUGUCUUAUUAGGAAGCAAUCUUGAUCGUUCAUUGUAUUGAUCCUAUGUUCCACAUUUAGCCACGUUUCCCCUUUGACUCAGCCAACGUCGUUGACCACAUCUGAACUGUUGGAUUGUGCAUCAACUUUUCCUGAACGCAUGCUCACCAUGAUUAUUACAGUCACUGGAUUAAAAUGGAAAUUUUGCCUCAGGAUUGAAUUGAAAAGGUCGUGUGAUUUGGCCGAAUUAAUAGAAUUUCUUCACUUUGCAGUCCUUUUUUUUUCUCCCCAAUUUCUUGCUUUUGUAUGUAACUUUGGUAAAUUAAUUAACAAAAUAUGUGCUUUAUUUUCCACCAUAUGUGGUUAAUUUUAUCAAGCAAAGGGUGAAGUGAAGGUGUGAAGCUCUUCGUAUAAAGAUAGGAUUUAAUUAGGUUUUAAUUUUCUUUAAUCGGGGAAAAAGACUUUAGAUUUCCAGUACUCCCAUAUAUUUAAAGCAUAGUCGCAUAAAUUUAAAUAAUUAAAUCUUCCAACUGAUCUUAAGAGGUUCUCACCGCAUACUUUUAUUUAUUAUAUAUGAUCUAAUUAAAUUAGUACUUUUAGUUCCACUAACUAUUGAGAUUAAAUUUUCAUUUGUUAUAUAUUUAAUAAUUUACCAUUAAAAUUAGCCAUUUAAAAACUUAUUUGCAUUAUUGAUUGUAUUAAAUUUAAUAAUCAUUAAUAUUAGCCAUCUUCUCCAUCUUUCUUCUUUCUUAAUCUUGAUUAAAUACUAACUUGGGCGUCGAAGUGCCUUUUUCAGGUGCUCACCCCUCUGGACUCGAGGCUAACGAUUGUGACAAACUCUCCACAAAUUACAAAUACUUGUGAAGGUAAAUUCCAACCCUUUCAAAUAUAAUUAUUAUAAUUAAUUAGUUCAAAUAUUAUUAAUUAAUUAAUAAUUAAUAUAAUUGUUAUUGUUAAUUAAUAUAUUAAUAUAUUAUUAACAAUAAUAUAUUAAUAAUUAUAGUUUUUUAAUAAAUAAUCACUAUAAUUAAAAUAUAAAAUAAUAAUUAUGACAAUAAUUCAUUAAAUACUUUUUAGUAAUUUGUUAUAAUGUAACUCACUCCAAUUCUGAUUCCAAGAUAAAAUAAACAUAUCAAUGGGAUUUCAGCCCAUUUCGAUUAUGAUUCCUAUAGGUCAAAUAAACAACUUAUUGUAAAUCUCAUUCUCCGUUCUCAUUUCAACUCAUUUCGAUUCCUAUCAAUUCUGAUUACUCACAAGUAAACGCAGCAUAAUAUAUGUCGACUUCGACUCAAAUCUCGAAUGACGCCCAUCCAAUAGUUUGUGCAGCUGUCCUUAAAAUUGAAAACAGACAUUUUUGCUUUUCAUUCAACACAACUUAAAAAAAUAAACAAAUAAAAGACACAACAUUUAGACUAGGAAUGUAAAUAAAUGUAUUGCUGAAUUUAAGAAAAUGAAGCUGGUGGAGUACACACCCGAAUUAAUGUUACUCUAUAUAUACACAGACACAUACAAACACCAAAGUAUAUAACAGUAAAAUAAAUGACAAAUCGUAUAAAUCAUUAUAAAUGAAAUAUCAGCCUUUUGCAGUGUUUAUUUGUUACAGAAAGCAAUCUUUCGAAUAUUCAAUAUAGUUUGAAAAAAAAAAAUCCCUUUCUAUGCAAUUACACUUUUAACAAUCCCGCGAUCCUUUUCAAAAAAAAAGAAAAAAGAAAAAAAAUCGAUCGCCAUUCGUAGAUUUUGAGUAGAUUUUGUGCGUCCUUUGAUGAUAACGUGUUUUGACUUGCGUUCGUGUUAAUUUCCUGGAUCUGUUUAUUAAAUAUUCGAAUGAGUUUGAUCACUACCUCUGUAGAGAAAAUUCCACGUAAUUUUAGUCCCCAAUGAUCUCAAUUUAUUUAAUAAAUGCGUCAAGGUAACUCCAGAGUAGUACGUGUACACCUCAAUUAGAAAAAUAGAGUUCAAUGUCGACUUGUAAAAUAUAGUUAAAUUGGGGACACGUGGAGAUAAUUCUGUGAGUAUGAACCUUAAUAUAUGUCGGCAUUGCAUGCGUAAGCGCUCGCUUUAUAAGACAACCCUCGAUCGCCUAUACACACCCAAUGCUCCAUUCUUGAUCAUCUCCAACGAGUUCAAUCGAUUCCCUUCCCUUCAUUGCACUCCUCACUCUUCAUUAAUUCGGGUGGAAGUAAAAUAGUAAACGAAAUAUCGUAAAAUAUUAAACGAAAUAUCGUAGAACCCGAGAGAGACUCCGCACCAUUGUCUUGAGUGACGUCAGUAGUUACCCCAUUAAUUACUACUACACAACACUCUCCCAUUCGAGCUCACCAAAAUCCAAGAAUCUUGCAUUCAAUCAUCAAAAAAAUGGGCCUCGGAUAUAACCCAUAUCACUGCUCUGUUUUCUGGGAUGAGGAUGAAAACGUCGUUCACUUCAAGCACCCUCUUCCAUCAGGGACGAAGAAAGAGGAUGUGAAGGUUGAGAUUGAUGAAGAUGGGAAAUUGCUUAUAAAAAUAAGCAAGGGGGUAAGUUCACAUAGUGAUCUUCUCUCUUCGGUUUCUUCCUCGCUGAUCAGUUUCGGAUCCUCUUUCCUAAGCUUCCCGAAGAAAAACGAAGGAGAAACCGCCAGCCCGAUAAUCUCGAUGAAAUUCAACUUGCCAGCGGGUCUUGACCCGAAUGACUCCAAUACUGCAAUCGACGACGAGGGGUUGCUAACUCUCACUUUUAAAAAGCUCGUUCCCAUUCAUUGUGAAACGCCCUUCGCCCUCGAAAACGUCCCCGAAAAGUGGGAGAAUGCUAAAGUGAACCACAAGGACGUCGUUCGCUUCAAGGCCUAUCUUGGAGCGGGGACGAAAAGAGAGGAUAUGAUGGUUGGCAUAGGAGGUUGCAAUUCCCUGAUGAUAGGCAUUCAUGAUCUGUGGAAGAAAGAGGAAGGGGCCACCAGUACUCUCAUGUGGUUGAAUGACAACAACUUCAGGAGCUUCAGUUUGCCAGUUGGUGUCAACCCGAAUAGCCUCGAGACUGCAGUGGAUGAUGCCGGCGUUCUAACUGUUACCGUCACUAAACUGAAGCCAGAGAAAAAAAAGCUGAUGUCAAUAGCAAAAAAGAUGCUAGUUUGUUUGGCUCAAGCUGUGCCUACUUGUUUGGUGAUCGGUUACAAGAUAGAUGAUGCGAUGAGUUCAGGAGACUACUAAUAAGCUAGUGUCAAGUAAGGUAUUUGCUUCAUGUGCAUGUAUGUCGUCCUGUCUUUUUAUAUUCGUGUUUGAAAAAAAACUAUGUACCCUAGACCGGGGGUUCUAAAUCACUAUGUUGUAUUGUGUCCGCCUCUUUGAGUAACCGAAAAAAAAAUGAUAAAUAUUGGGUGAAAAAAAAAAAAUUGUGUUGGUUAAAACUUAAGGUGCAACUUAAAAUUCUCUCAAUUAGCGGCCACUCUCCUUUCAAUUUUUGGCAGUCGGUAUAGCCUAACCGGCCAUUAAUAUUUGUAUAGGCCACGUUAAUAUUUAACUUAUUUAUACAAACAUCUUAUCAAGGUACAAAUGAACCUAAUUAAAUUCAAAGAUAGCAAUUCAAAAGUAAUAAUAUUGCAGCAACUAAUGGUGGAAGUGUUGUGUUAAAAUUUGAGAAAAAAUUAUCAAAGAAAGAUCCAAGAACGAAUCAAGAACCGAGAAGGAAAAACACUAAAAACAAAGGCACUCAAAAAUUUCAAACUCACCUUUCAGCAGAUUCUUCAAUUUAUCUACCUCAGUUUUGUAUUUGCUUGCAAUUAGCAUAUCAUCCACAUAAAGAAGCAAGUAUAUAGCUCCACCUUGAUCUGAGCCACCAAAGUAAACACAACUAUCAUACUUGCUCCUGCAAUAACCAUUAGUCAUCAUGAACUCAUCAAAUCUCCUAUAUCACUGUUUAGGAGAUUGUUUGAGUCCAUACAAUAACUUUUUGAAUAACCGAACAAAAAAAUGAUAAAUAUUGGGUAAAAAAAAAUUGUGUUUGUUAAAACUUAAGCUGCAAUUUAAAAUUCUCUCAAUUAGCCGCCACACUCCUUUCAAUUUUUGGCAGUCGGUAUGGCCUAACCAGCCAUUAAUAUUUGUAUAGGCCAUGUUAAUAUUUAGCUUAUUUAUACAAACAUCUUAUCAAGGUACAAAUGAACUUAAUUAAAUUCAAAGAUGGCAAUUCAAAAUCAAUAAUCUUACAGCAACUAAUGGUGGAAGUGUUGUGUUGAAAUUUGAGAACAAAUUAUCACAGAAAGAUCCAAGAGCGAAUCAAGAACCGAGAAGGAAAAACACUAAAAACGGAGGCACUCAAAAAUUUCAAACUCAUCUUUAAGCAAAUUCUUCAAUUUAUCUACCUCGGUUUUGUAUUUACUUGCAAUCAGCAUAUCAUCCACAUAAAGAAGCAAGUAUACAACUCCACUUUGAUCUAAGCCACCAAGGUAAACACAACUAUCAUACUUGCUCCUACGAUAACCAUUAGUCAUCAUGAACUCAUCAAAUCUCCUAUACCACUGUUUAGGAGAUUGAUUGAGUCCAUACAAUGACUCUUUGAGUAACCGAAUAAAAAAUGAUAAAUAUUGGGUGAAAAAAAAAGUUGGGUUUGUUAAAACUUAAGCUGCAACUUAAAAUUCUCUCAAUUAGCCCCCACGCUCCUUUCAAUUUUUGGCAGUCGGUAUGGCCUAACCGGCCAUUAAUAUUUGUAUAGGCCACGUUAAUAUUUAGCUUAUUUAUACAAACAUCUUAUCAAGGCACAAAUGAACUUAAUUAAAUUCAAAGAUGCAAUUCAAAAGCAAUAAUAUUGCAGCAAUUAAUGGUGGAAGCGUUGUGUUGAAAUUUGAGAACAAAUUAUCAAAGAAAGAUCCAAGAACAAAUCAAGAACCGAGAAGGAAAAGCACUAAAAGCAGAGGCACUCAAAAACUAACAAACUGAUCGAAAUGACACUGUUAGAAGGAAAAACUCACAAGAUUUUAUUGCUCAAACUAAUUACAUCCUGACCACAUAUUAUAAAGGAUAUUACAAGCUUUUAAUCAAAGCAAGAAUUACAGAAUUUGGUUAAGAAACGAAAGAGAAAUCACAUGCACACAGGAGGCUUUUCAACAGCCCCCUUUAUGCUGAGAUUUCUAGAAAAUUUCCGGAAAUGCUACUAACGAUGACAACAGAAUUUGCCACAUCAGCAAAUUAUUUUCAUAUCGACCCCUAAACUGAAUGAAAACCUCACUAUAGCCCAAUAACUCUAUUUGGAUUACAAUUAAGUCCCCAAAUCCACAACUCAAUUCUUUACAUGUUGGCUGGUGCUUCCAAAAGACAGCGAUCCAGUUGCCGUCCUCAUUUCAAAAUUUGGCGCUUGGCAAGUCCAGUGAGUUCUGCAGCAGGAUCUAUAAAUUAAAUAAUAUAGUUUUAUUUAUUUUUAGAAUAAUUAAAAACUUUUAUUUGCGCACCAGUAAAGUUUUUCUCCAAUUAAAAGAUAGGCUCCUUUCCCGCCUUCCUGGUAAAUCCUUUUGGGAUUUACGUACCCUUUGUAGACGUGACAAAUAGCAAGAGGAGGAAGAGAAGCCAUGUUUGACUUUUUAGAAGGAAUAAUAGUGGAAUAACUAGAAGCGAACUUUCAGAUAUAGCCGAUUAAGAUGCCUUUCUGUGCCGUGCACAUGUGCUGUAAGAUGAUAAGUAGAGGGGAAAAUUUGAAACAUCCAGGAAGAAAAAACACUAACUUGACUGAAAAAAAUUCUGAUUUUAUUGAUAACUUUUUCUUAUCUCCUUACAGUAGCCAAAAUGCUCUUCAAAAGCAAGAGUCAAAGAGUCCAAUACUGAGUAAACCACAAUUCACGGAAGGAUCACUCCAAAGAAAACUAAAUAAUGAAAACAACAAUUCAAAAUACCUAAAGAAUAGCUAAUCAAAAUAAUCCCAAAUAAAUUAUUGCCAAAAAUAAAAUGGUCGUUACAUUCCCUGCCGCUUCAGAAAAGCCUUGACCUCAAGGCUUGAACAAAGGAAACUUCUCCUGAAUCUUAAACGCAUCCUCCCAAGUUGCAUCUCCAAGAAAGGAGUUAGACCAAUUAACCAACCACUGCACUAACAUAUGAUUGUUUCGCUUGACUACUCUCCUGUCCAAAACAAAAUUAGGCAUUAACUGUAGGUGCCCGUCUUCCUGCAUUGUUGGUAACUCUGUAAUUAGAGUGAUUGCAUCUCCAACUUUCUUCUUUAAACACUACACAUAAAAAAGAGGAUGAAUUUUGGACUCUAUAGGCAGCUCUAACUUAUAGGCAACCUGUCCAAUCUUUUUUAUAGCCAUAUAAGGCCCAUAGAAUCUUGGAUACAACUUCCUAUUGUUGUGCAUUGACAAACUUACUUGUUUAUAAGACUGCAACCGUAAAAAUACCAUAUCACCCGCCUCAAAUUCCCUCUUGGAUUUCUUCUUAUCAGCAUAUAGUUUCAUUCGAGCUUGAGCAUCCACCAAAUUGGCUUUCAACAGAGUAUUAUAGCAUCCCUGUCCUUAAGCUCAAAUCAACAGCUGCCACAGUAAACUUACCAGGAAUAUAAGCAAUAUGCAAAGGAGGUUGCCUACCAUAAACAACUUCAAACGGCAUCAUUCGAGUUGAUAAAUGAUAAAAAGUAUUAUACUACCAUUUAGCCAAAGGAAGUUAUUUUAACCAUUCUUUCGGCCUAUCACAUGUCAUGCAUUGCAAGUAUUGUUCUAAGCACUUGUUAACCACUUCAGUCUGACCGUCUGUUUGAGGGUGCUAUGCAGUGCUCAUCAACAAGUUCAUAUUCAAAAAGGAAAAUAGAUUUUUCCAAAGAGCACUAGUGAAAACUUUAUCGGUUACUAAUGAUAGAAUUUGGCAAGCCAUGCAACCUAUACGAAUUAUCUAUAAAAAGUUGUGCAACAUCAAGAGCAGUAUAUGGAUGACUUAAGGGCAUGAAGUGUGCAUACUUCUCAGCCUAUCCACCACCACAAAAAUAACUUGCUUACCACCAGACUUUGGCAAUCCUUCUAUGAAAUCCAUUGGUAUAUCAGUCCAAUUGUGCUCAGGAAUUGGUAGGGCCUGCAACAAACCAGGACAUAACACAUUUUCAUGUUUAUUGCGUUGGAAAAUGUCACAAGCUACCACAAAAGAACAAAUUUCCCGUCGCAUUUUCUUCCAAUAAAAGCAUUGUGAUCUUGUUCGCAAUGAUCAAUAAAAGCUUGAAAAAUCUUCUUGAUGGGAAUUCAAAAGCUUCUUCCAAUAAAAGCUUAAAAAAGCAAUCUGUAUGCGGUGAAGUCUAUGGAAAUUCAAAAGCAUUGUGGUCUUGUUCGCAAUGAUCAAUGUUGUACAAAUUAUGGAUUUCAAGCUGUUGCUAGUCUUUGAUAUUCUGCAAUCUCUGUCAGCCACACUCACCCCUGACAGCUAUCACAAUUUGAUAACAAGAAGCUUCUUGAUGAAGAAGAUAGCUGGUCCGUUGCUUCUUCGUAUCCUUUGUUUCAUAUUACAUGCUUCUUAUUUAAGUGUGCUUUUAACUAUAUUGUUUCGUAUAAGUUGGCUUUGAUUAUCCUGAGCUAUACAUAGAACGGCAGCAUCUGUACGGAAGGUAACUGUUGGAACAGCUCCAAGUUUUAGAUGCUCUGAACGUGCUGAGAAACGGAAGAAGGUAUUUUCUUUGUUAUCAAAUAGUUAAAUGUAAAAUUUAUUUGCAACUGUGUUAUCUAAAUAAUGUUUCUGUAUCUUUAUUGUCAUUUCCAUCUUCCGGUUUUACACGAAUCUAGAGCAAAAACAGCUUUAGAGGGAUAGAGGAGCCAGUGUGAAGCAAGACUGAAGGUGCAUUUUCUUAAGUGCCAGUGUGAAGCAAGACUGAAGGCGCACACGAGUUCAACUAAAUCGGUCUUGGAUUUGCACCCCCCUGCGCACGCGCGUGUGGAGAGAGCCUCUAUCCUUAUAAUUAUUACUCAUGCAUAGUUAAGUGUUUAUAUAUAAACACUAAUCCCUAGGCUUCUUUUUCCCAUGUGGGAUAAGCCUCAUUUCCUUUCAAAUUUCCAACUUCAAGAGUGAACUUUGAGAGACAAUUUCUCAUUCACCCAAGCACCAUUUUGAGAAAAUAAGAUUAUACUUUUGAAGUAUCAACGGAGUAGAAUCCGAACCUUACAAGAUUUUCCACUUUCGUUAAGUGGGAUCCACUCAAAAUGUGCCCUCAAAAUAGCAUGUAUACAUGCUAUUUUUCAACAGAGGUUAAGUAUAACAUUAUUUUUUUUAAUUUAGAGGGUUUAUAACACAUAUUAGUUGGGACCCAAAUUAGGAUUUAGAUGUUGGAAUAUCUUGUAUUGCUCAUUUACAUUUACACUUCCUUUAUAUGGCUAUUGUGUAUAAAAAGGAAUACAGAGAGAGAGAGAGAGAAGGAGUACGAAUAAUAACUAAGUUACAAAAAGUCAAAAAUAAUAAUAAAACUGUGGUAAUAUAUCCACGAUCAAGUACAAAAUAAAAAAAAAAAAGAUAAGAUAAUUAAAGCACUAAAAUAUGUACUUAAAAAAUGGGAAAAAUGUUGUGUGAAAGAAAAAAAAAACAUAUGUUACAUGAAAGACAAAUUUAAAAAAUUUAAUGAUGAGAAAAAACAAUCACAUUUGAAAUUGCAAAAAAAAUUGUAAUUUUUUUGUAAUCUUUUUAUUAUUAACUUACAAAUUCAUUGAAACUCGAAAUUAAAAUCUGAAAAGAGCAUCACUGUCCACUGAAAGACUUUUUAAAUGAGAUUUUAUAUCUCAUUUGAAGAGUCACAUAAAAAAAAAAAAAUUCAAAGGACUCUUCAAAUGAGAUUAUUUAAAUAAGAUUGUCAUUCUCUUUUUUUUAAUAUUAAAGAGAUAGAACCAUUAUCUCAUUUGAAAAAUCUUAUUUCAAAGUCUUUUAGAGCGUCUAAUAUAGUAUUAAAUUAUUUUUUAUCUCAUUAUUCUUCAAGAGAGAGAAGUGUUAUUAUAAUUGCUACUAUUUUUGUAAAGGAACAAGUUUGAUUAAAAUAAAAUAGAUUUAUUUUUAUUUAAAGAGUCUUUUGGGAUAUGUAUUAUUUUUCCACUAUUCUAAUUGCCAAAUAAGUAAGUAAAUAAGUAUUUGAAAAGUAAAAUUAAAAAUUUCUUUUAGUGAUGCUCUAAGAAAACCGCUCCUUAGAUGGACCUAGUCCUUGGUGUAAAAAAAAAUUGCACAAAAAAAAAGUGUAAAAUGCUCAAAAUAAAAAAAAAAAAUCUGCACUUCUAGUUAAAAAUAAUAAUAAUAAUAAUAAAAUACUGAAUUUUAUGCUUAUCCGAAAAUAAAAAAUUAUAGAUCUAGUAACCUUCAAUUUUUUUGGACGGUUUGAACCAAAGCUUCCAGAGAUUUCUUCUCAACAAGUGCAUUUGUGUGUUCACGCGAUUUCAUUUAUGGGCGGUGAUAUUUCAACCCCAAAAAUUUUAUAAACACACCCCAUUCUCAAAAACUUUUUACAAUAAGUUCACAUUAUUUUUUAAAAAUUCAAAUUAUAAAGAAAUUUUAAAAAUUAAUCAAUUAAAUCCAUAUAAUUUAUUUUUUGGAUAUGUUUUAUUAUAUUUGAUCAAUAAGGUUGUUUUAACAUAAAGUAAUAUGACUAUUUUAAUGAUGUAUAAGUAAUAACUUAUUUGAUAUUCAUUUACUUUUUUUGAGACUAUUUUUUUAAUUAUAUUUGAUCAAUAAAGUUUUUUUUUUAAAGGAGGAUCAAUAAAGUUGCUUUAACAUGAAUUAGUAUGAUUAUUUUACCCUCAUAAGAUAAAAAUACCAAAAUAUCUAAAAAUUUACGUCAACUUUAAUAAUGUUUUGUACAAUUUUAUACUAUUCUAAUGAUGUAUAAGCAUCAAUUUAUUAGUAUGAUUAUUAAUACUCUACUAAACUAAUAUGAUAUAAUUAGUACAUGUGGAGAAUUGAAAAUUAUUAAAUUUCAUAUAAAACAUAUUACAUAAUAAAAAUAUAAAACUAAAUGCCUAAACAACUAGUUACAAUAAUAUAUAUUUUUCUUAGAGUAAUUUGGUUAUUUAGACUAUAAGGUUAAAAAAGUCAAAUUAAAAUUAUCUUGAAGCAACCUUAAAUAGUUAAAGAUUGAUAAAAUAAGUCAGGAAAAUAAUUAUAAAUAGGAGUGUUCGCGGAUCGGAUUUUACAGAUUGGACAUCAAUCCAUAUCCGAUCCACGAUUUUGUGGAUUAUAAAAUUUUAAUCCAAUCCAAUCCACGGAUUGGUGAAAUUCAACCCAAAUCCAAUCUAUAUGUCUGCGGAUCGGAUGCGGAUAUGACCAAAUCCAUAUCCAAUCCACCAUUUUGCGGGAUAAAAAUUUUUAAUUUUGUAGUAUCAACAAACUAACUAAAUAAAAAAUUAAUAUAAAAAUAAUUUUACUACCGAUCAAAUUCAAAAUUAAAUAAGAUUUACAUAAAUUAAUUGUUUAAAUAAAGAUAAAAAAUACAUUCAAAAUUUCAAAAGGUAACACACAAAAAAAAAAAAAUCUCAUUUGUUUAGAUCAUUACAUAAAAAUUAACUGUUUAGGAAGUCAUAUUUAUUUAUUUAAUUAUUUUUUAUUCCAUAUUAUUAUCGGAUAUAAUAUAAUAUAAUAUUAAUGUAACUAUAUUUUAACUUGUUUAUUUAUUAGUAAGUACUAAUGCCAUUUUUACAAUUUAAUUUUUUCAUUAAAUAAUUUUUUUUUUUUUUGCAAAUUCGUGGAUUUUUGCGGAUUUACUAUAGUCAAUCCACUGACUGCUGAUUUUUAAAUUUUCAAUCCAAUACAAUCCACCAAUCCACGAAUCGAUUUUUACGGAUUAGACAGAUUGAGCAGAUCGGAUUGGAUUCUGAACACCCCUAAUUAUAAGAACGAUUUAAUUAAUUAAUUCUUCAAACUUAUUACUAAUUUAUAAUUUUAUAAAGUAAUUUGAACUUAUUGUAAUUAUUUUAUGGAGGUGGGGUGGGUUUAUAAAAAGGAUCCCUCUAAGUUACAUGCAUGUACCUUACAACCCUCUCACAUGAAUAGUGAGUGAGAUACUAUUCAUGUGAGAGGGUUGUCUGCUGUNNNNNNNNNNNNNNNNNNNNNNNNNNNNNNNNNNNNNNNNNNNNNNNNNNNNNNNNNNNNNNNNNNNNNNNNNNNNUACAUGCAUGUAACUUAGCAUUAGCCUUAUAAAAAUAGUGAGGUGGAAUUAUUCACAGCCUUAAUUUAAUCCCCCACCUACCAGCUGCUAGUUUUUCUCCAUGACACAUCACAUUACACGCAUUGUGUUUGCAAUUUCGAAGUUUAAUUUAUGGAGGGUUUCCUUUCUUUAGUGAAGAGAAUCGAGUCAUCAUCAGUUAUAAAUGAUCCAAACGACCUAAUUGAUUCCGUUAUCUUCAAAGUCGCACCUCAUUCACACCCAUAUAUUCCUACUGAGAAUUAAUUCUAUGUAAUUUUAGUCUCUAAUGAUCUCAAUCUAUUUAAUGAAUGUGUAAAAGUAACUGUAAGGUACAACUCAAUUAGAAAAAUAGGGUUCAAUUGGGAACAAAGUUGAAAAUAGGGGGUUAAUAAAGAAAAUUUAUGUGACGGCCUUGACACGCGCAGAGACCAAUUUUGUAAAGUGCAAAGCUCGAUACGUGCCGAUAUAGCUGCUGGUUGCAGCCAUUCUUCAUUCUUAAGGAAUAAUUUUGUAACACUUUACUUUUUUUCAUUUACAUGAAAAUAUCUAAAAAUUAGAUAUAAGUUGUAAAAAAUAAACAUGUUAAUUUAAAAAAUAUAUUUAAAAUUAAUAAAUUUUUAAACUUCAAAUAUUUAACAAACAAACUCUUACAUUAAUUAUUACGAUUUGCGCCUAAUUCCUUGUCUAAAUUAUUUUAAUUACCUAAUUAAUAGUUGUUUGAUAUGAUUCAAGUGGGAAUAGGCUCUACAUGCGAUGAUGUCACUAAGAAGCUAAGAUGACAUAGGCCGGGCAACGUCAUUCGCAUUACGUCAUUUCAGUCGAAUAUAUAAUAAAAAAAGACUUCAUUUGCGUGGCUGGUUAUGUGUCACUGUCGUGCUUUCUAUAAUUAACUCCGUUGAAGGGUCUAAAAAAUUAACUAGAUGCGGAAAGAAAUUAGAUACGGGAAACCCCAUUAAUAAUUAGGCCCCACAUGUCCACAUGUAAUACAACGCUGCAUCACAUACGGGAUUUGAAUUUUUUAUUUAAAUUUUAUAAACCGUUGGAUUUCUGAUGAGGCCAUCCGACGGUUGAGAUGUUUUGUCAUUAAAUCUGGCAACCGAAACCACUGGUGAACAAUUGGUGGAUGGCAAAUUCAACGGUAAUUAUCAUUAGCUGCUGCUUGUACUUCAUAUAAAUUGAAAAUAUAGCUAUUGAUAUUAGAAAAUUAUCAAAAGCCCCCUCAAUUUAACAUGAAUAAUGUUAAAUUGGAAACGUUAUUUUUUUUUUAAAUUAAGAAACUUUAAAGUUACUCGUCAAAUUAUAUUAAUAUUAAUUUUUUAUACAAACAUAAAGCAUCAUCAUAUGGAAUAUUAAUUUGAUAUUUUGAGUAAUAUGCAUGCAACUUAUUAUGCAAAUUAUCUCAUACAAAUUAAAGUAAUGUUAAAAAUUAUUUCCUAUAGCCUUGAAUGUUUAUUACAUAAUAAAUAUUGCAGAUAUGAAAUUGUGAUUAAUGUUAUAAGAACACUAAACAUUAUUGUUGUUAAUUUUUUAAUUAUAACCGAACAUCAACUUAAUUAAUUUCCUCCCAAUCAACGUGAGUGGGGCUCAAACACUGUACCCAUUAUUUUUCACACAUAAGUAUUAUGGUUGGAAUGAAUACUAUCAAGAGUAAUAUUACACUUUGCAUAGUUUGUAUCGCAAAUGACAAGUUACUCAUUGAUAGAGGUGAUAAAAUUAGCACAUAAAUAAUAAAUAACAAAGUCAGCUAACACUUGCACAUGAUAAUUAAUUAUGCGUGACACAUAAUUAAUGAUACAAAUAGUGAAUUUGAUCUAGAUAAGUUUUAUGAUUAUGUUUUUAAUAAUUAUCUUUGCUCACAAAUAUAAUCAUUUUAAGGUCAACUCAAUUAUGAUAUUUAUUAUCAAUUAUCGCCAUCGCUCUUUUAGAUAUUCUUUUAACUAUUAGAUAUAUUCUUUCAUCUCCCAUUUUCAGAUGAAGAUGAGUCCGCUUCACUAAAUUUAAGACUUUUGAAGCUUCUUAAUUUUUUGCUAUUCGAGAGAAGUAUAGUCGUAUAAAUCUAUUUUUAUUUAUAUGCUGUGAGCUUAUUGUAAUCUUCGCAACUGCUAAGUUACAUUAGUUGUAUUAAUUGUAACUUACAGUUGAUCCAAAAUUAGUUUUCUAUAACCCUUUAGUUGUUUAACAAGCAACAAUUGAGUAAUUAAAAAAAUAAUAAUUUUAGAUUGAUGUAAGUUAUAGAUGAUGUAACUUAGCAAGACCCUUAUAAUCUUAUGUGGCAUGAAAUAUGUUUAAUACAAUUUUAUUUUGGCAUUCAACUAAAUUUUAAUUUUAAUAAAUUUAUAAAAGUCCUAUUAUUAAGUUAAUUAUAUUAAAAUAAUUUUAAAGAAUUAGGUUUCAUUUAGGCAGGUUAAAAAAAGUACAUAAAUGAAAACUCAUCUAGAAAAUUUUAUUUGAACUUAUUCCAAACACUAUAGUUAAGGGAUAAUAGGAAUAAUAAAAUUAGUGGUGAAAAUCACACUCUUAUCCACAUCUCACCAAAAUGGAUGUGGUUUGAGAAUUACUUGUUUGGGAUCUUGUGAUUGCUACUUCCUAUUUUCUAUUUUAUUACUUGACUUUUAAGCCAAAUUUGGUGCAAUUCAUUAUCGUAUGAGAAAUGUCCUUAUUUUUAGUUACAAGUUUUUUCAAGAUCUAAAUCUUUUUUACUAGAUCUCAAAGGACUUGGGAUUGAAUAAUUUGGUGUAGUGGAACAAAGUUAAUGUUUAGUGCAAAUGGAGAACGCUUAUAAACUAAGUCACAUAGAUCCCAUAUAUAUUAUCGUUUUCAUUUUUCAAAUUUUCUUUAGCUAUUAAGAUAAUUUUUUCUUUAUGUCAUGCAAAUUAAAAAAAAUGUAUUUGGAAAUUCAAAAAUUAUGCAAUAAGAAAAUGUUACUCAUUGUUAAUUUAAAAAAUAAUAUUUUCAACUAGUUAUAUGCAUGCACGUGUGUAUGUCAAGGAAUUUUUUUUGAAUAUAUGUAACUAAGGGCUAGUUUGAGAUUAAUUUUGAGAGGAUUAAAAGUGAUUUUGAAAAGUUAAAAUUUAAUUUUAAUAGUUAAUAAAUUUUUUUAAAAAUCACUUUUGCCUCAUUUAAUAUGCCACUAACACGUGCAAGAUGAUAUGCAUUCCCUACACAUGUACAUACACAAAUCUUUAUUUUACUAACUGGUCUUUUCAAUUAAUUAUUUCCUUCAUUUCUCCCUUUGAGUUUUCUUUGGUGAUGAAUAUUUAUGGUGUUUAUCAUGCAAAUUCGUUUACUUAAUAACCCUUUUGAAAAUUGGUGUCAGUAAAUCUUAAUUCUUAAGAUUUUACUCAGCUUAUAAGUUUCCAAAAUUUCUUCAGUCUUGUAUUUAUAUAUAAUUUUAGCUACUGCACAUAUAAUUUUAGUGGCAAUUGGUAAUUUAUUGUCAUGAUAUGAUUUCUUUUUCUUUUCAAGGCCAUGCAGUAUUUUACAAGUCAGCGGAUAAAUUAUCUUGUUAUUUCCUAUCGUGUUGUUUCCUCUUGAAAUAUUUAGAGUAUGGACGUGGUAACAAUUGCAAUUCAGCUGCCAAGGCUACCAAUUUUGCUUUUUUCUCUUAACUUUUGUCGGUGAGGAUUUUAUCCUUGAUUUUGCCUAAGAUGAAGGUACUGGUUGAACUCUCUGAUAAAGUGAUACAGAAUAGGAAUUUAUACUAGGAUAUGUUUCCUAAUUAACUAAUGACUUUUAAUUUUCUUUCCAAUUUAGAAUUUUAUUUCCUUUUAAAUUUAGAAUUUUGUUUUCCCUUAUUGAUUUAGGAUAAUUACUGCUACUAUAAAUAGCUUCCUCUUGUAGCCUUUGAAGGCAUGUUCGAUUUCAAUAAUAUUUUCAAUUUUCUGUUCGAUUUCAAUAAAUAAUAUUUUCAAUUUUCAAAUCUCUUUGUAAGUAUUUGAGUUCAAUUAAUUUUCGGUAUUAUGUGGAAUCAACGAGUCUUAAUCCCCAAAUUCACGGCAUUCUUUUGAAUCAACAUGAGUUUAGUUGUUCUUUUAUUCUGGCAUUCUCUAGAAUCAACAGAAUAUUUUGAACAUUAAGCUUCCGCUGCAUUAUAAAGUUAAUCAAUUAAUUAUGCAUUGAUAGAGUUAAGUACUUAAUUGGAUUUGUUUGUUGAUUUGAAUGUGAUUUCAGUUGCAAUUCUUUAUUUUGUAUAGUUAUGGAAAAUUUUUAAAAAUAAAUGUGAUAACACUUUUACCAAAAAAAUUAUUAACUUUGUUGAAGGGUAUGGUUAUUAUGCAUUUUCAGGAUUUAUACUAGGAUUCUUAUUAUUCAAAAAAUUUUGGUAAUUAAUUUUACUUAUUUAAAUGAUAAAUGAGCAUAAUUAUGAUGUUGAUCGAAUCUGCUAAUAUUAGAAUUACUAUCAUUAUUAUGAUAGUAACAAUAAUGAAAAAGUAUAAAUGAGUAUAUCAUACAUAAAGUGAUAAAGAUCAAAGUAUAAACCAAAUUAAGAUCAAGAAAUUUGAUCAAGUGGUUAAAAAAAGACGUUUUAAAAUUAUAAUUGAAGCAAGAAAAAGUUAAGAAUGAUGAAAAAAAUGAAUAAUGAAGGAGUCCAAGGAGAAAUAAUUCCGUGGGUGUUAGAAGAAAAUAAUAUAUUAAUAAAUUAACCAUAUCAAUAAAUAUUGUUACUAUAUACAUUCUUAUUACAUUUAACUAUAAAUCUCCAGCACAUGAUGAUGAUGAUGAUGAUAUUCGUAGUAAUAGUAAAAAUAAAUAAUAGUAGUAGUAAUAGUACAAAGAAAAUACUGGGCUUGUUUUGAUUAAAAGAAAAAAAUAUAAAUAUAAUGAUAAGACCUAUAAUAACAUGAAUUUUUGGUUAAAGUGAUAAGAAAUUAAUGAAACUAUUUUGAAAAGAAAAUAGAGUGGAAAAAAUUUUAUAUGAAUUCAAAAAAAAAAACUUAAAGUAAAUGAUAAAUUCAAUUAAAGGAAUAAGUAUAGAUCUAAAAAUAAACUUGCAAUAUCCACCUAAAUGUUGGAAUCCAAUAAAAGGAGUAGGAAUAUAGAACAAACAAUUAAUUAAAACAAAAGUAGAAGAGUCAACUAAAAAAAUUGGAACGGCUUAAUAAGAAUUUGAUAAAUUGCAUAGAGGUCUAUCAACUUGGAACAUCCGUGCAAAAUGUUGGAACUUAAUGAAAAUAAUAGGAAUUUGUAUAAAAGAAAUGUUGAUAAAAUUCAUGAUCAAAUCUCUUGAAGUAAUGAAUUUCGAUAUCGAAUAAAUAAAGAUAUUUUAGCACUGGUUUUAAUUUUUGUAACUUAUAAAAAUUGGUUGUGAUGGCUUAAUAAUAUAAAAAUAGUUCAAAAAUAGACUUUAUUGCUGAUUUUUCAAAAUUAUAUUGUAAGUUGAUAUUUGUAAAAAUAAGAGGGGGUCACACAUAAUUUACAUCAAUAUCGUAAUCAUUUACUGUAAUAAAAUAAGACUCGGAGCAGCUACCUAGAAUUUUGGCAUGCAGUGAAUACAAUUGGAAUAUAAAACAAAAAAAAUGGUAGAAAUAAAAGUUGAAGAUUUGAUCUAAAAGUUGGGACGAUUUACCAAUGAUUUGAUAAAUUUCAAUGGGAAGUAUAAAUUUAAAAGUAAACUUGAAACAUUCACCUAAAUGUUGGAGUUUAAUAAAAAGUAUAGGCAUAUAGAACCAAAAAAGGUGGGAAAAAAGUGGGAGAGUCAACCUAAAAGUUGAAACUACUAAACAAUAAUUUGAUAAAUUUCAAUAGAAAUUGAGAUCUAAAAAAUAAACUUAAAAUUUCUACAAAAAAAAUUGGAAUUCAUUAAAAAAGACAGAAUAUAGAACUAAAAAAUAGUGGAAAAAGAGUUGACGAACUUAACCUAAAAAUUGUAAAGGACUUACCAAGAAUUUGAUAAAUUCCAAUAGCAAGUAGAAACCUAAAAAAUGAACUUGGAACUUCUACUCAAAAUAUUAGAAUUCAAUAAAAAGAGUGGGAAUAUAGAACCAAAAGUGGUGGGAAGAAAAACCUCACCCAAACUUGGGAGUAACUCACAAAGAUUUUGAGUAAUUUUAACUGGAAGUAGGGAUACAAAAAGUAAACUUGAAAAUUCCACAAAAAAAUUAAAAUUCAAUAAAAAGAGUAUGAAUAUAAAACCAAAAAGUGGUGGAAAUAAGAGUUAAAGAAGUUAACUUAAAAGUAGGAACAACUUAUCAAGAAUUUGAUAAAUUUCAACAUGAAGUAGGGAUCUAAAAAGUGAACUUGAAACAUCCACUCAAAAUAUUAAAAUUCGAUAAAAAUAGUAGAAAUAAAUAACCAAAAAGUGAUGGGAACAAGAGUUGAAAAGCUUGACCUAAAAGUUGGAAUAACUUACUAAGAAUUUGAUAAAUUUUAAUGUGAAGUAGAGAUAUAGAAAAGAAUCCUGAAAUAUUCACCUAAAAUGUUGGAAUUUAAUAAAAAGAAGAGGAAUAUAGAACCCAAAAGUGAUGAGAAGAGGAGUUGAUGAACUUAACCUAGAAAUUGUAAUAACUUACUAAUAAUUGGAUAAAUACCAAUGGCAAGUAGAGAUCUAAAAAUGAACUUGAAACUUCCACCCAAAAUGUUAGAGUAUUUUUAAAAUAAUAGGAAUAUAGAAUUUAUAAGUAGUAGGAAUAAGAGUUGAUGAACUUAACACAAAAGUUGGAAUAACUUAUAAAGAAUUUAAUAAAUUCUAAUAUGAAAUAUGGAUGGAAAAAGUAAACUAGAAACAUCUAUCUAAAAUAUUGAAACUUAAUGAAAAUAGUAGGAUCGUAAGAUAUAAAAGUUGUGGAAAAAUGAGUAAGAAUAACUAACUAAAAAUUAGAUAAAGUCUAACAGAAUGUAGGAUAUACAAAGUAAACUUGAAAUAUCUAUCUAAAAUUUUGGAAUUUAAUGAAAAGAGUGGAAAUAUAUAAGAAAAGAUAGGUGAAAAAUGAGUUUGAAAUAACUUACAAAAAUUUAGAUAAAUGAUAAUGAAAAAUAGGAAUUUGAAAAGUAAACUUGAGACAUGUAAUAUAAAAAUUGGAAUGUAACCAACAAAAAGAAUAUGACUUUUUUGUGAAAUAUUUAAAGUAUUUUUAUAACUUUUUAUAUUAUUUAUAAUUUUAAAAUUAUUACAAUGUUUUUAUCUAAUUUAACUGCAAUUUUCACUUUUUUCCCUUUUUUAUAAUUUUUCACACUAAAAACAAUUAAAAAUGUAAUUUUAUUUAUUAACCGGUUAAAAAUCAAUUGUACCGGUACCAUGCAUGCGCUGCAUGAGAUGCAGCGUUGUAUGGUAGGUUGACUCUAAUAAUUAAUAUAAUCCAUGUAGGUUCAAAACGUCAAGUCACACGUUUUUGUUUUCUUACAUGUCUUUUCAGGGUCAUAUUUUGGGGAUUACGAUUCGGUGUUCUUGCUUAACUUUUAUGCAACAUUUACUAAAUUGGAAUUGGAAUGAGAGAAAUGAGAAUGAGCUGGAAUGAGAAUAGUAAAUGAGAAUCAGAAUAAGUUGUUUACUUGAAUUGUAGGAAUCGAAAUUGGAAUGAACUGGAUUGCCAUUAAUAUAUUUACUUUGUCUUGAAAUUGGAAUCAAAAUGAAUUAGAUUGUAACAAAUUACUAAAAAGUACUUAAUAAAUUAUUGUCAUCAUUAUUAUUAACUAAUAUAUCAAUUAAUUGUAAAAAAAUUAAUUAAUUAAUUAAAAUAAUUAUAUUACUAACAAUUAUAAAAAUAUAUUAACUAAUAAUAUUAAUAUUAAUUACUUAAUUAUAAUAAUUUAUUAAUUAUUGCGAUUAUUUAUUCAAGAACUAUAAUUAUUAAUAUAUUAUUGUUAAUAAUAUAUUGACAUAUUAAUUAAUAGUAAUAAUUAUAUUAAUUCAUUAAUAAUGAUAUAUAAAUUAAUUCUAAUAAUUAUAUUAAUAAUUAUUGUAAUAGUAUAUAAAUUGAUUAAUUAUAAUAACAAUAAUAAUGUAUUAUUACUGUGAUUAUUUAUUAAAAAUUAUAAUUAUUAAUAAUUAUUGUUAAUAAUAUGUUAAUAUAUUAAUUAAUAGUAAUAAUUAUAUUAAUUAAUCAAUAAUAAUAUAUGAAUUAAUAAUAUUAAUAAUUAUUAUAGUAAUAUAUUAAUUAAUUAAUUAAUUAAUUACAAAUGAGGACAAAGUGGGCAUUUUUAAUUUUGGGGGAGGGCAAAAUGUCAAUCCUGGGAAUGAGAGAUUCAUUCCCACCUCCCCCUUAAGAAUGAGUCUCCCAUUCCUCAUUCCCAAAUUGUGGUGGGUCCCAAGAUCCAAUUCUGAUUUUGAUUCCAAACUCUAUUUUACAAAGUAAACGCUGUCAAUUAUUCUGAUUCCAUACAUGAAUUUCCUAAUUUGGGAAGUAAAUGUAACAUUAAAGAUUUUAUUAUACCUAUCUACUUUAGUUAUUAACGACUAAAUUUGUUCUCUUUUUAAUUUUUUAUAUUUUUCCAAAAUGCGUCAUAUUGAAAUAAAAUCUUAAUUCUAGAACAUCCCGCUUGUUUUCUUUUAGCCUCGUCGUGCAUUAUUGAAACACACUUCACUUCCAUUAUCAUCAUCGUGAUAUCAACCGAAAAAAGUUUGAAAAGAGCAAAAUCCAAAAAAGUUAGUUUUAUUUUUUUGUGCAUAUUUUUUUUGUUGAUUAAAAUGGCUAUAACAGACAUUAAUUAAGAAAAUUUUGAUUUAUCCUACAAACCAAGAUUAGGCAUGGAGUUUGAUUUAUAUGAAGUAGCAUACGAAUUCUAUAAUAGGUAUACCUUAAGUAUGGGCUUUAGUUUUAGAAAAGAUACCCAUGCUUAGAAUAAGCGUACUAGCGAAAUUACAUCCAGAGUAUAUGUUUGUUGCAAAUAAGGUUAUCGAUCGAAAGCCAAACAGAUCUUCCAAAAGUAAAACAUAGAGCAAAGACAAGAACCAUGUAUGAUGCUAGAUUAUUUAUCAAGCUAAAUAGGAAGAAGAAUAACUGGAUUAUUUAUCAAGCUAAAUAGGUAGAAGAAUAAUUGGUUUGUUAAUCAUUUUAUUGAGUCUCAUAUGGGUAGAUUUAAUGAAAUAGUGACAAUAAUGAUCAUAACUGAGGAAAGAAGAGCUUGCAUGAACAUUUUGCACCACUGUAUAAUGAAUAUAAUUCCUCAAAGUAAAAGCUCCAUAUAUGGAAUAUUAGUAUUGAAUUGGAGUUAGUUAUAUACAAUGUCUUACAUGGUACACCAUUAUUAUUAAAUUAUGUAAAUCAGUUCCUUUGUCCUUCAUGCCAUGGCUAAAUACAUUUUCAUGCUUGUUGCAGACCUAUGUCGUUAAUGUAGUGAGACCUUGCUGGAUCUUGAGUCAUUUAAUGGGAUGUGGCACUUGAGCGAGAAUGGAAAACCUCGUGGGCAGUUUGAUGUAAUUAUUAUUGCUUGUAAUGGUGAUAAAAUGCUGCUACCCUUGCUCUUUCUCUCUCAGCAGCAUUUUAUAGUCUUAAAAAUUUGCAUUAAAAAAAAAUGCAUGUUUUUGUUUAUUGCAGUGACCAAAUGUUAAAUGGGCUUCCCUAUUGGGUAUAAAAUGGGAAAAAAAUGAGAAAAUUUUUAAAUUUACAUUCCAUCAUUACCUUGGAUUAAGGAGCUAUGACUUUUGAAAUACAAGUAUGCAACCCAAGAGGGGAGUGAAUUGGAAUUCUAAAAAUUAUUUGAUUCUAAAAUAAAUUAUCAUGCAAAUCUAAAAUGAAUAUAAUGGAAUAACAAUUAAAUCAAUUACAAUAUAAAAAGAUAAGGGAAGAGAGAUUCAAACUCGAAGGUUUUUACGUGGUUCGGCCAACCUCGCCUACGUCCACGCCUCCAAGCUUUCCGGGCUUGAGGAUUUCACUAAGCAAGCCUCCAAGGCUUCAAAUACUUACACUUGUAUCCCAACACUUAAAAUUAAUGCCCAAUGUGUGAAUAGAUGAAGCAAGAAUGUGUUUUAAAGCUCUAUGAAGAUUGUAUUCUCGGAUAUAAGCUCAAUGGACGUGUUGUGAUCAAUCUUGUUUGAAUUUGAAUGAGCUUAUUUAUAGUUGGAGCUGAAAACUAGCCGUUAUUGACUUUCUGCUCACUGUCGGAUACGUGUUGUGAUCAAUCUUGUUUGAAGUUUGAUUGGUCAAUAUGACCGUUGGGCUGAAUUUUCAAAUUGUCGGAUCACCGUUAUCUAGAUGUCGGAUCGCCGUUUAGGUCCAGAGGCUAAUCUUCAUUUCUGUAUGAUGUCGGCGAGCCGUUAUCAACAUGUCGGAUCGCCGUUUUCUUCAGAAACUGCUACAAUGAACUAUUUUGCACCCGAAAACCAACACUUUUAUAAAACUUUUCAAAUAGAUCCAUUUUAUAGGACUUGAAACAAUAUUUAUGAAACAAAGUUCUCAUAGCUUUUUCAAUUAAAACCAUUUACAAGAGAAUAACCAAAAUCAUUUUCAUUUAUAAAGUGAGAAUGAUGAUUUAAAAGUAUAUGAAAAUUAGUAUAUGAAAAUUAUAUGAAAAUUAUUUUGAGCUUUUAAAAGAUUAAUCAAUCUUAAUCAAGUUUGUUAUCAUCAAAAUCAAUAAUAACGAAAUAUUUAUGUUAACAACUUUUAAUUUAUUGAGGAAUGGAAUUAAAACUUUAGCUGGUAAAUAAAAAUGGGUGUUUAUUAAAUAUCUUGUUAUUAUGCUUUCAAAAUUAUGUAGAAGGUUAGUGGUUGUUGGAAAUGUACCACAAGUACUUGCAUAUCCUGCCACCAAAAUAAGACUCAACUCGAGUUAUCCAAACUUAGUGAAACUUGAAGUUUGUGUUUCAAAAUUCAGUGCUGAGUUAGUCAACCACAUCCAUGUAAUUAUCAUUACCAUUAUUAUUGUUAUUGUUAUGUUCCUUUUAAAAUGGUGCCUUUGCUAUAUCAGGGGAACCAUGCAUGGGAACCAGAAUGAUAGGUACUGAUUCAAAGUCCCAAAAUGAUCACAGUUUUGAGGUUUAACCCCCACACAAGGAAGAUAAGAAGCUAAAAUUAAUUACACGGUCACAUGAUUGGAAUUGCAUGGGCUGAAUGGGUGGACUUAGAAUGAUAUGGCAUGGCAGCCGAGGAAAAGAAGAACUGGCGGGAACAUUUUGCACUGCUGUAUCAUGACUGCAAUUCCUGCACGGUAACGAGCUUAUUAAUAUUUAUAUAUGCUACAUUAACAAUUAACUUAUUUAUAUACAAACAUCUUAUCAAGGCACAAAUGAAGUUGAAUGUAAAGAUGGCAAUUCAAAAGCAAUAACAUCCCAGCAACGAAUGUACAUAAUGGGAAGUCCAUGGUUAGCAUUAACAUUGUGACGGCCCCGGGGGGGUAGCCUAGGUUUGAUUCGGUAGAGUUAGGCAAAUGGUGGAAGUGUUGGCUGGUGCUUGCAAAAGAUGGCGAUCCAGCUGCCAUGCUCAUUUCAACACUUGGCACUUGGCAGGUCCAGUGAGUUCUGCAGCGGGGUCUAUAAAUUAAAUAAUGUAGUUUUAUUUAUUUUUAAAAUAAUUAAAAACUUUUAUUUGCGCACCAGUUAAGAAAACUUAAAGGAUAGGUAAAUCCUAUUGGGGUUUCCGUACGUACCAUUUGUAGACGUGGCAAAUAGCAAGAGGAGGAAGAGAAGCCGUGUUUGACUUUUUAGAAGGAAAUAGCCAAUAUUGGAAUAAGCAGACGCAAACUUUCCAAUAUAGCCGGUAUUUAAGAUGCCUUUCUGCACUGUUCACAUGGGCCGUAAUUGUGAAUAUGUGUGUUCACAACUCCGCUUCUUCCAGGUGCUAAAAUUUUCUCCAUGUUACAUUACAUUACAGCACAAGGACAUUAUGAACGGUAUUUAUCUCACUCCACUUGUUCACAAUUUUGAAGUUUUAGAGGAAACAAAAAUGCUAAAUGUCAAGAAGAAAAUACAGAAAGCUUUAAUUUCCUCCCUUGGAUGUUCUAAGUGAUUACUUUACUUACCAUGCAGUCUUACCUCAUUGAACACAAACAAAUGUAUGGGGACUCAAAUCUCAAUUGACGCCUGUCCAAUAGUUUGUGUAAUCGUCCUUAAAACUGAAAACAGGAAAACAAUUUUUUUUUUUCAUUCAAACAAUAUUAGAAAAAAACACACAACAAUUAGACUGGAAUGUAAAUAAAUGUAUUACUAAAUUUGAUAAAAUGAAGCUGAUGGAGAGCACUACAGAGCUCAUAUAUAUAUAUAUACACACACGCUAGCGCACCAGAAUAUAUAUAUAUAGUAAAAUAAAUGAGAUAUCGUAUAAAUCAUUAUAAAAAAUAAAUGAGACGACUAAUGAGUGAAGAAUGACGGCACGAAAAACAUGAAAAAUCAAUCUUUUUCAGGGUUAUAUUAAAAUAAAAGAAAAAAUGGAAAAACUCCUUUCCACGAUAACGUAAUUUAAAUCAAAAUAAUACUUAGUGUAGAGAAACACAAGAAAAAAAUUAAAAAAUAAUAAAAAAAAGAAUAGAGAGAGAAAGUAAAAUUCUCUCGUGUUUCUCUAGUGCUUCUCUGUCUCCAGCACUGCUCUUUGAAUCAUGUUUCUUUAUACACAGACAGGCACAGUUGACAGCUGCACAAAAAGCAGCUUGCCUCCCUUUACGUGUCACCCCAUUUCGUAAGUCGUUUGUCUAAAACAACAUCUUAGUAGAAACCCCCGUUGCCAGGGGGUCACCAAAAUCUAUUACGAAUAUUGAGUGUCAUAUGCUGUAUAUAUUCACUACUCCAUUCGAGCUCACCAAAAUACAAGAAUCUUGCAUUCAAACCUCAAAAAGAAUGUGCCUCGGAAAUAACCCAUAUCAGUGCUCUGUUUUCUGGGAUGAGGAUGAAAACCUCGUUCACUUCAAGUACCCUCUUCCACCAAGGACGAAGCGAGAGGAUGUCAACGUUGAGAUUGAUGAAGAUGGGAAAUUGCUUAUAGAAAUAAGCGAGGGGGCAAGUUCACAUAGUGAUCCUCUCUCUUCAGCUUCUCCCUCGAUGAUCGUAUCCGGCUUCUCUUCCUUAAGCUUGCUGAAGAAAAAGGAAGGAGACACCACCAGCCCGAUAAGCCCGAUGAAAUUCAACUUGCCGGCGGGUCUUAACACGAAUGGCUUCAAGACUGCGAUCGAUGACGAGGGCUUGCUAACUCUCACUUUCAAGAAGCUCGUGCCCAUUCCUUCCGAAACGACCUCCGACCUCAAAAACGUGCCCGUGAAGUGGAAGAACAAAAAGGGCGUCUUCCGCUUCAAGGCCUAUUUGCCAGCGGGGUCGAAGAUGGAGGACAUGAUGGUUGGCAUAGAAGGUCGCAAAUCCCUUAUGAUAGGCAUUCGUGAUCAGCCGAAGAAAGAGGAAGGGGACACCAGUGCUCUCAUGUGCUCCAGUGGCAAGAACUUUAGGAGCUUCAUUUUUCCAGACGGUGUGAACCCGAAUGGCUUCAAGACUGCAAUGGAUGAUGCCGGCGUUCUAACAGUCACCUUCACUAAACUCAAGCCAGAGAAGAAAAAGCUGGGGCCAGUGGCAAAGAAGACGCUGGGAUGUCUGGCUCAGGCUGUGCUUGCUGCUGGUGUGCUGAUAUGUGACAAGAUAAGUGAGGCGAUUUGUUGAGGAGGCUACUAAUAAUAUAAGUUGGUGUCAAAUAGGUAUUUGCUUUCUGUCAUGUAUGUUGUUUCUGUCGUUUAUCUGUUAGUGUUUUGGGGAAAAAAAAAAUUUGUGUGGUGUUGUAUCUCCUUUGUUUCAGUGAAAUAGAAGAGCUUUGUCUAAUAAUAAUGAUAAAAUGUUGUUGGGUAAAAAAAUAUGUGUGUGUGUGUUUUUUUUUUUUAAUAGUGUUGAAUUAAAAAAAAUUGUUUGUUUUUCUGUUCCCGAUCGGGAGCUCAAAUGUUUCACUUUCAUCCGUACGUACGUAAUGAGACAGCCACAGGAUAAAGGAGUAACUGCAGCUGGGGCAGGUGACCCAUCAUGCCGUAGAAUCUGCAAGAUAGCAAGAUUUAUCCUUUUUUUUUUUUAUAUUAAUCGCGAGGUAUUUUGGGGAGGAUCCUAAUUGUGGGAGACACCUUUAAACCCGUACCACAACUCAGACUAGAAGUCCUCGCUCGAAUCGGGAGGCACAGAUUCUCCCAACAAAGGCGAUUUAAUCACGAGGUAUCCUGGGGAGGACCCCAACUGUGGGAGACACCUUUAAGCCCGUACCACAACCCAGACUAGAAGUCCCCGCUCGAACCGGGAGGCACAGAUUCUCCCAACAAAGGUGAUUUUCCUGCGACUCAAACUGGGGAGCAAACUCAGUCAAGCCACUUAAGGAGACAUCUUUUUUUUUUUUUUUUAAUUGUUAGCGCCGGAACUUUUUUUUUUAAAGGAAAAAAAUUUGAGUGCAUGGGUAAAGGGUUUGAGCCAAUGGGCAAGCCAUAGCCCCACAUUUCUCCUUCAAUAACCUCCCAUUUCAACGGAGUAAAGGUAACUUUUGAAGAUAAGAACGAGAUGACAGAGAAUAUAAAAUGACCCAUGUCCAUAGAAAUCUACAUCAAAUUCUAAGGUCUCUGCACUGGCACAUACACAAAUAUUUCAAGAUCAUGGCAACUUCUGCAACUCAUUCCUUUGAGCUUCAAGCUGGCCAUCGUAUAAAAACUGGGUAAAAUAUGUUACAACAAAGAUUUACCUUCACUGACCUGAAGCCAGAGGAAAAGCCGGUGUCAAGAUCAAAGAAGAUCCCGCGAGGUUUGGCUAAAGCAGUGCCUGUUUGUUUCUUCAUAGGUUACGAGAUAAGUUGAGGAGACUACUAAAUUAGCUGGUGUCAGGUAAGGUAUUUGCUAACAUCAGGUUCAUGUAUGGUGGCAUCAUAUUCAUGUAUGUUGUUCUGUGGUUUAUGUAUUAGCAUUUGUAAAUAACUCUAGAGUAUUCUAAUUAAUGGAUCUAUCUUUUAAGAGCUGCAUUUGGCAUAUGAAGUUUAUUGAAUGAAAGCAAAUCAGGAGUUGGUCUUAAAAGCAUGCUGUUCAAGGAAUACUAUACAGACAGUAAAAUUAUUUAAGACAAUUCGUACGGCUUCCCUUUGAGUGAAAAAUGAUCUUUCAUUCGUUUUAGCAUGUGUUUCAUAAUUCUUUCUCUCUCUCUCUCUCUCUCUCUUUUUUGCCCUUCUCCUAUUUUGGUUCUACAUAUUGGGAAUUAGUUGUUGUUGAUUUGGUGAAAAAGGAAUUUGCUUUAUUUGGAUCCUAAGAGGCGGCAAUCAUGAUCGUAAUUCAUUUUUUAGAUUUCUUCAAAGAGUGCAGAGUAGGGCACCAUCAAAGUAAAAAAAUUAGGAUGACAAAACAAGGUUAUAAAAAACAAAACUACCAGUAAACGACGACCACUUUCAUUUCCUCUGCAGCUUCAUCUUCUAUGCUUCUUUGUUAGAUCCCACAUGAACUGGGUAUGAGACCGGUUGGUGGUUUAUUAACCCCAAGGCACCCACCUCUUACAAGUUGGUUUUGAAGGGUGGGUUCCAUCUUGUGGGUCCAUAACAAUUGGUAUUAGAUUAGUUCGCUUCUUUGCUUAAAAAAUGUGGAAAUUGUCUAAUUAACUCACAAUGGUAAGAAUCUGCAGUAUCAUAUUAAGCUUUGCUGGACGGUAGUUUUGAAACUUGGGUAUUCGAAGUCUCAAAAUCAUUAUAGUUUUGAGUUUUGACCAGAAAAGGAAGUUAAGAGUAUAUCAAACUAAAAACACAAGUACAUGAUCACAUUAUUUCAGUUUGCUUAGGCUAUAUGGGUAGACUUAAAGAAAUAGUUACGAUAAUGAUCAUAACAGAGGAAAAGAAGAACUAGCAUGAACAUUUUGCACCACUGUGUUAUGACUACAAUUCCUACAAAACAACAAGCUUAUUUAUGUCUGCCACGUAAAUAUUGAAAUGGAGUUGGGUUCAUACAAACAUCUUAUCAAGGCGUACACCAUUAUUAUAAAAUUAUGUAAGUCAAGCUCCUUCAUGCCAUGUCCUUUUAUGGGUCUAGUUCUGUUUUGAUGACUGUUGCAUCUUAAGGUUAAUGGAAUGACUCCUGCUGGACAAGUAAUCUUGAGCCAUUUUCUCUUUCCAUUUUUGUUUGUUUGCUUUGGGGACUGUAAAGUAAAAGAUAUUUAGACUAGGAAUGUAAUUAUAUGUUGCUAUAAACUUUAGUUUGAUUAUAAUGAAUAAAUAAAUGUAUUACUGAAUUUCAGAAAUGAAGCUGGUGCGAAGAAGAAUUAAGCGUAAUUGAGAUUGAUAUAUAGGGGGUACUGUGAUGAUCCAAGCAUUGAAGGCACAAAGAUCCCUCUCUGUUGGAUUACAAACAGGGAAGGACAUCAAAGAAACCCCACCGACUAGGCAAUUUAGAGAUAAUCUGUUCUACAUAGAUUCACUUAUUCUCUAAUAUCAAUUACUUCUUGUGUGUUUUGUCAAGCAUUCAUUGCUUUUUGGGACUUGGUUGAAUGUUGUGCAAGUUCGACAAUUAUGAUAUCUGUGGAACUUAUAUCGUAGCUUUUGUCAUGUCAUGACAUCGCAGCUUCCGUUUAGUUUCAAUUGUCAAUGUCACCAUCGUGAUUCAUGAUGUUAUGGAAGUUCGUCAGUGUUUAUCUUCAGCUAUGUGAGCUAGUUUACUGCUGCAUAUUCUUUUCCUGACGCACAUGUUGUUUCACAUUUUUAGCGGGGGAGGAUUAUAAAUGAUGCUUUAAUACAUAAAAGUAGAAAUGAAAGGUCAGCAUCUCAAGCACAAACUGAUGUACACAAGACUUGCUCAAAUGGGUACGCAUAACAAAAAGAUGGAAGCAUGACCAUUGGCAAUGGCGGAAGUCUUGGCGGUGGGGCCGGUGGUGCUUGCAAAAGAUAGCGAUCGAGCUGGCACACUCAUCACAAAACUUGACAAUCAAUUAAUGAUAGGCUCCGGUUAAACCCCUUAAGUUUCCUUAUCCUUACAAAACGUGGCAAAAUUUUAUUGUUUGUUAAACAAUAUCUUUGAUUUGCUUUUAUGCUAAUUCCCUUGUUCAUUCGAUUAUAUAUGUAUGUUAAUUAUAUAUGUAUGUUAUAGAGUAAUGAUAUAGCCAUAAAUUUUUGUACAAAUUUAUUUUGUACAAAUUGAUGUGACAUUAAUUAUUGGUUGAAUUAAAUAUCUUUUGGCUCACAUAAUUUAUUUCUAUUAUUUUAUAUUUUUAUUCAACUAAUGAAUUAAUGCCAUAUCAGUUUGUAUAAGAUAAGUUUGUACAAGAGUUUAUGGUUGUAUCAUCACUCAUGUUUAAAACCCAAAAUUAAAACCAACCAUCAUGCUGUACUAAAAAAAAAAAAAUCAACCAUCAUGAUAUAAAAAUUCACCCUAAUAAAAAUAUUUCUUUUACCCUUUCAUAGUUACAUAGUCUUUAAUGUUUCUCAUAUUAUAUAAUAUAAAGGUAGAGUUAUUUUCACUCUAAAAAUUAGUCUGAAUAUUUUAUUAUUUUGAACACUCAUCUACAUAUUUUUUUUAAAUAAUUUUAUUUUUUACACUAUGUCAAACCUUUUAAACUAAUUAUCAUUUAUUUACUAUAUACACCUAUAAAAAAUACUCAAUUCACUAAAAGAAAAAAAAAAUAAGAAGAAGAAGACAUCUUCAAUUCUUUUUGUAGAAAAUAUUUCAUGUACUUAAUCAAAUCCAUCAAGUUCGAAAAACAAAACUCAUUUUCUUGAACAAGCAAAGAAGAAAUAAUUUAAAUUUCAAACUUAUUAUUUAUCUAACCAUGACACAGCUUCAAUUUUAAAAAUUAGCCGUGAAAUCAAGCUGCAAAUUAAGUGAAGUAGAAGCUCUAUGUGAAAGUGCCUUAAAAAUAUUACUUAAAUAGAAGAAGCAUAAAUGCAUGAGAUGAAACCAAUUAUAGGAAGAAAUCAUUAAAGUUAACGAAUCAUCACCAGAUUUUGCCAACGUAACAGCAGAUUGCUAGAUGUCAUGAAGCUGAAAAUUGAUUGGAGUAAUUAAUAAAAGUUUGUUUGCUAAAUCAAAAUGGUUCGUAAUAGCUUCUUUGCAAAUAUUUGUAAAAGUUUUAGGGUAAAAGGUAGAUUAUUGUUUAUAUAUUCAAAGAUCGAGUUUACUAAUUAUAUGAGCGUUUAAAGUAAUUAUGUUUGAUUUACUUAAAGUAGAUUAAUAAUAAAUCAUAUCAUAAGUUAUUCAACUAAUGAAUUAAUGCCAUAUAAGUUUGUACAAGAUAAAUUUAUACAAGAAUUUAUGACUGUAUCAUCACUAGUAUCUUAUAUAAUAAAUUAUUAAAUUGGUAACUUAACUAAGGCCUUAGCCGCCUUACCUUGCCUCCUCCAUUUAGUCAUUUUCUCUUAAUUAUUAAAUUAUUAAUUUUAGGUGGUGCGGACCAACAUUAGAUCAAUUUCUUGGCAUGCAUGAGCUGAGAGAUAGUGAUGGCAAUGGGGUGGGUUCAAGGUGGGGUUUAUGAUCCCCGAACCCGUCCCAUACACGAAAAAAUUUUAAUUGAGGAUAAUUUAGGUAUAUUCCCAAAAGUUUCAGAAUUGAGUGGGGAUUAAAACGGGAGUCGAUCCCUAUUUAAUUUUUAUUUAAAAAAAGAAAGAAUACUUUCUAAAGAAAAAAUGAAUAAUUUUUUAAUAUUUGAGUCUCUUUUUUUAAAAAAAUUAUAUUUGUGGACAUACAAAUUUAAAAAUAAAAUUACAUCAAAUUUGAACAACCUCCAAAUAAAUGAAAACAUAAUUAUUCUAAGUCUUUAACAUAAUUACAAAUGAUCAAAUUUUACAAGACAAAUCAAAAUAAUGUUAAGCAUCAACCAUUAACUUGUAGUAGCUUCUCCGUAACCAUCACCAUUGAUGCACAUUAUAAGAUUCUUCAUAAACUUAUAACAAGAUAAACAAAGAAAGAAAAUAAAAACAUGUUUUUAACAAUUUCAACUAAAUACUUGACAAAAUAAUAUAAAUUAAAACUACAUACCUCUAUAGCCUCUACAUUUGUUUCAAUCUCUAAUUCCUCAUCAAGAAUUUUGGCAUAGGCCGGAGAGGUAGAUGCCACAACUAAUUAAAAAAAAACACAAAUAAAAACCAAAAUCAAGUUAGUUAUUAGUUAAGUUAAAUAAAUAAAAAUAUAAAAAUAAAAAUAUAUACCAUAUACCUCUGCAAAGAGCAUGUAUCCAGCUUUGACUACACAUCAAAGCUGGAGUAAAUAGAGAAAUUUAAAAUUUAAAAUUUAAUACAAACUAUAUUAAUAAUAUUCCAAUGAAUAUAACCAACCAUAAAAAUUAAAAAUUUAUCUUGUCAGCCAUGGAUAUAACCGAUAAACUCUUAUAAAACAAGGACUUUUUAAUACUACUCCGAUGAAUAUAGCCAGCCAUCUAAUUUGAUAACCAUGGUUUGUCAUUUUAAUCAAAAAUACAUUUAAAUAAAUCAAAAAUUAAAUUUUAAGGCCAAAUUUAGAUUGCCAUUUAACUGCAAUGCACAAUUCUUUAAUCACAGUGUAGUCAACUAGUCAUUACAACUCAGCUUAACUCUGCUCUACCACAUUCACUCCCUCUAAAUUCCAUAUAAACAAGCAGAAUCCACUAAAUUUGACCUAAAAUGUAAAAUCAACAAAUACCCAAUACCGCAAAAAUAUAAAAAUAAUCAAUAAUAAGUAGUCAACAAACACAAUCACAUCAAUAAAAAUCCUUAAAUUUGAACAUCACAUUAGUAAAGAUCCUUAAAUUUCAAUCAGAAGCUUCUAAGCACAACACUUUAAAAAGUCAAAUUCAUGAAUUUAAGCAUAAAAACUAGCAAUGCUAUAAAGCUAAAAUAGAAAAGUAGCAAAUAUCCAAAAACAUUUUACCAAAAAAAUCAACCAAAAGUUUCUAAAUUUCAAAUAAAACUCACCAAUAGAAGGGCAAUAAUUGUGAGGAAAUAAGCUGCUGGUCAACUGCUGGUCGUUGGGUUUAAAUGAAAGAUUUGAAGAAGUCUGGGGGCAUUGUGCAGAUCGACUUCAGCUGGAGGGGUCUAGUUGAAAUAUUAAAGUUGAUGUGGCAUAAUUCGUUAUGGCUUCCCAGAAAUACCAAAAUAUAAAUACGUGUGUUUUAGCCUCUGAUAUGUGUGUGUAAUCUUCUUCAUUUCUUGGUCAUUUAGCUAGCUAUUUGGUUCUUGGUGAUCCUUGUAAUUUCUUCUAUAGAAUUAGCUUGUAAUUCGAUUAUGGAGAUCAAUGAAAGAGCAGUUUUUUCCUUCUACAAGUUGUGUGCUUGAAACUGUGCUCUGUUCAAGUUCUUUUUUGGUUCUUUCUUGAUUAGCUUACUUUGAUGAAUUCUUUCUAGAUUCAAUACGUUAAUAGAGUUCUAACAACUGGUAUCAGAGCCAGUGGUGGUUCAAAAACAUGUCUCUUCCAAAACCCGAUAUUGAAAAGUUCACCAUUGGUGGUGACUUUUCACUUUGGAAGAUGAAGAUGAGGGCUCUCAUUGUUCAUCAAUGUCUCGAAUCAGCUCUGGAAGAAGAUGAUCUUGGGGAUGUUUCAAGUUCAGUCUCUGAUGAGAAGAAAAGACAGAUACAUAACAAGGCUCACAGUACCUUGAUCUUGAGUCUCAGUGACUCAAUUCUAAGGGAGAUUUCUAAAGAAAAGACUGCCCUUGGUAUCUGGAACAAGGUGGAGGCCCUGUGUAUGAAAAAGUCCCUGGCACAUUGAUUGUUCUUGAAGAAAAGGCUAUAUACUUUCUCUAUGAGAGAAGGGGUCUCGAUUUAAGAACACAUUGGCAACUUCAACAAGAUCAUUCUUGAUCUUGAAGGAGUUGAAAAUGUGAAAAUUACAGAUGAGGAUAAAGCCUUCUUUCUACUGAGUUCAUUGCCUAAAAUCUAUGAGGGAUUUGUAGACACCAUGCUGUAUGGAAGAACUACUCUCACUCUAGAGGAUGUGAAAGCCUCUUUGAGUUAUAAGGAGAUCUAGAAGAAUAAUGGGCAUGAAGUUAGUAAUGGUGAAGGCUUAUUUGCCAGAACAGAAAAGAAAAAUCAGAAGAAAAAGAACAAGAGUCAAGCUAAAAAGGAUGAUGUAUCUGUAAAAGAAAAAAUGAAGAAAAGAAAGUGUUUUUACUGCAAGAAACAAGGUCACUACAUCAGAGACUGUGCUGAGAAAAAUAAGGAUGAAAAAGAAAGAACAGGUGAUGCAGCAGUAGCCUCAGAUGACUCCUCUGAUGAUGGAUACCAUAGUGCUGAUUUGUUGGUGGCUUCAAACAGCAAUAUCAAAGGUCAGUGGGUUCUUGAUUCAGGCUGUUCAUUACAUUUGUGUCCUGAUAAAAACCUUUUCCAUACAUAUAAAUCUGUGGAUGGUGGUAGAGUGUUGAUGGGUAACAACAAUGUGUGUAAGAUUGUUGGUAUGGGGUCUGUCAAAAUAGAGAUGUUUGAUGGGUCUGUUCAAACUCUAAGUGAUGUAAGGCAUGCACCUAGGCUAAAGAGAAACUUGAUCUCUUUAGGCAUGCUAGAUGGUAUGGGAUAUAGCUUUAAAUCUGAAAAUAGUGGUUUGAAGAUUAUGAAGGGGACUGAGAUGGUAAUGAAAGGAGUUAAGAAGAAUGGCCUUUAUGUGUUAGAAGGGUCAUCAGUGCCUGGAACAGCUGCAAUGCCUGUUGUUUCUGAUGUUAAUAGAACUAUGUUAUGGCACCUUAGACUAGGCCAUAUGAGUAUUAGAGGAAUGCAAGAACUGAGUAAGCAAGGACUGCUGUGUGGUGAUAAUAUAGAUGAACUAGACUUCUGUGAAAACUGCAUCUUUGGCAAGGCACACAGGUCCAAAUUCACAAAGGGCAUGCAUGUAUCUAAACAACCAUUAGAUUAUGUACAUGCUGAUUUAUGGGGACCUGCACAAGUACCAUCCUUGAGUGGGGGAAGGUAUUUUAUGUCAGUCAUAGAUGACUACUCCAGGAAAGUAUGGAUCCACAUACUGAAGACCAAAGACCAAGCCUUAGAGAAGUUCAAGAUUUGGAAGACUUUGGUGGAGACUCAAUCUGGUUUCAAGGUGAAAUGUUUAAGAACAGACAAUGGACUUGAAUUCUGUAAUAAAGAGUUUGAGCAAUGCUGCCAGGAAUGGGGAGUUAGGAGGCACAAAACAGUAAGAUUCACCCCUCAGCAAAAUGGUUUAGCUGAGAGGAUGAACAGAACACUUAUUGACAAAACAAGAUGCUUGUUGAUAAAUUCUAAGCUUCCCAGGAGUCUUUGGGCAGAAGCUGUUUCUACAGCUAGUUACCUGGUAAAUAAAAGUCCAUCUUCAGCAAUUGGCUUCAAGACACCUGAAGAACUCUGGUCUGGAAGACCUGGAAAAUAUGAACACCUGAGGGUAUUUGGAUGCCCUGCUUAUGUCCAUGUCAGACAAGGGAAGCUUGAUGCAAGAGCUAUAAAAAGGGUAUUUAUUGGUUAUCCAGAUGGGGUCAAAGGCUACAGGGUCUGGUGUAGAGAGGCCAAUAAGUGUCUGAUCAUUAGAGAUGUCCAGUUUAAUGAAGUGGUUAUGAUCAAUAACUCUGACCAAGCCACCUCUGCUAAUGACAUCAUUACAAAUGACACACAAGCCACCACAGAAACUGAUCAAGGUGAAAAGAUUGAGGUGGAGUUGUCUAAAGAUUAUGAAGAUGAAAUACAACCAGAGGCUGUUGAAGCUGAGUCUCAAGAUGCAGAAGUGACAGAAGGUGAAGCUCCACAAGCAACUGAUUUACAACAAUAUCAAUUAGCUAGAGAUAGAGAAAGAAGACAUACCAGACCUCCAGCAAGAUAUGCAUAUGCAGAUAUGGUUGCAUAUGCCUUGAUGAGUGCAGAAGAUGUUGCAAUUGAAGAGCCUAACAGCUACAGAGAAGCAAUGAAUAGCAAGAAUAGCAGAAACUGGAUUAAAGCUAUGAGGGAGGAAAUNNNNNNNNNNNNNNNNNNNNNNNNNNNNNNNNNNNNNNNNNNNNNNNNNNNNNNNNNNNNNNNNNNNNNNNNNNNNNNNNNNNNNNNNNNNNNNNNNNNNNNNNNNNNNNNNNNNNNNNNNNNNNNNNNNNNNNNNNNNNNNNNNNNNNNNNNNNNNNNNNNNNNNNNNNNNNNNNNNNNNNNNNNNNNNNNNNNNNNNNNNNNNNNNNNNNNNNNNNNNNNNNNNNNNNNNNNNNNNNNNNNNNNNNNNNNNNNNNNNNNNNNNNNNNNNNNNNNNNNNNNNNNNNNNNNNNNNNNNNNNNNNNNNNNNNNNNNNNNNNNNNNNNNNNNNNNNNNNNNNNNNNNNNNNNNNNNNNNNNNNNNNNNNNNNNNNNNNNNNNNNNNNNNNNNNNNNNNNNNNNNNNNNNNNNNNNNNNNNNNNNNNNNNNNNNNNNNNNNNNNNNNNNNNNNNNNNNNNNNNNNNNNNNNNNNNNNNNNNNNNNNNNNNNNNNNNNNNNNNNNNNNNNNNNNNNNNNNNNNNNNNNNNNNNNNNNNNNNNNNNNNNNNNNNNNNNNNNNNNNNNNNNNNNNNNNNNNNNNNNNNNNNNNNNNNNNNNNNNNNNNNNNNNNNNNNNNNNNNNNNNNNNNNNNNNNNNNNNNNNNNNNNNNNNNNNNNNNNNNNNNNNNNNNNNNNNNNNNNNNNNNNNNNNNNNNNNNNNNNNNNNNNNNNNNNNNNNNNNNNNNNNNNNNNNNNNNNNNNNNNNNNNNNNNNNNNNNNNNNNNNNNNNNNNNNNNNNNNNNNNNNNNNNNNNNNNNNNNNNNNNNNNNNNNNNNNNNNNNNNNNNNNNNNNNNNNNNNNNNNNNNNNNNNNNNNNNNNNNNNNNNNNNNNNNNNNNNNNNNNNNNNNNNNNNNNNNNNNNNNNNNNNNNNNNNNNNNNNNNNNNNNNNNNNNNNNNNNNNNNNNNNNNNNNNNNNNNNNNNNNNNNNNNNNNNNNNNNNNNNNNNNNNNNNNNNNNNNNNNNNNNNNNNNNNNNNNNNNNNNNNNNNNNNNNNNNNNNNNNNNNNNNNNNNNNNNNNNNNNNNNNNNNNNNNNNNNNNNNNNNNNNNNNNNNNNNNNNNNNNNNNNNNNNNNNNNNNNNNNNNNNNNNNNNNNNNNNNNNNNNNNNNNNNNNNNNNNNNNNNNNNNNNNNNNNNNNNNNNNNNNNNNNNNNNNNNNNNNNNNNNNNNNNNNNNNNNNNNNNNNNNNNNNNNNNNNNNNNNNNNNNNNNNNNNNNNNNNNNNNNNNNNNNNNNNNNNNNNNNNNNNNNNNNNNNNNNNNNNNNNNNNNNNNNNNNNNNNNNNNNNNNNNNNNNNNNNNNNNNNNNNNNNNNNNNNNNNNNNNNNNNNNNNNNNNNNNNNNNNNNNNNNNNNNNNNNNNNNNNNNNNNNNNNNNNNNNNNNNNNNNNNNNNNNNNNNNNNNNNNNNNNNNNNNNNNNNNNNNNNNNNNNNNNNNNNNNNNNNNNNNNNNNNNNNNNNNNNNNNNNNNNNNNNNNNNNNNNNNNNNNNNNNNNNNNNNNNNNNNNNNNNNNNNNNNNNNNNNNNNNNNNNNNNNNNNNNNNNNNNNNNNNNNNNNNNNNNNNNNNNNNNNNNNNNNNNNNNNNNNNNNNNNNNNNNNNNNNNNNNNNNNNNNNNNNNNNNNNNNNNNNNNNNNNNNNNNNNNNNNNNNNNNNNNNNNNNNNNNNNNNNNNNNNNNNNNNNNNNNNNNNNNNNNNNNNNNNNNNNNNNNNNNNNNNNNNNNNNNNNNNNNNNNNNNNNNNNNNNNNNNNNNNNNNNNNNNNNNNNNNNNNNNNNNNNNNNNNNNNNNNNNNNNNNNNNNNNNNNNNNNNNNNNNNNNNNNNNNNNNNNNNNNNNNNNNNNNNNNNNNNNNNNNNNNNNNNNNNNNNNNNNNNNNNNNNNNNNNNNNNNNNNNNNNNNNNNNNNNNNNNNNNNNNNNNNNNNNNNNNNNNNNNNNNNNNNNNNNNNNNNNNNNNNNNNNNNNNNNNNNNNNNNNNNNNNNNNNNNNNNNNNNNNNNNNNNNNNNNNNNNNNNNNNNNNNNNNNNNNNNNNNNNNNNNNNNNNNNNNNNNNNNNNNNNNNNNNNNNNNNNNNNNNNNNNNNNNNNNNNNNNNNNNNNNNNNNNNNNNNNNNNNNNNNNNNNNNNNNNNNNNNNNNNNNNNNNNNNNNNNNNNNNNNNNNNNNNNNNNNNNNNNNNNNNNNNNNNNNNNNNNNNNNNNNNNNNNNNNNNNNNNNNNNNNNNNNNNNNNNNNNNNNNNNNNNNNNNNNNNNNNNNNNNNNNNNNNNNNNNNNNNNNNNNNNNNNNNNNNNNNNNNNNNNNNNNNNNNNNNNNNNNNNNNNNNNNNNNNNNNNNNNNNNNNNNNNNNNNNNNNNNNNNNNNNNNNNNNNNNNNNNNNNNNNNNNNNNNNNNNNNNNNNNNNNNNNNNNNNNNNNNNNNNNNNNNNNNNNNNNNNNNNNNNNNNNNNNNNNNNNNNNNNNNNNNNNNNNNNNNNNNNNNNNNNNNNNNNNNNNNNNNNNNNNNNNNNNNNNNNNNNNNNNNNNNNNNNNNNNNNNNNNNNNNNNNNNNNNNNNNNNNNNNNNNNNNNNNNNNNNNNNNNNNNNNNNNNNNNNNNNNNNNNNNNNNNNNNNNNNNNNNNNNNNNNNNNNNNNNNNNNNNNNNNNNNNNNNNNNNNNNNNNNNNNNNNNNNNNNNNNNNNNNNNNNNNNNNNNNNNNNNNNNNNNNNNNNNNNNNNNNNNNNNNNNNNNNNNNNNNNNNNNNNNNNNNNNNNNNNNNNNNNNNNNNNNNNNNNNNNNNNNNNNNNNNNNNNNNNNNNNNNNNNNNNNNNNNNNNNNNNNNNNNNNNNNNNNNNNNNNNNNNNNNNNNNNNNNNNNNNNNNNNNNNNNNNNNNNNNNNNNNNNNNNNNNNNNNNNNNNNNNNNNNNNNNNNNNNNNNNNNNNNNNNNNNNNNNNNNNNNNNNNNNNNNNNNNNNNNNNNNNNNNNNNNNNNNNNNNNNNNNNNNNNNNNNNNNNNNNNNNNNNNNNNNNNNNNNNNNNNNNNNNNNNNNNNNNNNNNNNNNNNNNNNNNNNNNNNNNNNNNNNNNNNNNNNNNNNNNNNNNNNNNNNNNNNNNNNNNNNNNNNNNNNNNNNNNNNNNNNNNNNNNNNNNNNNNNNNNNNNNNNNNNNNNNNNNNNNNNNNNNNNNNNNNNNNNNNNNNNNNNNNNNNNNNNNNNNNNNNNNNNNNNNNNNNNNNNNNNNNNNNNNNNNNNNNNNNNNNNNNNNNNNNNNNNNNNNNNNNNNNNNNNNNNNNNNNNNNNNNNNNNNNNNNNNNNNNNNNNNNNNNNNNNNNNNNNNNNNNNNNNNNNNNNNNNNNNNNNNNNNNNNNNNNNNNNNNNNNNNNNNNNNNNNNNNNNNNNNNNNNNNNNNNNNNNNNNNNNNNNNNNNNNNNNNNNNNNNNNNNNNNNNNNNNNNNNNNNNNNNNNNNNNNNNNNNNNNNNNNNNNNNNNNNNNNNNNNNNNNNNNNNNNNNNNNNNNNNNNNNNNNNNNNNNNNNNNNNNNNNNNNNNNNNNNNNNNNNNNNNNNNNNNNNNNNNNNNNNNNNNNNNNNNNNNNNNNNNNNNNNNNNNNNNNNNNNNNNNNNNNNNNNNNNNNNNNNNNNNNNNNNNNNNNNNNNNNNNNNNNNNNNNNNNNNNNNNNNNNNNNNNNNNNNNNNNNNNNNNNNNNNNNNNNNNNNNNNNNNNNNNNNNNNNNNNNNNNNNNNNNNNNNNNNNNNNNNNNNNNNNNNNNNNNNNNNNNNNNNNNNNNNNNNNNNNNNNNNNNNNNNNNNNNNNNNNNNNNNNNNNNNNNNNNNNNNNNNNNNNNNNNNNNNNNNNNNNNNNNNNNNNNNNNNNNNNNNNNNNNNNNNNNNNNNNNNNNNNNNNNNNNNNNNNNNNNNNNNNNNNNNNNNNNNNNNNNNNNNNNNNNNNNNNNNNNNNNNNNNNNNNNNNNNNNNNNNNNNNNNNNNNNNNNNNNNNNNNNNNNNNNNNNNNNNNNNNNNNNNNNNNNNNNNNNNNNNNNNNNNNNNNNNNNNNNNNNNNNNNNNNNNNNNNNNNNNNNNNNNNNNNNNNNNNNNNNNNNNNNNNNNNNNNNNNNNNNNNNNNNNNNNNNNNNNNNNNNNNNNNNNNNNNNNNNNNNNNNNNNNNNNNNNNNNNNNNNNNNNNNNNNNNNNNNNNNNNNNNNNNNNNNNNNNNNNNNNNNNNNNNNNNNNNNNNNNNNNNNNNNNNNNNNNNNNNNNNNNNNNNNNNNNNNNNNNNNNNNNNNNNNNNNNNNNNNNNNNNNNNNNNNNNNNNNNNNNNNNNNNNNNNNNNNNNNNNNNNNNNNNNNNNNNNNNNNNNNNNNNNNNNNNNNNNNNNNNNNNNNNNNNNNNNNNNNNNNNNNNNNNNNNNNNNNNNNNNNNNNNNNNNNNNNNNNNNNNNNNNNNNNNNNNNNNNNNNNNNNNNNNNNNNNNNNNNNNNNNNNNNNNNNNNNNNNNNNNNNNNNNNNNNNNNNNNNNNNNNNNNNNNNNNNNNNNNNNNNNNNNNNNNNNNNNNNNNNNNNNNNNNNNNNNNNNNNNNNNNNNNNNNNNNNNNNNNNNNNNNNNNNNNNNNNNNNNNNNNNNNNNNNNNNNNNNNNNNNNNNNNNNNNNNNNNNNNNNNNNNNNNNNNNNNNNNNNNNNNNNNNNNNNNNNNNNNNNNNNNNNNNNNNNNNNNNNNNNNNNNNNNNNNNNNNNNNNNNNNNNNNNNNNNNNNNNNNNNNNNNNNNNNNNNNNNNNNNNNNNNNNNNNNNNNNNNNNNNNNNNNNNNNNNNNNNNNNNNNNNNNNNNNNNNNNNNNNNNNNNNNNNNNNNNNNNNNNNNNNNNNNNNNNNNNNNNNNNNNNNNNNNNNNNNNNNNNNNNNNNNNNNNNNNNNNNNNNNNNNNNNNNNNNNNNNNNNNNNNNNNNNNNNNNNNNNNNNNNNNNNNNNNNNNNNNNNNNNNNNNNNNNNNNNNNNNNNNNNNNNNNNNNNNNNNNNNNNNNNNNNNNNNNNNNNNNNNNNNNNNNNNNNNNNNNNNNNNNNNNNNNNNNNNNNNNNNNNNNNNNNNNNNNNNNNNNNNNNNNNNNNNNNNNNNNNNNNNNNNNNNNNNNNNNNNNNNNNNNNNNNNNNNNNNNNNNNNNNNNCGCCUUGGCCGUACAGCAGAAUAUAACUAGACAUCAAAAUUAAAAAUAUAAAAUAAACUAUAUUAAUAAUAUUCCAAUGAAUAUAACCAACCAUAAAAAUUAAAAAUUUAUCUUGUCAGCCAUGGAUAUAACCGAUAAACUCUUAUAAAACAAGGACUUUUUAAUACUACUCCGAUGAAUAUAGCCAGCCAUCUAAUUUGAUAACCAUGGUUUGUCAUUUUAAUCAAAAAUACAUUUAAAUAAAUCAAAAAUUAAAUUUUAAGGCCAAAUUUAGAUUGCCAUUUAACUGCAAUGCACAAUUCUUUAAUCACAGUGUAGUCAACUAGUCAUUACAACUCAGCUUAACUCUGCUCUACCACAUUCACUCCCUCUAAAUUCCAUAUAAACAAGCAGAAUCCACUAAAUUUGACCUAAAAUGUAAAAUCAACAAAUACCCAAUACCGCAAAAAUAUAAAAAUAAUCAAUAAUAAGUAGUCAACAAACACAAUCACAUCAAUAAAAAUCCUUAAAUUUGAACAUCACAUUAGUAAAGAUCCUUAAAUUUCAAUCAGAAGCUUCUAAGCACAACACUUUAAAAAGUCAAAUUCAUGAAUUUAAGCAUAAAAACUAGCAAUGCUAUAAAGCUAAAAUAGAAAAGUAGCAAAUAUCCAAAAACAUUUUACCAAAAAAAUCAACCAAAAGUUUCUAAAUUUCAAAUAAAACUCACCAAUAGAAGGGCAAUAAUUGUGAGGAAAUAAGCUGCUGGUCAACUGCUGGUCGUUGGGUUUAAAUGAAAGAUUUGAAGAAGUCUGGGGGCAUUGUGCAGAUCGACUUCAGCUGGAGGGGUCUAGUUGAAAUAUUAAAGUUGAUGUGGCAUAAUUCGUUAUGGCUUCCCAGAAAUACCAAAAUAUAAAUACGUGUGUUUUAGCCUCUGAUAUGUGUGUGUAAUCUUCUUCAUUUCUUGGUCAUUUAGCUAGCUAUUUGGUUCUUGGUGAUCCUUGUAAUUUCUUCUAUAGAAUUAGCUUGUAAUUCGAUUAUGGAGAUCAAUGAAAGAGCAGUUUUUUCCUUCUACAAGUUGUGUGCUUGAAACUGUGCUCUGUUCAAGUUCUUUUUUGGUUCUUUCUUGAUUAGCUUACUUUGAUGAAUUCUUUCUAGAUUCAAUACGUUAAUAGAGUUCUAACAACUGGUAUCAGAGCCAGUGGUGGUUCAAAAACAUGUCUCUUCCAAAACCCGAUAUUGAAAGGUUCACCAUUGGUGGUGACUUUUCACUUUGGAGGAUGAAGAUGAGGGCUCUCCUUGUUCAUCAAGGUCUCGAAUCAACGCUGGAAGAAGAUGAUCUUGGGGAUGCUUCAAGUUCAGUCUCUGAUGAGAAGAAAAGACAGAUACAGAACAAGGCUCACAGUACCUUGAUCUUGAGUCUCAGUAACUCAAUUCUAAGGGAGAUUUCUGAAGAGAAGACUGCCCUUGGUAUCUGGAACAAGGUGGAGGCCUUGUGUAUGAAAAAGUCCCUGGCACAUAGAUUGUUCUUGAAGAAAAGGCUAUAUACCUUUUCUAUGAGAGAAUGAGUCUUGAUUCAAGAACACAUUGACAACUUCAACAAGAUCAUUCUUGAUCUUGAAGGAGUUGAAAAUGUGAAAAUUACAGAUGAGGAUAAAGCCUUCUUUCUACUGAGUUCAUUGCCUAAAAUCUAUGAGGGAUUUGUAGACACCAUGCUGUAUGGAAGAACUACACUCACUUUAGAGGAUGUAAAAGCUUCUUUGAGUUCUAAGGAGAUCCAGAAGAAUAAUGGGCAUGAAGUUAGUAAUGGUGAAGGCUUAUUUGCCAGAACAGAAAAGAAAAAUCAGAAGAAGAAGAACCAGAGUCAAGCUAAAAAGGAUGAUGUAUCUGUAAAAGAAAAAAUGAAGAAAAGAAAGUGCUUCUAUUGCAAGAAACAAGAUCACUACAUCAGGGACUGUGCUGAGAAAAAGAGGGAUGAAAAAGAGAGAACAGGUGAUGCAGCAGUAGCCUCAGAUGACUCCUCUGAUGAUGGAUACCAUAGUGCUGAUUUGUUGGUGGCUUCAAACAGCAAUAUCAAAGGUCAGUGGGUUCUUGAUUCAGGCUGUUCAUUACAUUUGUGUCCUGAUAAAAACCUUUUCCAUACAUAUAAAUCUGUGGAUGGUGGUAGAGUGUUGAUGGGUAACAACAAUGUGUGUAAGAUUGUUGGUAUGGGGUCUGUCAAAAUAGAGAUGUUUGAUGGGUCUGUUCAAACUCUAAGUGAUGUAAGGCAUGCACCUAGGCUAAAGAGAAAUUUGAUCUCUUUAGGCAUGCUAGAUAGUAUGAGAUAUAGCUUUAAAUCUGAAAAUGGUGGUUUAAAGAUUAUGAAUGGGACUGAGAUGAUAAUGAGAGGAGUUAAGAAGAAUGGCUUGUAUGUGUUAGAAGGAUCAUCAGUGCCUGGAGCAGCUGCAAUGCCUGCUGUUUCUGAUGUUAAUAGAGCCAUGAUAUGGCACCUUAGACUAGGCCAUAUGAGUAUUAGGGGAAUGCAAGAGCUGAGUAAGCAAGGGCUGUUGUGUGGUGAUAAUAUAGAUGAUCUAGACUUCUGUGAAAACUGCAUUUUUGGCAGGGCACACAGGUCCAAAUUCACAAAGGGCAUGCAUGUAUCUAAACAACCAUUAGAUUAUGUACAUGCUGAUUUAUGGGGGCCUGCCCAAGUACCAUCCUUGAGUGGAGGAAGGUAUUUUAUGUCAGUCAUAGAUGACUACUCCAGGAAAGUAUGGAUCCACAUACUGAAGACCAAAGACUAAGCCUUAGAGAAGUUCAAGAUUUGGAAGACUUUGGUAGAGACUCAAUCUGGUUUCAAGGUGAAAUGCUUAAGAAUAGACAAUGGACUUGAAUUCUGCAAUAAAGAGUUUGAGCAAUGCUGCUAGAAAUGAGGAAUUAGGAGGCACAAAACAGUGAGAUUCACCCCUCAGCAAAAUGGUUUAGCUGAGAGGAUGAAUAGAACACUUGUUGACAAGACAAGAUGUUUAUUGAUAAACUCUAAGCUUCCUAGGAGUCUUUGGGCAGAAGCUGUUUCUACAGCCAGUUACCUAGUAAACAAAAGUCCAUCUUCAGCAAUUGGCUUUAAAAAACCUGAAGAACUCUGGUCUGGAAGACCUGGAAAAUAUGAACAUCUGAGGGUAUUUGGAUGCCCUGCUUAUGUCCAUGUCAGACAAGGGAAACUUAAUGCAAGAGCUAUAAAAGAGGUAUUUGUUAGUUAUCCAGAUGGGGUUAAAGGCUACAGGGUCUGGUGUAGAGAGGCCAAUAAGUGUAUGAUCAGUAGAGAUGUCUAGUUUAAUGAAGUGGCUUUGAUCAAUAACUCUGACCAAGCCACUCCUGCUAAUGACAUUAGUACAAGUGACACACAAGCCACCACAGAAAUUGAUCAAGGUGGAAAGAUUGAGGUGGAGUUGUCUAAAGACUAUGAAGAUGAAAUACAACCAGAGGUUGUUGAAGCUGAGUCUCAAGAUGCAGAAGUGACAAAAGGUGAAGUACCACAAGCAACUGACUUACAACAAUAUCAGUUAGCUAGAGAUAGAGAAAAAAGACAUACCAGACCCCCAGCAAGAUAUGCAUAUGCAGACAUGGUUGCCUGUGCCUUGAUGAGUGCAGAAGAUGUUGCAAUUGAAGAGCCUAACAGUUAUAGAGAAGCAAUGAAUAGCAAGAAUAGCAGAAACUGGAUUAAAGCUAUAAGGGAGGAAAUGGAUUCUCUGGUAAGGAAUCAGACUUGGAUUUUGGUCCCAAAUCUAGGGAAUAGAAAGAUUGUCAGCUGCAAGUGGAUAUUCAAGAAAAAUGAGGGCAUUCUAGGUGUUGAAGACUCAAGAUAUAAGGCAAGACUGGUGGCGAGAGGGUUAACACAAAAGGAGGGGAUUGAUUUCAAUGAAAUCUUCUCACCAGUGGUAAAACACAGCUCAAUCAGAAUCUUGCUUGCUAUAGUGGCUUUGUUUGAUCUAGAGCUUGAACAAAUGGAUGUAAAGACUGCCUUCCUACAUGGAAACCUUGAAGAAAAGAUACUAAUGUCUCAGCCUGAAGGUUUUGAAGAAAAGGGACAUGAGGAUUAUGUAUGUCUUCUUAAAAGGUCUCUAUAUGGCUUGAAACAAUCUCCUAGGCAAUGAUAUAUGAGAUUUGACCAGUUUAUGAUCUCUAAUGGCUAUCACAGGAGCAAAUAUGAUAGUUGUGUCUAUCAUGAGAUUAUAAACUCAGGUGGAAACUCAGGUGGAGCAGUAUAUCUACUAUUGUAUGUUGAUGACAUACUCAUUGCUGGUAAAAAUCUCAGUGACAUUAAAAAGCUCAAGAAUUUGUUGAAGGGGGAAUUUGAAAUGAAAGAUCUUGGCAGUGCUAAGAGGAUUCUUGGGAUAGAUAUUGUCAGAGAUAGACCAGUUGGUACCUUGUUUCUAAGCCAAUCAAGGUAUAUCAUCAAAGUGCUGGAAAGAUUUCAGAUAAUGGACUCAAAACCAGUACUGACACCUCUGGGAGCUCAAUUCAAACUCUCUGAGGACAUGUCUCCAACUUCAGAUGUUGAGGAGGUAAAGAUGGCUGAUAUACCAUACUCACAAACUGUAGGAAGCUUGAUGUAUGCAAUGGUUUGCACCAGAGCAGACAUAGCUUAUGCAGUAAGUGUGGUGAGCAGAUUUAUGAGUAACCCUAGUAAGCUUCACUGGGAUGCUGUGAAAUGGGUCAUGAGGUACCUGAAGGGGACCUUAGAUCAUGGUCUGAUGUAUGGUAAAUCCAAGCAUGAGGUCUGUGAAGUCAGAGGGUAUGUUGACUCUGAUUUUACAGGUGACUUGGACAGAAGAAAAUCUAUCUCAUGAUAUCUGUUUAUGUUGGAUAGUUGUCUCAUAAGUUGGAAAGCUACUCUACAACACAUAGUAGCUUUGUCAUCUACUGAGGUAGAAUUUGUUGCUGCAACAGAGGCAGUGAAAGAAUCAAUGUGGUUGAAAGGGCUGCUAAAUGAACUCUGGUUGAAACAAAAAAUAGUGGAAAUUUUUUGUGAUAAUCAGAGUGUCAUUCAGCUCAUCAAAAACCAGGUUUAUUAUGAGAGAACAAAGCACAUUGAUGUGAAGUUGCACUUUAUCAGAGAUGAGGUUGCAAAAGGGUCAGUUGCAGUGAUCAAGAUACAUACAGAUAUCAACCCUGCUGAUAUGCUAACCAAAGUGCUACCAACAGCAACAUUUAAGUUUUGUGUAGACUUAAUUGGUGUUGGCAGCAGCUCUAGUUCCUGAAACAUGUGUUUGAAGGUUUUUUUUAUGCUACUUAAUUGAGAUGAUCAGCUGAAUCGAGUCUGCAAGGUGGAGAGUGUGAGGAAAUAAGCUGCUGGUCAACUGCUGGUCGUUGGGUUUAAAUGAAAGAUUUGAAGAAGUCUGGGGGCAUUGUGCAAAUUGACUUCAGCUGGAGGGGUCUAGUUGAAAUAUUAAAGCUGAUGUGGCAAAAUUCGUUAUGGCUUCCCAGAAAUACUAGAAUAUAAAUACGUGUGUUUUAGCCUUUGAUAUGUGUGUGUAAUCUUCUUCAUUUCUUGGUCAUUUAGCUAGCUAUUUGGUUCUUGGUGAUCCUUGUAAUUUCUUCUAUAGAAUUAGCUUGUAAUUCGAUUAUGGAGAUCAAUGAAAGAGCAGUUUUUUCCUUCUACAAGUUGUGUGCUUGAAACUGUGCUCUGUUCAAGUUAUUUUCUGGUUCUUUCUUGAUUAGCUUACUUUGAUGAAUUCUUUCUAGAUUCAAUACGUUAAUAGAGUUAUAACAAUAAUAGACGAUCAAUUACACUAGCGACAUGAUGUGAAGACUUGAAGAAAUAAACCCCUUUUCUUUUUGGCACAUGGAACCUGUAAUUACAAGCAAAUAAAAACUAUUGACACUACCAAGGAUGGGAACCUUGCAAAUUACAGAGUGAUCAAGCAAAGAGUAGCGGAAACCGCAUUACUGGAGUAAAUAAAGAAAUUGACACCGAUGUGGCAAAGUAGCACCAACCGGUGUUGAAUAGCUUAAUAGUGGGAAUUGGCGUCGGCUUGGAGGUGAUGUAACAGCCGGGAAAGGAAGCUCUGGUGGAGACUUAGAAGUGGCGAUGGGACUGAUAGUGUCUUGAGUAUUUUUUUUAAUUAUGUUGAGUAUUUUUUUUAAUUAUUUGAUUAAAUUAAAAUAUAUUUUGAUUUAAUAAAUAUUUUGGGCCCCGAACCCAAACCCAAAAUAUAUUUAGGGCUUGUAUUUAUUCUUAAUAUAGACCUAUUUUUAAUUUUAAAAUUUUGUCGGAGGCCCCUACCCGACCUAAAUUGAUCGGGGCCCAUACCUGAAUCAUUUGAACCUAAACCCAUACCCGUGAAGAAUGUUGCCAUCACUAAUCUUGUUCGUUGGAUGCUCCUGUACGUGUAUGAAAUGCCCAUAUUGGUACUGAUUCUGAACAAUCAUUUUCUUAAUUGAUUGAUAUAUAUUUACAAAAUUGAAAAUUUAAUGUUUUUACUUAAUCAAUAUAUCUAUCGAAACACCAAAAAUAUUCUCCUCUUAAAAUCUAAACAUAUUAGGUCUUAUCAUGUGCAAAUUAAAAAAAAAAAAAAAGUCAUUUGUAAGCACACUCAUUUUUUUUCCGUGCAGUUGCGGUUUAAUAGUUAAUUAAAAUGACUAUAAAAUUGCAUGGUUUAAUUGUGAAUUGAAAGUUUACUCUAUUAAAUCACAUAAUUUAAUAGCGUAUCCGCAUAAAAAAAAAUAAUGAAGAUGCCGGUAUAUGUGUGUGUGUGUAUUAGUUGUCUGAUAUUAUAUAUAAUUAACCUCCUUGCUGAUAGACAAUGUCAAAAUUAUAUCUCAUCCACUCCCUUCUAAUAUAAAAUGGUAAAUUACUCAUGUAAUUGUUUUGAAAAACCAAAUUAAGGCAGCCAAUAAUCGUUUGAAAAUAAAUUGGUAGGCUUAAUUUCGUCCAACUUCAUUAAUUGAUACAAAAGAGUACAACAAAGAGCAAUCUUGACAGAGUGCGUUGAACACGACAUGCGUUAUUUAUUUUCAACAAUAUUUUCAAGCCUAAUACUGGACGGGACAUUACUCAAUAAAUUCAGCCAAUUGUGAAAAAACAAAAUGCACAAGCCAACUUUCAUUUGCUAAAGCUAAAAGGCCGACCAAGUUUAUAUUAUGGGAUUUCGACUUCCGGAUCCUUUCUAGGCUUUGGGAGCACAUUCCCCCCCACAAAUUCGAAUUCUAGGACAACUGACUAAAGAGCUCUGUUUACAUUCUUCUCUUUAAUUUUUAUUUAUUUUUGAAUAAUGAAUGAAGUGGAGCUUUCUGGGUCGUUAGAAUGGAGAAUUAUUUCUCUCCUAAUUUUUUUUUUUAAUUCUUUGAAGUCAGUCUCUUCUCUGCAUCAUUUGAGUUAAUCUUUGAUCUGCUUAAUUUUUGUUAAGGAGGAGAAAAAAUGUCAUUUUUCAAGUAAAUUCUGUAUAAAACAAAGCACCUAAGAAAAUUCGUUACCACUGGAGGCUGGUAUGAGACCACAAGAAGCAAAUUCAUUCAGAUUGAUUCCACGCUGCUGCUACAGUCUUCUUCGCUAUGAUUCUCAUCUAGUCUUCUCUUCAUUUCUCUUCGAAUAAGAGACGAAUUAGGAACAUGACACGCGUCCUCUCAACUGAUGACGUGUUGUUUGACGAUUGUGUUUUAGAGUAGUGCUAGAUGUUAAGAACGCCGAGAGAAUGUCGAGAGAAACGACAUACAGUAAUGCCAUUUCUCUCGGCAGAAAAAAAAAAAAAAAGAUUUUUUUAAACUUAAAAAGUUAAAAGGCCGGUAUAAAAGGAAAAAAAAUGCUGACUCUCUCUCCCUCCUCUCCCACGCUUGCUGGUACUCCUUCAGUCCUUCUCUUCCCCUCAUUUCGCUCACUACUCUUCUCCUUCACUCGCUCUCUACCACUCCUCCUCUCCUCCUCUCGCUCGCUACUAUUCCAGAUCUACUCGGUGGUCACUGGUGGUCGGUGGUCGCUGCUCGCGGUGCUCGGUGGUGCUGCUCGCGGUGCUCGGUGGUGCUGCUCGCUCUCAUCGUCUCUCUCCGUUUCCCUCCUCUCCCUCGCUCGCUGCUACUCCAGAUCUACUCGGUGGUCGCUGCUUGCUGCUCGGUGGUGCUGCUCGUCUCUCUCCAUCGACCAUGUUCUCACCUGCUACAAAUUUGCAAUCCCUCAGCCCUCGUAAAUUUUAGUUGCCAGCCCAUCCACAUGCCCCUAUAGUGAGAUCCGCGCUUCGUGCUUUAUUUUAUUUCUUGUUUUUUUUUUACCUAUCUUAUUCGGUAGCUUUUCAAUUUCAUGCCUUCUGCCGAUGGCUGUACAACUUUAAAUUCAAUUUUAAUAUAUAUUUUAAACGGUUGUUGGAUUAUUUUUGUCUGGAACUAGAACCAGUAGUUGAAUACAUGUGGUGGUGCCUUAUUGACAACUGAGGUUUGAUUCGCCUUCAAAAUUUGAUCUUUAUCAUAAAUUUCCGAACUUUGAGCCUAGAUUUGCACACUGGAUGGUGGUUUAUUGACAGUUGAGGUUUGAUUUGCAUGUAAAAUUGCAAAUUUACCGGCAUUCUGGGUAUGGUUUUUUGUGCUGGGUGGUUCUGAAAUUUUUUUGGUGUAUUGCCGGUUGGGUAUAAAUUUUUGUUGGUAAUUACUUGGUGAAAAUUGUCGGUUGGUAUAUGUAUUACAUUUGGUAAUUAUUUGGUAAAAAUUUCUGGUUGGGUAUAAAUUUUUGUUUGUAAUUACUUGUGAAAACACAUGUUCAUCGUUGAAAAGACAAUUGUGCAAUUACAUGUUCAUCACUGUAAUUAGUUCGAUUUAGCCAAAUAUAAGCGAAAUGCUAGAAAAACUUGUUCGAAUAAAAUAUAAGUCAAACAUCAAUCACAUUCAUUGUUGUCUUCGUUACGUUGUUGAUGUAGCAAAUGUUAGAAACUUCCAGAUCCUUCCUACGACAUGAAUGAGAAGGAUAAUGUGGUUGCAAGAUAAUGUGGUUGCAAAGCAUACGGCGGGAGUGGUUGUUGUAAUAUAUAAAAAAUUAAAACAUGAUAUGAGAUUUUAGAAAUUAAAAAAUAUAAGUAUACAAAAUAAUUAAUAUUCGUAUUAAGAAUAAAUUAUUACUUCUAAAUAAAAAGGUUUCUAAAUCAAACACAACAUUUAUAUUAAAAGAAAUUCUAAAUCCAAAAUAAAAUUAAAAUUAAAAAUUUCUAAAUCAAAUUUAUCAUUAUUUGAUUUCUAAAUAAAAAUUUCUAAAUAAAAAUUUCAUUAUCAUAUAACAAAAAAUAAUAAAAUAAAUAAAAAAUCACUCUUUACUAGCUGGGUGUUUUACUUCAAGCUGGUGAUGAACUACUCCUGCUAGGCUGCUAAUGCCGUUUUCCUGCUUCUAAAAUGAGAAAAAAAAACCCAACUCAAUCCUUUUCACGUGAAUGAGCAAAUACUCCUGCCCUAAUGCCGUUCUCUCUACUUGUGAAAUGAGAGAAAAAUCUCAACUCAAUUAGUGCUUUUCGACAGCUAGAAUCAAAUGUGGGGGAGAAAGAGUAAAAAAUGUGGAAAAAGCAAAAGUAGCAAGAAAAAACAAAAGGGACAAAAGUUCACGUGGUAGGGGUGGGGCCGAGAGAAACGGCAUUCUCGCUGAGAAGUCUCUUUCAUCUCUCUUGUCUCGUUUCGUUGGUACGUGUUCUCCGUUUAUCUCGUCGCUAGUAGUCUCCAUUAAUUAAUAUUAACAUUAAUAAUAAUAAUAAAAUAACAUCUCAAACAGACUAUUAUUAUUAUUAUUAUUAUUAUUAUUAUUGAAUUAAAAUGUUGACUGCUGUGUUUAAUAAAAUAUUCAUUUCAGUAGUUUUCUUAAUUCAGCAAGCGUGCGUGCAUUAUUUAUUUAAUUAAUUGUUAAUUGCGUUUUUCAUUUCUUCUCCUCCUCCUUUUUCGGUCAUUUUAGUUUUCGAGCGGAUGGACUAUAUUCUGCUAAGAAGUUCUCGAGCUGUGAUUGUGUCAAUUUUUUUUUUCCCUUCAAUUUUAUUCAAUUAAUUCCAGCUGGAUUGGCUUCUGGGAUAUAAUCAGUCAAUUGAUUUGCUAUCUCCUGAGUUUUGUUUCGAUAUAAAUUAUAAAAAGAGAUAGACAGGUGUGUAGCGUGUACAAACAAACAUACUUGAAGGAAUUUAUUGAAUUGACUUUAAGAAGACAACUGCGAUCGUGUUUUUUUUUUUUUUUCUGAAAAAAACAAAAAACAAAAAAACAAAAUGAACUUAUUGUCUCUGUGAUGUGAAAAUCCAGCUCCUGAGAGCCGGAAUAAAGUGUAAAACGGAUUAUUUAGUUUGCUUUUGCAGUGGUAGAUACUCAUUUUGCCAUGUGUUUGCUUUUUCUUUCAGCAGAGGUUGGUAUACCUGGUUAUUCUUGAUUCAAUAUCUAUACAUAGCCACUUCCGAUGGGAUGGGAAACAUUUACCAGAGACGCAUGAGUGUACUCUCAAUGGCUAUAUUAAUUUACCUUGACUAUAAGGUAUUAAGUUUCUUGUUUGUUGCUCAUUGUCUUGACUUCAAAUGAAUGGCAAUCUCAUUUCCAUUGCUGCUUUUACUGCAGGCUGUACAGCAAAGAGAGAAAUGGAUAAACAAGUCUAAGAUAUAUGGCAGAGGGCUCAUGAGCGCAAUCCUAAGCGUGUUCUCAAUUUAAUAAUAAAGUUGGAAGGCUUGUGGGUGAAACUUGGACAGUACCUAUGCACACGAGCUAAUGUACUUCCUGAAGCUUACAUAUCUCUUCUGAAGCAGUUGCAGGACUCUCUUCCUCCUCGUCCUGUACAGGAGGUAGUAGUUUGUCUGGCUAUUAACUUUGGAGGUCAACCAAUAGUAUGUGUGUGACUGAGAGAGAGAGGGGUUUCAAUUCAUCUUAGUAUUGGGUUCUAAUAAUUGGUUGAGGAGAAAAAUGAACCUUAUUCGUCAAAUAUGGAAGUGGCUGCAUGAUAAUCUUUUUGUGCUUUUCUCUCCCCCUUCCUCCCCCCUUCCCCCGAGUGUGGGUGCAUGCAUGUUUUUCCUGCAUCUUAUGAGUAUCUAAUUACUUUGUCUUGCUAAGUGGUAAGUUCUGUUGUGCAGGUUUCUCAGACCAUAGAAAGGGAAUUGGGGGAAUCCAUGGGUGAUAUGUUCAUGGAUUUUGUUGAAACUCCUUUGGCGACAGCAUCAGUAAGAUCCUCAAACUGUAGUUGGUAGUAUUACACUAGUAUGAGAUCUUUGAUUUAAUUUUUCUCAGAAGGCAUGGUAAAAAUCAGUACCUUAUUGGGGAAUCCAUGGGAAAUGGACUUAGAUUUCCAUCACUCCCAUAUGGAUGUUCCGAAAGAAAUAGCCUGUUUCGUUUCAGCUGCAGUGACUCAAUUUUAAGUGGUUUGUGUUGAUCUGAAUUUUAAAUUUCUUUUUCUGUCAGCUGGGUACAUAUUAUGUUGUAUAUAAAGAGUCAUCCAUUUUAACAUGGACAAAAUUGUUGUUUUGUCUAACAUAUUGAUAGCUUAAGCAUUAGUAUGAACUUGAGGUGGCAGUUUUUGAAAAAUAUAUAUAUAUAUAUAACUUGUCUCGAGUCUCUCUCGACAUUCUUUCUUCUAAUUUUGAUCAUUGGAUCAUAAUCCUGACAUCUGUGUUCAUAAUAUAACUUUGUGCAUUACUUCAUUUUUUGGCACCUUUGGAUUCCUUGUUUCUUGAAUCAAAACUUAAUUGCGGGUUCAAUUCUGGACUUCUUUUAAUAGUUUGCAAACCAAAUGUAGUUUUGGAAUCAAACUUAAUUGCAGGUUCUAUUCUUGACUUGUUCUGUUGAGAGGGCAAUCACUUACAACUUCUCAUAGUUUGGUAAACAAAUGUGGUUUGGAAGUUCAUAAACUUGCUGUGUAAUCUGUCUAGUAUGUUUGGAUGAUACAAAUUUCAAUGACAAAAAACAAAAGUAAAAUUUGUUACAAUUUAUACAUACAAUUACAAUCUAAAAUUUAUUGAGACUCUAAAUGCAUUUCGAUGAUACAAAUUUCAAAGACAAAAAACAAAAGUAAAAUUUGUUACAACUUAUACAUACAAUUACAAUCUAAAAUUUGUUGAGACUCUAGAUGCAUUUCUUUAGUAGUACAACUUAGAAUUCUGACGAAUCUGCUAAGCAGUAGCUCGGAAAAUUAGUCUGGAGAUAUCUACCCUUAAUUAUUUAGUUAGAUUGAAUUAAAAAAAUCGAAUAGAUCAUAUGAAAGCUAAUCCUCAACACAAGUUUAUGGGCCAAGUCAAGAAGAAUACAUCAGUAAAAGAGUGCAGGCAGCAUCAAGUAUAAAACAAUGGUAAGAGACAGACUGUAACAAACGACACUACCAGUAAAAGAUCACCACUUUCAUUUACUAUGCAUCUUAAUCUUCUCUGAUUCUUCAACCCGCUUAAACCCUCAAAACCCUCAAGACUGUCAAAGGCAAAGACAGUAACUUCAACCAUUAUUAAAGCAACUUCUUCUCAACCGAAAACCAACAGCACAAAUGCUCAAAAACGCACUUGUAGAAACUGCCGAAGAGGAUCAUCAUAUGGCAGUCCAAGAAGGUCAGCUCUCAAGAAAACAUUCACGCAAAAGCAAUUCACCUUCACUGCACCCGUCUCCAGUAACCCGCAUGUGAAGAUUAUUGGCGGAGGCAUGGCGGUUCUGGCUUGUGCUUUGAGGUUGGAUAAAAGAGGUGUCAAGUCCACUGUUUUUGACAUGGUUGCCUUUUCUUUUGUACUUUUGUGUUUUUGAUGUGGGUUAUGUUUGUAUUUGAUGAGAGUAUAUGCUUGUUUAAUGGUAAUUGAAAAAAAUUGAUUUAAAACAGUCUAGCAUGUGUUGUUUUACAUUGAAUACUGUUUUCGUGAAAAGGGUUUUGUAUAUUGUUCAUUGCAUGUUGCUAUUGUGAUAGACAGUGUGUAUGUACCUUUGGCAAGCUCAACUCUUUUUGGAAUGCAUUAUUGAUUUGAUUAUAAGCAUGUUUAGAAUUGGGUUGUAGUGAUUUUUAAGCUGUAGUUGUUGAGGAAUGAAAUUAAAACAUUAGCUGCUAAAUAAAGUGGGGGUUUAUCAAAUAUUUUGGUCAACCACAUCCAUGUAAUUAUUUUUUAUUUUUUCUUCUUAACAAUGUGCUUUGUUGUAUCAGGGGAAUCCUGAUUUGGAAGGAAGAAUGGGAACUAGAAUGAUUGGUCGUCAACCACUGAUAUUUGAUCAUGCUACUCAAUUCUUUACCGUGAAUGAUUCUCGGUUUGGUGAGUUGGUUGAUGGUUAGUCGCAGAGAGGUCUGGUAUGACUGUGGGAAGGUGUGAUUGGAGAGUUGAAGUAGGUAGAUGUAGCAAAAUGAAUAAACGAAUCAAAUUCGAAUCGAAUCAUAAACGAAUUAGGUCAGAACUCUACUAACUCAUAUUCGUUUUGUUUAUUAAACAAAUUAAAAUCUCAGGAUUUAGAUUUGAUUUAUUUAUUAAACAAAUAUUCGGUUCGAUUCGUUUAAUUCAUUUAGUAGAAUUAAUAAAUGAAUUGAAUCGAAUUUAGAUUAGUUUACUAUUCAUUUAUCCUACAACGAAUUCAUAAUGAAUCGAACUGAAUAUGAAUUCGUUUACAAAAAUAUAAUUAAUAAACAGAAAUUAACAAAAUAAUUAUAAAAAAGACCACAAAUUUAGCAUCCUAUAAAAUACAAACUUAUUAUUAUUUAGUAUUACUAUAUUACCUUCAAACUUUAAAAAAAUUUCAUGUAUAUAUUUAAGGAUAAAUAAGUAAUUUAAUUAAAUGAAUAAUAAACGAAUGGAUCGUAUUCGAUUCAUUUAUGUUCCAUUUAUUGAACAAAUACUAAACGAAUAAACGAAUCAAUAUCCUCAAGUGUAGAUUCGAUUCUCUAAUUAGUGAAUCGAAUCAAAUUCACCCAUUUAUAACGAUUCAAUUUUUUUUUUCAAAGCCAAACCCAUUUAACUAGCAUCGAAUUGAAUGGAAAAUUCAUUCCAUUUCCUUCUUUACCUCCAAAAUAAAUUGGUGUUAAUGGAAUGCGCCCUCUUGCUGACUCUUUAUUGGCCUUGGUAACAAAUCUUUGUUUCGCUUUUGUAUUCCUUUCUUGUCGAUUCUACCAUGCUUCUUUGCAUCAAAAGGGGAAAAUUGUCUAAUUAAAUCACAAUGGUAAGAAACUGAAGUAUUGUUUUGAAGUUUGCUGGAAGGUAGUGUUGCUGCUUGGGUAUUCCAAGUCCCAAAAUCUUUAUAUUUUUCAGGUUUGACAAGAGAAGGAAGAUAAGAGUGUAUGAAACUAAAAGCUACAAUUAUAUGGUCACUUGAUUUCAAUUGCUUUGGUUGCAUUGCUAGACUUAAUUAAGCAGUGCUGAUAAUGAUCAUAACUGAGGAAAAGAAUAACCAGCAUGAACAUUUUGCACCACUGUAUUAUGGAUGCAAUUCCUGAGAAGUAACAGGCUUUCUAUGGAUUAUUAACUUGAUUUGGACUUAGUUAUUGCAACAUUUACACAGUAUAUCAUUACUUUUAAAUUAUGUAAAUCAUUCAUACCAUGGCUAAAUAUGUUUUGAUGCUUGUUGCAGACCUCCAUGGUUAAUGUUGUGAGAACUUGCUGGAUAAGUAAUCUUGAGCCAUUUAAUGGGAUGUCGUACUUGGGAGAGAAUGGGAAAACCGCAUGGGCAGUUUGAUGUGGUUAUUACUGCUCAUAAUGGUGAUUCAGUGCGGCCAGCCUUUCUCUUUCUCUCUGUGUGUGAAUGUUAUAGUUAGGUAGUCGUUUGCAUUACAAAAGUGAAGGUUAUUGUUUUCCGCAUUUGCAUGAAUGUUACAAUGCGCUUUGCUAUUGGAAAAAAGGAAAAAAGGAAAAAAGAUAUCUGAUUUUACAUUCUACCUUACAAUGGAUUAGGAAUGGUGAAGAAUCUCAUUUGGUACUGGGAAACCCUUCCAAAAUGCAAAAUCCUGUAUAGUUUGUUGAUAUUUUUUUUUCUAUUUUGUGGGAUACUAGAACUUCAGAAAGAUUAGAAAUUCAUAAAAUUUAAUACAGAUUUUUUCACUCUAAAUUUUGAGAAAAUGAUAGCUAGAUUACAACUAAGAUUAAUAGCAACUCUUAGCUAUAAACAACUAGAAGGCUGGUACUAAAUGCCAAUUUUGAAAUAGAACAUGAAGCCGUAAGCUCCCAAGCAGUGGCAGGAGCCCGGGGCUCUGAUCGUGUGCCCGUUGAAGAAUGAGCCGUCGAAUCCUAAGCAGUGGCUUGGUUAGGGAAAGCCACCGAAGUGAGUCUCCAUUGGGCAAUUGUCACUGCUUAUGGACCCAAACAUGGGUGAUCUAUCCGUGACCAGGAUGAAGCUUGGGCAAAACUGAGUAGGUUAUAAUAAUAUGAGCCGACUUUCAAUCUAUGCCAUUCAUUCAAUGACUUUGGAUAUGUCCACAACUCAUCAUAUUGAUAAUGUCCUAUCAGUGUCUUGUAAACUUCCCUUAUGAGUAUUAAAUAGGUUGUUAUGAAAGAAUUGAAAUCAUCUUUAUAAAUGUAACGACCAGAUAGGGUUCUAGACCUAGAAGAUGAGGUUAUGUUUGUUUCCUUUCUGUUUCUUAUUGAUUGUAGACUGUUUAUUGCUUGUGUCUGCUGUUCACAUUUUGGCUUUGUGUUGUGUGUAAUAGUUCCCUGAUGUAAUAGGAGGAAAAUUUGCAAAUUGGCUGCUUGGUUCAUCUGGCUUACCUCUAAUAGCUAGACAAACGAAGUUAUAUACACUUUGAAAUAUUAAGUUUUUUUGUAUUAUUAUCUAGCCUAUCUUUAUUCAGUAUCGGCCAUUUAUAAAUUAUUUCAAAGAUUCGUGAUGCAUUUUCCUGGUUUGCAGAGGCUGGAACUAAGUUUUAUAUGGGCCCUUCUUGUCACAUCUGAGGAUCCCCUUCCACCAGGCAGUGCAGUGCAGUGACUUUGGAGGAGCCUUUGUUAGAGGUGUUGAUUCUGUCUCAUGGAUGGCAAAUAACUCAACGAAGCUUUUGAGUUCUCAAAGUGAUGGUUCUCAUUGUUGGACCUUCUUCAGCACUACAGCUUACAGGGAAGGAAACAAGGUUCCACUGGUCAGUUUGUUUGUAAAUGCAUGUCUUGUUUAAAUACUUAUGAUUAUAUGCUGGCAUUGUCACACUUUUCUAACCAAUAGGCUAGGCCUCUAGUUGAAUCCAUUCAUCCUUCAGCUUGCAAUCUCAAGCUAUUGAAACAUGUUUUUUUUUUUUUUCACAUAUUUAUAUAGAGUUUGCAAUAAGAUUAGCUUUAUCUUCCCUUUUAUACUUGAAUCAAUAUGACAUUUCAAAUUUUACAGCAAAAUUCUGUGCUGCGUUGAUAUGUAUAUGUUGCAAUUUAGGCUUUCUGCAAGAAUUUUAUGAUUGUUUUUGUCAUUUAUUAGGAAAGUAUCGCAACUGCAACAGCAUAGAAGGUAAAAACAGAUAUGCUCGAGGUUGUUGAGGCUACGUUCGGCCUGCCACGUCGGAAGUCCAUUUAUACUUAAGAGUCCAAUUAUGGUAAGGCUCCACUUUUUUGGACAUGACCCUGUAAUUUCAUUUAGAUCAUGUCCCAUUUGGAUCCCCUGUGACCUACUUGGGCAGUAACUAUUGGCAGUAACUGUUUGCUGUUGCUGUUGCUGUUGCUUUAGAAUGAUUGGUUGACUUGGACAAGCAUCAAGCAUAAUAUUAAUACGAAGGUAAGAAACAAGAUUAGGCUCAGCUCGAGUUCUUCAAACUAGUGACACUUGAAUUUUUUUUUUUGGUUUCUGAGUUUGUCAACCACAGCGAUGUGGGAAAUAUUCAGGUUCUUUUUACUGUGCUUUGCUGUAUCAGGGGAAUAUGGCUCGGGAGGACAAAUGGGAUCAGACCCUGCAAACCAAAUAUAUGAGGCAAGCCCAAGAACAAAUGAGAGCCAUAGUCUCUUUGUUUGCAUUUGGGAAAUAGUACACGAAACAAUAGUCUCUUCGUUUGCAUUUUUUUCCAACUUGCUGUAAUUUGUAUAUACAUUGUGGGGUUUAAAAAGUUCUCAAACUGAAAAAAGAAAUCAUGCGUUGAUUUAAUUGUAUAUGUCUUUGUUCGUCUUUUAUUGUAAUUCUGAUUAAGAUUAAAUUUGUAAAUCAAAUAAAUUACUGUAUGUUAAAUAUUUGUUUUUCCUUUUUCCAAUUUUAAGGAUGGAACUUUGAUUACUUAUAGAAUGACAAUCACAUAGUCAUACCAAAUAAAUUACUGUAGUUUAUCUAAUACAACUUUGUAUUUAUUUAGUGCAAACUUUGUGAUUGAUGUAAUCUACAUCAUUAUGUAAGAAAUCUCUUAUCUUUAAGAAUAAGUAAUAAAGUAUUGGACAGCAAUACUUAAAUCUUAAUUGAGUAAGAGACUCAGAGUCCCCCCAGGUACUCAACAUUCUACUCACAUGAACGUAUGGGUGGGGGUACAUUCAAUAAAACUACAUAGGUCCUUUAAUUGUUAGCGCGGGAAUUUAUAUGAUUAUGCUAUUUAAUUUUUGAUAAUUACUAUUUCAAGUAUAAAUGUGCAAUUUGAUCGUUAGGAUACCGGUCACAGCAACUUUGGUAUUGUUCGUUGGGUGGAAGAAAAAAAUUGUCGGGUAAGUACAUACACUUAGUAUAUUAUUAUUGCUAUUUGAAUGCCAUUGCUACAUUAAUGGCAAUGACAUUGAAAAAAUUUCUUUUGGGCCUACAGGAACAGGCUAUCCUUAUAAUUGUCCUAUUUCCUUAACGGAUGUGUCUUUUAAGUUAUGCAUUUGGCAUAUGAAGUUUAUUGAGAGAAAGCAAAUGAUCAGGAGCUGGUCUUAAAAGCAUUUUGUUCAAGGAAUGCAAUACAAACUGUAAUAUGAUUUGAGACAAUUCAUAGAGCUUUCCUUGAGUGAAAAAAAGUCAUAUGCUUUUUUCAGUUUAAUCAAAGAAUUAUGAGAAUAACCUCGGGUAUGUUAAUUGAAAAUACCCAAACCGGACAAUUCACAUUCAUAACAUGCAACCCAGGUUCGUUAAUUUUAAAUUCCAAUUAAAUGUUCUAAACUAUCUUCAUCUAUUUUAGCAUGUGUUUCAUAAUUCACGCUUUCUUCUUCUUCUACCUUUUUAUUUUUAUUUUUAAUUUUUUUCCCUUCUUAGCUUCCAUUGGGUUAUUGAUGUGGUGAAAAAGGAAAUAUUUUGAUUGGAUCCUAAAGCACAAUCCUAAUCCUAAUCCUAAUUUAGAGCAGAUCCUUAAAGCGUAUGUUUCCAUUCGAUACCGUUCAUAUUUUCAGUUUCUUCAAAUAUUUUAGAUUAUAGAUCAAUAUAGUAGUUUUUCAUACCAUGCCAUGACACUGUUCAUAGUAUAGAUCUAAGAUGAGAUUUAUGGAAAUUUAUGUAGCCAUCGUGACACUUAGUGUAUAUGCAACUUAGGGUAGUACAAUCCUUUUUGGACUGCAUUCUUGAUAUGAUUAUUGCCAUGUUUGUAAUUGAGGAGUUGUGACUUUUAAAUUAGUGAGGAAUGGAAUUAAAAAUUUAAUUGCUAAAUAAAAUUGGGUGCUUAUCAAAUAUCUUAGCUAUUAUGCAUUCAAAAUUAUAUAGAAGCAUAGUAGAUAGAAAUGCACCCGAAGUACCUGCAGAUCCUGCCUCCAAAAGAGGACUCAACUCGAGUUAUCCAAAGUUGUGAAACUUGAAUUUUUUUUUUUUUUUUUUUUUCAAAUUUCAGUGCUAAGUUAGUCAACCACAUGAAUGUAACUAUUAUUUAUUGCUAAUUUACUAUUAUUAUCAUUAUUGCCAUUAUUUUCCUUUUAAAACGGUGCCUUUGCUAUAUAUUAUCAGGGGAAUUAUGGGAACCAGAAAAUGAUUGGUACUGAUUCAAAAAGUCCCAAAAUCGUCACAGUUUUGAGGUUUAACCCCACAAGAAAGAUCAUAAGCUAAAAUUACAUGGUCACAUGAUUUCGUGUCUAUUUGAUAUGGUUUAUUUAAUGGUUCUAAAUGCUUAUUUAAUCUUAUAAGCUCUUAUCAUAAUUUUUGUUGUUGUUUGAUUAUUUUUCUAAUAUAGCUUUUGAAGCUUAAAUAAGUUAUUUUGCAUCUACCAGUAAAAGCUCAAAUUUUGGGUUUUUGAGAGUAGAGAUUGAAAAAAAAAAUUUAAAUGUUAAAAUAUUUUAAAAUAUCCCCUACUUAUUUGACAAUCUUAUUUUAUUCUUUUUAUAAUAUAACUUUAAAAAAUUUAUCUAUUAAAAUAAUUUCAUAAAUUUUUAAUAAAAACUUUUAUUGACAAUCAAACAACUAAAUUUGUUUGGCUAAAAGCUCUAUUUAUAAAAGCUAUACUAGUAAAAACCCUACUUAAUAAGCUCUGUUUGAAAAGUUAUACCAAACAGAGCCUUUAAUUGCUUAGGCUGGGUGGACUUAUUAGAGCAUCACCAAAAGGCUCUUCAAAUAAGAUUUUAUUACUUAUUUGAAGACUACAUCAACAUUUAAGCCUCCAAAAGACACUUCAAUUAAAAUUCUUCAAAUAAAAAAUGAUUCUCUCUCUUCAAAGUUGAAGAAUUAUUUUCUCCCUCUUCAAUUUAUAUUUUAUUACUUUUUAAUUGCUAUUAACUUUUCUUUUAAAAAAAUAAUUAUUUGACUAAAAUAAUAUUAACUUAUUUUUAUUUGAAGAGUUUUUUAGAAAAUAAUAUAUUUUUUUUUAUUUUUCUAUUUGCCACAUAGAUAAAUAAAUAGAUAUUUAAAAAAUAUAAUUUUUAGAGAUUUUUAGAGAUACUCUAAUAAUUAAAUGGCGGCUGGGAUAAAAAGACAACUAACAAGAACAUUUCUCACCACUGUAUCAUGACUGCAAUUCCUGCACAGUAAAAAGCUUAUUUAUAAAUGCCACAAUAAUAUUUUGCUUAUUUACCAAGGCACAGAUGAACUUUAAAUUCAAAGAUGGCAAUUCAAAAGCAAUAAUAUUCCAGCAGCUAAUACGAUAAAAGUCUAUGGUUAGCAUUAACAUUGUGACACGGGGUACAUAUACACGCUUACCAUUGGUUUGAGUUGGCAAUGGUGGAAGUGUUGGAAUGGCUGGUGCAAAACUUCGCGGGUCCCUUCAAUUUUUCAGACGGGGAAAAUUAUGGAUAAUUCAUCAACACGUGUAAUUUAAACAGUUUAAAAAAAUAUUAAUAUUAUCAUAUGAUAUAAUUAUGAAACGUCAAAAAGUGUAAUUAGAAAAUUUUGCUAAAGUAGAGAGAGAAUCAAAUAUCACAAACCUCCUUUUAUUUACUACUUUAUAUGUGCAUUGCUUGAAGUUUUAUUAAGUAAAUCUCUUUCACUUAUUAAACGUUAAUUUUAAGUAUUAAUUAAUAAACUAAUAAUACUUAAUUAAAAAAAAAAAAACUAAGGGAUAGCCGUGAAAGAUUAAUUGAUUAGAGUAUGUUCUUAAAUUCAACUAAAAGUUCAAUAGUGGCUAUAAAGUACAAAUAUAUAAUUUAAUAAAUGCUUUUUUUUUUCAAUUAACAAAAAGUUAAGAUUGGUUCAUAUUAAAUUCGUUAUUAUUAAUCUAUACUCUAAUGGACUCAUGUCGUGAGAUAUUAAAAUUUAUAUACCAUUAGAAGACAAUGUCAUUGCCAAUAAAGAAUCGGCGGGGAAAGAAUCGGCCAAUAAAAACAAUGUGAUUGCCAUGGCUACCUAUCGCUAUCGGCGGGGAAAGAAUCGGCCAAUAAAGACAAUGUGAUUGCCAUGGCUGUCUAUCGCUAUGGGCGGGGAAAGAAUCGCCCAAUAAAGACAAUGUCAUUGCCAUGGCUAUCUAUCGCUAUCGGCGGGGAAAGAAUCGGCCAAUAAAGACAAUGUCAUUGCCAUGGCUAUUUAAACCCUUCUCUUCAGUUCUUCAGUUGAAACCUCAAAGAAAUGCAGGAACCCUUCAAUUCAAACCUCAAAAAAAUGUGCCUCGGAAAUAACCCAUAUCAGUGCUUUGUGUUCUGGUACGAGGAUGAAAACCUCGCUCACUUCAAGUACCCUCUUCCACCAGGGGCGAAGCAAGAGAAUGUGAAGGUUGAGAUCGAUGAAGAUGGGAACUUGCUUACAGUAUUCCUAAGCUUCCCGAAGAAAAAGGAAGGAGACACCACCACGCCCAUAAUCUCAAUGAAAUUCAACUUGCCAGCGGGUCUUGACCUGGCUGGGUUUAAGACUGCAAUCGAUGAUGCCGGCGUUCUAGCUGUUACCUUCACUAAACUGAAGCCACAGAAGCCAGAGAAGAAAAAGCCGAUGCCAAGCCCAAAGAAGAUACUGGGUUGGUUGCUUAAAGCUGUGCCUAUUUGUUCCCCGAUAGAUUCCAAUGUGUGUCAUGAGAUGAGUUCGGGAGGCUACUAAUAAGCUGAUGUCAAGUUGUUAUUUGCUUCGCGUUCAUGUUUCUUCUUCUCCUGUUUACGUAUUACCGUUUGAAAAUAACUCUGGACUGUAGAGUCUAGACCACGUGUUCGUUGAUUUGUGUGUUCUGCUGUAUUUCCUUUUUUUUUUCAGAACUUUGUCUCAUAAAAAAGGGUUGCGAUGCUGUAAUUUGUAAAAUAACUAUGACCAUCCUUAGAGUUUGAAACAAUUUCACUUAAAUAGUAUAUUUUAUUUAAAAUUAUUUUUCAAUCCUCCUUUAAAUUUGAAAUGUGAUAAUCUUUUUUAAAUAAAUCUUCCAAAAUCUAUUACCAUUAAGUAUAAAAUAUAAUGGUAGGUUAUUUAACACAAAUCAAAUAAAUAAGUUGCAAUUGCAAAAUUUAUAUAUGAUAUAACACUAAUAAAUAACACAAUUAAGUACAUAUACUUAAGUAAAUGUCAUAGUUACAUCAAUAAACUCAUUGUUGAGAUUGCUUGUAACAUAAAAAUUACUUGAUCACACAUGUUUUAAUAAAAUUUAAUAUCAUAUAUUAAAAUACUCAUUAUUUCAUAUAAUAUUAAUCAUGAAGUAUGUAUCAUUUUUAACACCCAUUUAACAUAGUUAUUUUCUGAACUUUAUAUUUACCUUACAGUUAAUAUCCUUACAUGGUAUGAGUUUUAAGUUUUAUAAGCUUAUAUAUUUUCAUUUUAUUUUCAAAUAUCACUUUGUUAAUUUCAUAAAAGUUAAAUCAAAUAUAUAUUCCUAAUGAGUUUUAGUUUAUGAAUCGUGAAAAAUUAUUUUAUUGAUAUCCUUGGAUUGUAAUUAUAAAAUUUUAUGUUAUGAAGAGUCAUUACUUUUAUUAUGAUAGUUAAUAGUGAUAAUAAAUAAAAUAUUACCUCCGAUAAUAUUUACAUGGGAAAAAAGUGAAAGAAAAUCAUUUAUAUUUUUAGAUUUUUAUUGACAUGGUAGAAAAUUAUUUGAGCCUUAUAAAAUUUAACUUUCACAAGCUUAUUUUCAUUUUAUUUUCAAAUGUCACUUUGUUAAUUUCAUAAAAGUUAAAUUUAACACAUAUUCCUAAUUAACUUUAGUUUAUGAAUAAUGAAAGAUUAUUUUAUUGUUAUUCUUUGAUAGUAAUUAUAAAAUUUUUAUGUUACGAAGAGUCAUUACUUUUAUUAUGAUAAUUAAUAGUGACAAUAAAUAAAAUAUUACAUCAAAUAAUAUUUAAUGGACAAAAUGAGGAAAAAAAAUCAUUGCAUGUUUUUAUAUUUCCAUUAUAAAGAUAUGGUUUGGGAUACUUUCAUAAUCUAAUUUAGCACAAUAUUUGAGCCACUAAUAUCUCAUAAUCUAAUGGUUGAUAUUGAAAGUCAAAGCAACAUUUCAUAAUGUUAUAUCCUCCACCAUUGAAUUGCAUGAAAUAAAUAGUUUAAUCUUUUGUUAAAAAUUUAAAUCAAAAUAUUUCUCACUCUAUAGUCUAUAUAGACAUAUAUAUUUUCAAUAAUAAUUGGUGAAUAAAAUAUUUCUCAUUUGUUGUGACUCAUAUAGUAUUAUUAAUUAAACACAUAUAAAAUAGUUUAUUGAAAUGCCUUCUAUUAUCAUUAUUGUUUAGGUAUUAAUGGUUUGUAAUUAAAUUCAUACAAUACAAAUUAUUAUAAGACUUUGUGUUAAAUAACCUACUUGAUAUUAUAUUUAUACUUAAUGGUAAUUGAUUUUGGAAGAUUUAUUUAAAAAAGAUUAUCAUAUUACAAAUUUAAAGGAGGGCUGAAAAGUAUUUUCAAAUAAAAUAUGCUAUUUAAGUGAAAUUGUUUCAAACUCUAAGGGUGGUCACAAUUAUUUUAUAAAAAUUCUCCACCCACUUGAACGGUUAACAAACUGUUUACUAUUAUUUUUAAAUUAUUAUUUUUGUACAAAUAUUGUAUAUCAUUGAUUAAAUCUAAUAGUUCAAAAUUAAUACAUUAUUGAUGCUGUAAAUUUUUUACAGCAUCGCAAAGGAACCCUUUUCCCUAAAUGACAAUUUUACGCCUGUUUCAAUUAUAUAAAGACAAAUAUAGGUUCCUACACAAUUGCGUUAUUACCCGUUUUAAUGAUGUCAAAUAUAUAUAUGGAAGUUGUGAAGGUGCUAUGUAUAUGAUGAAAGAAUGAAGAGAGAUUAAACAUAUUUGUUGUCAUGUGAUAAAGGAAGUGAUCAGAGAAUUAAAAUACCAUCUCAAAGUACAAUUGAACAAAAUGAAUAUGAAAACCUAAUAACUCAAAGUAGUAGCUUAAUUAAAAGCAUCAUAUUAAUUAACCUAUAAAUUAUACCAAUGAGCAUCAGCUUUUAAUUUCUCAUAGGGAUCAUCAUCAUUAUCAACUGAGUCCGGAAUCUUGGCCAUAACUCUCUCCCUAAUCUCGCGAAUCUUCUCUUGUAAUUUAUCGCUAGCCAUCUCUUCAUCGGUCAUGGUAGGAAGGCUCUCAAGCUUCACUUCUCCAAGAAGAAUCUUUCUUCUAAAGUCAGGAUUUCUUGAAUUCCUAACACUGAACAAGAUGGUUCUAUACUGGGGUUUGUUUGACCCAGUGAUAGGACCCAACGUUUUAAACAGCGCUGAUUCUACUGAUGCAGCAACUCCAACUGGGUCACAAGCUCUUAAUUGCUCCUUCAUCAUCUCUUCAUUAUUCUCUUCAUAAACUUUAGACAAUCCCUCUACAAGACGCUCACGAAAUUGGUUACGUGUAGCAUCAACAUCAGAACACUUGAAUUCUUCAUUUUUAGAAACUGUAGCAGGAGGUUUCUUGGAACAAGUAAAAGCCGCAUGCUCCUCUUCUUCAAGUUUUCUCUUCUUUUUGAUAUCCGAUGGCAACUUGGAUUUCAUGGAUUCAGCAUAUUCCCUGCUCCUCCUGUUUCUUGACAAACCCAUGACCAUUGAACGCAAAAGGGAUCGACGCUUAAUGCUCUGAUUUCUUAGAUUAAUAUUAAAAUCAAAAGAGAUCGAUGAGAAAGGGAAUUGGGUGAGAUCAGAUGAACGAUCGAGGGGACUGAAUGAAUAAAAAUCGCAGAGAGAAAUUAGAGAACUGCUUAUGAAAGAAUUAAGAGAAGAAGGUCUCACAAACUCACUUGAUAUAUAUAUUCACGGUUUCAUUGCGACGAAGGGAUUCCUAUACUCAAUAGGAAAUCCUCGUGGGCGGUGAUUAUCGGCAACCCUCGAUUCUCCUCAUAAAUUUCCUUUUCAAUUAUUUUUAUUUUAUUUCAAAAAAAUAUCUUUUUAUUUUAAAAUAUGUCAACUAAUUUUUUUUUAAUUAUUAAAAUUCAAAGUCGGAUUUUGUUAUUUUUCUUUUCUUUAGUAAUCUUGUUGUCGCCCUACACAUAAAUUUUGAAAUUUAUGAAUGAUGAAUUUUUAAAUGUCAACCAUUAACUUAAAUUGUACUUAUUUUAAAUUAUAAUUUGAAAAUAAUUUUAAGUAUAAAAAUAUUUAAUUAAUUAAAAAUAAAAAUAAUAAUAUAUUAUUUAAAAUUUGUACAGCUUAUUUUAAUUUGAUAGAUUGAAGUGAGAGGUAAAAAAUAAAAAAUAAAAAAUAAAAAAAUUAAUUAAUAAUGAAUUCAAGUAAUUUAUUGACAAACAUUUAAGUGUGUGUAAUUAUUAUUUGCUCUUUAAAUGUAAAUUUAUCCGAAAUGGAGUUUAGAAGAAAAAUGAAACGGUGCGAAUAGCUUCAGUUUUUCGAUAUCAGCAUUGAUGAUGAUGCAGUACUGGCGGCUGAGUGGUGAUUCGCGGGACUUCUGAUGAUGUGGCGUAAUCUUUGUUGUUGCUCGCUUGGUAAUGACGCGUCAUUUAAAAAGCAGGUGCCACAAGUAGGGCACUUCCACUUGCACACUGCGGAAUUGGAUCCAUCAAUUCCCAUUUCCCAUCCUAAGAGAAAAUCAACUCCGUAUUUGUCGUAAACGCCCAAAUGGCAAACGCGAUAAAUCUAUUUAACGGGGCCCACUAGACUUAACCCCAUUGGCCCCACCAAAUCCCCCCUCCACGUCCAAAUCUAUUUAGCUCACUUUAACUUUUUGCCCUUGUAUAUUAUAAUUUAAUAAAAUAUAAUUUUUUUCGGUCUUAAUGGUUCCUUAUUGACUCUAACUAUUUUUCCUAUGGGGUCCAACUGUAAUACAGCGGCUGUAUCUCGUACAGCCGCUUUUUAUCAUUUUUUUAUUUGCGCAUAUAACCGGCCACCAAAAGUAGCGGUUAUACUUGUACAGGUAAAAUAAAGGCAAAAAUUAAAGGUCAUUAUCGUAUAGCUACCCUUCUUUAAGCAAAUAUCAAACUAGAAAACUACCAAAGACCCCCCUCAAAUUACAUGAAAUAUACUUUUUUAUUUUUUCAUAAAAUUAAAAUAUACUUUUUUUUAAAGAACAUUAAAAGAUACUUAAAAUAUGACACUUCUAUAUUAGUAAGAAUAAUUUAAAUAUAAUUUAAUGAAAUUGAUUUUAAAUUAAUUGAAUUAUUUAUAAUAUUAUAUUAUAAAUUUGAAGAUAUUUUACAUAAAAAAAAUAAGAAUAUUUUUAUUAACAUUUUGAUAGUGCAAUGCAGUUUUUCUGUAGAAUCGUAUUAAAUUAUAUUUAUUUCUAAAUAAAUAGUAAAAAAUCAAUCUCUAAAUGCGCAUAAAGUGACUCAAACCUCUACCUACCAAUAUGAGAAUAACUUUUAUCCAAGUAUUGGAUAAUUAUGAAACAAUUAUCUUGUUCAUGGUAUCAAAUAUUCUAAUUACAUAAAAUAUUAUUAGUUUUCUUAUUAUGAUUAGUGGUAGCGGCUAGUAUCUAUAUGUUAUAUGGAUACCUUCUAAAAACAAUUUGUAUAUUAGAUAAAUAUAAUAUAUCUAAUGUUUCAAUUUUUAAAUAAUAUUCACAAAACAAUCACUUGUUCAAAUUAAUUCAUACUACAAAUUUAUGUGAAAUUAGUUAUUUUAUUUAUUCUUUAAUAAUAUAUUAUUUGUAUGGUUAUAUUUAUUCAUUGUUUUAAGUCAUAUAACUUUCUAUAAAUACUUAAAACAAACACAUUAAUACGUAAUGUUAAUUUUUGAUCUAUUGCCAUUAGUGGUAUCAUGACUAAUAAUCUAAUAACAUUAAAAUACAUUUUUUUUAUAUUGGUAAUAACCAGAAUUGUCAACCAAUAAUGAAAAAGUAUAAAUGAGUAUAUCAUACAUAAAGUGAUAAAGAUCAAAGUAUAAACCAAAUUAAGAUCAAGAAAUUUGAUCAAGUGGUUAAAAAAAGACGUUUUAAAAUUAUAAUUGAAACAAGAAAAUGUUAAGAAUGAUGAAAAAAUGAAUAAUGAAGGAGGCCAAGGAGAAAUAAUUUCGUGGGUGUUAGAAGAAAAUAAUAUACUAAUAAAUUAACCAUAUCAAUAAAUAUUGUUACUAUAUACAUUCUUAUUACAUUUAACUAUAAAUCUCCAGCACAUGAUGAUGAUGAUGAUAUUCGUAGUAAUAGUAAAAAGAAAUAAUAGUAGUAAUAGUACAAAUAAAAUACUGGGCUUGUUUUGAUUAAAAGAAAAAAUAUAAAUAUAAUGAUAAGACUAAUAAUAACAUGAAUUUUUGGUUAAAGUGAUAAGAAAAUAAUGAAACUAUUUUGGAAAGAAAAUAGAGUGGAAAAAAUUUAAUAUGAAUUCAAAAGAAAAAAAACAAAACCUUAAAGUAAAUGAUAAAUUCAAUAAAAGGAAUAAGUAUAGAUCUAAAAAUAAACUUGAAAUAUCCACCUAAAUGUUGGAAUCCAAUAAAAGGAGUAGAAAUAUAGAACAAACAAUUGAUUAAAACAAAAGUAGAAGAGUCAACUAAAAAAAUUGGAAUGGCUUAAUAAGAAUUAGAUAAAUUGCGUACAGGUCUAUAUACUUGGAACAUCUAUGCAAAAUGUUGGAACUUAAUGAAAAUAAUAGGAAUUUGUAUAAAAGAAAUGUUGAUAAAAUUCAUGAUCAAAUCUCCUGAAGUAACGAAUUUUGAUAUCGAAUAAAUAAAGAUAUUUUAGCACUGGUUUUAAUUUUUUUAACUUAUAAAAAUUGGUUGUGAUGGCUUAAUAAUAUAAAAAUAGUUCAAAAAUAGACUUUAUUGUUGAUUUUUCAAAAUUAUCUUGUAAGUUGAUAUUUGUAAAAAUAAGAGGGGGUCACACAUAAUUUACAUCAAUAUCGUAAUCAUUUACUGUAAUAAAAUAAGACUCGGAGUAGCUACCGAGAAUUUUGGCAUGCAGUGAAUACAAUUGGAAUAUAAAACAAAAAAUUGGUGGAAAUAAGAGUUGAAGAUUUGACCUAAAAGUAGGGACGAUUUACCAAUGAUUUGAUAAAUUUCAAUGGGAAGUAUAAAUUUAAUAGUAAACUUGAAACAUUCACCUAAAUGUUGGAGUUUAAUAAAAAGUAUAGGCAUAUAGAACCAAAAAAUGGUGGGAAAUAAGUGGGACAGUCAACCAAAAAGUUGAAACUACUAAACAAUAAUUUGAUAAAUUUCAACAGAAAUUGAGAUCUAAAAAAUAAACUUGAAACUUUUACAAAACAAAUUGGAAUUUAUUAAAAAAAGAUAGAAUAUAGAACUAAAAAAUAGUGGAAAAAGAGUUGACGAACUUAACCUAAAAAUUGUAAAGGACUUACCAAGAAUUUGAUAAAUUCCAAUAGCAAGUAGAAAUCUAAAAAAUGAACUUGAAACUUCUACUCAAAAUGUUAGAAUUCAAUAAAAAUAGUGGGAAUAUAGAACCAAAAGUGGUGGAAAGAAAAACCUCACCCAAACUUGGGAGUAACUCACAAAGAUUUUGAAUAAUUCUAACUGGAAGUAGGGCUACAAAAAGUAAACUUGAAAAUUUCACAAAAAAAUUAAAAUUCAAUAAAAAGAGUAUGAAUAUAAAACCAAAAGUGGUGGAAAUAAGAGUUAAAGAAGUUAACCUAAAAGUAGGAACAACUUACCAAGAAUUUGAUAUAUUUCAACAUGAAGUAGGGAUCUAAAAAAUGAACUUCAAACAUCCACUCAAAAUAUUGAAAUUUGAUAAAAAGAGUAGAAAUAAAUAACCAAAAAGUGAUGGGAACAAGAGUUGAAAAGCUUGACCUAAAAGUUGGAAUAACUUACUAAGAAUUUGAUAAAUUUUAAUGCGAAGUAGAGAUAUAAAAAAAAAACCUGAAAUAUUCACCUAAAAUGUUGGAAUUUAAUAAAAAGAAGAGGAAUAUAGAACCCAAAAGUGAUGAGAAGAUGAGUUGAUGAACUAAACCUAGAAAUUGGAAUAACUUACUAAUAAUUGGAUAAAUACCAACUGGAAGUAGAGAUCUAAAAAUGAACUUGAAAUUUCCACCCAAAAUGUUAGAAUAUUUUAAAAAGAAUAGGAAUAUAGAAUUUAUAAGUAGUAGGAAUAAGAGUAGAUGAACUUAACACAAAAGUUGGAAUAACUUAUAAAGAAUUUGAUAAAUUCUAAUACGAAAUAUGGAUCGAAAAAGUAAACUAGAAACAUCUAUCCAAAAUAUUGAAACUCAAUGAAAAUAGUAGGAUUGUAAGAUAUAAAAGUUGUGGAAAAAUGAGUAAGAAUAACUAACUAAAAACUAACUAAAAAUUAGAUAAAGUCUAACAGAAUGUAGGAUAUACAAAGUAAACUUGAAAUAUCUAUCUAAAAUGUUGGAAUUUAAUGAAAAGAGUGGAAAUAUAAAAGAAAAGACGGGUGAAAAAUGAGUUUGAAACAACUUACGAAAAUUUAGAUAAAUGAUAAUGAAAAAUAGGAAUUUGAAAAGUAAACUUGAGACAUGUAAUAUAAAUAUUGGAAUGUAACCAAGAAAAAAAAGUAGGAAUAUGACUUUUUUCUGAAAUAUUUGAAGUAUUUUUAUAACUUUUUAUACUAUUUAUAAUUUUAAAAUUAUUAAACCGUUUUUAUAUGAUUUAAAUGCAAUUUUCACUUUUUUUUCCCUUUUUUUGAUAGUUUUUCACACUAAAAACAAUUAAAAAUGUAAUUUUUAUUUAUUAACUGGUUAAAAACCAAUUGUACCGGUACCCUGCAUGAGAUAAAGCGUUGUAUGGUACGUUGACUCUAAUAGUUAAUAUAAUCCAUGUAGGUUCAAAACGUCAAGUCACAAGUUUUUGUUUUCUUACAUGUCUUUUCAAGGUCAUAUUUUGGGGAUUACGGUUUGGUGUUCUUGCUUAACUUUUAUGCAACAUUUACUAAAUUGGAAUCAGAAUGAGAGAAAUGAGAAUGAGCUGGAAUGAGAAUAGUGAAUGAGAAUCAGAAUAAGUUGUUUACUUGAACUGUAAGAAUCGAAAUCGGAAUGAACUGGAUUGCCAUUAAUAUAUUUACUGUCUUGAAAUUGGAAUCGAAAUGAGUUAGAUUGUAACAAAUUACUAAAAAGUACUUAAUGAAUUAUUGUCAUCAUUAUUAUUAACUAAUAUAUCAAUUAAUUGUAAAAAAAUUAAUUAAUUAAUUAUAAUAAUAGAUUAAUUAAUUAUAAAUGAGGAUAAAGUUGACAUUUUAAAUUUUGGAGAGGGGCAAAAUGGUCAAUCUUGGGAAUGGAGACUCAUUCCCACCUCCUCCAUUGAGAAUGAGUCUCUCAUUCCUCAUUUCUAAAUUGUGGUAGGCCCCAUGAUUCCGAUUCUCAACUUUAUUUUGUAAAGUAAUGUUGCGUUUACUUACCAGAUCAGGGAAUCGGAGUUCGAAAUCGAAAUCAUUGACGACGUUUACUUUACAAAAUAAAAUUGGAAAUCGGAAUUAGAAUCGUGGACCCUACCAUAAUUUGGGAAUGAGGAAUAGGGCUUGGGAAUGAGUCUCCCAUUCCCAACAUUCCCAAGAUUGACUAUUUUGCCCUCCCAACAUUUUUAAUUUUGGGGAGGGCAAAAUGUCAAUCAUGAGAAUGAGAGACUCAUUCCCACCUCCCCCUUAGGAAUGAGUCUCCCAUUCCUCGUUUCCAAAUUGUGGUGGGUCCUAAGAUUCCAAUUCCGAUUAUGAUUCCAGACUCUAUUUUACAAAGUAAACACUGUCAAUAAUUCUGAUUCUAGAUAUGAAUUUCCUAAUUUGGGAAGUAAACGCAACAUUAAAGAUUUUAUUAUACCUAUCUACUUUAGUUAGUAACGACUAAAAUUUAUUCUCUUUUUAAUUUUUUCUAUUUUUCCAAAAUGCAUCAUAUUGAAAUAAAAUCUUAAUUCUUGAACAUCCCGCUUGUUUGCUUUUAGCCUCGUCGUGCAUAAUUGAAAUACACUUCACUUCCAUUAUCAUCAUCGUGACAUCAACCGAAAAAAGUUUGAAAAGAGCAAAAUCCAAAAAAGUUAGUUUUAUUUUUUUGUGCAUAUUUUUUUCGUUGAUUAAAAUGGCUAUAACAGACAUUAAUUAAGAAAAUUUUGAUUUAUCCUACAAACCAAGACUAGGCAUGGAGUUUGAUUCAGACGAAGUAGCAUACGAAUUCUAUAAUAGGUAUACCUUAAGUAUGGGCUCGAACCUCGGCUGCAUGGCCACUUACUAUAAAGCGAAGGUCGGCCGCUAUGACCGAAAGACGAGAGAGGACGUUCAAUCGGCCAAAACGAAAGCUGACGCUGUCGAGAAGAAAGCAGGAGAUCUGAACCUCGAGAACCUGAAGUUGAUAGAGUAGGAGUCUCUCGCGCAGGCAAAGACAAUCACUCUCGAGGAGGAGCUGACUAGGGCCAAGGAGGACCUGCAGAGACAAAGGGCUGCCUACGAGGCUCAGCUCGAAUCUCUCAAAGAUUCUCACCAGGUUCAGGUUGAGAACCUAGAGAAGGAAGCUGAUAACCAAUAUGACCAGGGGCUUCGGCAUUCUUAUCGCUGCAUCAUGGCCGUCCUUGGGAAGAAGCAUCCUGAUCUGAUGAUGGACGAGCUUGCUGCUGGUGUUGCCCAAUAUAUGGAUGAGGAGGCAGCCAAAGAAGAUGUUGAAGAGUUGGAGCCAAAUGCCACCGAGGAGGGAACCUCUUCUCCUCGUGCAGUUCUUGCUGAUUUUGCCGAGGCAAGUACCCCCCUGGAGCAACUGGUGAAACCCCCCUGCUCCUGAGGUGCAGCAGCCAGUAGAGGCAACCCAGCUUAUUGACCUGCCGUCCUCUUAAGCGUGUCUUGUGUUGUAGUUGCUUUUUUCAAACAUUGUAUGUUAGGAUUAGCAGCUUUGCAAACUAUUGGCAGAUUAAUAAGAAUGUUCUUACUUGUUUUCUCGUAUUGUAGUUGCAAAUUUUAUAACGCUUGGGAGCCUGCACGCUUUUUCUUGGUCGAGCAGAUCCUGGCACGCUUGGCUUUUGUUCUCGCCAUAAAACAGGAUUUGAGACUUAGCCUUUGCAUGCCUUAGAAAUUUUUCAACGCUUGGGACUCUGCACGCCUUCGCUUGGUCGAGUAGAUCCUAGCACGCUUGGCUUUUGGUCUCGCCAUAACACAGACUUUGAGACUUAGCCUUUGCAUGCCUUAGAAAUUUUACAACGCUUUGGAGUCUGCUUGCCUUCGCUUGGUCGAGCAGAUCCUGGCACGCUUGACUUUUGGUCUCGCCAUAAAACAGGCUUUGAGACUUAGCCUUUGCAUGCCUUAGAAAUUUUUCAACGCUUGGGAGUCUGCUCACCUUCACUUGGUCGAGCAGAUCCUGGCACGCUUGGCUUUUGGUCUCGCCAUAACACAGGCUUUGAGACUUAACCUUUGCAUGCCUUUGAAAUUUUACAACGCUUGGGAGUUUGCUCGCCUUCGCUUGGUCGAGCAGAUGCUGGCACGCUUGGCUUUUUGUCUCGCGAUAAAAUAGGCUUUGAGACUUAACCUUUGCAUGCCUUUGAGAUUUUUACACCGUUACAAGUGGCUAAAAUUCCUCGACUUUUCAUUAAUUGAUGAAUUCAACUUACAUAAGAAUACAUAAUAACGAGAACAAAUGGAAAUAACUUUAAGACAUGAUCAAGUCUUACUGGAAAUACUUCUUGAGGUGCGUUGCAUUCCAGGGGCGUUUCACCUCGUGGCCAUCCGCGCGAACAAGCUUGUAGGCUCCAGAUCCAACUACCUGCUUGACCCUGUAUGGCCCCUCCCAGUUUGGUCUAAGUACUCCUUGUGUCGAGUCUUUCGUGUUCUGGUUCACCUUCCUUAGUACCCAAUCGCCGACCUUGAACUGUCGUAUACACACCUUCUGGUUGUAAUAUCGAGCCACUCUUUGCUGGUAAACGGAUGAUCGCUUCGAUGCUUGCUCCCUCUUCUCGAUUAGCAGGUCUAGAUUCAAGCACAUCUGGUCGUUGUUUUCCUGCUCAUCGAAGUGAUCGGUCCGGUGUGUGGUCGUCCCUAUCUCAACUGGUACAACAGCUUCAUGUCCGAAGGCCAAAGCGAACGGAGUUUCGCCAGUUGUUGUUUUGUGGGUUGUCCUGUAUGCCCAUAAUACACCUGGUAGUUCAUCAACCCAUGUACCCUUCUUUGCUCCAAGUCUGGUUUUCAGGAGCCUCUUUAUUAUCUUGUUGGCUGCUUCUACUUGUCCAUUAGACUGAGGGUGAGUAGGCGAGCAAUACUUCAUCUCUAUCCUGAGGUUUUGGCAGAAAUCCCUAAAGUUAUGGUUGUCAAACUGCCUGCCAUUGUCUGUUAUCAAGGCAUAAGGGAUCCUGUAUCGACAGACCAGGUUUCUCCAUACGAAGUCAGUCGUCUUUUUCUCUGUGCUCCUGCUGAGGGCUUCCACCUCUAUCCAUUUCGUGAAGUAGUCUAUCGCUACUAUUGCAUGUGUUGCUGCCCCUCAUCCCUUUGGCAACGGCCCAAUCAAAUCAAUUCCCCAUUGAGCAAAUGGCCAUAGCGAGGCCAUAGAAGUGAGCUUCUCUGGUGGUUGGGUAGAGAAAUUUGCAAAGCUCUAGCAGCUCACGCAACUCCGGGUUUUCUCCUAUGCAUCCUGGUGCAUCGUCGGCCAGAAAUAUCCCUGCCUUAGAGCCUUGUGGGCAAGGGAUCUCGCGCUAGAAUGAUUUCCACAAACCCCUGCAUGUACUUUUCUCAGUACGUAAUCCGCGUCGUCCUCAUCCAAACACCAAAGGAACGGCAGAGUAUAUCCUCGCCGAUAUAGCACCCCAUCAAUCAUCGUGUACCUCGAGGCCUGGGCUCUGAUCUUCCGAGCUUGUAGCUUAUCUGGUGGUAAUACCCCGUCUCUAAUGUACGAGAUUAUCGGGUCCAUCCACGAGCAUUUCUGUUCUAUCCGCAUCACCUCCAAAUUCUGCUCGAUACUGGGGCUGGACUUCACCUCCAAUGGGAUCGACUUAGGCAUUUUUGGAUCUGCUACAGCUGCCAUCCUGGCCAGAAUAUCUGCUCGACUAUUCUCCUCCCUUGGGAUUUGUAUCACCUCAACCGCCUCAAACUUCCCAAUCAUCUGCUUGACUCUCUUUAAAUACUGUUCCAUCUUCCCAUCUCUUGGUUGAAAUCUUUCACUGACAUGAUUUGCAACCAGUUGGGAAUCAGUUCGGAUUUUCACCCUAUCCGCUUUCACUGCCUUGGCCAAUUCCAAGCCCGCUAUUAAAGCUUCAUAUUCUGCCUGAUUAUUUGUGGCUGUGAACUCGAACUUUACAGCAUAUGAGAUUUCUUCCCCUUCUGGGGCUUCCAAGACAAUCCCUGCUCCCCUGAGGAUCCAUCCACCGACACCUGCCACACUCGAUUCUCGUUAUUGGCUCUAGCGGCAUCCGGCUGGUCGAAACCUACUUCGGGCUCCGCGAAUUCUGCCACGAAGUUGGCCAUUGCCUGGGCCUUUAUUGCUGCUCGGGGCUUAAAGCUUAUGUCGAACUCACUUAACUCUAUGGCCCAUUUCACUAGCCGACCAGAAGCAUCCGGCUUGUGUAGAGUCUGCCGUAACAGUUGGUUUGUGAUUACCGAGACGGGGAAUGCCUAAAAAUAUGGCCUCAGCUUCCGAGUAGCAACCACAAGAGCAAGUGCCCAUUUUUCUAACGGCGGAUAUAUGGUCUCGGCAUCUAGUAGGGCCUUGCUCAUGUAAUAUAUUAGAUAUUGAACCUCUUCUUCCUUUCUCACCAGAACAGAACUCGUGGCAUGAUCCGAUACCGCCAUAUAUAGGAACAACACGUCCCCAUCCCGCUGCGUGGACAACAAAGGUGCUUGCUGCAAAUAUUGCUUCAAAUUCUGGAAGGCUUCUUCGCAUUCAAGGGUCCAUUCUGUUUUCUUUCAUCUCCUUAUCACUUGAAAGAAUGCCUGCCACUUAUCUGUCGCCUUGGAUAUAAACCGAUUCAAGGCCGCCAACCUCCCCGUAAGGCUCUGUAUCUCCUUCAGGUUACGAGGAGAUCUCAUCUGCACGAUUGCCUGGAUCUUCUCGGGAUUCUCCUCGAUCCCCCGAUGACUUACCAUGAACCCAAGGAAUUUUCCUGACUCGACCCUAAAGGCACACUUCUCCGGGUUGAGCUUCAUCUUGUAUUUCAUCAAAAGUCCAAAUGUCUCCUCGAGGUGUUCGACAUGUUUCUUCGGGAUUUUUGAUUUGGUUAUCAUGUCGUCCACAUACACCUCCAUUGUUCUCCCAAUAAGCAGCUUAAAGAUUUUGUUCACCAACCUCUGGUACGUGGCCCCUGCAUUUUUAAGACCGAAUGACAUUACCCUGUAACAGAACAAACCCUGGUUAGUAAUAAAUGUCAUGCUCUCCUCAUCCUGCUCGAACAUUGGGAUUUGGUUGUAUCCCGAAAAUGCAUCCAUGAAGCUGAGCAGGCCAUGUCCGGCUGUUGAGUCAAUCAGCUAGUCGAUCUUGGGUAAGGGAAAGCUAUCUUUCGGGCGCGCCUUAUUGAGGUAUGUGAAAUCUACACAAAUCCUCCACUUGUCAUUAGCCUUUUUCACUAAAACCACAUUCGAUAUCCACUCAGGGUAGUUAACUUCCCGAAUGAACCCUGCUUUCAACAGCUUCUCCACCUCGCCAUUUUUAGUCUCAUACCUCUCCUGAUUGAAGUACUUCCUUUUCUACCUUACUGCUCGAGCACCUUUCUUUAUAGCCAGCCUAUGACAUGCGACCUCGGGGUCGAUUCCCGGCAUGUCUUCAUGUGUCCAAGCAAACACAUCUGCAUGAGCUCGCAAGCAUUGCACCAACUCCCGCUUAUUCUUUUCUUUAAGCCUCGACCCGAUUCAGAUCGUUUUUCCUGGAUCAUCUUGUUCCAUGCUUACUGUCUCCAGCUCCUCUACAGGCUCAUGUCUGCCAUUCUUGGCCCCCACUCAAGUAUCAAGGGAUGUAAUCUGCAUUGCUUCCCUUGCUGCUGUGGAGUAACAGCUUCGGGCAAUUAUCUGGUCUCCUCGCACCACUCCAACUACCUAAUUCACCCGGUACUUGAGAGCUAGAUAAUGGUUGGAAAGUAUCGCUUUGCUCACCCUCAGAAAGGAACGGCCUAGGAUCAUCUGGUAAGGACCCUCUUCAUCGACCACCGCAAAAUCCAGUAUCAUAGUCUUUUCUGUCGGGGAGCUGCCAAUUGUGAUGGGCAGUUCAACCACAUCAAGAGGAACCAGCUUUCCUCAUCCAAAUCCCUUCAGGGAGGUAUUUGUAUGUUCUAACCUCAAGUCUGUUAUUCUCAUCUCCUCCAGAGUUGACUUGAACAAAACAUCAACCGAACUUCCCGUGUCUACCAGAAUCCGGUCAAACUUCUUGCUAGCAGCGGUGACUUUAAUGACUAAGGCAUCCUCAUGUAGAUAUAGAAUCCCUUCCCCAUCCUCAUCUGUCCACAUGAUCAGAACUUGCCUGAUUCUUGCUCGCUUGGCUGCUGGGGUGUUGAAGAACAUUUCUCUACUAAUCAUGGCAUACUUAGCGUAGUUCUUCCUCGAUUUGUUGGAAUCUCCCGCCAAUAUUGGGCCCCCAGCAAUUACUCUUACCACAGGCUGCUCGUGGCUCAAGUUCCUAUCACUCUGCUCCCCUUCAUCUAACGAGGCCAUCAUAGGGAAAGUCUCAUCUAUAAACUCGUUCAGGUAUCGAUUUCUCUCCAAAUCUUCAACCUGGGUUUUGAGAUCUCUACAUUCAGUCGUGGUAUGACCAUGAGCGCCAUGGAACUUGCAAUAACGUCCCUUAUCUCUCCUGCGGGGUAGUUUUGUUAUUGGGGUAGAGGGGUACAAUAAUCCCCGGUCCUUUAUGGCCUCAUACACCUCGUCCAGGGGCAUAUUCAAGGAAGUAUAUCGCCCAUAGUCUUGGCUCUGGUCGAUCAUAUGUACCGCCCUUUCCCUGCUUGUACUGCUCUGAACUGGAGGGGGUAGCAGUGCUUCUGGCCUGCUUCCUCUACCACCGUGGGGGUGUGGAUGAGGAUGACUAUAUGUCGGGUCAUGUCUUCUCUAUGAAUCCUUGGCUGGUGAAUGAGGAGGUUGCGCCCUGCUGCGCUGAUAUUGAGGUGGCCUCUGAUGAGGUUGGUAAGAGGUGACCCGACCUCCUACACCGCUGCUUGCGGCAUGGUGGUCCCUCCUCUUAAUCGGCCCACUUCCUGGUAGGGCUCUCUUAUCUUUCCUCCUCAACCCUUGUAGCUGGUCUGUCUUAAUCCGUGCGACCUUUUUCUCUUCAAUCUCUCUGUCUCUCUUAGCCUGCUCGUAAGCGGCUGAAUAUGUCUGAAUAACUGGGCUUCUCAAAUUGUACCACAGCCGUCCUAUCUUCACCCCUUCUUUUAAUCCCCUUAAUCCCUGAGGAUGGUUGAAGGCUCCCAAGUCGAGGACAACACGGUGGAACCUUUUGAUGAAUUCCCGAAGGGUUUUCUCCUAUCUCUGCUUCAUGCUCGUCAGCUCCAUCAUAUCAUCUUCCGGUGCUAUUGCCCCACGAAACUUCUCUGUAAAUUCCUGGCACAUCUGCUCGAAGGAUUUAACGCUCCCCCGAGGAAGUUUCCUGUACCACUCACGUGCUCGUCCCUCUAGAGAUAGUGGGAACACUCUGCAUCUUUGAGCUUGGGAUAAUCCUUGCACCACAGUUAUGUCGUUAAAGCGCUCUAUGUGCACCAAUAGAUCAGUUCGCCCCGAAUAUCUGAAGUCUGGGAGGUGAAAAUUCCUCAGAAUGACUGCCCUCAUGAUUUCUACCGAGAGCGGGGAUUCUCCGUCCAGCAUGAUCCUCCAACCUGGUGCUCUGCUUCGUCCUUGCAUGUCAUCUAUUAUUUGCGCUAAUCUGCGCACUUCUUCUUCCAGCUGUACAGCACGACCAGGGUUACGUGCUGCAACCUGAUCUUGCUCUUACUCAACAUCAUGCAGGUUUUGCCGGAGUUCUCUUUCCUCUGCAUUCGCCACUCCAUCAUCGUUAUCUAAAGUCUAUCUCCCUAGGGAUUGAUCUUCUCCUCUAUGGCUUUCCCCUCGUAGAGACGAGUUACCCCCCUCACCACCAAAUCUUCUGGUGGUCCGACCUCUCAUCAUAUUAUCGUGCCCUGGUGUCAUUCCGUCACUUCUCACCCCUUCCUCACGAGCUCCCCUUCGUUCACUCCUCAUUUUAUGUAGGAUGGUUGUCAGGGUCUCCAUCUGCUUUUCCAUCUGUUCCAUCCGGUCAUACAUGGCUUUUUCCCGUGCUUCAUUGGCUAUUUCCCUCAAUGUCACAGACUCGUUAAGCCUCAAGUCACCUCCUUGUGCACUAAUUCCUGCUACAUCCAUUGUUUCUUCACUUGCUUUACUCAUCUUCUUUCUAUCAACAAAAGCUUUUUUAUCAGCUCCCCAUAGACAACGCCAAAAUGUUGAUGUGAGAUUCUGGUUUUCUGCUCGUCCGCGACCAGGAUCUCUUCUCAACUAGUUCUACCAUGACCAAGAUCCCUCCUUACAAGACCUCUUCUCCACAGAUUCCUGUGUACAAAGAAACAAGUCAGAGCACGCCGGGUGUUUUCCCCACAUAAACCCUCCGACGCUCAAGUCAGAAACGUAGGUUUCGUUUUCCUGAGAAAAUCGGCCACUAAUCUUAUGGCUCGUUUUCAAUUUCUCAAUCAAGAGCUCUUUUUUGUCUUAGUUUUAAUCUAAAAAAGUCUAACCCUUUUACCUUUGUUGGCUACCUUUUUAUAAGCUCUCUCUAAAUCCCGGCCUUCCACAACCCACGUCCAUUACCCCCCCCAACUCUUGGAAGUGGAUGCUCCGUUAUCGUAGUUGUGGUUGGAUGAACUUCGUGCCUUAAUUCUCGGGUAGGAGUGCACGUAUGUCUUGCCAACCGUCAUUGAUCGGGUCUCCUCACCUCGACCUCUAGCAGGAAUGGUUUUAUGCUCUUGGUAGGAGGCCGGCUCCCAUUGUGGCCCCGUGGAUGGUACAUUCGUGAACAAGCAGGAAUAUUCCUGCUUGUGUUCCCCUGCUACCAGACUUCUGCGGAAUAUUCCAGUAACCCGCAUGUGGGGACUAUUGGCGGAGGCAUGGCGGUUCUGGCUUGUGCUUUUGGUUGGAUAAGAGAGGUGUCAAACCCACUGUUUUUGACUUGGUUGCCUUUUCUUUUGUACUUUUGUGUUUUUUUAUGUGGGUUAUGUUUGUAUUUGAUGAGAGUAUAUGCUUAUUUAAUGUUAAUUGAAAAAAAAUUGAUUUAAAUCAGUCUAGCAUGUGUUGUUUUACAGUGAAUACUGUUUUCGUGAAAAGGGUUUUGUAUAUCGUUCAUUGCAUGUAGCUAUUGUGAUAGACAUUGUAUGCACCUUUGGCAAGCUCAACUCUUUUUGGAAUGCAUUAUUGAUUUGAUUAUAAGCAUGUUUAGAAUUGGGUUGUAGUGAUUUUUAAGCUGUAGUUGUUGAGGAAUGAAAUUAAAACAUUGGCUGCUAAAUAAAGUGGGGGUUUAUCAAAUAUUUUGGUCAACCACAUCCAUGUAAUUAUUUUUAUUUUUUCUUCUUAACAAUGUGCUUUGCUGUAUCAGGGGAAUCCUGAUUUGGAAGGAAGAAUGGGAACUAGAAUGAUUGGUUGUCAACCACUGAUAUUUGAUCAUGCUGCUCAAUUCUUUACUGUGAAUGAUUCUCGGUUUGGUGAGUUGGUUGAUGGUUAGUCGCAGAGAGGUCUGGUAUGACCGUGGGAAGGAGUGAUUGGAGAGUUAAAGUGGGUAGAGAUAGCAAAAUGAAUAAACGAAUCGAAUUGAAUCAAAAAUUCAUUUCAUUUCCUUCUUUACCUCCAAAAUAAAUUGGUGUUAAUGGGAUGCUCCCUCUUGCUGACUCUUUAUUGGAACUGGUAACAAAUCUUUGUUUUGCUUUUGUGUUCCUUUCUGGUCGAUUCUACCGUGCUUCUUUGCAUCAAAAGGGAAAAAUUGUCUAAUUAAAUCACAAUGGUAAGAAACUGAAGUAUUGUUUUGAAGUUUGCUGGAAGGUAGUGUUGCUGCUUGGGUAUUCCAAGUCCCAAAAUCUUUAUAUUUUUCAGGUUUGACAGGAGAAGGAAGAUAAGAGUAUAUGAAACUAAACGCUACAAUUAUAUGGUCACAUGAUUUCAAUUGCUUUCGAUGAAUUGCUAGACUUAAUGAAGCAGUGCUGAUAAUGAUCAUAAAUGAGGAAAAGAAUAACCAGCAUGAACAUUUUGCACCACUGUAUUAUGGAUGCAAUUUCUGCGAAGUAACAGGCUUAACAGGCUCUAUAUAUGAAUUAUUAAUUUGAUUUGGAGUUAGUUAUUGCAACAUUUUACAUGGUAUAUCAUUACUUUUAAAUUAAGUAAAUGAUUCGUACCAUGGCUAAAUACAUUUUGAUGCUUGUUGUAGACCUCUAUGGUUAAUAUAGUGAGACCUUGCUGGAUAAGUAAUCUUGAGCCAUUUAAUGGGAUGUGGUACUUGGGAGAGAAUGGGAAAACCUCAUGGGCAGUUUGAUGUGGUUAUUACUGCUCAUAAUGGUGAUUCAGUGCGGCCAGCCUUUCUCUUUCUCUCUUUAUGUGAAAGGUUAUUGUUUUCUGCAGUUGCAUGAAUGUUACAAUGAGCUUUGCUAUUGGAAAAUAGGAAAAAGAAAAAAAGAUAUCUGAUUUUACAUUCUACCGUUACAAUGGAUUAGGAAUGGUGAAGAAUCUUAUUUGGUACUGGGAAACCCUUCCAAAAUGAAAAAUCCUGUAUAGUUUGUUGAAAUGUUUUUUCUUUUGUGGGAUACUAGAACUUUAAAAAGAUUGGAAAACUUCAUAAAAUUUAAUACAUAUUUUUUCACUCUAAAUUUUGAGUAAAUGAUAGAUAGAUUACAACUAAGAUUAAUAGCAACUCUUAGCUAUAAACAUCUAGAAAACUGGUACUAAAUGCCAAUUUUGAAAUAGAACACGAAGACGUAGGCUCCUAAGUAGUGGGAAGAGCUCGGGCCUCUGAUCGUGUGCCUGUUGAAGAAUGAGCUGGCGAAUUCUAAGCAGUGGCUUGGUUAGGGAAAGCCGCCAAAGUGAGUCUCCAUUGGGAAAUUGUCACCGCUUAUGGACUCAAACAUGGGUGACUAUCCGUGACCAGGAUGAAGCUUGGGUGAAACUGAGUAGGUUAGAAUAAUAUGAGCUGACUUUCAAUCUAUGCCAUUCAUUCAAUGACUUUGGAUAUGUCCACAACUCAUCAUCUUGAUAAUGUCCUAUCAAUGUCUUGUAAACUUCCCUUAUGAGUAUGAAAGAAUUGAAAUCAUCUUUAUAAAUGUAAUGACCAAAUAAGGUUCUAGACCUAGAAGAUGAGGUUAUGUUUGUUUCCUUUCUGUUUCUUAUUGAUUGUAUGUUGUUUAUUGCUUGUGUCUGCUGUUUACAUUUUGGCUUUGUGUUGUGUGUAAUAGUUCCCUGAUGUAAUGGGAGGAAAAUUUGCGAAUUAGCUGCUUGGUUCAUCUGGCUUACCUCUAAUAGCUAGAGAAAUGAAGUUAUAUAUACUUUGAAAUAUUAAGUUUUUUUGUAUUAUUAUCUAGCCUAUCUUUAUUCAGUAUCGGCCAUUUACAAAUUAUUUCAAAGAUUCUUGAUACAUUUUCCUGGUUUGCAGAGGCUGGAACUAAGUUUUAUAUGGGCCCUUCUUGUCGCAUUUGAGGAUCCCCUUCCACCGGGCAGUGCAGUGCAGUGACUUUGGAGGAGCCUUUGUUAGAGGUGUUGAUUCUGUCUUAUGGAUGGCAAAUAACUCAAUGAAGCUUUUGAGUUCUCAAAGUGAUGGUUCUCAUUAUUGGACCUUCUUCAACACUGCAGCUUACGGGGAAAGGAAACAAGGUUCCACUGGUCAGUUUGUUUAUAAAUGCGUGUCUUGUUUAAAUACUUAUGAUUAUAUGCUGGCAUUGUCACACUUUUCUAACCAAUAGGCUAGGCCUCUAGUUGAAUCCAUUCAUCCUUCAACUUGCAAUCUCAAGCUUUUGAAACAUGGUUUUUUUUUCAACAUAUUUAUAUAGAGUUUGCAAUAAGAUUAGCUUUAUCUUCCCUUUUAUUCUUGAAUCAAUAUGACAUUCCAAAUUUUAAAGCAAAUUAUGUGCUGCGUUGACAUGUAUAUGUUGCAAUUUAGGCUUUCUGUAAGAUUUUUACGAUUGUUUUCAUCAUUUAUUAGGAAAAUAUGCCAACUGCAACAGCAUAGAAGGUGACAACAGGUAUGCUCGAGGGUGUUGAAGCCAUUGCUUGGCCUGCGGAUAGGUUCUCGUCGGAAGCCCAUUUAUACUUGAGUCCAAUUAUGGUAAGGAUCACUUUUAUCGACAUGACCUUGCAAUUUCAUUAAUGUCAUGUCCCAUUUGGAUCCCUUGUGACCUACUUGGGCAGUAACCAUUUGCUGCUGCUGUUGAUGUUGCUUUACAAUGAUUGAUUCACUUGGACAAGCAUCAAGUAUAAUAUUAAUACAUAGGUAACAAAUAAGAUUAGGCUCAACUCUAGUUCUUCAAACUAGUGACACUGGAAUUUUUGUUUAUGAGUUUGUCAACCACAUCCAUGUUGGAAAUAUUCAGGUUCUUUUUACUGUGCUUUGCUAUAUCAGGAAAAUAUGGCUCGAGAGGACAAAUGGGACAAGACCCUACAAACCAAUUAUAUGAGGCAAAGCCCAAGAACAAACGAGAACCAUAGUCUCUUUGUUUGCACUUGGGAAAUAGUACAUGAAACAAUAGUCUCUCCGUUGGAAUUUUUUUCCAACUUACUGUAAUUUGUAUAUACAUUGUUGGGUGUAAAAAGUUCUCAAACUGAAAAAAGAAAUCAUGUGUUGAUUUAAUUGUAUAUGUCUUUGUUCGUCUUUUAUUGUAAUUCUGAUUAAGAUUAAAUUUGUAAACUAUAUGAUUGAUGUAAUCUACAUCAUUAUGUAAGAAAUCUCUUAUCUUUUUUUUUUUAAUAAAAAGAGGGUUCUAAAAUAGAAGAGCUAGAGAGACACAAAACGGGAGUGUGCCACCCCAUACAUAUCCGAAUACAAAAUAGCACUCAAUCCUAAAGGAACAUAAUUAAAAAAACGCACUCCAACAAGCAAACACAAAGCAUGCGUAUUAAAGAAAUCAGCCACCAAAUUUGUUUUGCGGUAGAUGUGAUUAAUUUCAAUACUCCAAUCCCUCCUCAUGAGCUCUUGAAUUAUUUGGAUUAUAGCCGAAAGGUCAUUGACAUUAACAUUGUCCUCCUUUAUAAGCUGCACUACACUACAGUUAUCAAUUCCGACUUAGAUACGUCUAUAGCCAAGGUCCCAUACCAUUCUUAAUCCAUGCAAAACACCCCAAAGUUUAGCCUUUAUAGCUGAACACACUCCAAGAUUUGUGCUGAAGCCAUGAAUGAACCUACCAUGACAGUCCCGCAACAGACCUCCUGCACUUGCAUCUCCAUUUCCUUUCCUUGCACCAUCCGUAUUUAAGCACACAUAAGGCCAUGGUGGAGGAGCCCAACGAAUCCAUUUCUAAAUCCUUGUAUUUCUUCUAUAGACUAUGGUUGAGAGGGUAGAACAAAUAUUCUCAGCCCUUGCCUUAAUAUCACGAACAAUCGAGUCACGAUUCUAGCUCUUAUUGUUAAACAUCAAUUGAUUCCUCCAAUACCAAAUUCUCCAAGCAGCAACACUAAACGUGACCUGCCAAUAUAAACUCUCCAUAUCACAUGUCCUUCUCUUAAGAUUCGUCAUGAGCCAUUGCCGAAGAGGAUGGCUAAAAAAGUCAUGCUGGCUAGCCACGGGAACAAUCUUCCUCUAAACACCUUCCAAGUAUGCACAGUCCCGAAUUGCAUGCAAAGAGCUCUCAAUUUGUGCAUGGCACCGCCCACAUAAUGGAUCAAUGUCAAUAUGCCUUCUAACAAGCUCAUAUCCUGCCUUCAAACGAUCAUGGCAUAAUAACCAUAAAAAAAAUUCUUACGCUUUGAGGCCCUCUCCAUUGCCACAAAUGCCGCCAGUCGUGAUUGUCUUCAAUAGGAGAAUGAUUCGUAAGCACCUGAUAAGUUAAAUGGACUGUGAAAGUUCCCGUAUUUGAAUUACCCCAAUACACCCUAUCAUCACCUCUCGUUGCCAAUAGAGGAGCCAUGGAAUCAAUCCUUGUUGAUUUUCGAGCAAGAAUCAAUAUAAAAACUUGAAAAUCCGAAUUUAAACACAUACCCAGAUUAUAUGUGGAAAACACGAUAAACCAAGGUUGUGCUACUGAUUUAUGGUCGGAGAAUGAUCACAAAAUUGGAAAAUCCCCUCAAUUCACGUUGAAAGAACCCUCUAAGCUUCUCUUGACUUGAAUUUUCUCUAAAUUGCACUUUUACUUAUUUUUUGCUUUGCUUUGCUUAACUUAUUUUCUCUAUAAAUUUGCCCUUUAUUUAUAGCAUUCCAAGAGUAGUGAUCAUCUUCUCAAUGAUCACUUAAUAAGCUUAAACAAUUGUUGGAGUGAUCAUCUUCUUAAUGAUCACUUAAUAUCUUUCAAUAUAAUAUUGCAAGAUAUUAUAAAGUUCUAACUUAAAAUGAUCACUUGCUCUUGGUCAUGCAUCCCUCAUGGGUGAUCUCAAAGUGAUAGAACCCUAUAUAUAAAUAUAUAUUUGCAUAUAUAUUUUUAACAUCUCCCACUAACACAUGAUGGGAUGUUUAAAGUGCAACGAGAACUAUUUGUUCAAGCCUCAAAACUCAAUUAUCAUACUAGCAAAUGCAACAUGUGACCCAUGAACAAUAAGCAGGAGUUUUAUUGCUUUAAAUCUCAAUUGUAUUCUAUACAAAAGAGUUGUUCAUCAUGUAUCAUAGAUUCCAUAUUAUUACAUCAAAUUCAAGCAUACUAAGUCUCAUAUCAAAAGCUAUGCUUGACAAUAUACACUCUAUGUAAUCACAAUUGUAUCAAUCCUAGAUUAUAUAAUUGGUACCAGUGAAAAACAUAAGGUAGAUGUAAGUAAUGAAUCUUCCCAUCACACUCAUAUUUCUUAGUUUUAGAUUAACUGCUUUCUUAAACUUGUUUCAUAAACUGAAUAACAUCAUAGCUUUAGAAAACAAGUUUAAACUAGCAAAUACUAAUCUAUCACCUCAAAAUAUAGUUGAUAGUAUGUAAGGAUACCUUUUGAGGUUUAUAAUAUCUCAAAGAAACUUUACGCAAUGAGAAAUAAAGGAAAUUUUCUCAUUUUUCUUUAUUUGGUCAUCAAAGCACACGUUGUAUGAAAUAUGUGCUACAGUGAAUUCUCUUUUCUGAGAGCGUAUGUCUAAAAUAUUUCACUGUAUAGAUCUUAGUUCAGUCGUUACUCAAGCACCUAACCUGAGUUUUUAAUAACCUCACUUAUUUAAAGCGCCAAAUUAAAGACUCACAUAUGGCUUUAAUCAGGUUUCCAUGAUUAUUGGGUAUAUCAUGGUUGGUUUUAUAUUUAUUAUAUAUAAACCUCAUCUUGACCCAAUCAAGGCAACACAUUUUAUAAAUGCUCCAUGAGAAUGUACAUAGUAUCUAAUUCUCUCUCUAUUGUCUCAUCUCAGCUUGCUUUUCUAGCAACUGAGGCGAUCGCUUGUGUAAGAAAGCCAAUCAUAACCUGAUGACAUAACUUUACUCUAAAUAUGUGUAAUAAAAAAAAAAUUAUAUGGACAAACGAUAAUAAGAAUUUAAUCAUAUGAAAAAUUUAUCACAUGUCCAUUACUCAAAAAAUAAUAUCUCAUUAAGUACAAUUUUACAAUCUACGUAAGCCCAAUGAUCGAGUAUGUUUCAAGUAAACAUCUCGUGUUAUGGCUUUGGUAAAUGGAUCUGCUACCAUAAAAUGUGUAGAUGUGUAUUGUAUUAGCACUUCUCUUUGUGCUACAAUUUCUCUCACAAAAUUGUACUUGGUCUCUAUGUGUUUUAACUUAGUGGUAUUUGGCAUCUUUGGUAAAAGAUAUGCGUAAAACCCAUUUAUUUGUAAUGGUUCUUUGUUUAGGCGGUAAAUCAACCAAGUCCCAGACUUGAUUUGAUUUAAUGGACUCCUAUCUCUUCAUUCACUGCUUUCAUCCAUAAUUCCUUAGCAGAUGAUGCAAUAGCCUCACUUAAAGUUCUUGGCUCAUCGCUAUCGUGUGAAGCAACCAUAAAUGCCUCCCCCUCAAUCUCAAAACGACGACGUGGGAUGAAAAUACGAUUACUCCUUUGAAUUGAGGUAUCCUGUGAAGUCAUUCCAUAAAAUGGUUUAUUCCCACUAGUAUCAGAAAUCCCAGGUAAAUCUGGGUUUUCCUUAAUUCGAUUGACAAUACUCAGUGGAUCAUUCAUUUCAUAUAAACGAAUAUCUUUGUCAACAUCUGUUAUGCUAGAAAAUUCAUUAUCUAAGAAUAUGACAUAUCGUGAUUCUAGUUCAAUUAUAGUUCCAUCAUCACGUUCACCAAUUAAUACAUACUCUUUUGAGUGCUCAGGAUAUCUUAUAAAAAUACAUUUUUUUCCUCUUGCACUCAAUUUUCCAUGUGUAUGAGAAGGAUUGUGAACAUAAGCUAUAGACCCACAGGGUCGCAAAUGAGUUAGAACAGGAUUUAUGUCUGUCCAUAGCUCAUAUGGAGUGGAACUAAUUGACUUACUUGGGACUCGAUUAAGUAUGUAGGCAGCAGUCAGUAAUGCAUCCCCCCAAUAAAAUAUUGGGAGAUUUGUUUGCGCCAUCAUAAACCUAAUCAUCUCAAGUAAUGUCUUAUUUCUCCUUUCCGCAACACCAUUUUGUUGUGGAGUCCUAGAAAUAAUUAACUGUCUCUCAAUACCUUUCUCUUGACACAAUUCCUUGAACUGUUCAGAAAGAUAUUCACGUCCACGGUCUGUUCUUAAGACUUUGAUCGUCGUAAGUAAUCAUCAAUGAAUGUAAUAAAAUAUGAGGCGCCAUGUCUGGCCCUUACACUCAUUGGACUACAGAUGUUAGAAUGGAUAAUUUGCAAAAAACUUUCAGCUCUAGUUCCUUUACCAAAUGGUUUUCUUGUUGUUUUUCCAACUAGACAACUCUCACAUAUAGGCAAUUCUAUUUUAUCGAGUGAGCCCAAAUAGCCCUCUCUAGAUAAUCGAUGCAUUAUGUCUUGCCCUAUAUGUCCUAGUAUGGCAUGCCAUAUAUUAACAUUCACAGAAUCAGAAGAUGUGAUUAAUGGAAAACAAUCUUGAUUAUAAUUCUGAUUAAUUACAUUCAAAAUCAUAAAACCAUUAAGUAAAUAACCAAUUCCGACGAGAGUUUUAUUAAGAACUAAUUGCAUACAAACAUCACGGAAUAUCACAUGGUAUCCCAUGUUCAGAAGUACAGUGACAAUUACUAAGAUUCGUCGGAUCUCUGGUGCAUAUAACACAUCGUGGAGAUAAAGUAUUUGGCCACCAUGCAGUUGUAAUUUGCAAGUGCCAAUCCCUUUAGCUUCAACCCUUGAGUUAUUCCCCAUGUAUAUCCACUUAGUCCCUUGACUAAAUCGACGAUAUUCCACAUAAGCUCCACGUUCAUUGGCUACGUGUUCCGUUGCUCCUGAAUCUACAAUCCACAAAGGAUGAGUUUCAGUCAUAUAAACGGAGCCUAUUACAUACCUAUUAUGUAAUUUUGUGGAUUUAGUAUGUACCUUUUUCGGCUUAGUGUAAUCACGAGCGAAAUGGCCAAGUUUGCUACAAUUGUAGCAUGUCACUUUGCUCAUGUCCUUCUUCUGACCAGCACGUUUACCUCUUUUACGCUUACCCAAACUGGAUUGCCCUUGAUCAGAUUUCUUCCUACUCUGAGAGGAGAUUUUACCUCUUCUUUUACGUUUAAAGCCCGAAGCUUUUCGCGAGUUGGUAUCAGCCAUAUAAAGUUGAGCAUAAGAUUUAGCUGCCUUUAGGCGCUCAUCUUCUAACUCCUAGUGACAUUGUAUAUCUUUAAACAUCUUGACACUCUCAUUGUGUGUCAUGUUAACUUUCAUAUGCUCCCAAUUGUCUGGAAGAGAUCGAAUAAUUGCCUGAACUUGUUAUUCAUCAAUUAUAAUGCUAUUAGCACUUUUUAACUCUCUUAUUAAAAGUGACAAUUCUCUUAAAUGCUCUUUUAUCGAAGUAUGAGGGUGCAAUUUAUAAGUGUCAAAUUUAAUAGUGAGUUUUCUAAGUUUGGUGGUAGAAGUACCACCAUACUUUUCUUUCAAGGCAUUCCAUAUUUGGUGAGUCAUUUGGUAUUCCUCAUACUCACACAUAAAAUCAUCUUCUAUAGUGCUCAGUAACAAAAUGUGCGCACUACGAUUUUUUAUUUUCCAAGCUCCAUAAGUUUCAAGAUCUUUUUUAUGUUUAGUAGAGUUACCCUUUGGUGGCUCAGUCAUAAUGUUUACGGUACCAAAUAUCAUAAUUGUUACCGUUCAGUUUAAUUCCUUUGUUUAAUUCAGCCACUAUACCGUUUGUUGCCAUUUCUUCUAAGAAAAACACAAAACACGGAGAUAAGAAAAACUUUCUUGAUUUUACUUACACAUAUUUAAUUAUUUUGCUGCAAACAAAUAAUCCAAAAUAUGAUAAGUUUAAUGUAAAGAUUGGAUUCGAAAAGUCGUCGAGGCUUCCAAUCAUCAUCCUUUCCAAACAUUAAGCUAACAUAAUUUUAGCACAUUGCGCAAAAUAUUAAUUCAUUAUUGUUUAUUCCCUCAGAAUUUUAACAAUAAUAGAACUCCCACUUUAUAAAACAUGUCAUAAGAAUACAUCUAUCAUGCAUCUGUUCAUGUGGAUAGUGCACCAGGAAAAUUCCCAAGAAGAUGGUGGAGAUUCAAAAAUCCCUCUAAGUACCAAAGUUCCUUAAGUUCAUGACCUUUUGUCAGAAUUUUCCUAGACAUGCAAUUCAUCCAUAUUACUACGUUAGGAUUAUUCUCAUUUUAUUUUUUAAAUAAUUUUGUUAUGCUCCCACUGAAGCACAACCCUCUUAAAGAUGUAUCAUCAUAUGCAAAAAAUAUUUUUCAUAUUUUUAAUACUUGCAUAAAGUAUUAUUCUCUAAUUUUAAAGCAUUUAUUUGACUAAAAUUGAAAUUAAAUAUAUAACCAUGUUAUAAAUUACUUUUUAAAAUUCAGUAAAAUAGAGAAUAAAAAAUUGAAAUAGUCGUCAAAAAUGGCGCCUCAAAAUUCAAUCGGGAAGGCGGCACGUGUAUUACACUCUCUACCGCCGCGAGUGAGAAUGAACAGUGAAAUCGUCUUCAACCUCCCAUAUUUUUCCAGAUUUUGAACCAGAACUUGUAAUGUUUCGUUCUCUCUCAAUACACGUCGGAAUUUUGCAUAUGAUAUACCGUUGGAAAUAUUUUUUCAUGCUCUUUCUAAUGAUACCAAUUUCAUAUUCAUAUGUUAUGUAUCAUGAAAGAUAUGAGCAAACUAAACUUACGGGUUCAUAUCCUAAGUUUUCAUUUUACUCUUUACAUGUAUCAUAUUAAUCCUCAUGGCAACUAGGAAUUAAUCUAUGCACCUUAAUAUGUUUAUUAAUCCAAUUGCAUGGCAUCAAAAAUAAAUAAAUUAUUACAUGCCAUCAAUAUGUGUUCUUGAUGAAAAAUAACUUUCUUAAAUAACAUGCUUGGGUUUCAUGCUUUACAUACUUAAAUCAUAACACAACCUAUUUAGCUCUGAUACCAAUGUUGAUUUUCGAGCAAGAAUCAAUAUAAAAACUUGAAAAUCUGAAUUUAAACACAUACCCAGAUUAUAUACGGAAAAUAGAUAAACCAAUGUUGUGCUACUGAUUUAUGGUUGGAGAAUGAUCACAAAAUCAGAAAAUCCUCUCAAUUCACGUUGCAAGAACCCUCUAAGCUUUUCUUGACUUGAAUUUUCUCUAAAUUGCACUUUUACUUAUUCUUUGCUUUGCUUUGCUUAACUUAUUUUCUCUCUGGAUUUGCCCUCUAUUUAUAGCAUUCCAAGAGUAGUGAUCAUUUUCUUAAUGAUCACUUAAUAAGCUUAAACAAUUGUUGGAGUGGUCAUCUUCUUAAUGAUCACUUAAUAUCUUUCAAUAUAAUAUUGUAAGAUAUUAUAGAGUUCUAACUCAAAAUGAUCACUUGCUCUUGGUCAUGCAUCCCUCAUGGGUGACCUCAAAGUGAUAGAACCCCAUAUAUAAAUAUAUAUUUGGACAUAUAUUUCCAACAAUCCUUAAAACAACAUAGUUAUUCAACAAAUAACUAAAUUUGUUCCACAACCAAUUCCCAUUCUGAUCAACACAUUCCGCCACCGUUAUAUUGCACAUGCUAUCAGGAAUUGAGGACACCGUAUAGUUGACUAAGGGAUCACCAUUAGUAACCCAAAUAUCAUUCUAAAACUUCACCGUUUGGCCGUUUCCAACACUCCAUCGCAAACCCUUUUGGAAAUCUUUCCAAAUCCUACCCAUUGAAUGCCAUAAAUAAGAACCAUUUUUAGUAGGAACAUCAGUAAUAGCCAUAUCAUUAGACAAAGCAUAUUUAGAAAUUAAAACCUAAGAACAAAGCUUGCAAGUAUUCAUGGUUAAAUCCCAAGCCACUUUUAUUAAUAAGGUUUUGUUUAUAAUUUUCAAAUCUUUGAACCCGAGCCCUCUAUUAAUCUUCGGUCUACAAAUGCUGUUCCAACUAACAAGGCUUAGCUUACGUUGAGAGCUAGCCCCACUCUAUAUAAAUCUUCUACAAAGUUGAUCAAUUUUAAUUCUAACACUAGACGGGAGAUACGUGGUCUGCAUAGCGUAAAUCAAAAUUGCCUGAAGCACCGAUUGAGCAAAAGUCGCCUUGCUAAAGACAAGUGCUUGGCUGCCCAUCUUGAUAGCCUCUGAUAAACUUUUUCAAUGAUAUUCUAAUACAUUUUCUUAGAAACCCGAUUAUGUAGAAGAGGCAUGCCAAGAUAUCUUCCCAAAUUAUUUGUAAUCAAGAAGCCUAAAGCAUUGUCAAUUCCACUAGCUAACAUGAUCGAGAUGUUUUUAGAGAAAAAAUUUUUGGUCUUAUGUUUACUAACUUUACUCCCAAGCUCCUGGAGAAAUUCUCCAACACGCCAUUCAACACAUCAACCUGAGCGAAAUUUGCUUCCAAGAAGAGAAGCAUGUCAUCCGCAAAAAAUAAAUGACUUAGCGGGGUGCCAAUUCUAGUCAACCGAAUGGGCUUCCUUCUACUUUGAUUAACCGCCUGAAUAAUACCAUGGCUUAAUCUUUCAAUACAUAACACAAAAAUAUAAGGCGAGAAGGGGUCUCCUUGUCUAAUUCCUCUUCUUGCAUGAAAAUCUUUAGUCAUUUCUCUGUUCCACAAAACAUUCCUACAAGCUGUGGACAAGCACUCCAUUAUGAGAUGAAUAAAUCGCUCUGGUAGCCCAACUUCCCCUAGAGUUUCCUAAAUAAAACACCAACUCAACCUAUCAUACGCCUUUACCCAAAUUAAUUUUAAUCAUCAUCGGUCUUUUACCCCCCACAUUCGUCUUCAUUGUAUAAAUUACUUCUUAAGCAAUAACAAUAUUCUCUGUGAUAUGACGACCCGGUACAAAACUAGUUUGCUGGGGGCCAAUAAGAUCUGGAAGUAGAGCUUGUAGCCUGUUUGCAAUAAUUUUCGUCACAGUCUUAUAUAGGACUGUACAACGGCUGAUCGGCUGAAACAUCUUGAGGUUUGUUGGAUAAUCAACUUUAGGGAUGAGGACCAGCAAGGUUAUGUUGAUCUCUGCAGGGAUAUGAUUAGAAUUUAAAAUAUUCUUAAUGAAAGAACAAAGAGAUAUACCAAUUGUACUCCAUUGCGCUUGGUAGAAACCAGCAUGAAAACUAUCAACUCCGGGGGCUUUGAAGGGACUCAUACUGAAUAUAGUCCGUCUACCUUCCUCAUCUGUGACAACAGACAGCAAGCUUAAGCAAAUAUCAUUAAAGAUCACAAGGAAACACCCUCUGAUAGUAUACGGGCUAUGCACCCCUCGUUUAGGAGUGUAUAAAUUUGAGAAGAAUUUUCUAAAAAGUUGCUUAAUGAUCUCGACAUCAUAUAUCCAUUGCCCUAUCUCAUUCUAAAUCACAGUCAUCUGAUUCUAGCGACACCUGAUUAGAGUUUUUUUUUUAUGGAAAUAGGCAGUGUUGCGAUCACCAUAUAAAGUCCAAUCUAUCCUAGAUUUAUGAAGCCAUAAUAAUUCUUCAUGAGUGAGAACCUCUUCGAGUUCCUUCUGAAGCUUAUUUUCAAGUCUAGUAAGGCUAUGAUUGCGUUUAGUUUCCAAAAUCCGCUGGAUCCCACCUAUUCUAGCCAACAAUUUCCGUUUUCUAUAAAUAAUAUUUCCAAAAAUUUCCUUGUUCCAUCUCAUUGUUUAUUUAGUAAAAUCAGCCGUCACCACAUCUAGAAAAUUAGCUACCUUGUUCCAACUACCAUUCACAAAAUUCCUAAACCUCUCAUCCGUGAGCCAUGCAACCAAAAUCCAAAACGGCCUCGGGCCUCUACUAAUUAAAUCCACAUUCUGGAAUUUAACUAAAAUAUUAUAAUGGUCAUAAUCAAUUUUCAAAAGAUGCAUGACACUGUUAUUUGCAUGUUUUAUUAGCUAGCCAUCAUUACAAACUGCUUUGUCCAGGCGUUUAGAAAGGUUUCUCCUAGACCAAGUGAACCAAGGGCCUGAGAAUUUUAGAUUAAUCAUCCUGCAAUAAUGAAACUAAUGAUUAAAUAAAUUAUAAAUGCCACUUGUUCAGUUAGAACCCCCUUUCUUCUCAUGUGCGCACAAGAUAACAUUGAAAUCUGUGUCAACCAACCACAGGUCGAACAUUUGAGAAGCAAUAUUUGCAAAGUGAUACCAUAACUCUCGCUAGACUGUUGGAAUAGGACUAGCAUACACAACAGUCACCUAGCUCUCCAAACCAUUGCUAGAUAUAAUCUUAAAAUGAACAAACUGCUUAUGAUUUAAAAUUAUCUCUACUGUAAGAAAAUCCCUCCAUAAAAUCCAAAUUCCUCCAGAAAAACCCACUGCCUCGAUCCUGUGGGAUCUCUCAAAACCACAGCCCCGAAUGAAGUUGUUAGCUUUUUGGCCACUAAUUCUUGGCUCAAACAUCACCACCAUAGACGAGGUAUAACAUUGAAUAAUUACAUCAAAAGAAAGUCGAAAAUUUGAGGCCCCUGCCCUUUGAACGUUCCAAAACAUAACUGAAAUUGACAUAAUCAUAAGAAUAUACAAAGGGGUGGAGAUUUCCUUAUUGGCGGACUCGUGGGUCCCAUCCUCCUCAUUCAUUGGCGUAUCCUCCACAAAAGAGUCCUCGCCAUCCGUCGUAGCAUCAUCCUCCUCAUCCUCCACAUAAGUCAGGUCCGACUCAUCAUCCUCCAUUUCAAGAUCCAUGUUACCACCAUAUAAAUCUAGGGGAUCUCCCGAAUAAGGUAAAGUGUGACCUUUGGCCCGCAGAUCCGAAUGAUGUAGGUUGACACCAUCCAUCUCCUGGGUAUCUAUAGGCUUAUUACUUGGGUUAUAGAAAACAAUAGUCGUAUGCUUUAAAGGGUCAAGGGUCGUGGGUACAUAGUGAGGAUUCAUCAUGGUGCUGGGUUAAGUUUCAAUUGGCAUAGUUGAUGUUUUAGUCCCAUUAAGAUUCACCACAUGGUUUUGUGUGUCGGGUUUAGGGUGCAUGGUUUUCCUAUUGGUCCUGGUUUCUUUGGCUGCAGUAUGGAACUUGCCCUUGUCUGCAAUCUUUUAUGAGAGUCUAGUGGAGUAUAUACGUUUGAAUUCGGGUGCAUGGGGUUGCAAAGCAUAGUGUUUGUUGGGUUGUUUCAGGUCCGCAUGGCUAGUCCCUUUUUCAUGAAUGUCAGUAACCACAUUCUGAGGUUCAUUGUCCCCUGGAUCUUGUGAAGCAAGCACGACAAAACGAGAUUUAUUUUGGUGUAUAAACGGCUGAUCCUCGACAGUGCCAUAAGAAUAAUUCUUACCAAAGUAAUUUCAUGGUUUGUUUUUGCAUGAUACAACCAUCCAAGGACCAAACUUGUUCCCCCUCGUUUCAGCUACUCUAGUAUUCGUUUCAUUAUUCUUCUCGUUGGCCCCUACUGGUGCGUUGUUCUCCACUAGAUUAAUUGUACUAGUCGCCACCAUAUUCUUCUCCCCACAAUCCUCUAUAACAUAUCCAUAUUUUCCAUAGGAAAAGCAUAUAAUUGGAAGCCCCUCAUACUCCAUCAGUUGAAUUUGCCCAUUCACCUGAAUUUGUAAGACUAAAGGUUUCUCAAGAGAAACCCUAACUGCCAGUCUAGCAAAUUUCCCUCUCUUAGAGUCCUUCAUAUUGUAAUCAAUUUAUUGCCAAGUCGUCGCAAACUACGUUUUUCAUAAUACUGAAUCACCAUGCCUGGCAAACGUACCCAUACCAUAGUCGAUGUGAGGUCAUUGGAGAAGCAAUCAAAUUCCAGCGUCCAAGGUUAAACAAAGAGGUUUUUGCCCAUAACAGUCCAUAGUCCUUCUGUUAAGGCACACUUAGCAUCAACUGCAGUUUGGAACUUGACAAAAAAGUAAUUAUUUUCUAGAUCAAUGAUUGAGAAAUCUGCCACCAUCGACCUCCAUGGGACCUCCAACUUAUUACAUAAGACCUGAUAUCCAAUCUGUCGUCCCAACAAUUUAACUAUUACUGAGAAUCGCCAUGGUUGCUGCAAUUUCUCUUGAACCCUUUUGGAGAAGUAUAUCACAAGGAUACCCUCCUCUAUUCUCUCAACCACAUCUUCAUCUUUAAUAUCCCAAUCCUCCACCGCACUCCUCGUUUGCCUUGCCAUCACCGUGACUGCCUCCAUAGCCUUAUCUCUCCAAGAGGGUUUAUAGGGAUUAUCAACAUCGAUUCCCUCAGCCCUAAACCGUGCCUUCUUAGUUGUCCUGUCCUCUUGCAGUGGUGGUGGAAUAAUUUUCUCAAACCCUAGCCCUAGGUUUCCGUCACUUCCAAUAUUUUCGGAGCUCAUUUUUUUUUAUUAUAGAAAUCUCUUAUCUUUAGGAAUAAGUAAUAAAAUAUUGGACAACUAUGCAUAAAUCUUAAUUGAGUCAGAAUCCCCUUAGGUACUCAAUAUCUACUCACAUGAAGGUAUGGGUGGGAGUACAUUCAAUAAAAUUACAUAGGUCUUUUAAUUGUUAGUGCGGGAAUUUGUAUGAUUAUGCUAUUUAAUUUUUUAUAAUUACUAUUUCAAGUAUAAAUUUGCAAUUUGAUCGUUAGGAUACGGGUCAUAGCAAUUUUAGCAUUGUUUGUUGGGUGGAAGAAAAAAAUUGUAGGGUAAGUACAUACACAUGGUAUCUUAUUAUUGUUAUUUGAAUGCCAUUGCUACAUUAAUGGCAAUGACAUUGGGUUUAUGACAUACUCAAAAAAAAUUCCUUUGACCCUGCAGGAUCAAGCUGUCCUUGUAAUUGUCCUAUUUCCUUAAUGGAUGUAUCUUUUAUGUUAUGCAUUUGACAUAUGAAGUUUAUUAAAAGAAAGCAAAUGAUCAGGAGCUAGUCUUAAAAGCAUGUUGUUCAAGGAAUACAAUACAAACUGUAAUAUGAUUUGAGACAAUUCAUAGAGCUUUCCUUGAGUGAAAAAUAGUCAUAUACUCUUUAUAUUGACAUGAUAUGCCCUCCAGUUUAUUCAAAGCAUUAUGGGAAUAGCCUCAGGUAUGUUAAUUGAAAAAUGCCAAACUGGACAAUUCACAUUCAUACCAUGCAACCCAGGUUCGUUAAUUUUAAAUUCCAACUAAAUGUUCUAAACUAUCUUCAUCUAUUUUAGCAUGUGUUUCACAAUUCACGCUUUCUUCUUCUUCUACCUUUUUUUCCCCUUCUUAGCUUCCAUUGGGUUAUUGAUGUGGUGAAAAAGGAAUUAUUUUAAUCGGAUCCUAAAGUGCAAUCUUAAUCUUAAUUUAGAGCAGAUCCUUAAAGCGUAUGUUUCAUUUCUAUUCGAUACCAUUCAUAUUUUAGGUUUCUUCAAUAUAUUUUAGAUUAGAGACAAAUAUAGCAGUUUUUCAUACCAUGCCAUGACAAUCUUCAUAGUAUAGAUCUAAGAUGAGAUUUAUGGAGAUUUAUGGAGAUUUAUGUAGCCAUCGUGACACUUAGAGGGUGUUUGGUACCCCUCAUUACAUGGGAUUGCAUUGCAUUAGCAAUGCAGCCCCGUGGCUGAGGCACCAAACUGGAUUAGCUUAGGUUUUUUUUUUUUUUUAACUUUGUAAUAAUAAAAAUAAAUUAAUAUAAUUUUUUAAUUUAAUAUUAUAUUAUAUUUUUAUUUUUAUAUCUGCUGUACCGUACAUCCGCCNNNNNNNNNNNNNNNNNNNNNNNNNNNNNNNNNNNNNNNNNNNNNNNNNNNNNNNNNNNNNNNNNNNNNNNNNNNNNNNNNNNNNNNNNNNNNNNNNNNNNNNNNNNNNNNNNNNNNNNNNNNNNNNNNNNNNNNNNNNNNNNNNNNNNNNNNNNNNNNNNNNNNNNNNNNNNNNNNNNNNNNNNNNNNNNNNNNNNNNNNNNNNNNNNNNNNNNNNNNNNNNNNNNNNNNNNNNNNNNNNNNNNNNNNNNNNNNNNNNNNNNNNNNNNNNNNNNNNNNNNNNNNNNNNNNNNNNNNNNNNNNNNNNNNNNNNNNNNNNNNNNNNNNNNNNNNNNNNNNNNNNNNNNNNNNNNNNNNNNNNNNNNNNNNNNNNNNNNNNNNNNNNNNNNNNNNNNNNNNNNNNNNNNNNNNNNNNNNNNNNNNNNNNNNNNNNNNNNNNNNNNNNNNNNNNNNNNNNNNNNNNNNNNNNNNNNNNNNNNNNNNNNNNNNNNNNNNNNNNNNNNNNNNNNNNNNNNNNNNNNNNNNNNNNNNNNNNNNUACAGCAGUAUUAUUAAUUUUAAAUUAAUAUGAUUCAAAUUUAUUCAAAUUUAAAUAUUUAUUAUUAGUUAUAAUAAAUUAUAAAUUUAUGAAUAAAUUAUAAUGUAAAAAUAUUAAUUUAUUAAUAAAUUAAUAUUAUUCAAAUUUAUUGAACACUAGGGUUUCAAAUAUACAAACUUAUAUUUAUAGUAUCUUUGAAAGUCUUAUUGAUAUAAAUACAGGUACUGUUAAAAUUGAAUCAUUUAUUGAUUUAUUAUAUGUUAAAGUCGAUGUACAAUAGACACAAUUCACUUGACAUAUUAAAUUCUUUGUCCACAGCAAGUUCCAAGAAAAUAAUAAACCUAAUAAGAAUCUAAAUAAACGUGCUUCACUAUAAUUAGUAACCAAGAUAUUAACUUAGUUACAAGACUCAUAUAUCUCUAUCUUAGGAGCAUCUACAUAGCAUUUUCCCAUGGAUUAUUCUUCUUCCCAAUAUUAAUUUUGCUCCAAUAAGUAGUCUUUGUGAUGUUGCUUCUCUUUUUAUUGGAAAAAAAACCUUCAAGCAUGUCUUCUAAGAUCUGAUUCAGCUUCUCUUCACUUAUUCUUUCCCUAGCAAGCAGCAAUAUUAAGGCUUCUCUUCAUCUGUAAAAUUAAUGUUGAAUAUUAGAAUAAGAACGGUUAUGCUAUAUCCAUAAAUAAUGUCAAAUAUCAUCCCUUACCAUGCGGGCUCUCUUCAGCAGCAACAACACCGCCAUUUACAAUGCUGCUACUAACCUCAACAACUUCACUAUUGCAGCAACAAUAGCAACACCAGCUUCAGCAUCUUCAGCAAUCACUCCAUCUCCAUGCUCUUCAGCAACAUCGCAAUCUUCAAGAUUUUCAAGAGUCUAAGGCUCCAUCAUCAAAAUUCAAAACUACUUUCAACUUAAUUUGAAGGAUAAAGGAAAUUUAAAUAGAGUGGAAAACAGUGCAUCCAAAUGGGUGUGAUAGGAAUUUCAAAUGCACUCCACUCUUACUGUGGCUUCUCCUAAUCCAUUCAUUCAUUUCUUCCAUUUAAGGAGGCCAUCACCAUUCACCCCUCAAUGUUAUUGCAUGCAAUUACCAAAAUGCGUUCUGAGCACCCAAUGAGAAGAUGUGAGACAUGAAUAAGUAUGCAUGAAUUCACAAGAAGACAUAAAAUCUUAAGUAAAGCACCAUAUUUAAAACUUCUCAUAUCAUUCCUAGGACAAAAUCGGACCAAAAAAUACAACUUUGCAAUCAUGAGUAACACUAGUGUUAAUUGUAAUUAACCUAAUUCAAUAAAUUGUCAUAACCUAAUUCAAUAAAUUGUCAUCGUUACUUCAGGUUCCACAGUAUUCAAACUCUUAAUACAGCAACCCAGCACAAAAUAGGAACUAUACAGUUAACAAGAUAUAUUAACACAUAAGCUAUACAUAGCAUUUUAAGUUACUUCAUGUUAAAGUUAUUUAAUCAUACUUCAGAUACCCAUAUUAUCAAAACAUGCCCCCUUCAAUUAAGAGUCUGUAACCUAUGCCUAGGUAAUAUAUAUUUUUUAAGGAAUAUAACCAGAAUUUGCUCCUUUAACUUCCACAAGCCGUGUACUCUUCAUGGUUUGUUGGAGAGCAAACCAUCUGUGCCAUCUUGGUUUCAUCAUCGGCCACCAACUCAGGCUUCCCCUGAAUCAACAAGAGUUGGAAAAGUGAAACAUUGGGAAACAGAAAAAAAAAAGUAACUGACUGUUCUAGCAGCAAUCAUCUUAUUCAUGCAAGAAUCAACCAUGAUUUUCUUUUUUUUUUUGAAAAAUUCGAAUCACCAAUAUUUUUACAUUCUUCUCCAAAUUCUUAACAUUCACCUCAUUCCCACAACAAUUGCUAGAAAACAGAACACAAACAUUCAAACCAACAAACAAGCCAACAAAUUAAAAAAAAAAAUGCCCAUCUCCUAAAUUCAUCAAUUCAACACCACAAUCUCCACUACCCUCUUACUCACUCUCUCUCACAUCAACGCCUCUACACUUCCAGAUUUCAUGAAAAUGAUUUCAAUAGAUUAUUUUUAUUAUUUUUUUAUUUCGCUUUAUAGAGCCAUCAACUAAAACACUUGAAUACCUAAAUGGAAAAAUGAAAUCUGCACGUGAAUCCGUUCGAAUCUCGCCAUAGCACCACCGCCGCACCACGCUGUUGUUCGAAUUCAAAUGACACCGUCGCUCCAAUUAAAGAUUCAGAUGCUGCGGCUGCACCACUCAUUUAAUGAUUCACGCUGCACGACGGCUGGGCUUGGCCGCACUGACAAGGCGUUUGCUAUGUUUGGCUCUUGAGAAAUUGAAGGAGAAUGGAGGAAAAUCAGUGAAUAGAUGAGUGAGUUUGAGAGAAAAGUAUUGUUUUGGGUUUUGAGAAGGGAAAUUUUGUUUCAUGGUCGUGGCUGAGGAUCGUGUUUGGAAGAAGAAAAUAUUUUAUUUCUCUUUUCGAAUGCAAUGCGGCCUAAUUACGACUCCCCCACGGAUUUAUUUUUUGCGGCGUUUGGUGUAUUAUAAUGAGGUUUAAUACAAAGUUAACUUUUUGCCAAACAUGAUAUUGUAUUGAUUUAAUACAAUACAAAGUUUUAAUGUGGUGUAAUGUUGCGUGCCAAAUACACCUUUAGUGAUAUAUGUCAUAAUAAUUGUAUCACUUUAUUAUUUUAUAAUUAUCUUUUAAUAUUUAUAAACUUUUAUUCUAUCAUCCUAAGAUAAUUUUUGAACUAAUCUUGAAGAUUUUAACUAUUUAUUUUUGUUGUUAAAUUAUUUAGAGAUUAUUUGAUUAAAUUAUUUACUUCGAUCUUUAUUUCACAAGUUAUGUAUUUAGAAAAUACUGAAAAAUACACUUCCAAAAAUUUAAGACUAUAAGUUUAGAAAGAAUUAUGACAUUUUAAUAUUUUUUAAUAGAAAUGUUAAAUUUCUAAAAUUUAAGAAUCUUAUAUUUAUUAUUUUAAAGUACUAAUAAAUAUUAUUUUCUAAAUAUAUAAUUUACAUUAAUCACAAAAAAAUUAAUACAUUAUAGUGCAAUACCAAAUAUAAUAUAAUUAAAAAUUAAUACAGUACAAUGUAGCGUCAAACAUUGUACACCAUUAUUAUUAUAUAGUACUAAUGUAAUAUAACAUAAUAUAAUAUACCAGUAUUAAAAUAAUGCAAUACAGUAUGACAAACGCACCAUUAGUAGAUAUACAACUUAGGGUAGCACAAUACUUUUUGGAUUGGAUUCUUGAUAUGAUUAUUGUCAUGUUUGUGAUUGAGGAGUUGUGACUUUUAAAUUAGUGAGGAAUGGAAUUAAAAAUUUAAUUGCUAAAUAAAAUUGGGUGUUUAUCAAAUAUAUUAGCUAUUAUGCUUUCAAAAUUAUAUAGAAGCAUAGUAGAUUGAAAUGCACCCGAAGUACCUGCAGAUCCUGCCACCAAAAUAGGACUCAACUCGAGUUAUCCAAAGUUGUGAAACUUGAAUUUUUUUGUUUCAAAUUUCAGUGCUAAGUUAGUCAACCACAUGAAUGUAAGUAUUAUUUAUUACUCAUUUACUACUAUUAUCAUUAUUGUCGUUAUUUUCCAUAUGUCAAGGGUGCGUUUAGCACACUGUAUUGUAUUAUGCUGUAUUGCAUUAUUUUAAUGCUUGUGUAUUGUAUUAUGAUGUAUUGCAUUAGCACUGUAUUAUAAUAAUAUUGUACAAUGUUUGGUGCUACACUGUACUGUAUUAUUUUUUUGUGAUUAAUUUAAAUUAAAUAUUAUAUUAUAUUAUAUUAAUAUAUUAUAUUAAUAUAUUUAAAUUGUAUUAAUAUUUUAUAUUAUUUAUAUUAUUAUUAAUUUUAAAUUAAUAUUAUUUAAAUUUAUUCAAAUUUAAACAUUUAUUAUUAGUUAUAAUAAAUUAUAAAUUUAUGAAUAAAUUAAUAUUAUUCAAAUUUAUUGAACACUAGGGUUUCAAAUAUACAAACUUAUAUUUAUAGUAUCUUUGAAAUUCUUAUUGAUAUAAAUACAUGUACUGUUAAAAUUGAAUCAUUUAUUGAUUUAUUAUAUGUUAAAGUUGAUGUACAAUAGACACAAUUCACUUGACAUAUUAAAUUCUUAGUCCACAGCAAGUUCCAAGAAAAUAAUAAACCUAAUAAGAAUCUAAAUAAACGUGCUUCACUAUAAUUAGUAACCAAGAUAUUAACUUAGUUACAAGACUCAUAUAUCUCUAUCUUAGGAGCAUCUACAUAGCAUUUUCCCAUGGAUUAUUCUUCUUCCCAAUAUUAAUUUUGCUCCAAUAAGUAGUCUUUGUGAUGUUGCUUCUCUUUUUAUUGGAAAAAAAAUCCUUCAAGCAUGUCUUCUAAGAUCUGGUUCAGCUUCUCUUCACUUAUUCUUUCCCUAGCAAGCAGCAAUCUUAAGGCUUCUCUUCAUCUGUAAAAUUAAUGUUGAAUAUUAGAAUAAGAACAGUUAUGCUAUAUCCAUAAGUAAUGUCAAAUAUCAUCCCUUACCAUGGUAUUUAGAAAAUACUGAAAAAUACACUUCCAAAAAUUUAAGACUAUAAGUUUAGAAAGAAUUAUGACAUUUUAAUAUUUUUUAAUAGAAAUGUUAAAUUUCUAAAAUUUAAGAAUCUUAUAUUUAUUAUUUUAAAGUACUAAUAAAUAUUAUUUUCUAAAUAUAUAAUUUACAUUAAUCACAAAAAAAUUAAUACAUUAUAGUGCAAUACCAAAUAUAAUAUAAUUAAAAAUUAAUACAGUACAAUGUAGCGUCAAACAUUGUACACCAUUAUUAUUAUAUAGUACUAAUGUAAUAUAACAUAAUAUAAUAUACCAGUAUUAAAAUAAUGCAAUACAGUAUGACAAACGCACCAUUAGUAGAUAUACAACUUAGGGUAGCACAAUACUUUUUGGAUUGGAUUCUUGAUAUGAUUAUUGUCAUGUUUGUGAUUGAGGAGUUGUGACUUUUAAAUUAGUGAGGAAUGGAAUUAAAAAUUUAAUUGCUAAAUAAAAUUGGGUGUUUAUCAAAUAUAUUAGCUAUUAUGCUUUCAAAAUUAUAUAGAAGCAUAGUAGAUUGAAAUGCACCCGAAGUACCUGCAGAUCCUGCCACCAAAAUAGGACUCAACUCGAGUUAUCCAAAGUUGUGAAACUUGAAUUUUUUUGUUUCAAAUUUCAGUGCUAAGUUAGUCAACCACAUGAAUGUAAGUAUUAUUUAUUACUCAUUUACUACUAUUAUCAUUAUUGUCGUUAUUUUCCUUUUAAAACGGUGCCUUUGCUAUAUAUUAUCAGGGGAAUCAUGGGAACCAGAAAAUGAUUGGUACUGAUUCAAAAAGUCCCAAAAUCAUCACAGUUUUGAGGUUUAACCCCACAAGGAAGAUAAGAAGCUAAAAUUACAUGGUCACUUGAUUUCAAUUGCAUAGGCUGGAUGGGUGGACUUAGUAUGAAAUGGCGGCCGAGAUAAAAAGAGAAGUAGCAGGAACAUUUUGCACCACUGUAUCAUGACUGCAAUUCCUGCACAGUAAAAAGCUUAUUUAUAUAUGCCACGAUAAUAUUUAGCUUAUUUAUACAAACAUCUUAUCAAGGCACAGAUGAACUUUAAAUUCAAAGAUGGCAAUUAGCAUUGUGACACGGGGUGCAUAUACAAGCUUACCAUUGGUUUGAUUAUUAAAGAUUUAGAUGCUGCGGCUGUACCACUCAUUUAAUGAUUCACGCUGCACGACGGCUGGGCUUGGCCGCACUGACAAGGCAUUUGCUAUGUUUGGCUCUUGAGAAAUUGAAGGAGAAUGGAGGAAAAUCAGUGAAUAGAUGAGUGAGUUUGAGAGAAAAGUAUUGUUUUGGGUUUUGAGAAGAGAAAUUUUGUUUCAUGGUCGUGGCUGAGGAUUGUGUUUGGAAGAAGAAAAUAUUUUAUUUCUCUUUUCGAAUGCAAUGCGGCCUAAUUACGACUCCCCCACGGAUUUAUUUUUUGCGGCGUUUGGUGUAUUAUAAUGAGGUUUAAUACAAAGUUAACUUUUUGCCAAACAUGAUAUUGUAUUGAUUUAAUACAAUACAAAGUUUUAAUGUGGUGUAAUGUUGCGUGCCAAAUACACCUUUAGUGAUAUAUGUCAUAAUAAUUGUAUCACUUUAUUAUUUUAUAAUUAUCUUUUAAUAUUUAUAAACUUUUAUUCUAUCAUCCUAAGAUAAUUUUUGAACUAAUCUUGAAGAUUUUAACUAUUUAUUUUUGUUGUUAAAUUAUUUAGAGAUUAUUUGAUUAAAUUAUUUACUUCGAUCUUUAUUUCACAAGUUAUGUAUUUAGAAAAUACUGAAAAAUACACUUCCAAAAAUUUAAGACUAUAAGUUUAGAAAGAAUUAUGACAUUUUAAUAUUUUUUAAUAGAAAUGUUAAAUUUCUAAAAUUUAAGAAUCUUAUAUUUAUUAUUUUAAAGUACUAAUAAAUAUUAUUUUCUAAAUAUAUAAUUUACAUUAAUCACAAAAAAAUUAAUACAUUAUAGUGCAAUACCAAAUAUAAUAUAAUUAAAAAUUAAUACAGUACAAUGUAGCGUCAAACAUUGUACACCAUUAUUAUUAUAUAGUACUAAUGUAAUAUAACAUAAUAUAAUAUACCAGUAUUAAAAUAAUGCAAUACAGUAUGACAAACGCACCAUUAGUAGAUAUACAACUUAGGGUAGCACAAUACUUUUUGGAUUGGAUUCUUGAUAUGAUUAUUGUCAUGUUUGUGAUUGAGGAGUUGUGACUUUUAAAUUAGUGAGGAAUGGAAUUAAAAAUUUAAUUGCUAAAUAAAAUUGGGUGUUUAUCAAAUAUAUUAGCUAUUAUGCUUUCAAAAUUAUAUAGAAGCAUAGUAGAUUGAAAUGCACCCGAAGUACCUGCAGAUCCUGCCACCAAAAUAGGACUCAACUCGAGUUAUCCAAAGUUGUGAAACUUGAAUUUUUUUGUUUCAAAUUUCAGUGCUAAGUUAGUCAACCACAUGAAUGUAAGUAUUAUUUAUUACUCAUUUACUACUAUUAUCAUUAUUGUCGUUAUUUUCCUUUUAAAACGGUGCCUUUGCUAUAUAUUAUCAGGGGAAUCAUGGGAACCAGAAAAUGAUUGGUACUGAUUCAAAAAGUCCCAAAAUCAUCACAGUUUUGAGGUUUAACCCCACAAGGAAGAUAAGAAGCUAAAAUUACAUGGUCACUUGAUUUCAAUUGCAUAGGCUGGAUGGGUGGACUUAGUAUGAAAUGGCGGCCGAGAUAAAAAGAGAAGUAGCAGGAACAUUAUUAAUACAUUAUAGUGCAAUACCAAAUAUAAUAUAAUUAAAAAUUAAUACAGUACAAUGUAGCGUCAAACAUUGUACACCAUUAUUAUUAUAUAGUACUAAUGUAAUAUAACAUAAUAUAAUAUACCAGUAUUAAAAUAAUGCAAUACAGUAUGACAAACGCACCAUUAGUAGAUAUACAACUUAGGGUAGCACAAUACUUUUUGGAUUGGAUUCUUGAUAUGAUUAUUGUCAUGUUUGUGAUUGAGGAGUUGUGACUUUUAAAUUAGUGAGGAAUGGAAUUAAAAAUUUAAUUGCUAAAUAAAAUUGGGUGUUUAUCAAAUAUAUUAGCUAUUAUGCUUUCAAAAUUAUAUAGAAGCAUAGUAGAUUGAAAUGCACCCGAAGUACCUGCAGAUCCUGCCACCAAAAUAGGACUCAACUCGAGUUAUCCAAAGUUGUGAAACUUGAAUUUUUUUGUUUCAAAUUUCAGUGCUAAGUUAGUCAACCACAUGAAUGUAAGUAUUAUUUAUUACUCAUUUACUACUAUUAUCAUUAUUGUCGUUAUUUUCCUUUUAAAACGGUGCCUUUGCUAUAUAUUAUCAGGGGAAUCAUGGGAACCAGAAAAUGAUUGGUACUGAUUCAAAAAGUCCCAAAAUCAUCACAGUUUUGAGGUUUAACCCCACAAGGAAGAUAAGAAGCUAAAAUUACAUGGUCACUUGAUUUCAAUUGCAUAGGCUGGAUGGGUGGACUUAGUAUGAAAUGGCGGCCGAGAUAAAAAGAGAAGUAGCAGGAACAUUUUGCACCACUGUAUCAUGACUGCAAUUCCUGCACAGUAAAAAGCUUAUUUAUAUAUGCCACGAUAAUAUUUAGCUUAUUUAUACAAACAUCUUAUCAAGGCACAGAUGAACUUUAAAUUCAAAGAUGGCAAUUAGCAUUGUGACACGGGGUGCAUAUACAAGCUUACCAUUGGUUUGAUUUGGUAGAGUUUGCAAUGGAAGUGUUGACUGGUGCGAGAAUUCGCGGGUCCAAUGAGUUCUAUAAGAGGACCAAUAAAUUAAAUAAUAUAAUUUUAUAUAUUUUUGGAAUAAAAACCUUAAUUUCCGCACCACUUAAGUUUUUCUCGUAUUAAUGAUGGGCUCCAGUUCCUGAUGAAGCCUUCUGGGAUUUCCUGACCCUGUGUAGACGUGGCAAAAUUUUGUUUGUCUCAUAAACAGUUCAUAGCAAGGAGAGCAGCCAUGUUUGACUUUUUAGAAGGAAACAAUAUUGGAAUAAGCAGGAAGCAAGCUUUAGGAUGGCUCUCCACGCAAAUAGGCUGUAAGAUGAUUUAAGCCGUGUGUUUAUUUCAUGGGAAUGUGAAUGAGAAUAGAGUGGAAUGAGAAUGAGAAUAGGCGGAAAUGAGAAUGAGGAAUAUGAAUGAGAUUUUAAUAUUUAUUUUAUAAAAAUAAAUAGAAAUGAGAAUGUGUUGAAAUGUCAUUGAUGUAUUUAUUUGGUAAAAUAAAUGGGAAUGAGGAAUGGGAAUGGGAAUGAGAAUCAAUUUAUUAAAAUACCUAUAGUAUUAAUAAUUAAUAAAAAUAAUUAAUUAAUCAUUAUUAAUAAUAUUAUCAUUAUUCUGCUGUACCGUACANNNNNNNNNNNNNNNNNNNNNNNNNNNNNNNNNNNNNNNNNNNNNNNNNNNNNNNNNNNNNNNNNNNNNNNNNNNNNNNNNNNNNNNNNNNNNNNNNNNNNNNNNNNNNNNNNNNNNNNNNNNNNNNNNNNNNNNNNNNNNNNNNNNNNNNNNNNNNNNNNNNNNNNNNNNNNNNNNNNNNNNNNNNNNNNNNNNNNNNNNNNNNNNNNNNNNNNNNNNNNNNNNNNNNNNNNNNNNNNNNNNNNNNNNNNNNNNNNNNNNNNNNNNNNNNNNNNNNNNNNNNNNNNNNNNNNNNNNNNNNNNNNNNNNNNNNNNNNNNNAUGUACGGUACAGCAGAAUGAAAAUAAUAAUAAUAAUAAUUAAUAAUAACUAAAAUAAUAAAGUUAAUAAAAUUUAAUAAUAAUUAUUAUUAUUAAUGACAUUUAAAAUAAUAAAAUUAUUUGUGAUUUGAAUAAGGGUAAUUUAGGAAAUAUGAAAAAAUUAGAAUGAUAUAAAAGUAAAUUUAUGUUUCAUUCUCAUUCCCACAUUUUCAUUCCCAACCCCCCCAUGGGAAUGAGAUUCCCAUUCCUUAUUCCCAAAUUGUGUGGGAUCCAUACAUUUUAUUCCCAUUUACAAAUUACAUUUUACCAAGUAAACAUAAGUUUCAUUCUCAUUCCCCAAACCCACAAGUAAACAUACCAUAAGUUCGAAAGGAAACUUGUAAAACUAGCUCCCUUCAACUUUUCAAACGGGGAAAAUUGUGGAUGACUCAUCAACACGUGUAAUUUAGACAGCUUAAAAGAAUAAAUUAAUAUUAUCAUAUGCAGCAUAUAAUUAUGAAAAUGUCAAAAAGUGUAAUUAGAAAAUUUUGCUUAAGUAGAGAGAGAAUCAAAUAUCACAAACUUCCUUCAAUUUACUACUUUAUAUAUGCAUUGCUUGAAGCUUGUAUAAAGUAAAGCUCUUUCACUUAUUAAACGUUAAUUUUAAGUAUUAAUUAAUAAAUUAAUAAUGCUUGAUUAGAAAAAAAUAAGGGAUAUUAAAAUUUUGUUAAUAUUCUCAUACGCUCGUGAGUAUAUUAAAGUUUAUAUAACAUUUGAUAUAUUAUUAUUUCAAUUAGACUAGACCAUAACAUUUUUCCAUAAUAAACGUUUUUUUAUGUAUACACCCCCCAAAUUUUAUGUGGUGAAAUAAAUGACAUAUCGUAUAAAUCAUUAUAAAAAAUAAUUAAAAGAGACGACUACAUCUGCAAUCAAACAGAAAGGAGUGAAGAAUGAUGGGACAAAGACAUAAAAGAGAAAUGAUCAAAGAUCAGCCUCCUUCGGUGUCUGUAUUUCGAAUAUGGUUUGCAAGAAAAUUCCUUUCAAACUGUGUAUAGAAAGAGAUUUGCUGUUGUGUUAACUAUCUCUGUUGAUUUCUCUAAUAUCAUAUGUACUCUCUCAUAUAUAAUAAAUUAUUAAAUCAGUAGUAAAUUAACUUAACUGCCUUAUCCAUUUAUUCUUAAUAAGUUUUUUAGCAUUAAUUUGGGUGAAGGGGGAUACAAUAGAUACAAUUGGACAUGACUGGAAGUAUAGACGAAAUGGUUUCUUUGAGGAUUUUGUUUUUCCGUUGUCUUAUAUGCUUGUGAAAAAUCCAAAACUGAGAUGCGGUCAUGGAAUGGUUCCCUAAAUGAACGGACAGUGGCAGAUGAAGCAGUCAUAGGUAAGUAUUGUUAGGAAUUUGAGUUGGUAUUUCAAAAUACUAAUAUUUCACAUUGUUUAGACAAGAGAACACAAAUUGAUUUAUUUAUAGAAAUUAUAUACAUUUAGGUAACAAGAGCCUAAGAAAGGAGCCCGAGGAAGGAUCCUACACAUCAAGUAGUCCUACGACGACAUCCCCGUCGCUAUCGCGCACUAAAGAUAGAGAAGCCCAAAAGUCCUACGACGACAUCCCCGUCGCUAUCGCCAACUAAAGAUAAAAGUCGUCCGACGACAUCCCCGUUGCUAUCGCCCACUAAAGAUAAAGAAGUAUUAUUUUCUAUUGACCAGGAAAUAAGAAGCUAUGCUAUUCACCAACACAAUGUACGGGUGUCGCUAUUGCCCGGGGAAAUAAGAAGCUAUGCUAUUCACCAACACAAUAUACGGGUGUCGCUAUCGCCCAAUAAAUAUAAAGAAAUACUCUUUGCCAUUGCCAUGGCUGUUUAAAUCCUUCUCUACCUCAAAGAAACCCAGGAACCCUUCAAUUCAAACCUCAGAAAAUGUGCCUCGGAAAUAACCCAUAUCAGUGCUCUGUGUUCUGGUACGAGGAUGUAAACCUCGUUCACUUCAAGUACCCUCUUCCACCAGGGGCGAAGCAAGAGGAUGUGAAGGUUGAGAUUGAUGAAGAUGAGAACUUGCUUACAGUAUCCCUAAGCUUCCCGAAGAAAAAGGAAGGAGACACCACCACCCCCAUAAUCUCAAUGAAAUUCAACUUGCCAGCGGAUCUUGACCUGGUUGGGUUUAAGACUACAAUCGAUGAUGCAGGCGUUCUAGCUGUUACCUUCACUAAACUGAAGCCGCAGAAGCCAGAGAAGAAAAAACCGAUGCCAAUCCCAAAGAAGAUGUUGGGUUGGUUGCUUAAAGCUGUGCCUAUUUGUUUCCUGAUAGGUUCCAAGAUGGGUGAUGAGAUGUGUUCGGGAGACUACUAAUAAGCUGGUGUCAAGUUGGUAUUUGCUUCGCGUUCAUGCUUCUGUUCUCUUGCAUAUGUAUUAGCGUUUGAAAAUAACUCUGGACUGUAGAGUCUAGACCACGUGUUCGUUGAUGUGUGUGUUCUGCUGCAUCUCCUUUUUUUUUCAGAACUUUGUCUCAUAAAAAAUGAUAAAUGUUGUUGACUGAAAAAUAAAUGUUUUUUUUUCUUUUAAUAGUGUUGAAUGAAAAAAAAAAAUGUUUGUUUGCGUAGUACCGAUCUUGGAACUCAAGUGUUCCACUUUCGUGCAUACGUAUGCAAUGAGACAGCCCCAAGAUAUUGGAGUAAAAUAUUUGGUUCCAAAAUUCUAUACUACUCGUGCAUACGUAUGAAAUAAGAUAGCCCAAUUUCUUCUUAACUUUGUCUCUUUUUCUUUUCUUUCUUUAAGUUUAUUACCAAAUUAAAAUUUGUUGAGAAGGGGAAAAAAAAUCCAGAAGAAGGUGACGGCUGCUUGGGGAGAAGGCCGUAAAAAAAGGAAAAGAAAGAAAAUGAAUUUUUAUUAAGUCAGUUUUAUAAUAUUAGAUUUCAUUUCUAUCCAUGCGAUUUUACUAUUUAAAUCCAAUAUUCUAUUAUUCAAGUCUAAGGACUCACUCAUUUGCAUAAUGUACCUAAUAAUUAGUACAGGAUAAUGUAACUUAACAUUGUUAAUUUUUUUUUUUUUUCAAUUGUUAGCGUUGGCACAUUUUUUUAUUUAAAAAAAAAUGAGUGCACUGGUAAUGGGUUGAGCCAAAUGGUCCAGCCAUACCCCCACUUGCCACUUUUCGCCUUUAUAACCUCCGAUUUCAACGCAUUAGAGAGUAAAGACAACCUUUGAAGACGAGAACAAGAUAACAAAGAAAAUAAAAUGACCCAUGUCCAUAGAAAUCUACAUAAAAUUCUCAGGUUUCUGCAGUUGCACAUAAACAAAUAUUUCAAGAUCACGGCAACUUUUGCAACUCAUUCCUUGAGCUUGAAGCUGGCCAUCGUAGAAAUACCUCGGUAAUAUGUUACAACAAAUAUUUACCUUCACUAAACUGAAGCAAGAGGAAAAGCCAGUCUCAAGAUCGAAGAAGAUACUGCGAGGUUUGGCUAAAGCUGUGUCUAUUUGUUUCUUGAUAGAUUACAACAUAAGUGAUGAGAAAAGUUGAGAAGACUACUAAUUAGCGGGUGUCAGGUAAGAUAUUUGCUAACAUCAUGUUUAUUGAUUUGGUGAAAAAGGAAUUUGCUUUAUUUGGAUCCUAAAGGGGGGAAAUCCUGAUUCUGAUUCAUUUUUUAGAUUUCUUCAAAAAGAAUAUUUCAGUAAGAGAGUGCAGAGUAGGGCACCAACAAAAUAUAAAACAUAGAAUAAGAAACAAGGUUGCAAAAAACAAACCUGCUAGUAAACGACGACACUUUAAUUUCCUCUGCAGUUUCAUCUUCUCUGAUUCUUUGUUAGGAUCCCACAUUGACUAGAUAUGGGACUAGUUGGUAGUUUAUUAACCCCAAGGCACCCUCCUCUUACAGGUAAGUUUUUGAGAUUAAGUCCCACCUUGUGGGUUUGUAACAAUUUGUGUGUUCGGAAACGUUCACUGUGCUUUGCCAUUGGAGAGAAUCAGAGAGCUUGAAGUAGGUGGCCAAUUGGCUCUCUCCCAAAUACAUUUGUGUUAAUGGGAUGCGCUCUAUUGCUGACUUUUUAUUGGCCCAUGUAACAAAUGUUUUUUCCUUUUUUUUUUCUUUUAUGUUUUUUUAUUGUUGAUUCUAUCAUGCUUCUUUGCUUGAAAAAUGGGCAAAUUGUCAAAGUCAAUUGUAAGAAUCUGCAGAAUUAUUUUGAACUUUGCUGGAAGGUAGUGUUGAAACUUGGUUAUUCAAAUUCCGAAAAUCAUUAUGUUUUGAGGUUUGACCAGAGAAGGAACAUAAGAGUAUUUCAAAUUAAAACCACAAUUACGUGAUCACUUUCUAAUACCACAAUUACAUGAUCACAUUAUUUCAGUUGCUUAGGCUAUGUGGUUGACUUAAUGAAAUAAUGACGAUAAUGAUCAUAACUGAGGAAAAGAAGAACAAGCAUGAACAUUUUGCACCACUGUAUUAUGAAUAUAAUUCAUUCAAAGUAAAAGGCUCUAUAUAUGGAAUAUUAAUAUUGAAUUAGAGUUAGUUAUAUACAAGGUCUUAGAUGUUACACAAUUAUUAUUAAAUUAUGUAAAUCAGUUCCUUUGUCCUUCAUGCUAUGGCUAAGUACAUUUUCAUGCUUGUUGCAGACCUCUGUGGUUAAUGUAGUGAGACCCUGCUGGAUCUUGAGCCAUUUAAUAUGAUGUGGCACUUGAGCAAAAAUGGAAACCUCGUGGACAGUUUGAUGUAAUUAUUAUUGCUUGUAAAUGGUGAUACAAUGCUGCUACCCUUGCUCUUUCUCUCACAACAGCAUUUUAUAGUCUUAAAAUUUUGCAUUAAGAAAAUGAAUGUUUUUGUUAAUUGCAGUGGCAAAAUGUUAAAUGGGCUUCGCUAUUGGGGGAGAAAAAAAAAAUUCGAUUUUACAUUCCAUCAUUACCUUGGAUUCAGGAGUUGCAAAGGUUCAAGUUUUGUACAGCAAUACAGGGAAACCCUCUGCAAAUGCAAACCCCUAUGAACGGGAUCCCACUUCAUGACAAUCCUUGGGGGUUUUGAGUUGGAAUAAUCUGGCAGGUUAAAAGUUGUGCCAAUUAAUUAUCUAUAGAAGUAGUGCCAAUUAAUUAUCUAUAGAAUACAUGUUAUGUUACAUUAUAUGACUAUAUAGUGAUUCAUUGUGGGAUACUAGGAUAUCAAAAAGAGCUCAAAAUUUCAUACAGAUUUUCUCCCUAAAUUUGGUCAAAAACUGAUGGAUAGAUUUCAACUAAGCUUUAUGGCAAUUUGUAGGUGUAAACAUCUAGAAGGCUGGGACUAAAUACCAUUUGAUUAGGUUAGAAUAAUAUGAGCUGAGCUUUUAAUCUAUGUUAUUCAUUCAAUUGCUUUUUCAGAUGUCCACAAUUCAUCAUGUUUCGAUGCUUCAUGCUGCAUUUAUCCAGUUUGUAGAGGCUGGAACUAAGUUCUAUAUGGACACUUCUUGUGGCAUCUGAGGAGCCCCGUCUGCUAGGUAGUGUAGCAUCAUUUAAGGAACCUUUGUUAAAGGCGUUGAUUCUGUCUCAUGGAUGGCAAAUAACUCAGCAGCGAAGCUUUUAAGUUUUUGAAGUGAUGGUCCUCAUUGUUGGACCUUAUUCAGCACUUUAGCCUAUGGAAAACAAAACAAGGUUCCACAGGUCUGUUUGUACAUAAAUGUGUGUCUUAUUUAAAAUACUUGUUUUCACAAUAUGAUAGCAUUGACACACCUUUUUUAUCAAUUGCCUAGACCUGUUGAAUCCAUUCAUACUUCAGCUUGAAAUCCGAGCAAUUGAAACAAGGCUGCAAUGAGUUCAAUUUUGGACUAUCCUUGUAGUUGUCUUAUUUCCCUAACGGAUGUAUCUUUUAAGUGCUGUAUUAGGCAUACGAAGUUUAUUAAAUGAAAGCAAAUCAGGAGUUGGUCGUAAAUUGGUCUUAAAAGCAUGUUGUUCAAGGAAUGCAAUACAAACGGUAAGUUUAUUUGAGACAAUUCAUAGGGCUUCCCUUGAGUCAAAAAUAGUCAUAUUACCAUUUAAACUGACAUGAUAUGUUCUUCCAGUUUAUUCAAAGAAUUAUGAGAAGAAUCUCGGGCAUGUUAAUUGAAAAAUGCCCAAAAUGGACUGUUCAUAUUCAUGCCAUAGAAUCGCAAGUAUGUUAGUUUUAAACUCCAAUUAAAUGUUCUAAUCUUUCUUCAUUCAUUUAAGCAUGUGUUCCAUGAUUCAUGCUUUCUUUUUCCCCUUUUAAUUUUUCCUCUUGUUCUGUUUUAGCUUCCAUAAUAUUGGGAAUUGGUUGUUAAUGAUUUUGGGAAAAGGACUUGUUUUAUUUGGAUCCUAAGAGUGGCAGUCCUGAUCGUAAUUAUGUUCUCUUUUCCAUUUGACGCCAUUCAUAUUUAUAGGUUUCUUCAAUAUAUUUAAGAAAUAACAACUGUAGUUAUUUCAUACAAUGCCAUGACACUGUUCACUACGUAGUAUCUAUAGUAAGGAAGAAAUGAAAUUAUAGAUCUAAGAUAAGAUUUGUGGAGGUAAAACGCACUAUCUUACCUAAGUGCAGUGUGGCUAUUACUUUAACUAAAACAAAUGAGAUUUGUCACUAAUUUUUUAGUUUUUAACUGUGAAUAGACCCGUAACAAGUGGGAAAUGUGGAGUAUGGCCAUUAUGUCAUACGCCCUCUUGCUGACUCUUUAUUAGCCCAGGUGACAAAUCUUUGUUUUGCUUUUGUGUCCCUUUCUUGUUGAUUCUAUCAUGUUUCUUUGUAUUAAAAAGGGGAAAACUGUCUAAUUAAAUCACAAUGGUAAGAAACCUAAGUAUUGUUUUGAAGUUUGCUGGAAGGUAGUGUUGCUGCUUGGGUAUUCAAAGUCCCAAAAUCAUUAUACCUUUGAGGUUUGGCCAGAGAAGGAAGAUAAGAGUAUAUGAAACUAAAAGCUACAAUUACAUGGUCACAUCAUUUUAAUUGCUUAGGCUGCAUGGCUACACUUAAUGAAAUGUGCCAAUAAUGAUCAUAACUGAGGAAAAGAAUAACCAGCACGAACAUUUUGCACCGCUGUAUGAUGUCUACAAUUCCUGUGAAGUAACAGGCUCUAUACAUGGAUAAUGGAUUAUUAAUAGUGAGUUGGAGUUAGUUAUAUACAACAUCUUACAUUGUAUACCUUUAUUUUUAAAUUAUGUAAAUAAGUUCAUAUGACCUUCAUGCCUUGGUGUAAUGCAUUUGAUGCUUGUUGCAGACCUCUAUGGUUAAUGUAGUGAGACCUUGCUGGAUAAGUAAUCUUGAGCCAUUUAAUGGGAUGUGGCACUUGAGGGAGAAUGGGAAACCUCGUGGGCAGUUUGAUGUGGUUAUUAUUGCUCAUAAUGGUGAUUCAGUGCUGCUAUCCUUACCGUUCUGUCUCUGUGUGGAUGUUAUAGUCUUACAUUUGCAUUCCAAAAACGCAGGUUUUGUUUUUUGCAGUUGCAUGAAUGAGAAAAUUGGCUUUGCUAUUGGAAAAAAAUAAAAUAUUUCUUAUUUUACUCUCUAUCAUUACAGUGGAUUAGGAAUGGCAAAUAAUCUGGUUUGGCACGGGGAAACCCUGCCCAAAUCCAGACUCCUAUGGAAAGGGUCCCUCUUCCUAACCAACCUGGAAUACCCUGGCGGGUUAGAAUGCAUAUAGUAGUACAUUGUAUGACUUUAUAGUUUGCUGAGUUCUUAUGUUUUUUGGGAUAUUAGGACUUGCAGACUUUUCACUGUAAAUUUGGAGAAAAUGAUGGCUAGAUUACAAGUAAGAUUAAGAGCAACUUGUAUAUUUAGACAACUGGAAGACUGGUAUUGAAUGGCUAUUAGUUAGGUUAGAAUAAGAUGUGCUGAACUUUCAAUCUAUGUCAUUCAUUCACUGCCUUUAGAUUUCUCCACAACUCAUCAUGUUGAGUAUUAUGUAGGUUGUUAUGGAAGAGUUGAAAAUAUCUAUAUAAAUUUAACAACCAGAUUAGGUUUCUUGAUCCAGAAGUCAAGGUUAUGUUUGUUUCCUUAAUCUUUCUACUGUUAAUUGCCUAUGUCUUUCUCUGUUUACAUUUUGGCUUAGCUUUGUAAUUAUAGUACCUUCAUGUAAUGAUAGGAAAUGUGAAAAUUGGUUGCUUGGUUUAUCUGGCUUACCUCAAAUAGCUAUACAAAUGAAGGUAUAUGCUUUGAAAUAUACAGUUUUUUAAUAUUAUCUACCCUAUGUUUUAUUCAGUAUCAGCCAUUUCUAAUUAUUUUGAAGAUUCAUGAUGCAUUUUCCUGGUUUGUAGAGGUUGGAACUAAGUUCUAUAUGGGCCCUUCUUGCUGCAUUGGAGGACCUCCUCCCACUAGGCAGUGCAUCAACUUUGAAGGCGCCUUUGCUACAGGUGUUGAUUCUGUCUCAUGGAUGGCAAAUAACUAUGCAAAACUUUUGAGUUCUCAGAGUGAUGCUCCUCACUGUUGGACUUCUUCAACGCUGCAGCUUUAUGGAAAACGAAACAAAGUUCCACAGGUCAGUUCGUAUAUAAAUGUGUCUUGUUUAAAGUACUUGCCUACCCUGUUACAUCAUCAUUAUAUGCUAGCAUUGGCACACUUCUUAACCAAUUGCCUAGACAUCUAUUUGAAUCCAUUCAUGCUUCAGUAUUUAUUCCAAGUUAUUGAAACAAGGCUGCAAUAAGUUCAGUCUUUUCGUGCAUAUUUGUUUCCCUUUUAUACUCGAAUCAAUAUGACAUUUCAGUUUUACAGCAAACUUUGGUGCUGUGUAGGUACGUAUAUGUUGCAAUCUAGGCUUUCUGCAAGAUUUUUUAUGAUUGUUUUUAUCAUUAUUUUGAAAAUUAUCCCAACUGCAACAGCAGAGAAGGUGGAAAUGGGUAUGCUCGAGGGUGUUGAGGCUGUACUUGGCCUACCAAAAAGUUCACUUCAGAAGCCUGUUUAUACUCGGGUCCAAUUAUGGUAAGACUCCACGUUUAAGGACAUGACCUUGUAAUUUCAUUUUUAUCUUGUCCAUUUGGAUCCUUGUGACCUACUUGGGCUGUAACUAUUUGCUGUUGGUGUUGCUUUAGAAUGAGUGGUUUAUUUAGACAAACUUAACAAGUUUUUGUGUGGACUUGUGUAUAGUCCUAGUUCUAUUUUCCUGUUAUGCUCAUUUGAAAAACAAGAUGGAACAUGUCAUUCCGAUUUAUUAAAUAUAUAAAACAACUUGAGAAUUUCAUAAUUAAGAAAAUAGUUCCUCUGACGAAUUUGGUAUUAUCUUUGUUCCUCAAGGAAGGGCCAGUAUAUGUGGCGGUUGGCUGUUGGCUGCAAGUGUAGAGUCGGCUGCCUUAGGUGGCAUGGCUCUUGCCAAUCAUGUAAGCAAGAAUAUGAUUUUCUUUUGCUUAUUUGUUUUAUUUUGUGCAUAUAACUGUAUAUUUCAUGGUUGACAUAAAGUAAAUAAAUAAAUAAUUCUAACACAACCUUUUUGUCCCUAUAUGGACAUCUAAAUAUAAAUUUGUAGAUUGGCUUCAAUCAGAUUGAAAUAUCAGACAAGCUUAACAACUUAAGCUUGAAGCUUGAUUAUUCUUAUAUAAAUAAUGUAGUUGGUCUACAUAGAUUGCAGACUAUUUAGGAAGUGGUGGAGUUCAUCCUGAGGAACUUGCUGUUGGUUUAUACAAUGAUUUUCAGCCACUUGAAGGACAUGAUACUGGACAAUUUCCGGGUUUUGGAGUCCAUGGGAAAAGAGGAAGUUCAAGCAUAUCAACUUACCUCUUGAAUCCCUAAGCAGGCCAUGAAAAUUUCUAGUGUUUGUCAAGGUAUGCUUCUAUUGAUACACUGUGUAUGGCUUUCUGUUUUUCACUUGGGUUACUGUCAUGUUUAUUCUCUUGUUUUUAUAGCUAGGAUUAAGGAGUUUAUUCACUAGGUGCUGUUGUCGUCAUAGUUGCUAAGCAAGUAUCCUGAAGUUCUUUUUGUGAUACCAUCCAUCACGAAACAUAAUGAGUACAGAUUCAGAGUAAAGGGGAUUCUUCGGGCGGCUAAAUCUUUUCUGAAAACUUGUUUUCAGUAGCAUAGAUGACAGGAAUCGUGAUAUUUCCCGGGCUUUCAUGGAAGAAAAUUUUCUAAUAACUGAAACUCUUUUCAGUUGUCCACAAAUCAAAUUUGAAUAUGAAGCCAAAUAUCAGAUGCAGAUUUACGGGCUUCUUUCAGAGCGACAAAGUUCAAUGCUAUCAGUUGUAUGGGUUCAAGUGAUCGGAGCUUCAUCCAGCUCAAGUACACAUAACAGAGUAUGAAAAAUAUCCAAACUUACCGUUAAAAGUUCUCAAGUUCCAGAUUUGACCUGUAGUCACAUUCAAGUUUAUACAUGACUACUGAUAUACGAAAUGGCAAUAUUAUUCAGUUCCAGGAAAGUUACAUGCAUAGGAUCUGAGUUUCAUUUUAAUUGAAUGGUUUCAAGCUGCAAUAUAUUAUAUAUAUAUUUUAUAAUUAAUGGAGUUUGCAUUCCUCAUUACAGGAUAAGAAAGGAAGAUUAAUUCUCAGUUGGAAAAGCAUUGAAACAAGCUUCUCAUGCUCAUAAUCAGCUUCCCAGUUGCUCACCACGGUAUCUUUUCCAUAUGCACGUGUUGAUAAAAUUAUUUCUUGGUUAUAUAACCUGGAUAAAUAGCUGUUCGUUGGCAACACAAGCAACAAAAUUACACAAAUUAAUUCCAACAAAAAUAAUAUUUUUACACGAGAUAUUUGGUUGAGAGAAGAGGGUUAAUUAGAUGUUUACUAUUGAGAUCACAAUUUUGAAAUGAGCACAGGCAAUUGAACAAGCUGUUACACAGACCAUCCAGCUGAAGAAAUCAACGACUCUUCGGCAUUCGUAUGCAAGCUCGAAAACCACUGUCCUUCUGCUAAAUUAACUUGAUAGCUAGCAACCAAGACAAGGAGGAGAACCCGGCACAUUUGCAGUUUCUAGUUUUUCAUGCUUGCCAUCUUUUCUUGUGAUUGAAAUGAGUUGAGAUUUAUUUAAAGGUUUUAUCUUAGUAUGCAAUUAAUGGUUUGAAAACAGAUUAUAUGUUAUUACAAGUUAAUUUUUCUGAUAACAAUUGUUGGAAUAGGAUUCUUGUUGUAGUAUAAUUAUUAAACAUGAUUUUAUAAUUAAUGAUUCAUACAUUAAGUAAAAUAGAAACCAGGAUUUGAAAACUACCAUGUUAGUAAAAUCACUUGGAAGCAAAAGCUUAGAAUUAUCAUAUGGUGUGAAAACCGGAAAGUUCUAUGAAAACGGGAAAGUUCUAUGAAGAGAGAUGAAAUUUUCUGAAGUUCAACUGAAAUGAUUGCAAGAUUUAAUCCAACAAUGCAAGAACAUAUUUGACAUAUUAAAACUGAUGAAAAAUUCUUUAUCAUUUUCUUGGAGGUGAUCAAAGUAUUUUUGAAUUAUACUUGAUUGUACUCCAAAUGUAAGACGAAAAAGAAAUCUCUUUUAAUGUGGUUAUUCCAAAAUGGCAGAAUCUACUAUUUUGAAUCAAAGUAUAUCAUUAGAACAAGAAGGAGAGCCAAGGACAUUUUAUUUUGAGAACUACCUGAUAGAGUGCUCCAUUCUUGACAUAGUACCGGCCUUCGUCGUCAUGCCACAGAAUCUGAUCUUCUUUGAGGAAAUGAAUGCUUUGAUGGAAGAAGAUCUUGAGCAAGAAAAAGGCCAGCAUGGAAGAGAGAUGAAGAAAAUCUCCAAUUAUGCAAAUAUGGUCUGAUUGGCCUGUAAGAUAACUAACCAAACUAAUCACUACUUUCAAUCUCAAUCAAAUUCCAAAAACAAUCUAUUUUCUAUUCAAACUCAGGUGGUGAUCGGCUAAAUAAAUUUGUUUGAAAACUACCGAACAAAGCUCUAGGGAUAUAGUACAUUGUUUAUUGAAAUUGAAUACGUAGACAGAAAUAUAAGAGCAUCUUGUUGAAAUUUGUUUGAGAUGUAGUGAUUGAUUUGGUAUAACAUAUGUAUCCAUGUCCAGGAUGAAGCUUGGCCGAAACUAAGUAGGUUAGAAUAAUAUGAGCUGACUUUCAAUCUAUGCCAUUGAUUCAAUGACUUUAGAUAUGUCCGUGAUAUAAACUAUUAAAAUAAUUAAAAUUAUGUAUUUUAUUUCUUUAAUUUUAUGGUAUUAGUUAAUUUUGAACUAGUCAAAAGUAGUUGCACUUAUUUUGUGGAACUACAUGUAAUUAGUGGAGAAUUAUGUGAGAACGUGCUUAGUGUCACUAAUUUUUAGGUUGUAAUCCUAAAUAAGCUUUAUUAUAUAAAGCUUGAUGUUAUUCAAUAAAAAGUAUCAUAAGUUUAUUAUUUUGGCAACAUAAAAGUUGUAAUUGGGAGUUUAUUGGUUUCUCGAAUAACCAAUACUUAUUUGGAGAUUUGGAUUUGUUCGAAUUAACCCCAUUUAUCAUCUAAUUUUUCUAUUUCAUUUGAUUUCUUCUUAUAAACUUUAGUGCUCGUAUCAGUCCACAACUCAUCAUGCUGAUAAUGUCCUAUCUGUGACUUGUAAAAUUUCUCUUAUGAGUAUUACAUAAGCUGUUAUGAAAGAGCCUUUAUUAGAGGAGUUGAUUCUGUCUCAUGGAUGGCAAAUAACUCAGCGACGCUUUUGAGUCCUCAAAGUGAUGGUUCUCAUUGUUGGACCUUCUUCAGCACUGCAGCUUACGGGAAAGGAAACAAGGUUCCACUGGUCAGUUUGUUUGUAAAUGCAUGUCUUGUUAAAUACUUAUGAUUAUAUGCUGGCAUUGUCACACUUUUCUAACCAAUAGGCUAGGCCUCUAGUUGAAUUCAUUCAUCCUUCAGCUUGCAAUCUCAAGCUAUUGAAACGUGGUUUUUUUUUACCGCAUAUUUAUAUAGAGUUUGCAAUAAGAUUAGCUUUAUCUUCCCUUUUGUACUUGAAUCAAUAUGACAUUUCAAAUUUUACAGCAAAAUUAUGUGCUGCGUUGAUAUGUAUAUGUUGCAAUUUAGGCUUUUUGCAAGAUUUUUACGAUUGUUUUCAUAAUUUAUUAGGAAAAUAUGCCAACUGCAACAGCAUCGAAGGUGAAAACAGGUAUGCUCGAGGGUGUUGGAGCCGUUGCUUGGCCUGCCGAUAGGUCUUGUCGGAAGCCCAUUUAUACUUGAGUCCAAUUAUGGUAAGGAUCCACUUUUAUGGACAUGACCUUGCAAUUUCAUUUAUAUCAUGUCCCAUUUGGAUCCCUUGUGACCUACUUGGGCAGUAACCAUUUGCUGUUGCUUUACAAUGAUUGGUUCACUUGGGCAAGCAUCAAGUAUAAUAUUAAAACAUAGGUAACAAACAAGAUUAGGCUCAACUCGAAUUCUUCAAACUAGUGAGAUAAGACCCUGCAAAACCUGAGUUUGUCAACCACAGCGAUGUUGGAAAUAUUCAGGUUCUUUUUACUGUGCUUUGUUGUAUAUAUCAGGCGAAUAUGGCUCGGGAGGACAAAUGGGAUAAGACCCUGCAAACCAAAUAUAUGAGGCAAGCCCAAGAACAAAUGACAGCUAUAGUCUCUUUGUUUGCAUUUGGGAAAUAGUACACGAAACAAUAGUCUCUUCGUUUGCAUAUUUUUCCAACUCGCUGUAAUUUGUAUAUACAUUGUGGGGUUUAAAAAGUUCUCAAACUGAAAAAAGAAAUCAUGCGUUGAUUUAAUUGUAUAUGUCUUUGUUCGUCUUUUAUUGUAAUUCUGAUUAAGAUUAAAUUUGUAAAUCAAAUAAAUUACUGUAUGUUAAAUAUUUGUUUUUCCUUUUUCCAAUUUUAAGGAUGGAACUUUGAUUACUUAUAGAAUGACAAUCACAUGGAAUUAUCAAUGAGCACCCAUGAGCCGUAUAUCAAAAUUCAAUAGCCCCAGAGCCAAUUAUAAUUUUUCUCAUUGAUAUCUAUUGCUUUUGGGUCUGGGGGUGUUUGAUGUUGAUUGCCGGGAUUGUCAUUGAUAUCUAUUGUUUGAUGCUGAUUGCUCUGGGGCUGUUGAAUUUUUUUGCCCUUUUUUUUUUCAUUCCACACAUCCUAAUAUGCGCACAAAAGAUAUCAAUGAUAUUAAUGACAAUAUCAUAUAUCAAAAUUCAACAGCCCCAGAGCAAUCAGCAUCAAACAAUAGAUAUCAAUGACAAUCCCGGCAAUCAACAUCAAACACCCCCAGACCCAAAAGCAAUCGAUAUCAAUGAACACCCAUGAGCCAUGAAUAAUAUCAAUAAAUUCCUUGGUUGAAACCUCGAAGAAACCCAGAAACCCUUCAAUUCAAACCUCAAAAAAUGUGCCCCGGAUAUAACUCAUAUCAGCGCUCUGUUUUCUGGGAUGAGGAUAAAAACCUCGUUCAUUUCAAGAACCCUCUUCCAUCAGGGAUGAAGAAAGAGGAUGUGAAGGUUGAGAUUGAUGAAGAUGGGAAAUUGCUUAUAGAAACAAGCAAAGGGGUAAGGUCACAUAUUGAUCCUCUCUCUUCAGCUUCUUCCUCGAUGAUCAGAUUCGGAUCCUCUUUCCUAAGCUUCUCGAAGAAAAAUGAAGGAGACACCGCCAGCCCGAUAAUGUCGAUGAAAUUCAACUUCCCAGCAGGUCUUGACCCGAAAGGCUUCAAGACUGCAAUCGAUGACGAGGGGUUGCUGACUCUCACUUUUAAAAAGCUCGUUGCCAUUCAUUCCGAAACGCCCUUCGACCUCAAAAACGACUCCGAGUGGGUGACUGCUAAAGAGAACAACAAGGACAUUGUUCACUUCAAGGCCAAUUUGGCAGCGGGCACGAAGAUGGGGGAUGUGAUGGUUGGUAUAGCAGGUGGUAAUUCCCUUAUCAUAGGUUUGCUGAAGAAAGAGGAAGGGGACACCAAUAUUCUCAAGCGGUUCCAUGGCAACAACUGUUGGAUCUCCGUUUUGCCAGAUGGUGCGAACCCGGAUGGCUUCAAGGAUGCAAUGGAUGAUGCCGGCCUUCUAACUGUCACCUUCACUAAACUGAAGCCAGAGAAGAAGAAGCUGAUGCCAAGCCCAAAGAAGAUACUGGGAUAUUUGGCCUGCUUGUUUGCUGAUAGGUUGCAGGAUAGGUGAUGAGAUGAGUUCAGGAGACUACUAGUAAGCUGGUGUCAAGUAGAUAUUUCCUUCAUGUUCAUGUGUUUUGUUCUGUCGUUUAUCUUUAGCGUUUGAAAGAAACUCUGGACGUCUAGACCAGGUGUUCGUUAAUUUCUGUGUUUGCGUGGUGUUGUAUCUCCUUUGUGUCAGUGAAAUAGAAAGGGCUUUGUCUAAUAAAAAAUGAUAAACGCUGUUGAGCGAAAAAUAAAUGCAUUUUUUUUUUUUUAAUCGUGUUGAAUAUUAAAAAAAAAAAACAAGGCCUGUUUUCAUGCAUACGUGCAGCCACAAGAUAAAGGAGUAACUGGAGAUCGGUCAGGUGAGCCAAUCAUGCUACAGAAUCUGCAAUCUGUGUAUAAAAGAAUUAAAAAGACAAAAAAAAAAAAAAAAAAACUGCUAGCGGUUGGUUACUUUUUUUAUUUAUAAAUGAGUACAUCGGUAAUGGUAUCGGGCCAAUGCUCGAGCCAGAGCCCCACUUUUCUCCUUUAAUAAUCGCUCAUUUCACUAUUUCAGCGCAAUAGAGGGUAGGGUGAUGCUAAGUUACAGUAUUUGUACCUUACAGCCACCUUAGUACAGAAAAACAAAAAGCGGACACAAGUGGGGUUCAUGGUCACUUUGUGAGGGUGCUGUAAGGUACAGAUACUGUACCGUAGCAUUCUCCGAGAGAGUAAAGGCAACUUUUGAAGAUAAGAACGAGAUGACAGAGAAAAUAAAACGACCCAUGUGAUUAUCAGUCCAUAGAAAUCUACACCAAAUUCUCAGGUCUCCGCAGUGACGCGCACACAAAUAUUUCAAGAUUAUGGCAACUUCUGCAACUCAUUCCUUUGAGCUUCAAGGUGGCCAUCGAAAAAAUAACUGGGUAAUAUGACACAACAAAGAUUUACCUUCACCGAACUGAAGCCGGAGAAAAAGGCGGUGUCAAGAUCAAAGAAGAUGCCGCGAGGUUUGGCUGAAGCAGUGCCUGUUUGUAUCUUGAUAGGUUACUAGAUAAGUUGGGGAGACUACUAAUUAGCUGGUGGCAGGUAAGGUAUUUGCUAACAUCAUGUUCCAAAAUGCAAAAUCCUGUAUAGUUUGCUAUUGGAAAAUAGGAAAAAAGGAAAAAAAGAUAUCUAGUUUUACAUUCUACCAUUACAAUGGAUUAGGAAUGGUGAAGAAUCUCAUUUGGUACAGGGCAACCUUUUCAAAAUGCAAAAUCCUGUAUAGUUUGUUGAUAUAUAUAUAUAUAUUUUUUUUUUUCUUUUGUGGGAUACUAGAACUUCAGAAAGAUUGGAAAACUUCAUAAAAUUUCAUACAGAUUUUUUCACUCUAAAUUUUGAGAAAAUGAUAGCUAGAUUACAACUAAGAUUAAUAGCAACUCUCAGCUGCAAACAACUAGAAGGCUGGUACUAAAUGCCAAUUUUGAAAUAGAACAUGAAGCCGUAAGUUCCCAAGUAGUGGAAGGAGCCCAAGGCUCUGAUCAUGUGCCCGUUGAAGAAUGAGCCGGCAAAUCCUAAGCAGUGGCUUGGUUAGGGAAAGCCACCGAAAUGAGUCUCCAUUGGGCAAUUGCCACUACUUAUGUACCCAAACAUGGGUGAUCUAUCCCUGACCAGGAUGAAGCUUGGGCGAAACUGAGUAGGUUAGAAUAAUAUGAGCUGACUUUCAAUCUAUGCCAUUCAUUCAAUGACUUUGGAUAUGUCCACAACUCAUCAUCUUGAUAAUGUCCUAUCAGUGUCUUGUAAACUUCUCUUAUGAGUAUUAAAUAGGUUGUUAUGAAAGAAUUGAAAUCAUCUUUAUAAAUGUAACGACCAGAUAGGGUUCUAGACCUAGAAGAUGAGGUUAUGUUUGUUUCCUUUCUGUUUCUUGUUGAUUGUAGACUGUUUAUUGCUUGUGGCUGCUAUUUACAGUUUGGCUUUGUGCUGUGGUAAUGGUUCCCUAAUGUAAUGGGAGGAAAAUUUUCAAAUUGGCUGCUUGGUUCAUCUAGCUUACCUCUAAUAGCUAGACAAAACGAAGUUAUAUAUACUUUGAAAUAUUAAGUUUUUUUUGUAUUAUUAUCUGUUACAGAGCAUGGUCAGAGCUGUGAGGAUGAGCACACUUGAUAACUUGAUAGCUUACGUGUAAAAGAGUCAGUUAGCUGAGUCAGCUACUUGGUUAACCAAUUGGUUUAGCGUGUAUAGAAUAUAAAACAGAUUUAGUUUACAUUGUAACCAAGUAUAAAUAAAGAGCUGUAAGCACGAUUGUGUGGUUGAGUUUUAUUCAAUAAAUUCCAGAUUCUUCUUCAUAACUUUUCUUCGUUUUCUCAUUGUUUUUCUUACUCUCCAAACACAUAAUUACAGAUUCUUUCAUGGUAUCAGAGCAAUCAAUGAUGAGCUCGAAUCAAACCUCUGGAUCUUAUAGUUUUGUUACUCCUGUGAAACUCGACCAGAAUAACUUCAUUGUUUGGAGAACUCAGAUUUUAACAACGAUUAAAGGUAACAGGUUGGAGAGCUUUAUCAAUGGUGAUCGAGCCUGUCCAGAGCAAUUUCUUCCAUCAGCUGUCACUGGAGCUAUUGAUUCAACAAGAUCAAAGGAUUGAGAAAUUAAUCCAGAGUUUUUAGCUUAGGUGAAGACUGAUCAGUUGAUUCUGAGUUGGAUGAUGUCAUCAAUUCAACAAAAUUUGCUGGCAACGGUGAUUCAUUGCUCUACUGCUAAAGAGCUUCUGGACACACUUACUAGUAUGUUUAUCUCACAAUCUCAGGCUAGAAUAAUGCCUCUUAAAAUGCAGAUUCAAACACUUAAAAAAGGCUCAAUGUCAAUGAUUGAUUAUUUUGCUAAAAUGAAAAGGUUAUCUGAUAGCUUAGCUCUGGCUGGAAAACCUGUUGAAUUGAAUGAUUUUGUUCAAUAUGUUUUGACUGGAUUGGAUUCCUCAGAUUAUGAGUCUCUUGUUACGAGCGUCUUAGCUAGAGGUGACAAGAUUAAUCUUGAUGAGUUUUACUCUUUACUGUUAAGUCAUGAGAAUAGAGUUGAGCAGAAGAGAGGCAAAAUUGCUAGUGAUGUUACUCAUAAUUUGUCAGCUAAUAUGGCAUAAAAACAGUUUAAUUCUGGAAAAAAUGCUGGUGGUAAUCCAAGAUAUAAUAAUAAUAUAACUUAUGGUGGAGGUGUCUAUGGAAAUUUUGCUAAUGGAAAUGGUAUGGGACAAUCUGGUGAUGGUAAUUCAACUAUCAUUUGUCAAAUCUGUUUUAUACCGGGUCAUGGAGCUCACAAGUGCAAGAAUAGGUACAAUUCUGCUUUUGUACCUUCAAGGAAUCAAGCAAGAGGAAAUUUUAAUGGCAAUUUUAGGGCUGGUCAAAGGAAUUUUGGAAGGGGAUUUGGAAAUUCAGGUGGCAGAUUUUUUAAUGGUGCUUAUGGCAGAGGGUUUAAUUCUCAAUUUGGCAAUGUCUUUACUAAACAUAAUGCUGGAAAUUUCAAUUUGCCAAGAGGUCCAGGAUAUCAAAGCUAUGUGAUGUGCUCAGAUCCAGCUGCUUUUUAUGUUACUCAACCUGGUAGCUCCACUAAUGCAAGUUCUUCUGCUUCUGGUUUUGGUUUUACUGGAGAUUACAGUGGCUGCUCUCCUUCCGCACCCACAGUUCCUACUCCUGAGAUGGUUGAAGAUCCCACCUGGUACAUUGACAGUGGUGCAACUAAUCAUAUCACCAAUGAUGCAGGUAAACUUCUUGAACCAAAAUCUUAUAGUGGAAGUGAAAAGUUGCUUGUUGGUAAUGGUUCUUCUCUGCAUAUUAAACAAGUUGGAUCAGUAUUGCUAGCCACAACUACAUCUGAAUCUUUGUUGCUAAGUCAUGUUCUUUAUGUUCCUCAAAUAACAAUUCCAGAUUCUUCUUCAUAACUUUUCUUCGUUUUCUCAUUGUUUUUCUUACUCUCCAAACACAUAAUUACAGAUUCUUUCAUGGUAUCAGAGCAAUCAAUGAUGAGCUCGAAUCAAACCUCUGGAUCUUAUAGUUUUGUUACUCCUGUGAAACUCGACCAGAAUAACUUCAUUGUUUGGAGAACUCAGAUUUUAACAACGAUUAAAGGUAACAGGUUGGAGAGCUUUAUCAAUGGUGAUCGAGCCUGUCCAGAGCAAUUUCUUCCAUCAGCUGUCACUGGAGCUAUUGAUUCAACAAGAUCAAAGGAUUGAGAAAUUAAUCCAGAGUUUUUAGCUUAGGUGAAGACUGAUCAGUUGAUUCUGAGUUGGAUGAUGUCAUCAAUUCAACAAAAUUUGCUGGCAACGGUGAUUCAUUGCUCUACUGCUAAAGAGCUUCUGGACACACUUACUAGUAUGUUUAUCUCACAAUCUCAGGCUAGAAUAAUGCCUCUUAAAAUGCAGAUUCAAACACUUAAAAAAGGCUCAAUGUCAAUGAUUGAUUAUUUUGCUAAAAUGAAAAGGUUAUCUGAUAGCUUAGCUCUGGCUGGAAAACCUGUUGAAUUGAAUGAUUUUGUUCAAUAUGUUUUGACUGGAUUGGAUUCCUCAGAUUAUGAGUCUCUUGUUACGAGCGUCUUAGCUAGAGGUGACAAGAUUAAUCUUGAUGAGUUUUACUCUUUACUGUUAAGUCAUGAGAAUAGAGUUGAGCAGAAGAGAGGCAAAAUUGCUAGUGAUGUUACUCAUAAUUUGUCAGCUAAUAUGGCAUAAAAACAGUUUAAUUCUGGAAAAAAUGCUGGUGGUAAUCCAAGAUAUAAUAAUAAUAUAACUUAUGGUGGAGGUGUCUAUGGAAAUUUUGCUAAUGGAAAUGGUAUGGGACAAUCUGGUGAUGGUAAUUCAACUAUCAUUUGUCAAAUCUGUUUUAUACCGGGUCAUGGAGCUCACAAGUGCAAGAAUAGGUACAAUUCUGCUUUUGUACCUUCAAGGAAUCAAGCAAGAGGAAAUUUUAAUGGCAAUUUUAGGGCUGGUCAAAGGAAUUUUGGAAGGGGAUUUGGAAAUUCAGGUGGCAGAUUUUUUAAUGGUGCUUAUGGCAGAGGGUUUAAUUCUCAAUUUGGCAAUGUCUUUACUAAACAUAAUGCUGGAAAUUUCAAUUUGCCAAGAGGUCCAGGAUAUCAAAGCUAUGUGAUGUGCUCAGAUCCAGCUGCUUUUUAUGUUACUCAACCUGGUAGCUCCACUAAUGCAAGUUCUUCUGCUUCUGGUUUUGGUUUUACUGGAGAUUACAGUGGCUGCUCUCCUUCCGCACCCACAGUUCCUACUCCUGAGAUGGUUGAAGAUCCCACCUGGUACAUUGACAGUGGUGCAACUAAUCAUAUCACCAAUGAUGCAGGUAAACUUCUUGAACCAAAAUCUUAUAGUGGAAGUGAAAAGUUGCUUGUUGGUAAUGGUUCUUCUCUGCAUAUUAAACAAGUUGGAUCAGUAUUGCUAGCCACAACUACAUCUGAAUCUUUGUUGCUAAGUCAUGUUCUUUAUGUUCCUCAAAUAACCAAAAAUUUACUUAGUGUCUCAAAACUUCUAGCUGAUAAUAAUGCUACUAUUGAAUUUCUUGAAAAUUGUUGUUUUGUUAAGGCCAGGAGCUUAGGGACCAUCUUGCUUAAAGGAAUUGCAAAAGGAGGAUUGUAUCAAGUCCAAAUUGCAUCCCAAUCUUCUGAUGAUAGCCCAGUUUCAUUUUGUCAAUCUUCUGUCAAUCACUUUGAAUCUAUGUUUGCUUAUUUUCCUUCUUUGUCUUGUAAUGGUUCUGCUGUCCAGAAUAAUCCUUCCCUUGUCAGUAAUAACUUAUGUAAGUCAGCCCUGAUAGUUAAUGCAAGCACUGCUGACAUCAAUUUGCUUCACAAAAGGCUAGGACAUCCGGCUUUUCAUACUCUAAAAAAUGUAUUGAAGGAUUGUACUGACUUUUCCUUGAAUAAAAUCAAACACUUGAGUUUCUGUAAUGCUUGUCAAUUUGGUAAAAGUCAUCUGUUACACUUUGAUUCUGUUCCAACAAAAACAGUAGAGCCUCUUCAACUCUUAUAUGCUGAUCUUUGGGGUCCUUCUCAUGUUACUUCAACUCAGGGUUAUUCCUAUUAUUUUUCCAUUCUAGAUGAUUUCAGUAGGUUUACAUGGAUCUUUCCCUUGACUGCUAAAUCUGAUGCUCUUCAAGUGUUCAUAAACUUCAAAAACUUCAUUGAAAAACACUUGCAUAGGCAUAUCAAAACUGUCCAGACAGAUUGGGGAAUGGAAUUUAGAAGUUUCUCCAUAUAUCUUGAUCAAUUUGGUAUUCAAUUCCGACAUCCUUGUCCUCAUAUUCAUCAUCAAAAUGGUAGAAUAGAAAGAAAACAUAGGCACAUUGUGGAUAUUGGCCUCACUUUGUUAGCCCAAACAAGUUUGCCACUAAAAUUCUGGUGGAAUGCUUUUCACACAGUUGUGUUUCUCAUCAAUAGAUUACCUACACCAACCUUGAAUAAUAUUUCACCUUAUCAAAAAAUCUUUCAUCAAAAACCAGAUUACAAUUUUCUUAGAACCUUUGGUUGUGCUUGUUAUCCGUACCUCAGGCCAUAUAAUAGGCACAAACUUGAGUUUAGAUCAGGUAGAUGUGUCUUCAUUGGGUACAGCUCUCAACAUAAAGGGUACCAAUGUCUUCAUUCUUCUGGUAGGGUGUACAUCACCAAUCAUGUCAUCUUUGAUGAAAACUCCUUUCCAUAUGUGCCUGGCUCAUACUUUUCUUCUGUCACACAAUCAUGUAAUUCAAAUGAUACAGUUUCCCAUUCGUCCACUAUCUCUACUCCUAUCUUUACUCAUUUUCCAGCACUGCAAUCUCCUCUACAAUCCUCUUCAGCAAGUGGUUCCUCCGAGUUUUCAACAACAAUUCCUAGCCAGGUAAAAUCCCCUUAUUCUUCUUCUCAUACACCACAAAUGUCUGAUAUACAACCUUUAAAUGAUACUCAAUCACCACCACAUAUAAUACCUGCUGCACCACUAAUAGGACAUUCUAUGAUCACCAGAUCUAAAGCUGGCAUUUUUAAGCCAAAGUCUUAUCUUGCUGCUCUUUUAGCCACACUCUCAAAACCUACCUCUGUUUCCCAAGCAAUCACUGAUCCAAAAUGGUUUUAAGCAAUGCAUGAGGAGUAUCAAGCACUUCAAAACAAUCAUACCUGGGUUUUAGUACUACCAUCAACACCUGUCAAAGUAAUUGGCGGCAAGUUGGUUUUCAGAAUUAAAUAUAACUCGGAUGGAACCAUUUCUAGAUACAAAGCAAGACUUGUGGCAAAAGGUUUCCAUUAGACACAUGGAAUAGAUUAUACUGAAAGCUAUAGUCCAGUUGUGAAAGCUUCCGCAGUUAGAAUAGUUUUGAGUUUAGCUGUCAUGAACAAAUGGAUCCUCAGACAGGUAGAUGUAAACAAUGCAUUCUUGAAUGGUUUUUUGGUUGAAGAUGUGUAUAUGGUCCAGCCUGAAGGAUUUGUUGAUCCUACAAAGCCUACUCAUGUAUGCAAACUCAAGAAGGCCAUCUAUGGAUUAAAGCAAGCCCCCCGAGCAUGGUUUGACAGAUUCAAGAAUGCUAUGGUAGAUCAGUGUGGUUUUUUAAACUCUAAGUCUGACAGCUCUCUCUUCUAUAAGUGGGAAAAUAAUCAUAUCUUGCUUGUCUUAGUAUAUGUUGAUGACAUAAUUGUUACUGGAUCUAACUACCAACUAGUGCAGCAAGUAAUUCAUAAUAUGCAGACUACUUUUGCCUUGAAGGAUUUGGGGGAGUUAAGCUAUUUUCUUGGGAUUGAAGUCUCUAAGACAGCAGCUGGAGUUCAUCUAUCUCAAGCCAAAUAUAUAGCUAAUCUCUUCGCAAAACAUGAUAUGGCAAGUUGCAGUCCAGUUCCUACUCUUAUGUCCACAGGGCAUCAUCUCACAAAAGGUUCAGGCUCACCUAUUUCGAAUGCAUCUUAGUACAAAAGUAUAAUUGGGGCCUUGCAGUAUGUGACUCUAACAAGACCUGAGAUAGCAUUCUCAGUUAACAAACUAAGUCAAUUUCUAUCUUUACCAAUGAUAGAACAUUGGGAAGCAUGGAAAAGACUUUUGAGGUAUUUGAAGGGAUCCAUUCAUUUUGGCUUGCAUUUUUAUCAUUGUGGAACUUUACAAGUGAACUGUUAUAGUGAUUCUGAUUGGGCAUGUGACAAAGACGAUAGAAAAUCAGUAGCUGGGUAUGCAGUGUAUCUUGGUUCGAAUUUAGUUUCAUGGUGUUCUAAGAAACAACAAGUGGUUUCAAGGUCCAGUACUGAAGCUGAGUACAGAGCCUUAGCUCAAGCUACAUCUGAAGUUGUUUGGAUUGAAAAUCUGCUUAGUGAGUUGAAAAUCAAACUUGUUGCAGAACCUAUUAUGUGGUGUGAUAAUCAAGGUGCCAUAGCUUUGGCUUACAAUCCAGUUUAUCAUGCUAAAACUAAGCAUGUUGAAUUGGACAUUCACUUUAUCAGGGAGAAAAUAGCGGCCAAAAAGAUUGAAGUGCAAUUUGUUCCAAGUGAGGAUCAAACUGUAGAUAUACUUAUCAAGCCAUUAACUUUUGACCGCUUCCAUUAUCUUCGCAGCAAGCUAAAUGUCCAUCCUGGACAGUUUAGCUUGAGAGGGGAUGUUACAGAGCAUGGUCAGAGCUGCGAGGAUGAGCACACUUGAUAACUUGAUAGCUAACGUGUAAAAGAGUCAGUUAGCUGAGUCAGCUACUUUGUUAACCAAUUGGUUUAGCGUGUAUAGAAUAUAAAACAGAUUUAGUUUACAUUGUAACUAAGUAUAAAUAAAUAGUUGUUAUCUAGCACAUGUUUUAUUCAGUAUCAGCCAUUUAUAAAUUAUUUCAAAGAUUCAUGGUGCAUUUUCCUGGUUUGCAGAGGCUAGAACUAGGUUUUAUAUCGGCCCUUCUUGUCGCAUUUGAGGAUCCCCUUCAACUAGGCAGUGACAUUUGAAGGAGCUUUUAUUAGAGGUGUUGAUUCUGUCUCAUGGAUGGCAAAUAACUUAGUGAAGCUUUUGAGUUCUCAAAGUGAUGGUUUUUCAUUGUUGGACCUUCUUCAAACUAGUGAUACUGGAAUUUUUUGUUUCUGAGUUUGUCAACCACAUCCAUGUUGGAAAUAUUCAGGUUCUUUUUGUUGUGCUUUGUUGUAUAUAUCAGGCGAAUAUGGUUCGAGAGGACAAAUGGGAUAAGACCCUGCAAACCAAAUAUACGAGGCAAGCCCAAGAACAAAUGAGAGCCAUAGUCUCUUUGUUUGCAUUUGAGAAAUAGUACACGAAACAAUAGUCUCUUCGUUUGCAUAUUUUUCCAACUUGCUGUAAUUUGUAUAUACACUGUGGGGUUUAAAAAGUUCUCAAACUGAAAAAAGAAAUCAUGCGUUGAUUUAAUUGUAUAUGCCUUUGUUCUUCUUUUAUUGUAAUUUUGAUUACGAUUAAAUUUGUAAACUGCAUUGAGGAAUUUUAUCGAGACUUUUGAGAAGUGCGAGAAGAAGCUCACACCUACAGAGGGGUGCCGGUUGUCCCACCUCGUCGAAGGGAUGUUAAAGAUUUUUAAUGGGCUAAGCCAACAUGGCCCUCUUAGAUAUUUUGGGCUUUUACCAACAAGUUCCUGGUCACACCCCUCAAACCUCCUUAUCAAACCUUUUUUUUUUAAAUAAAAAUAAAAUCACUAAAUAACUAAAUACAAUUUAAUUUCUUUCUUUAUUUUUAAAUGAAAAUUUAAUUAUAUAUUUAAAUAAAUUGUUAUUUUAACAAAUAUUUUAUUCCUGCCCCAUUUUAUAAUUAUAUUUUGAUUUCAAUAACUCGAUAUAUCAACACACGAUUUUCAAGUUCUUUUAUUUUGACUCGCCAAUCAAUAGGAGGCUGAGAUACUGUUUUUGAUGACCUCAUUACACAUAGAUUGCAGAGUUUGUUGAGAUUGCACGAAUUUGCAAUGAUAAUGUUGUCUUUUUAGCCACUGUGAUAGUGUUUCUGAUGACUUCCGUUCCCUGACAGCAUUGAAACAUUUAGAUGACAUCCUUGAAGGGGAGAAAUUUUCAAGAUUCUCAAGGAGGAAUUUUUUUAGCAGCUUAAAUGGAUUUUUAAAAGCCUCAGAUCAAAUGAAAUGUUCAUUGAAUUGGAUGAAACUACAAUUAAGGUAAAUACGAGCAAGAGAUGCUGCCUUUACUAAAACAUUCCGGUAUGAUAAAAAUUGUUACAAAAACUUUUUAACUUUUGUAACAAACAAUCAAUGGUCCAGGUUACAUCAAAACUAAAAUAAAGAAGCACAACAAAUUCUAUACACAAUUUGUCUUGAAGUCCCUUGCUGAGUCACCAUGCUUACAACAGUGUCGAUCUUUUUAUUUCAAGCUCUUUCUUCUUGAUGCUUUGAUAUCAGCCAUUGGAUCACUGGGUGAUGGUUGUCGAAGCCAGCAAAAAUAAAUACCUACUCUAAAUAAAUUGUGUAUAGUGAUUGAGCAGGGUCGUGUCCACAGAGAUCGGUAAUUAUUUAAAUCCUUUUGAAACGUAAAACGUAAAAUGAGAGAAUUGUUGACAAUAAUAAAAAUCAAAUUAAAAUAACAAGAAUGUAAAUUAAAGUUGUAAUUCAAAUUGGAAAAAGCUCUAGUUGAAGGAAAUAACUCAGCUUGAUUCUACUACUCAUCAUUGAUUCAAAUAUAAAUUAUUACUACUUAUGAAUAGACCAGUUAUAGCUACUGAGACCCUCUAAUAGUUAAUCUCUCCUUAACUAGUCGAUAACCAAGGUACGACCGUUGGUUAUUUCCCUAAUCAAUAGACAACCCUAGAUACGAUCAUAGGAUUUAAUCAAUUGACAGCCUGAAAAACCAGAUAGACCCAAAUCCUAAUAAACAAACACAUACGAUAGUUUAUUUAAAUUAGAUUGUUUAUUCUCACAACACAACUCUCUGCUAUGUUAUUUGUCACAAAUAUUAAAAUCUUCAUACGAUGAAUCCUUUAAUUGACAAUAGAUUAAGUUGUUAAUUAAAUAGUGGCCAAUUACCUAAUUAACAAACAUAAUCAUGAAAAUAAUUCAGAGAAUAAACAAAUACCCAAAAAGUAAUAAAACAAUUAAAGCAUAAGAAAGAUCUUACAAUAGUGAUGAAUCAAAGCUUCAUUAACCUUCAACCAGAAUAAUAGGUUUAGUUCUUCAUAGAGAGAAGAGAAAAAUUUAGAUCUAGGGUUUCUUUCUUUUUCUCCAAUCCCUCUUUUUCACAAUAAAUUCCUCCCUUAAAUACUCUCUCUUUAUUCUCCUCUAGAAUUCUAUUUAAAAUAAAAUACUAAUAUCUGAAAUAUUAAAUUCGUAAUUACAAAAAUACAAAACACGUUAAACUAAAAACUGCAUGUCCGUAGUUGACAGCACGCGCCCACGUCUUAUCAACAAAGUUCUUCUGACGCUCAUAAUUUCUCCAAGAGAACAAUCAUCCUUAAACAUCAUCUUAUAACUCAAUUUUAGCACCAAUCAAUAGAAUUGCACCUAUAAAAAUAAAACACAAGUAAAUCACUAUUAUUAAGUGCAAAAUAUCGAUAUUAAGGGAAGUAAACAAUGCAAAACUAAUGCAUAAAUUGCACUCUAACAAAUUCCCCAACACCAAGACGAUGCUUGUCCUCAAGCAUAUAACUCAAGACUAAUCUCAAAUCUCCACUAAAUUCUCAUCUCAACUCAUCCAAAAACAAUUUUAAGCAAGCAUACCUCAAGAAAUUAAGUCGAUCAACAUUUGAGAGACAAGGAUUUUAAAGCAUAGAAUCUCAUAAGAUAGAAUAAGAACAUUCAACCACCAAGAAGAUCCAUUCAAAAUUCAAGUGCAACAAGAUUUCAUAGCCCUCUCAUUGACUUCACUCCAUGCACUCAAAGUGUUUAUGGUGUCAUUUAUGCACUCAAAUCAAAUCAAAGAAUACUAUUACCAUAAGCUUGCUUAUAUAUCACAUCCCAAUCCACAAAACAUGAAUUAAAUGCAAAAAUCUAAGGGUCUUAAAAAGGUUGUAACGGGGUUAAAUGGGUUAAAUGAAAAAGAAAGGUCUAUGAAAGAAAAAGAGAUCAAAAUGAAAAGAAUGAACUCAUUGAAUGAACUUUAUGAUAUCGAAACGCUUAUUUCUACUCAAGUCACCAAGAAUGUAUUUUUUUCUUUUUUUUUCGACUUUUUUUCUUUUCUUUUUCCUUUUUUUUUUAAUCAAACAAAAGAAACGAACCUUGCACAAUUUAAUUCAAGCAUAAUGCUUGUUGAUCUAAUUGAGAAAUUUUAAUACAAGGUAGAAAAAGCAACAAAAUAUAUACAAAAUAUAUCCACACAAUGAGUCCAAAAAUCUCCUUAAAUUGAGGCUCAAAAAGAAGAAAAAUUAUUAAGUAGACGGAGAGAAUUAGAUGGGUAAUGGUUAAGGCUCAAACAAAGAUAGCAAAUAAAGGUCUUCGGGUAGAGAAAAAAAAAAUGCGAGAAUAGAAAAAUGGAAAAUGGUUUGCCCUUAUCAUUUUAAUGCAUAAAAUCCCGUAAUGCGGCUUCAACAUGCAUAAGAAAGCAAGUUCUAGAAUAAACAAACUAAGAUUGAUAUUCACAUAACAAAAAUAUUAGAGCAAAGUGGUUGCUCGUAGGCUCAAAUCCUCACAAAGUUGGUAAAUUUGCCAUCAAAUCAUGUACACUCUUCAAAUGAAUCAACCAUCAAUAGUGGUUUGGAAUGAGAAGAAGGUAUGAGUAAUAUAUAAAAGGAAAGGUAAAAAGGAUAAUAAGCGAGAAAGAUGUAUGUAGUAAAAAAAAUGAAAGAUAAAAUGUGAGUGAUGAAAGAGUAUGAUAGAAAAAAUAGAUGUAAAUAAUUUGAGAUAGAUGAGAAAAGAGUAGUGAGAAAGAAAAGAAAAGAAAAAUAAUAAUAUAUGAAGCAUACUAACUCCAAAAUCAUUUAAGGAUGAGUAGAGUGAAAAUAAUACUUCCAGACAUCAAUCAUGCAAAAAUUCCUCCCCCACACCCAGACCUUACAUUGUCCUCAAUGUAAGAUAAUCAAAGCUCACAUAAAAAUUAAAGCAUAAGGAUAAAAGAUUAAAGGUAAAAACUUCCCUGAAUUGUGAGCUUUGAUCCACAUAACGUCUAUGGGCUUGGCGGAAAUGGUGGGAUAAAUCCCACACUCUCGAAGUAUGCGGCCAAAUUCUGCUCAAUCAUGUUAAGCUUGUGGUCUAUUUUCUCUAAAUGAAUGCUCAAAGGUGGUGCGGAUGUAGAAUGAAUAGUUGGCGGGGCAGUAGUGUCGUCGUCAAGCUCGUCAUCAGAGGUAGCACCACUCCUAGCAUAAAGCUUUUUUGGAGGUUGAGUUGGUCAUGGUUCAGUAAACUGAAAUCUCCCCUCCUUGAAUUCGACCACACCUGUUCUUUCAAACACAAACAUAUCCAAAAAUUCCUUUUUGCAAGUAGGAUGCAAAUCAUUAUUGUCAGGAUCAAGCACACAUAGGUUUAUAGCUAACAGAGUAAUGUAUGGACCAAGAAAUAAAGUCCUAUACUGUUUAAGCACACUUUGAAAUUGAUCUGCUAACCAAAAACCUAAAUUAGGCCUCACAUCAUUUAACAUGCACCAGAUAAAAUAAAAUUCAGUUUUAGAGAAAACUCCUGAGUGAUCUUUCUUUCCUAAAAAAUUAUAUGCUAAGAAUCGAUGCACACAUUUCAAAACAGGAUCACGUAAGAAAUAACUCUUUGAUUUACUCGGGUCAUAGGCAUUGUGAUCAAAAGAUAGAUUACGCCAAAGACCAUAAGGCUCAAAAUUUUCGCUAAAGUCACAAGUUGUUCCUAAAUAUUCAUCACUAGUAGAAUAAUCAUCAUCAAUGAAUCCUAAAGCUAGGUUAAAAUCCGUGAUAGAGUGUGAAAAAUUUCAUCCCANNNNNNNNNNNNNNNNNNNNNNNNNNNNNNNNNNNNNNNNNNNNNNNNNNNNNNNNNNNNNNNNNNNNNNNNNNNNNNNNNNNNNNNNNNNNNNNNNNNNNNNNNNNNNNNNNNNNNNNNNNNNNNNNNNNNNNNNNNNNNNNNNNNNNNNNNNNNNNNNNNNNNNNNNNNNNNNNNNNNNNNNNNNNNNNNNNNNNNNNNNNNNNNNNNNNNNNNNNNNNNNNNNNNNNNNNNNNNNNNNNNNNNNNNNNNNNNNNNNNNNNNNNNNNNNNNNNNNNNNNNNNNNNNNNNNNNNNNNNNNNNNNNNNNNNNNNNNNNNNNNNNNNNNNNNNNNNNNNNNNNNNNNNNNNNNNNNNNNNNNNNNNNNNNNNNNNNNNNNNNNNNNNNNNNNNNNNNNNNNNNNNNNNNNNNNNNNNNNNNNNNNNNNNNNNNNNNNNNNNNNNNNNNNNNNNNNNNNNNNNNNNNNNNNNNNNNNNNNNNNNNNNNNNNNNNNNNNNNNNNNNNGCAGUGGGUAGUUCGCGCUGGUGGGGCUUGCGUUGCGCGUUGCUGGGGCUGCGUGGCGGGUGGGACUGAUGCAUUGGGGCUGGUUCUGCGUGGCUGCGGCUGCUGCUGCUGCGUGGGCUGGUCGGUGAAGCUGGAGAAGAAAACCAAUUUUGUGCAUUAGGGAUUUUGUUAAUAGUAUUUUUCAUUUUUUUUUUUUUUAGUGAUGAAUCACUUUGAGACACUAAAAAUUUCAAAAGUACUUUUCUAAUAAGCACGUGGAUACGCCUUAAAACUAUUUUACUUUAAAAAUUACAGAAGUACUUAUUAGUUAAGACGUGGGCACGCCUUAUCAAAAAUUUUCUUCUGACCAAAAUAAGCAAACAUAUAAUUAUUUUUUUUAAAAAAAUUUGAAUCAAAACUAAAAGAAGACAUAACAAAAACCAAAAUAAAUAAAUCAUUUGGGUUGCCUCCCAAAAAGCGCCUUUGUUUUAUGUCUUUGGCUUGACACAUUUAUACAUCAAUCUCUAUAAUUGGGACUCUCGAGAGCCACAUUCUCCACAAUAUCCAUCGAAAAACCUUCAUAAAAAGGUUUUAAGCGAUAACCAUUAACCUUAAAAACUUUGCCAGAGGUCGGACUCCGAAUCUCAACUGCACCAUGAGGAAAAACAUUAGUAACAAUAAAAGGUCCAACCCAGCAAGAACGUAAUUUACCCGGAAAAAGUUUAAGCUUAGAAUGAAAAAGAAGAACUUUUUGACCAAAAUUCAUGCACUAUAUGGUUAAUAACAUCCACAAAAAAUACCGAAUGUUCCUCAUUAGGAUAUUUCAUGGCAUCAUUCAUAUUGAAUUCUAUAACCUCUCCAUCAAACUCCAUAGUGAGAGUCCCUUUAUGUACAUCCAUUUUAGUCCUAGCAGUUUUAAGAAAAGGUCUUCCUAGCAAAAUUGGGACAGAAUUAGAGGAGUUAUCAUCUUCCAUAUCAAGUACAUAAAAAUCAGCAGGAAAAACCAACUCAUUAACUUGUACGAAGACAUCUUCUAAUACCCCAUCAGGAUAUGCAUUAGACCUAUCAACUAGUUGAAUUAUCACGCCAGUUUCUUUUAAUGGACCAACAUUCAAAGAUGAAUAAAUGGAACGAGGCAUGACAUUAAUAGAAGCUCCUAGAUCUAACAUAGCCUUUUCAACUCUAACACUACCAAUUUUACAAGGGAUAGUAAACAUACCUGGAUCCUUGCACUUAGGAGGUAGUUUCUUUUGGAGAACUGCUGAAACAUUCUCCCCCAUGUGAACUUUUUCAUCUCCUCUUAAUUUUCUCUUGGAGGUGCACGGUUCCUUAAGGACUUUAGCAUAUCGAUGUAUUUGUUUUAUAGCAUCUAAUAAAUGAAUAUUUACCUCAACCUUACGAAAUGUCUUAAGGAUGUUUUUCUCUUGUUUCUCCUUCUUGGAUUUUGUAAACCGUCUUGGAAAAUGAGGAGGUAUCACAAUAGGUAGGGGUUUCGCUCUGGUGGGUUGCACAUCUUGAGAUUUAGGCAUCAAUUCAUUCUUCUCAAGCUCAUCUUCUACAUGCUUUGUCACUUUCUUACUAGGCUCUUGUAACUCAUUCCCACUUCUAAGGAUGACAGCACUAACGUUUUGUUUUGGAUUCACCUCAGAUUGUGAAGACAAUCUCCCUAAUACUUGAGACUCCAAACGGCUCACUGUAGUCGCCAAUUGACUCAUUUGGUUCUCCAAAUUCUGAAUGCUUGCUGUAGUUGCAUGCUGAAAUUGUUGAGUGUUAGUCGCAAGUGAUUUAACAAUUUCUUCAAGAGAUAUACCUGACUCGGAGUUUGACUGUGGAGGUGCUGGUUGUCUUGGUGGAUACUGUUGUGGGAAUCCUGACGGCCUAACUCCAUAGCUGAAGUUGGGAUGAUCAUUCCAUCCCGGAUUGUAUGUUUGUGCAUAAGGAUCAUACCUCCUCUGAGGCAUGCCUGGAAAUCCUCCAACUGCAUUGGCUUGUUCAACGAGUUCUUCUUGAAGUGUAGGACACAUAUCAGUUGAAUGACCUAUAUUGUAACAAAUACCACAAGUCUUCACCUGUUGCACAUUACCUACAACAAACUUUUCCACAAGAGAAGUAAGUUUAUCUAAACAUUGUUCAACAGAAGAAAUAUUUACCUCAUUCACCUUCCUUGAAGUGGGAUCUUGCAUGUUGCCAAAUUAUUGUGCAUUAGCAGCCAUAUUUGAUAUCAACUCCCUUGCUUGAGUAGGGGUCUUAUUCACCAACACACCUCCACUAGCAGCAUCUAUCAUACCCCUAUCCAUUAAUGACAGUCCUUCGUAAAAAUAUUGAAUAAGAAGUUGAUCAGAAAUCUGAUGUUGAGGACAGCUGGCACACAAUUAUUUGAAUCGCUCCCAAUACUCAUACAAAAUCUCCCCAGAAAGUUGUCUGAUCCCACAAAUAUAUUUUCUGAUGUUGGCAGCUCUUGAAGCAGGAAAGUAUUUCUCAAGGAACUGCUUCUUCAAACCAUUCCACGUUGUAAUCGAUCCAGGAGGCAAGUAGUACAACCAGUCUUUGGCUAGUCCAUCUAAAGAGAACGGAAAAGCACGCAGCUUAAUCUGCUCUUCAGUCACGCCUUGAAAGCAAAGGCGACGAGGAUCGUUGCUUAGCUCGCUUCAUCUGCUGUCUCAGCUGGCGAGCUGUCUUCUCAAUUUCAGGAUCAAACGAAAGUGUACUUGUACGAGAAGAACGAACCAUACACCAAGUAAAACGUAAAAAGGAUUAAAUAAAUGACACCAAUCCCCGGCAACGGCGCCAAAAUUUGAUGGUUGUCGAAGCCAGCAAAAAUAAAUACCUACUCUAAAUAAAUUGUGUAUAGUGAUUGAGCAAUGUCGUGUCCACAGAGAUCGGUAAUUAUUUAAAUCCUUUUAAAUGAUAAAACGUAAAAUAGGGGAAUUGUUGACAAUAAUAAAAAUCAAAUUAAAAUAACAAGAAUGCAAAUUAAAGUUGUAAUUCAAAUUGGAGAAAGCUCUAGUUGAAGGAAUUAACUCAGGUUGAUUCGACUACUCAUCAUUGAUUCAAAUAUAAAUUAUUACUACUUAUGAAUAGACCGGUUAUAGCUACUGAGACCCUCUAAUAGCCAAUCUCUCCUUAACUAGUCGAUAAUCAAGGUACGACCAUUGGUUAUUUCCCUAAUCAAUAGACAACCCUAGAUACGAUAAUAGGAUUUAAUCAAUUGACAGCCUGAAAAACCAGAGAGACCCAAAUUCUAAUCAACAAACACAUACGAUGGUUCAUUUAAAUUAGAUUGUUUAUUCUCACAACACAACUCUCUGCUAUGUUAUUUGUCACAAACAUUAAAAUCUUCAUACGAUGAAUCCUUUAAUUGACAAUAGAUUAAGUUGAUAAUUAAAUAGUGGCCAAUUACCUAAUUAACAAACAUAAUCAUGAAAAUAAUUCAGAAAAUAAACAAAUACCCAAAAAGUAAUAAAACAAUUAAAGAAUAAGAAAGAUCUCACAGUAAUGAUGAAUCAAAGCUUCAUUAACCUUCAACCAGAAUAAUAGAUUUAGUUCUUCAUAGAGAGAAGAGAAAAAAUUAGAUCUAGGGUUUCUUUCUUUUUCUCCAAUCCCUCUUUUUCACAAUAGAUUCCUCUCUUAAAUAUUCUCUCUCUCUUCUCCUCUAGAAUUCUAUUUAAAAUAAAAUACUAAUAUCUGAAAUAUUAAAUUCGUAAUACCAAAAAUACAAAACACGUUAAACUAAAAACUGCAGGUCCGUAGUUGACAGCACGCGCCCACACCUUAUCAACAAAGUUCUUCUGACGCUCAUAAUUUCUCCAAGAAAACAAUCAUCCUUAAACAUCAUCUUAUAGCUUAAUUUUAGCAUCAAUCAAUAUAAUUGCACCUAUAAAAAUAAAACACAAGUAAAUCACUAUUAUUAAGUGCAAAACAUCGAUAUUAAGGGAAGUAAACAAUGCAAAACUAGUGCAUAAAUUGCACUCUAACAAGUUCCUUAUGAUAAGCAAGCUGAAGAGAGCUGAAGAAGGAGGCAAGAUCUCGAGGAAAUUCAGCGAUGGAUGAAGCGAGGGUUCUAACUCUCACUCUUUUAAAAAAAAUUAUGCAUAUUCUUUCAUGUGCUGUAGAUAGGCCCUUCAACCUCGGAAACCUCACCAUGGACUGGGAGCGAAGGAAGUGGGAUCUGAUGGUUGGCAUUGUAGGUGGCAAGCUGCAAAAGAAAGAUGACGUUUUCAAAGUUGAAGGGCCUUUCUAGAGCACUGGAAUCCAUUCAUACUUCAGCUUGAAAUCCCAAAACACAAGGCUUUUUGUGCAUAUUUGUUUAGAUUUUGCAGUAAGAUUGGCUUUUAUUUUUCCCUUUUAGACUUGAAUCAGUAUAACAUUUCAAUGUUACAGCACACUUUGGUGCAGCAUAUGUAGAUCUGUAUUGGUUGCAACUGAGGUUUUCUGCAAAGACUGUUAUGAAUUUUUUUUUUAAAUCAUUUAUUAGGAAAUUUUCCCAACAGCAACACCAGAAAAGGUGAAAACAGGUAUGCUUGAGGUUGUUAUAGCUGCGCUUGGCCUACCGAAAGGUUCAUUUAGUCCAAUUAUGCUAAGACUCCACUUUUAUGGACAUUAUCUUGUAAUUUCAUUUUUAUCACGUCCCAUUUGGAUCUCCGUGACCUACUUGGCCUGUAGCUAUUUGCUGUUGGUGUUGCUUUUGAAUUAGUGGCUGAUUUGGACACGCUUAACAAGUUAUUGUGUGGACUCUAGUUAUAUUUUUUUGUUAUGCUUGUCUGAGAAAAGAGAUGGAACAUGUCGUUCCAAUUUAUUGAAUAUUUAAAAUAACUUGAGAAUUUCAUAACUAAGAAAAUUCAAGGUUCCUUUUUGAAUUUUUUUUUUUUUGGGNNNNNNNNNNNNNNNNNNNNNNNNNNNNNNNNNNNNNNNNNNNNNNNNNNNNNNNNNNNNNNNNNNNNNNNNNNNNNNNNNNNNNNNNNNNNNNNNNNNNNNNNNNNNNNNNNNNNNNNNNNNNNNNNNNNNNNNNNNNNNNNNNNNNNNNNNNNNNNNNNNNNNNNNNNNNNNNNNNNNNNNNNNNNNNNNNNNNNNNNNNNNNNNNNNNNNNNNNNNNNGGGAAAUGGGGGCAAGGGGAUGUGUGGGGAUGCAGCUCUUCCGUCUAACACUCCAAAGUAUUUCUUGUAUCUUGGAUCCUCGCGGAAGGACUGGUAUUUGUGGCGAUUGGCUGUUGGGUUCAAGUUUUGAAUCAGCUGCCUUAAGUGGCCGGCUCAUGCCAAUCAUGUAAGCAAGAAUACGAUUUUCAUUUGCUUAUUUGGUUUCUUUUUUGUGCAUAGAAAUAUAUAUUUCAUGAUUGAUAAUUAACAUCAAAAUCAAAUAAUAAAAUCUGUAACAACCUGUUUACCCCUGUAUAUGGACAUCUAAAUAUAAAUUAGUAUAUUGGCUUCAGUUCUGUUUGAAAUAUCAGACAAUUUUCAAUCGUAAGCUUGAAGCAUGAUUAUUCAUAUAUAAAUACUGUAAUUGGUCUAUCUUGAUUGUAGAUUAUUUAGGAAGUCGUGGAGUUCAUUUUGAGGAGUUUGCUGUUGGUUUACAAACAAGUUUUCUGCCACUCGAAGGACAUGAUAUUGGGCAAUUUCUAGGUUUAGAGUCUAUGGAAAAAGACGAAGCUCAAGCAUAUCAACCUAUCAUUUGAAUCAUUAAGCAGGCCAUGAAAAUUUCUACAGUUGUUAAGGUAUGCUUCUAUCUACACACUGUUUAUGGAUUUAUGAUUUUUACUUUGGUUGCCCCAUAUAUUAAUUCUCUUGCUUUUAUAGCUUGGAGUAUUAGAUUGCAGUGAUUGAUGAGAGUGAAUGCUUGUUUAAUGAUAAUUGAAACAAUUUGCUAUCAACAGUGUAGCAUGUGUUAAUCGUUGAAUAUUGUUUUUGUGACAACGUUUUUGUGUAUCAUUAAUUGCAUGUAGCCAUUGUGAUGCUUAGUUUAUAUGAAAAUUAGGCUAGCCCAAUCUUUUUUGGAUUUUUUGUUAUGAUUAUCUCCACGUUUGUGAUUGAGGUGUUGUGACUUUUAAUUUAUUGAGGAAUGGAAUUAAAACAUUAACUGCUUAAUAAAAAUGGGUGUUUAUCAAAUAUCUUAGCUAAAAUGCUGUCAAAAUUAUACUGCCACCAAAAUAGGACUCAACUCGAGUUAUUCAAACUCUUGAAACUUGAAUUUUGUGUAUCUGAACUGGGUGCUCAGUUAGUCAAUCGCAUCCAUGUAAUGAUUUGCAUUUAUUUAUUUAUUUAUGUUACUAUGCUUUGCUGUACCUGGGGAAUCAUGGCUUGGGAGGAAGAAUCGGAACCAGAAUGAUAUGUCCUUAACCUCUGAUAUUUGGUCAUGCUGCGAAUGAUUCUCAGUUUCGUCCGUUGGUUGACUGGAAGGUGGAAUCAGUGUUGGCAUGCGCAUACGGGAUCAUCAAUAUUGACAGAUCACCAUUCCCGCUUGCGCUAACCGUUUGAUUGACAUACUUUUACCAUGGAGGGUUGAGAUUUCGCCACGCCACCAUGCGCGGAAUACACUCACUGCAUUGGGUGAUACACCCAACCAUUCUUGUCUUAUUAGGAAGCAAUCUUGUUCGUUCAUUGUAUUGAUCUGAUGUUCCACAUUUAGCCACGUUUCCCCUUUCACUCAGCGAACGUUGUUGACCACAUCUGAACCGUUGGAUCGUGCAUCAAGUUUUCUUCAACGCAUGCUCACCGUGAUUAUUACGGUCACAGGAUUUGAAAAUGGAAGUUUUGUCUUCGGAUUGAAUUGAAAAGGUCGCGUGAUUUGGCUGAAAUAAUAAAAUUUCUUCCCUUUUCCUUUUUUCUUUUUCAAUUUCUGGCUUUUGUAUGUAACUUUUGUAAAUUAAUUAACAAAAUAUGUGCUUUAUUUUCCACUAUCUGUGGUUAAUUUUAUCAAGGUAGGGUGAGGUGAAGCUCUUCAUAUAAAGAUAUGAUUUAGUUAAGUUUUAUUUUUUUUAAUUGGGGAAAAAAGAUGGUAAACUUUAAUAUAUUUAUUUGUAUUAAUAACACUAGAGGUCAUUUAGAAAAUGGUAAAUUUUGAAUUAUUUUCUGUAUAAAUUGAUUAUCUUCAAACUUUUUUUUAUAUUUGAAAAUUUUAAACUGUUUUUAUUUUAUUUUAUUUUAUUAUAAAAAAGGAGUAAAUUAAGAUUUUUAAAAGGUAAACAGAAUUAUAUUUAAAUAGUCCAGGAAUAAUUAGAAAUUAACUCAAAAAUAACAUUAAAAAUGCUCUGCCCUUAUUACCACUAUGUCUAUGCGUGUUUUUGUGUUUGUGUGUGUGUGUGUAUACAGAUCCAUUGUUACUCAUCUUCGACAGCCUAGGGUUGGUCAAGCUAGAUCUAGUCUCUCUGUGUUAUGGGUGCAGGCUGAAAACAGCGGGGACGGAGAAUGAAUUUUCCCUUUUUAACUUGAAUCAAUGUAACAUUUCAAUGUCACCGCAUGCUUUGGUGCAACAUUUGUAGGUACGUAUACGUUGCAAAUCAGGCUUUCCUGCAAGAUUGGUAUGAAUUCUUUUUUAUCAUUUAUUAGGAAAAUUUCCCUACUGCAACAGCAGAAAAGGUGAAAAUAGGUAUGCUUGAACUUGUUGUAGUUAGGGGUGGCAAAGCGAAUAAAUGAAUCGAAUCGUAAGCGAAUUGGGUUAAAAUUUUAUUGAUUGAGAUUCGAUUAGUUUAAUAAAUGAAUCGAAAUCUCAGAAUUCGAAUUCGCUUCGUUUAUUAAACAAAUAUUCGGUUCGAUUCGUUUAAUUCGUUUAAUAAAAUAAACAAAUAUAAUCGAAUUCAGAUUCGUUUACUAUUUGUUUAUCCUUACGAAUUCAUAAUGAAUCGAAUUGAAUCUGGAUUCGUUUACAAUUCAUCUGUAAACUAUAAUAUUAACCUUCAAAUUUUAAAAAAAUUUCAAAUAAAUUUAAGGACAAAAAAGUAAUUUAAUUAAACGAAUGGACCAUAUUCAAUACGUUUAUAACCCAUUUAUUAAACGUAAAUGAAUAAACGAAUCAAUAUCUUUAAACCCGAAUUUGAUUUGUUUAAGUAGCAAAUCGAUUGAACUCAUCCAUUUAUUAAACGGAUCAAUUUUUUCAAAUGUAAAUCUAUUUAAUUUGUAUAAAAUCAAAUCGAAUAAAUGAACCCUAAGUUAGAUUGCCACCGCGAGUCGGAGCUGCGCUUGGCUUUAGAAGUUGGCUUUAGAAGCCCCUUUUUAUACUCGAGAGUCCAAUUAUGCUAAGACUCCACUUUUAUGGGCAUUACCUUGCAAUUUCCUUAUUUUUUAAUCGUGUCCCAUUUGGAUCAUUGUGACCUACAUGGGCUGUACCUAUUUGUGGUUUGUGUUGCCUUUGAUUUCGUGGUUGAUUUGGACAAGCUUAAUAAGUAAGUACUGUAUGGACUCUAGUUUUAUUUUCUUGUUUUGCUCGUUUCUCAGACGAGAUGGAAUAUGUCAUUCCAAUUUAUUGAAUAUUUAAAAUAACUUAGAGAAUUUCAUAAUUAAGAAAAUUCAAGGUUUCUUUUUCAUGAUUUAUGUAUUUUUUUUUCUUUUUUUGGGGGGGAUGUGCAGAGAUGCAGCUCUUCCGUCUAACACUCCAAAGUAUUCCACGUAUCUUGGAUCCUGGCGGAAGGGCUGGUAUAUGUGGCGAUUGGCUGUUGGGUUCAAGUUUAGAGUCAGCUGCCUUAAGUGGCUGGCUUGCCGAUUAUGUAAGCAAGAAUAUGAUUUUCUUUUGCUUAUUUGGUUUUACUUUUGUGCAUAGAAAUAUAUAUUUCAUGAUCGAUAAUUAAUACCAAAUAAUAAAAUCUGUAACACAACAUUUAUCUAUACCCCUAUAUACGGACAUCUAAAUAUAAACUAGUAUAUUGGCUUCAAUUAUGUUUGAAAUAUCAGACAAGUUUCAAUCAUGAGCUUCAAGCAUGAUUAUUCAUAUAUAAAUACUGUAAUUGGUCUCUGUAGAUUGUAGAUUAUUUAGGAAGUCAUGGAGUUUGUUCUGAGGAGUUUGAUGUUGGUUUGCAAACAAUUUUUCUGCCACUCGAAGGACAUGAUAUUGGGCAAUUUCUAGGUUUAGAGUCUAUGGAAAAAGACGAAGCUCAAGCAUAUCAACCUACCAUUUGAAUCAGUAGCCUUUAAAGAUUAUUAUGAGCUUUAUUGCUUGAAGCCCCACUUCUUGCCGCUGUUAGCGAUAAGUUGAAAACAGUAAUGGUUCCUUUUUAUCCACGUUACACAUUACACUCAUUCAAGAAUCUAGAGAUUACUUAACCGUGUUGUAAUUCAAGAGUGGUGUCCAACUUGGCCUAGUGGCAGCUUCUUAAAGCAAGAGUUUGGCCCAGAGGAUUGUUGCUCUCCACCAGAUGCGUUUGGUCUUAAGCUGAAUUCGCUUUUGUUGCCAAGUUCCAAUGAAAAAAUGUAACUAAAAAAAAAAAAAAACCCGAUGAUUGAAUCUUUGUGGAAAAUGAUCUGGAUGCAAUGCUGCUGCGUAGUGUGGUUUAGUUAAUUAUCCACAACAAAAGAGUUAUAAAAAUAUGUUACGUGUCCCAUUACUUAUUGAAUCAUUUUUUGGCAUCCACACUUAUUAUAGAAUAACUCAUUUUUUUUUUAUAAUGGUUAUUCAAACAGUAAAAAUUGCCAAAAUUUUUGAGUAAAAUGGUCGUUGUUAUUGUUUUUUUCCUUUUAAAACGGUGCCUUUGCUAUAUGAGGGGAAUCAUGGGAACCAGAAUGAUUGGUACUGAUUCAAGGUCCCAUAAUGAUCACGGUUUUGAGGUUUAACCCCCCACAAGGCAGAUAAGAACCUAAAAUUAAUUACAUGGUCACGUGAUUGGAAUUGCAUGGGCUGCAUGGGUAGGCUUAGAAUGAAAUGGCAUGGUGGCCGACCGCUGUACCAUGACUGCAAUUCCUGCACAGUAACAAGCAAGCUGAUUUACAUAUAUAUGCCACGUUGACAAUUAGCUUAUUUAGACAAACAUCUUAUCAAGGCACAAACGAACUUGAACGUAAAGCAAUAAUAUCCCAGCAACUAAUUGUCUUAAAAUAAUUAUUGUAAUUCUUCAUAAUACACAAUCACAAUUUUGAAGUUUUGAAAGAAAUUAAGCGACGAAUGCACCGAAAGCUUUCCUCCCUAACCCUAAGUGAUUACUUACGUAACCGUGCAUGUUUGGCCCACCUUCAGUGAAUCUUUUUUGAUUUUGGCUACCUUAUCACGAAACACAAAUGGAAGGGGACUCUGACUUAAGUCUCAAUUGACGAAACAGUAGUGCUAACACAAACAAAUAUUGGGGACUCUGACACAAAUGUGAGGUGAGGAAAUAUUACAACAUUUAGACUAGGAAUGUAAACAAAUGAAUAAAUAAAUAUAUUACUGGAUUUAAGAAAAUGAAGCCGGUGGCGAGUACAAAGGAGCUCUUAUGUGUUGAUUCCCUAAUAUCGUGUGCACUUCCUCAUAUAUAAUAAAUUUUGAAUUUUUUGUUGUUGUUAUCUAUGUCAUAAUUGUUAUAACAUUAAUGUUUUUUCAAAUAAGGAUAAAAUUGAUAGAUUUAUGAUUUUAUUAUAACACACACAGUCAUAUAUACACCUAAAAUAUAUGUAGAACCACUACCACCUUAUAUAUAUAUAAAAAAAAAGUGUAUACAACAGGUUAUCAAGGCAUACCAUUAGCACUAAAUUAUGUAAAUCAAGUUUCUUUUCCUUCAUGCCAUGUCCUUUACGGUCGGCUGAUUCGGUUUUGGUGCUUGUUGCUGAUGAGCAUAUAAUAUAUACAUAUUUUACUCUUAAUUAUAUAAUUGCUAAUUAUUAUUAUUUGUUAUUUUAAUUGAUUAAAUUAUUUUGUUGAAUGAGGAAUUAAUUAGAGAUUAUGGAUUAAAAAAGUAUAAAAAAUUUUAAUUUAGAAAGAAAUAAAAAUUAAAUUAGAAGACAAAAUUACAGUAGAGAAUUAAUGAAAGUCAAGAAGAUCAAAAUUCAAAGUCAACUUCUUUAAUAACGGACGGUGGGCAUGCAUUUAGAAGACAAACAUUUGGUGAUGGCAAUUGCAUUUACAUGACAUAAUAUAUUAUGGAAAGCAAUUUAAAGGGACCUGUGACUUGGCUUUCAAAGGUGGACAUAAACUGAUGGAUUAUGGUAUUGACAAAUAAUGAUGACAUAAAUUAGGAAAAUUGACUUUAGAAUUGGAAAUAGAAUCCCGAUUGAAUUGGGCCAAUUAAUGUAUAUGGAAUCCUUUUCAUAAUUGGUGGCCAUGGUGCUUGCAAAAGAUGCAGCUGCCAUACUCAUUUCAAAAACUUUCCGAUCCAAUGAGUUCUACAGGAGGAUUUAUAAAUUAAGUGAUAUAUUUUUAUAUAUUUUUAAAAUAAAAACUUUAAUUGCGCACCACUUGAGUUCUUAUCCAAAAUUACCUUUCCCGGUAAAGCUAAAGCAUUUUGUGUUUUCUUACACGGCAAAACAUUGUUUGUUACAUAAACAGUUCACGGCAAGAAGAGCAGCCAUUUUUGACUUUUUUGAAGAGAAUAAUAUUGGAAUAAGCUUUCGAAUUUACCGAUUACGAAUUACGAUGGCUUUCUAAGCAAAUGGGGUCUGAGAUGGACCGAUGGUUAAGUUGAGGGGAAAAUUACAGAUAGAUUCCAUCUUCAAAUAUAAGUUAAAAAUAUUUAAAGUUUUAAACUUAAUUUUAAAUAGAUUGUGAUACUUUAUUCUUUUUAAAUUUAAAAACGUUAUAUUUAAUUUCUUAUACUAACAGUUUAAAUUAUUUUACGAUAAAAAAUUCAUAUUAUCUCUGAUCAAUUUAAGUGAUUUUACAAAUAGUAAACAUCCAUCAAAAUGAUUUGUGUGUGUGUGUGUGUGUAUGUGAUAUGAUAAUAUUAUCCUUUAUAAAUUAAGUGAAGGUAAUUCCAUUUGAUUCCAUCACAUCCUGGAUUAUCUGUCAAUUUUAUUUACAUAAAAAAAUAUACAUUCUCCCAUUGACAACAUAUAAAAUAAGCUUCACCAAGUCUUUAAAAACUGUAUUGCCUACGUUGUUUAUGUUUUUCAGUUUUUAAGCCAAGAAAAAUGAAAGAGAAUUAAAGAUUACAUAAUUAGGUAAUUAACUCAAAUUAUUAAAGACAAUAUUGUCAUAACACCUGCACAAAAUUUCAUUUUCAUGGAUGCCUACAGAUUGUAAAAUAACUUAAAUUGAUUAAGGUCAAUAAGAACAUUUUCAUUGUAAAAUAACUUAAAUUAUUAGUGUAUGGGGUUUAGUACAACAUUUUUAAAUUUAAAGGGUUAAGUGUCAUAACCUAUUGAAUCUGAGUAUAAAUAUUUCUAACUUAUAUUUGAGGAGGAAUAUGUAAUUCUUCCUUUAGUUAAGUUUCUAAUCAAUUUACAAAAUGACUUUCCAUGUAAGUUAUUAAUUGUUCAGAAUUAAUGAAACCGAAGGUGAGAUAAUAACAAUUUGUUCAUUUACAUUAAAAAAAAAAAAAAGGUAUCCACCUAAUUUAAAUUUACACAUCCUUUAUAUGGCUGUUGUGUAUACAAAAGAAUACAGACACACACACACAGAGAAAAAGAGGGAGGGAGGGAGACAAAAAGAGGAAUAAAAAAAAUAUAUAAGUUACGAAAAAUUAAAAAUAAUAACAAAAUUGUUUUAAGGACUAACGAUUAAAGAAACAGGGAAACAAAAUUUUUCUUUUCAUUCAAUAAUCAAUACUAUUGAAAAAAAAAACAUUUAGACUAGGAAUGUAAAUAAAUGAAUAAAAAACGCAUAACUGAAUUUAUGAAAUGGAGCUGAUGGAGUACUAAGGAGUUCUUUUAUAUAUAUAUAUGCGCGCACACACACACGCACCAGAAUAUAUAGCAAAAUAAAUGAUAUAUCAACUAUAUCGGCAAUUAAACAGAAACGAGUGAAGAAUGAUGAUACAAGUACGUAAAAGAGAAAUGAUGAAGGAUCAGCAACUCAGGCACAAACUGAUGUACACAAGACUAGACUAGCUCAGCCCAGUAAGCAAAGCCGGAUACUACAACAAAAUUGAGAUAUAUAGCCUCUAAAAUGUGCUACUAAAAGUAGAAGGUACCACUUUUAGGAGUGAUAUGUUAGCCCAUGUUAAUAAGAGUAUAUCUUUUGGUAGCAGUUAUGGAAUGUCAUAAAUUACAUUUUGUAGCAUGAAAUAAAAGCUAUAUAUGUAUUUUCAGUAGCUUUAGGUAGACGUUACUAUUUCAUAACUCGUAGCAUUUAUAAAAUGCUACUAAAUACCUUGCCAUAGCAUAUAUAAAUGCUAUCAAAUUCUAAGUCAUAGCAUAAUAAAAAUGCUACAAUAUUCUCUUAUGAUUUAUAGCAUUUUUUUAUUGCUUAAAAUUACAAAUUUUGGUAGCAUUUAAACAUUGUUAUUAUAUUUGGUAACAAUGUAUCAUCGUUGUCAUCAUAAUUUUAAAGAAAUUGCUAAUUAGCUUAGAUAUUUAUAUCAUUCAUCUUGAUAAUAAUACAAAACUUUCACAAAUACAAGCUUUAUAAUCCAAAUGAACAAAAAGUACCAUAUAUUAUAUCAAAUAUUGCAUCAAGGUCAUAAGUUGAAGAUAAAUAUCAACUCCAAAUAAAAAUUAUGCUUGACUAUGAACAAGGGCAAAACUAUGUUGUAACAUGGGUUUGGUACCCCUUCUUUUUGUCUUUUUCAAAGUCAAUUACAAUGGAGUCCUGUUAAAAGGUAAUUAAAAUUAUUUUCAAUAUAGAAAUAGAAUAAUAAAACAAAAUUAUUACUCUUAUUUUUUAAUUAAUUACAAAAAGAUAUUUUACAUUAAAAAAUAUAGACAAUCACUGGUGACCACUGCUUCUUUGCGUGCAAUAACAUUAUUAAUCGAAAGGGGUCAUGAAGGGUACCAUUAGACUUGAAAUUGGAUGAUCUACACAAUGAUAGCCUCAAAUGCUAGAAAAUGGUGAUAUGUAGAGUUGCACGCCCCUUCCAAAAUAACUGUGAUCAUAACUACACCACAAAAACACAAGUUACAUUGCACUGCCACCUUUUUUCAAUUUAGAGACCGUCAUUUGGUUGUUAAAGGCAAUGAACCUUGAAACCCCAUUUAAUCAUAGGGUCUUGCUACAGAUGUUUGCAUUGGAAGGCGUCUCUAUCGCUGGUACAUCCAUUUAUCCGACAACAUUGCCACCAUUACACAGAUCUGAGAAUUUUGAAUAUGUUGAUAGUAUUCGUAUUUCUAUUCACUCACUUCUAUUUCUUAGUGAUGGUGUCGUCAUUGUUGUCAUUGACGGUGCAAUAAAUUUUAGCAAUGUUAUUUUGAUUUUUCAUCUAAUUUAUAAAACUUAAAUAUUAAUUAUAAUAUUCAGCAAGUUAUGGAAUUGAUUGGGUGUACGAUUUUUAAUGUGAGAUUUUGAAAUAAAGAAACUGAAUUGAGGGAUUUUUACGAAGUGUGGUGUCAUUGGAUGGUUGAGAGAAAUAUUAAAAAUAAAAAGCGUUUGGGGUUUUGUAGUCAAAUAAGAGUUUUAGGUAACAUUUAAAAAGUGCAACAAAUUAAAUGUGAAAUACAAUUAAAAAAUUAAGAAUAUUAUUCAAUGACUAAUUGUAGUUUUUUUUUUAAUAAAAUGCUACAAUAGCAUGAUAUUUGGCAACAUUUAAAAAAAAAUCUACCAAAAUUGAUAUUUGUUGUAGUAUAUAACUAAAAAUUGAAACAUAACCAUAGCAGGCUAGGAGAAGCACAGGGACACAAUGAUGCAAGUGUUGGCAGGUGGGCCACAGGUGUCUGCAAAAGAUGGGGCUACUCAUCAUUACAAAACUUGGCAAAUUGAUGAAUGAUAGGCUUUUGGUUAAGGCCGUUAAGUUUCCUCAUCCGUUAUAAAACGUGGCAAAUUUUUAUUGUUUGUUAAAUAAUAUCUUUGAUUUGCUUUAUGUUAAAUCCUUUGUCGAUUCGACCAUACACGUAGGGUAUGCCUACCUUACGAUUUAACAUCUCUUUAUAUUAUUACGUUAAACGUAAGCUAACGAGACUCACUGCUAUAGACAGAGCUACAUCUUACGUUAAACGUUAUUCAUUUAUUAAUUUAAUUAAACGUUAAAUAUUAUUUAUCAUACAUAAUAAAUAAUUAAAUUAGUAACCCAACAUGUCUUAUCCAUUUACUCUUAAUGAUUAAAUUAUUGACUUUUAGCAUUAAUUUAGUUGGAGGACUUACCACACCGCAUGCAUAGGCUUUAGAUUUUUUAGCCUUGUGCCCAUUGGACAAAGCGCAGAGGAAAAGCAUGCCACUAGAAGCUAAAAUCAUGGAUGGAGACAACGAUAAUCAGAGGAAAAAAGAAGCGUUGAAAAUAAUACUGAAAUGGAGUUAUAUACAACAUGUUAUCAAGGCAUACCAUUAUUACUAAAUUAUGUAAAUCAAGUUUAUAUAUAUAGAGAGAGAGAGAGGUAAUGAUUAUUUUGAAGCUGCUACAAGAUAGAGCACAAAUUACAGUCACGCCCGUAAAAUAAUAAAUAAAAAAUAUAUAUUAUAAUUUUAAUCGUGUAGUUAUAAAGACAUGUUUUAUAUUCUUUUAUACGUGUAUAAUGACAUAUAUACAUACACACAAAUGACAUAUCUUAUAAAUCAUUAUAAAAAGUACAGGACACAACUACAUCUGCAAUCAAACAGUAACGAGGGAAGAAUGAUUGCAGAUGUAGAUUAUAUAUAUAAACGAGGAGCUGGCUUCGUUACAGAAACUGUAUGUAACAGCCAUGCAUUUUUUAUUCGUUGGAUCUAGAAACUGAAGUUGGAUGGUUGGUAUUAAAGGUCAGAAUAGAAAUUAAUCACGGGCGACCGUUUUUAACAUUUAGAAAGGUUCAUUUUCAUGAACACCCAAAUGUUUUGAUAAAUAUCAAUAUGCACCCAUUAGCUUUUUAAGUAAAACCACACACCCAACUCGUUAACUUUUCUCCUAUUGAAUUAAAAAACUAUCAUGCCUUAAUUGAAUUAAAUUGAUCAGGUAAAAUAUCUCUUAUAACUUAUCAAUUUUUACAGUAAUAUACAAAUAUUUAGUAAAAUCAAAUAUAUUUUUAUUUAGUAAUUAGAUUUUUUAUUUAGUAAUCAAAUUUAUUUUCUAUUCAGUAAUUAAAUUUUUUUUAUUUAGUGAAAUCAAAUUUUCAUUUUCAUUUAGUAGUCAGAUUAUUUUAACAAAAAAGUUCUAAAAUCAAAUUUGACUUGUUUACUAUUUUAAAAAAUGAACUUGUUUAUUAACCAACUAGAGUUUAUCUUUAGUCAACAUAUUUUUUUCUCUAAAAUAUCCUUUGAACAUAAAAAGAAGAAUGAAAAUAAAAAGAUGCUUUACCAAGAGUUGAUUAACAAUAAUCAGUAUAUUUGAGCAUGCAAUGAACCUAUAUUCAUAUGACAUAAUAUAUAAUUUUAUUCAUCAAUUACAGUACUAAUUUUCUAAAUUUUUUAAAAAUAAAUGGUUAAAAAAAAUUUAUUUUUAUAAAAAUAAAUUAAAAAAUAAAUUUUUUUUUACAUGGACCUAAUAUUUAAUUAAGGGCAAUAAUGUCUUUGUACUAGUUAGAAAUGGCCAGUAAUUGAACUUAAACGCGUAGGACAACAAUUUGACUAUUUUAGGGUGGGGUUGAUGGCUUACAUCAAACUUAGGGUGUGCUAAUGAUUAAUAAUAAUAAUGGGGUAAAUAUGAAAUUAAUCCUUACCCAAGCAUUAGAACUUCGUUGGUUUUCUUUUAGCCGGAUAAUUUCCGGUCAAUUUGUCACGCCUCCCUACACAUGGCAGCAUCUAAUUUGUUCGCUUGUCAUUUCAGUUUCUGUUACAUACAGUUUCUGUAACGUAGCCAGCUCCUAUAAACGAACUCCUCAGUUUGUUUGAUUUAUAUAAAAGAAUUAAACCUUUUUCGAAUGCCUAAAAGAGAAAUCACGAAAGAUAGCUUUUUUCAGUGUCAAUAUAAAAUAAUUACGCUUUUACAAAUGCCUAAAAGAAAAAUCACGAAAGAUCAGCAUUUUUCAGUGUCUGUUUGUCCCGCUCGCACUGGCGCGCGUGUGUUACAGUAUUCAACAAAUUUCAUAGAAAUAUUAAAGAAAAAUCAUGAAUUAUCAGCUUUUCUCAGGGGCUGUUGUUACACCAUUCCCGCUAGCAGUGGUGUGUAUUUACGCUCUCCAAAUAUUAACCGUCCGAUUAACAUACUUUGACUAUGGAGGGGUAAGAUUUUGCACGCCACUAUUCGCAGAAUGCACCUCACUACACUGGGUCAUACACACCCAACCAUCCUUGUCUUGAUCCGAUGCUCCAAGUUUUGCCACGUUUUUCCUUUACAUGACCACAUCUGAACCGUUGGAUCGUACAUGAACUAUUCCCGGACGCGCAUCAACUAUUCCUGGACGCGCAUUAGCUACUCCUGGACCAACUUUCCACUUCAGACACACACAAUUUCCCUUUCACUCCCAUGAGUGUCGUACGCAAUAUUUACUUGCCCACGACUCCCUCCCAAAAUCCAAGAAACCCUAGCAUUCAGCUCAGGCCUCAAAAUGAGAAAUAACCCAUAUCAGCUGCACUCUGUGUUCUGGGAUGAGGAUGCAAACCUCGUUCGCUUCAAGUACCCUCUUCCAAUAGGGACGAACCAAGAGGAUGUGACGAUUGAGGUUGACGAAGAUGGGAAUUUGCUUACAAUGAAAAGCAAGGUGGUAAGUUCACAUAAUGAUCCUCUCUCUUCAGCUUUUAACUCGAUGGUCAUAUCCGGAUCUUCUCUCUUAAGCUUCCUGAGGAAAAACGAAGGAGACCCCGCCACCCCGAUUAUCUCGAUGAAAUUCAAGUUGCCAGCGGGUCUUAACCUGAAUGGCUUCAAGACUGCAAUGGAUGAUGCCGGCGUUCUAACUGUUACCUUCACUAAACUCAAGCCAGAGAAGAAAAAGCUGGUGUCAGUAGCAAAGAAGAUGCUGGGAUGUUUGGCUCAUGCUGUGCCUGCUGCUUGUUUUCUGAUAUGUGAGAAGAUAUGUGAUGCGAUUUGUUCAGGAGACUAAUAAUAAGCUGGUCUCAAAUAGGUAUUUGCUUCGUGUUCAUGUAUGUUGCUUCUGUCGUUUAUCUGCUAGUGUCUGACAUAAAGUCUGGAGUCUGUGAGUCUAGACCAUGUGUUCUCUAAUUACUGUUGCGGUAUCUAAAUGUGGAGUGAAAAAUAAAUGCUUUUUUUAAAUGUUUGUUUUGCUUUUUUUUUUUUUUUUUUUUUUUUUAUUUUUUUUUUUUUUUUUUUUUUUUUUUUUUUUUAACGUAUGCAAUAAGAUAUCCCUACUAUAGAAUCUGCAAGAUAGCAAGAUCUCUCUUUUUUUCUUUUUCUUUUUUUAAAUUGUUAGCGUUGGAAAUUUUCUUUAAGUGAAAUAGAAGAUCUUGUCUAAUAAAAAUGAUGAUGGUUGUAUCUCCUUUUUUUUUCAGAGAAAUAGAAGAACUUUAUCUAAUAAAAAAUGAUAAUUAUUGAGUGAAAAAUAAAUGCUUUUUUUAAUAGUGUUGAAUGAAAAAGAAAUGUUUGUUUUCCUGUUUCCGGCCGCCUCCCACAUCACCCCUCACCGCCGAUCACUACCCAACCAGCCGGAAGCCCCUUUGCUAACCGUUACCGCCCCAAAACGUAAAUCCAAGUUCACGGCUUCCCCAUUAAAAUCUAGCCGCCAUCUCCUCCACCACUGUUGGUGGUGUUUUACAGCCGCUUGAACCGUCCUCUGUCACCUCACAGCCACUGUCCCACAUGGUUCACCAAACCCCGUCGACCACGCAUCUCCCUUCAACGCGUGUCGGUCCAAAGCGACACAAUAAACCCUAGUUCGUUGCCAUUUUCCCGUGGCGCCACCAGCCUUCCUGCCAUUGCUGAACCUGAUGUGCUGCCUGCGGUUCACUCCACAUCAUCCCAACAGCCGCCGCUUAGCCUCCCACUGCUGCUUUUGGCCCUCUGACUCCGAAAGCCUCCUACAAUCCAAAUCCGACUCUUCACCAAACCCUAGCCCGCUUUCUCUUGGCCCAACACAGACCCUAGCGGCUGCCCUCUUUCUUUGGCCGCUCACUCCUUCACCGGUGAUGGUGGCUGCCCUCCUUUGUUUCCUUCACAGCCUCCGCACAGCCAACAAACAUCCACCUCCCAACUUGGCGGCCAUGAUUCACGCUUCCUGCCUUCAACUAGACUGCAACAGCGGAGAAGGUGAUAACUGGUAUAAGAAUAUGAAUCUCUUUUGCUUAUUUGGUUUUAUUUUGCACAUAAAAGUUUAUAUUUUAUGAUUGAUAAUUUAUAUCAAAUUAAAAAAAAAAAAAAUCUGUGACACAACCUUUAUAUCCCUAUAUAUGGAUAUGUAAAUAUGAAUCUGUGACACAACCUUUAUAUCCCUAUAAAAAAAAAAAAAUCUGUGACACAACCUUUAUAUCCCUAUAUAUGGAUAUGUAAAUAUGAAUUAGGAAAUUUUGUUCUUUUCAGUUUGAAAUAUCAGACAAAUUUCAAUCAUAAGCUUCAAGCUUUAUUAUCCAUAUAUAAUUAAUGUAAUUGGUCUAUGCAGAUUAAUUGCAGAUAUUUACUUAUUUAGGAAGUAAUGGAGUUUAUCCUGAGGAGUUUGCUUUUUGAAUUACUCUUAUUUAUUAAUUCUCUUGCUUUUAUAGCAAGAAUUAUUAGAUUGGAGUCAUUGAUGAGAGUAUAUGCUUAAUGCGCCCUAAGUUCCUGCAUAUUCCGCCACCAAAAAUAGGACUCGGCUAGAGUUAUCCAGGCUUGUGAAACUUGAAUUUUGUGUUUCAAAGUUUAGUGCUGAGUUAGCCAACCACGCCCACGUAAGUAUUAUUCAUUACUACUAUUAUCAUUAUUGCAUGUAAAUUUUGCACCACCGUAUUAUGACUACAAUUCCUGCAAUGUAAUUAGCUUGUUCAUACAUGCCGCAUAAAUAUUGAAAUGGAGUUAGGUGUAAGCAAGCAUCUUAUCAAGGCACAAAUGAACUUAAAUUCAAAUAUGGCAUUAACAUUGUGACAUGGUGUAUGGAUACAAGCUUACCCUUCGUUCUAGAUCUCUUUUGUUAAUUUUUUUUUUCCAUUGUAACGAAAAUGAUAUUUCCGAUUUUUUUACUUGACUACGAACGUAAUUAUAGUUGCUAUGGCCUUGUAGGCACGGUUGGCAGAUUUGGUAGUUUUUAAGCCAACAAAAAAAAAAUCAAAAUUACAUAAAUUAGAUAACUCAAAUUAUUAACGGCAAUAUUGUCAUAACACCUGCAUAAUAUUUCAUUUUCAUGGAUGUCUAAGGUUUGUAAAAUAACUUACAUUGAUGAGGGUCAAUAAGAACUUUUUCUUGUAAAAUAACUUAAAAAACUUAAACUAUGAGUGUAUCGGAUAGGAAAAUUCUAUGAUCCCGUAAUGAUAAUUACGGCAUCAAUACAGUGAUAAACAUAAACAUUGUAAAUUACACACAAAACUUGUAAAUGUAAAGUAAAACCAGUAAAUUCAUACAAGAUUAUUAAUUAUUGAAAAAAUUAACAUCGUUUCUAUAGAGUUUUAGUGAAAACUAUUUUAUUCAUUUACAAAAAAUAUUUUCUUUAAUAAAAAAAACUCAUUAAUUAAACAAAAAUUAUACUGAAAAAAGUGGAAUAUGUUUUAUUGAAUUUGUUUAACCAUUAAUUCUAUAUUUAUUCUAGGACAUUUGUAUACUUUUUUCCUCCCAUUUUCUAUAAUAAUAUCUAUUUAUUACAUAAGUGAAUCAAGCACAAUUAUUUAUCAUGAUAUGGAUCAAGCAAAAACAAACAAAAAAAAUUCUUAUAAUACUAGACAUAUGUACAAUAUAUCAAUGAAAUUAUAUAUAAUUUUGAGCCUUAUACAUACAGGAUUGUUCUUGAGGAAGCGUAGAAAGAUACAAAAUAACCUCAUUUUACAACAACUAUGAAAGAUAUUGAAAUAAUUUUUUUUUUAAAAUCCGAUUUUGAGAAUAAAUUUCAUCCUUAAUAAAAUAUCACAUGUAUUACAUAAAUGCAAAACUAGCAUUAUUCAAUUUAAAUUAAAAAAUAUAAGGUAAUAAACAUUGUAAUGAGUUUUUAUUUUACAAUUGUGAAAUGUUUUUGUAAUAACUCUUAUAUCAAUUUAUUUAUUUUACCUUUUAUUCAUAAGUUUUAGACGUAAUCUAUAAAAUUUAUGUUUUAUUUUGCACUUAAUGUUGAUUUACUUGUUUUAUGUUAUAUUUGUAAAUUUUCGUUUAAUUUAUCAAUAAUACAUUAAAUUACCAGCUUUAUAGUAAUUUACUUGUUUUACCUUCUUUUUACAAGUCUUUUGUUUUAUUUCUAAAAUUUAUAUUUUAUUUCUUAGUUAGUGUUGAUUUACUAGUUUUAUGUUCUAUUUACAAGUUUUUGUUUUGUUUAGCAUUAAUACAUUAAUUUACUAGUUUUAUAUUAAUUUAUUUGUUUUACCUUCCAUUUACAGGUUUUAUGUUCCAUUUUCAAAAUUUAUGUUUUAUUUUGCGCUUAAUGUUGAUUUACUAGUUUUAUGUUAUAUUUAUGACUUUUUGUUUUAUUUACUAGUAGUUCAUCAAUUUAUCAGUUUUGUAGUAAUUUACUUAUUUUACCUUUCCUUUACAAGUCUUUUGUGUCAUUUUCAAAAUUUAUGUUUUAUUUUACAGUAAAUGUUUGAUUUACUAGUUUUAAGUUAUAUUUGCAAGUUUUUGUUUUGUUUUCUAGUAGUACAUCAAUUUACUAGUUUUAUAUUAAUUUACUUAUUUUAUCUUUUAUUUACAAAGUUAUAUUUAAUUUUUAAAAAUUAUGUUUUAUUUUACACUUAAUGUUGAUUUAUGCAUUUUAUGUUAUAUUUGCAAGUUUUUGUUUUAUUUACUAAUAAUACAUGAAUUUAUCGGUUUUGCAUUAAUUUACUCAGUUUAUCUUUCAUUUACAAGUCUUAUGUUUAAUUUCUAAAAUUUAUGAUUUAUUUUACAGUUAAUGUUAAUUUACAAGUUUUAUGUUUUGUUUACAUAAUUUAUAUUCAAUUACGGUAUUGAUACCGUAACUUUAUUCACGGCAUCAUAGAAUGACCCAAAGUAUAAGGAAAAUAUUUUUAAAUUUAAAGGGUUUAUAACCCAUAUUAAUUGGGAUUCAAAUUGAGACUUAGAUGAUGGGAUACCUCAUAUUGCUCAUUUAUACUUACACAUCCUUUAUAUGGCUAUUGCGUAUACAAAAUAAUGCAAAGAGAGAGAGAGAGAGAGAGAGAGAGAGAGAGAGAGAGAGAGAGAGAGAGAGAGAGAGAAGGAAUACAAAUAAUAUCUAAGUUACAAAAAGUCAAAAAUAAUAAUAAAACUAUGGUAAUAUAUCCACGAUGAAGAGCCCAAAAAAAAAAGAUAAGAUAAUUAAAGCAUUAAAAUAUGUUCUUAACAAAGUGGGGAAAAUACUAUGUGAAAGGGAAAAAAAAACAUAUGUAUAUGUUACACGAAAGACAAAAAACUAUAAUUUGGUGUAAUUUAUUUAUUAUUAACUUAUAAAUUCAUUGAAACUCAAAAUCAAGAUUUGAGAUCACCGAAAGACUCUUUAAAUGAGAUUUUAUAUCUCAUUUGAAGAGUCACAUAAUAAAUGAGAUUCUUCAAAUAAGAUUGUCAUUCUCUCUCUUCAAUAUUAAAGAGAAAGAAGCACUAUCUAAUUUGAAGAAUGUUAAUUCAAAGUGUUUUAGAGCCUCUAAUUUAGUAUUAAAUUAGUUUUUAUCUCAUUAUUGUUGAAGAGAGAGAAGUGCUAUAAUUGCCACUAUUUUAGUAGAGUAAAAAGUUUGAUUAAAACAAAAUAAAUUUAUUUUGAUUUAAAAAAAUUUGUUGUAGAUGUCAUAUUUUUUCACUCUUCUAUUUGUCAAAUAGGUAAAUAAAUAAAUAUUUGAAGAGUAAAUUAAAAAUUUAUUUUGGUGAUGCUUUAAGAAGACGACUCUUUAGAUGGAAUUAAUUAGUCCUCGGCUUAAAAAAAAAAAAAAAAGACUAAAGUUUAUGCUUGUCCAAAAAUACAAAAUUGUCGAUCUAGUAACCUUCAAUAUUUUUGGACGGUUUGAAUUGAACAUAAGCUUCCAGAGAUUUCUUCCCAACAAGUGGAUAUGUGUGCUCGCGCAGUCGCACUACUUAAUAUGAGUAUGACCCCCCACCUACCGGCUGCUAGUUUUCUCCAUGCCACAUCAUAUUACACGCAUUGAGUUUGCAAUUUUGAGGUUUAAUUUAGCCGAAAAAAUGGUAGCUUGAUAUGAUUUGCGCCUAAUUCCUUGUCUAAAUUAUUUUAAUUACCUAAUUAAUAGUCGCUUGAUAUGAUUCAAGUGGGAAUAUAGGCACUCUUUCGAUGAUGUGACUAAGAUGACAUAGCCCGGGCAACGUCAUUCGGAUUUGCAUAUGGUUAUGGUGGGGCAAAGCCUUUUUGACAAUCUGCGUCCAGAAAAGAAACUAGAUGCCGAAAGAAAUAAUACAUGUGGUACCCCAUUAAUAAUUAAAAUAAUCCAUGUUCGUUGAAAACGUCAGGUCACACGUCACAACUUUUUGUUUUCAGAUCGGUUGGCAAAAUCCGGAUGUAGGCGCAUUCGGAUCCGUAUUUAUAUUUUUGUACUCGUAUAUGCAUUUGGAUUUGUAAAAUAAGAUGUAAAUCCGGAUAUAGGUAAUAUUCGCAACAGAUGCGAGUGGAUAUUUUGAAUAUCCGGAUUCAUAAAAAUUAAAAUUUAAUAAUUUAAUAUAUAAUUUAAAAAUUCAAUAAUUUACUUAAUAAUAUCAAAUCAAAUCUAAUCAUAAUUCCACAAUUAAUAACUCAAAGUGAAUAACAUACAAUAAUCUUAUAAAUCUACAAAUAAAAGUUAAUUUUUAAUUUAAUUUUCAUUUUAAAAUAAAAUUCAAUAAUUUACCUAAUAAUAUCAAAUAAAAUUCAAUCAUAAUCCAACAAUUAAUAAUUCAACAUGAAUAAUAUAAUAACAUCAUAAAUCCACAAAUAAAAUUUAUUUUUUAUUUUUCAUUUAAUUUUAAUAUAUAUUUUUAAUUUAAUUUUUAAUUUAAAAUAAAAUUUAUCCCGAUCCAAAUCCGUAUGGUUCCCAAAUUUUCAUAUUCGGAUCUGCAUUUUUUAAUAUACGGAUUUGGAUUUUUCCGGAUCUGGAUCUUCCGGAUCCUUACAAAUCUUAGCUGGAUCCAGAUUUAACUGUCAUCCCCAUAUCAUAUUUUGGCUAGGUCAUAUUUUGGCGAUUGCGGUUCGAUGUUCUUGCUUAACUUUUUAAGGAUUUUAUUAGACCUAUCUACAUUAGUUAUUAAUGGCUAAAUUUGUUAUCCUUGUAUUUUUUUUUUAUUUUACGCUUUUCCAAAAAUGCAUCAUAUUGACAUAAGAUCUUAAUUCUAGAACAUCCCGCUUGUUUGCUUUUAGCCUCAUCGUGCAUAAUUGAAACACACUUCACUUCCAUUACUUUUUAUUUUUUUUGGGCUUACUUUUACAAUAUUACUCUUUUAUAAUAAUUUUUUUAUUUGGACAUUAAUAAAAAAAUAAUAAUUAAAUUACCAAUUUAACCCUAGAAAAUAAAAAAAAAUUACAUUAAUUUUUUUGCAAGCACCAUUUGCACAUUUGGUAGUUUGCAUACAAUUUUUGACAAUUAAAAAUUAAUACAAUUUUUUUAUUUUUUAGGGUUAAAUUGGUAAUUUAAUUAUUUUCUUUGUAUUAAUGUCCAAACAAAAAAAUUAUUAUAAAAGGGUAAUAUUGUAAAAGUAAGCCAAAAGAAAUAAAAAGUAACGGUAGGGGUAUCAAUAUUUUAACGGCAUGGAUGUUUUGAGGUAUUUUUAAAAAUAUAGGGAUUAAAUGGAUACUAAUUUUAAAAUACAGGGAUUAAAUGAGCUUUUACCCUAUUUUUUUGGUUGAUUAAAAUGCCUAUAACAAAGAUUAAUUCAGAAAAUUUAAUUGAUUUAUCCUACAAACUGAGACUGUGCAUGGAGUUUGAUUAAGAAGAAGUAGCAUGUGAAUUCUAUAAUAAGCAUACUUAUGAGAUUAAGGAUAAAAAUAUCACAAGCACAUGGAAUUAGGCAUAUUCAGAUCCUAUUCAAGUUCCCGUCGGACCCGUUACAAGAGCUCGAGCAAAGAAAUUCAAAGAAGCGCUUAAUGGAUUGAUUCAAGCAACUUGGGCUCAAUCAAAUUCGUGGAGACCCAUUGAAGGAAUCGCACAUGAUAAAUGCAUGAUUCAGGCUCUUGAAGUUUCCAAAUAGUCACUUCCAUGAAAUAGGGAAUUGGCUUAAACAUUAUGGUGGGAAAAUAUAUUAUUUUCCUUUUUCAGAUACUUUCCCAUUUAUUGAGGAGGCUAUUAGGGAAUCAAAUCAGUUAUUUCUAUUUUAAUCGCUCAAUUUCCAUUUAAUUGAUGUAAGGCAUUUAAGACAAUUAGGAUCCUGAUUUAGUUUAAAUUCUUUCCUAUUUACUUAGAUUAAGAUUCUAAUUUGAUUUAGAUUCUUUCCUAUUAGGGAAGAUUUGGAUUUAGAUUUGAUUUUUGGGUUAUGAUUUAUUUCCAAAAAUUCUUGUAACCAACCCUAUAUAAAGUACUCAUAUUCAAUAAACAGAGAAGAAGUUUUUGAUGCAAUUGGUGAGAGAGUUAAUUCUCUUUAGUUCUUUACGAACUCUUUGAACUUAUCCGAUUUCCGUGGCGUUCAAAUUCUUGACUUAUCAAUCAGACCAUCCAUAACUGAUUGUGGCGUCUUCACAUACCAAGGUUCGUGCUUUCAAUAAGCAUUGGGUCGAGAUUCCAUUCCAUUUCUGGUUUAGAUUCGAUCUUGAGAACUAAAUUGAUUAGGGUCGUGUCAGUUCUUGACGGGGUUCGUAUCACAUACCUUAAGUAUGGGCUUUAGUAUUAGAAAAGAUACCCAUGCUAAUAAUAAGUGUAAUAGUGAAAUUACAUCCAAAGUUUGUGUUUGUUGCAAACAAGGUUAUCGAUAGAAAGCCAAACAGAUCUUCCAAAAGUAAAGUAUAGAGCAAAUACAAGAGCCAUGUAUCAUGCUGGAUUAUUUAUCAAGCAAAAAUGAAGAAGAAUAAUUGGUUCGUUAAUUAUUUUAUUGAGUCUCAUAACCAUUCGCUUCUAAUGCAAGAGUGUGCCCACAUGCUACCUUCUCAAAGACAAAUAAUUGUUUCGCUAGCAAUUGAAGUAGACUUGGCAGAAGAAUCCAGGAUUUCACUUAAAUCUGCAUAUAGUUAAUGGGCAGACAAGUGGGAGGGCGAGAACCUCUUGGAUACACAAAAUUAGAUCAAAAUAACUAUUUUAGAACAAAGAAAUAGAAAGAUUUAGCUUACGGAGAAGCAGGGUAUUUAUUGAAAUAUUUUUCUGAUGAAACUUUAAAAAAUCCAUCAUUUUUAUACUCUAUGCAACUAGACAAUGAGGAACGGGUCACAAAUAUAUUUUGGGCAGAUUCUAAAAGUAUUAUUGAUUAUGGCCAAUUUGGAGGUGUUUUAAGUUUUAAUACAACUUACAAAGUAAAUAAAGAAAAUCGACCAUUUGCAACUUUUGUUAGAUUUAAUCAUCAUCGAGUGACAGUUUUAUUUGGGGCAGCUUUGAUGUAUGACAAGACUAAUAAUUUAUUUAUAUGGUUGUUCAAUUUGAAGGCAAUAUCUGCGAAAUCACCAUAAAUGAUCUUCACAUACUAGGAUGCUGCAAUGACUUAAGCUAUUUCUCAUGUAAUGCCUAAUACUACAUGGCAUAUGAUGCAAAAUGUCUUAAAGCGUGUAAAUAAUGUUUUUAAAGGUCCUAAAGGGAUAAAAAGUGAAUUAUCUACUUUCAUGGAGUCCAUUGAAGAGAAAGUUUAGUUUUCGAGUGCUUGGAAAGCAAUGCUUAAGGAAUAUGAUGUGUAUGAUAAUAAUUUGUUGAAAAUUGUAUUUGAGUUAAAGGGAGAAAUGUGCUUAUGCAUAUAAGGCAAGCAUGGUUAGCUAGAAUCAAUAGUAACCAACUUAGUGAGAGUUUUAAUAUUAUAACAUAAAAGAUUACCUCAAGUGAGACCUCAAUGUAGCAUAAUUUCUUAUGCAUUUCGAGAGGGUAAUUAAUGAUAAAAAGUACAAGAAGUUGGAAGCAGAGUACGAUUUAUGCUAUAGGCUAGUUUUAUUUUUAAAGAUUAACUGAAGAAAAUUAUUAUGAGUAAUGCAUUUGUUGUUGCUGUGUGGUAUUCAAGAUAAGUUUCAGCACUUAUUUCACUUUAUGCUUUUUAUAUUUUAAUUGAUGAGUUAAUUGAUUUAAAGUUUUGUUUGCUUGAGUUCAUAUAUUAUAUAGAUUGACGGAUGCAAAAUUUUAUGUAGUUUUUUAAACUUCAUUAGCCAAGACAUUUAUUUCAGAGUGGAGGACAUUCUUACAUUUGAUGCAUCCAUGAAAUUUCACAUUUUAUUGUUUUCAACGAGCACAACUCAGCUCAAUUGAAAGCUAUCUCAGAAACAGAACAAACUUUAUACAGAAAUUGAACUUCAGACGCUAAUAAACAUCUAAAAUAGUUUUGUUACUAGAUUAUAAUCGAAGACAAUAAAAAAUAUUGCAUUUUCCCUUCAUCAUAAUAAUAAUAAUAUGUAUUACGUAAAAUAAGAAUGACAUGAUAAGCGUGGCAUUUUCCCUUCAUUAUAAGAAGGGAAAUUAUCAGCUAUAUACUCUUAAAUGAUACCAGUAUCAAACGUGCUACAACACUUUUCAAGUGUAUCACUCGUAUACUCUAAGUUGACAAAACAUUUUUGCCGAGUGCCGUCCAUCAAUCCGUUAACUGCCAUUUGCAAGCGCUGACAUCAUAAGGGUAAUCUAGUCUUUUUAAAAAAACGACAUGUCAUCCCAUUUACCUAGUAAAAACGACAUGUCAUAUGAUAUAUUUUGAUACAAAUGACAUGUCAUCACAUUUCUCGGAUAAUUGUUAAUAAUUACUUUAAAAAAAGCUACUUUACAACCGAAUCUACUCCUCCAAAAUUCAACCUAAAUUAUUGAAGAUAUACUCCUCUAAGCUCAAACUUGAAUUUUUUAUGGUAUAAGAUGAAUUUUUUUUAUGGAUAAUUGUUAAUAAUAUGUACCAUUAAUAAUUUAUAUUUUUUUUAAUAAAAAAAUGUAUUGUUAAUAACAAAAUAAAAAAAAUUAUGUAUUAAAAAUUUAUAUUAAUUUUUAAGGUAAAUUUAUUUUUUUACUUAAUUUUGAGUUUAAAGGGUAAAAUAGUCAUUUUGCUAAAAUUCUGUUAAGUUCUUAACGGUAGUAAACGGAAAGAUAGACAUCAGAAUUCUUUUAUCAACUUAGUAUAUACGAGUUAUAUAAAUGAAAAAUAUUAUAGUACGUUUGAUACGAAUGUUAUUUAAGGAUAUAUGGCUGAUAAUUUUCCUUAUAAGAAUGGCAUGUUUUCUAUAAAAUCUUUUCUUUUUCCUUUUUUUUCUGCCCUUCUUCUAUUUUAGCUUCCACGUAUUGGGAAUUAGUUGUUAUUGAUUUGGUGAAAAUGGAAUUUGCACUAUUUGGAUCCUAAGAGGGGGCAAUCAGGAUCCUGAUUCAUUGUUCAGAUUUCUUCAAAAAGAAUAUUUCGGUUAAAGAGUGCAGAGUAGGGCACAAAUGAUUAAAGCAUUUUGCAGAUUUCUUUUUUUUUUUUUUUGGAUCCCACAUCGACUAGGUGGCCAAUUCACUCCGUUUUUUCUUCACUUCCAAAAUUCAUUGGCGUUAAAGGGAUGCGCUCUAUUGCUGACCUUUUAUUGGCCCAGGUAACAAAUCUUUUUUCCUUUUUUUUUCCCCUUUUAUGUUCUUUUGUUGUUGAUUCUAUCACGCUUCUUUGAUUAAAACAUGGGGAAGUUGUCUAAUUAAGUCACAAUGGUAAGAAUCUGCAGUAUUGUUUUGAAGUUUGCUAGUGUUGAAACUUGGCUCCCAAAAUCAUUAUAGUUUUGGGUUUGGACUAGAGAAGGAAGAUAAGAGUAUAUCAAACUAAAACCACAAUUACUUGAUCACAUUAUAUCAGUUUGCUUAGGCUAUAUGGGCUGACUUAAUGAAAUAGUGACGAUAAUGAUCGUAACUGAGGAAAAGAAGAACAAGCAUGAACAUUUUGCACCACUGUAUUAUGAAUAUAAUUCCUUCAAAGUAAAAGGCUCUAUAUGGAGUAUUAAUAUUGAGUUGGAGUUAGUUAUAUACAACGUGUUACUUGGUAUUCCAUUAUUAUUAAAUUAUGCAAAUCUGUUCCUUUGUCCUUCAUGUCAUGGCUAAAUACUUUUUCAUGCUUGUUGCAGACCUCUGUGGUUAGUGUAGUGAAACCUUGCUGGAUCUUGAGCCCAUUAAUGGGAUGUGGCACUUGAGCGAGAAUGGAAAACCUCGUGGGCAGAUUGAUGUAAUUAUUAUUGGUGAUACAGUGCUGCUACCUUUGCUCCCUCUCUCAUCAAAAAAUUGUCUUAAAAUUUUGCACUAAGAAAAUCUGUGUUUUUUAUAUUGCCGUGGCAAAAUGUUAAAUGGGCUUCACUUUUUUUUUUGGGGUGGGGGGUGGGGAUAAAAAAGAAAACAAAAGAAAAUUUUCAAAUUUUACAUUCCAUCAUUACCUCGGACUCAGGAGUGGGGAAAGGUUAAAGUUUUGUACAGUAAUAUAGAGAAACCCUCUGCCAAUCCAAACCUCUGUGAAAGGGAUCCCAUUUCAUGACAAUCUUUGUGGGUUUUGAGUUGGAAUACUCUGGCAGGUUAGAAGUUGUUUCAAUUAAUUAUCUAUAACAUAUGAGUUGUGUUAAAUUGUAUGACUAUAUAGUGAUUCAUUGUAGGAUACUAGGACAUCAAAGAGCUCAAAAUUUCUGACAGAUUUUCUUCCUAAAUUUGGUUAAAAUGUGAUGGAUAGAUUAGAACUAAGUUGCUCAGCAAUUUGUAGCUGUAAACAUCUAGAAGGCUGGAACUAAAUGCCAUUUGAUUAGGUUAGAAUAAUAUGAGCCGAGCUUACAAUCUUUGUCAUUCAUUCAAUUGCUUUUUCAGAUGACCACAAUUCAUCAUGUUGAUAUUAUCCGAUUGGUGCCUUGUAAAUUUCCUUUAUGACUAUGAUAUAGGGCAUUAUUGAAGAGUUGAAAAUAUCCAAAGAAAAUUAGCGAGAAUAGGUUCUGGAUUAAAAAGACAACUUUAUGCAUGUUUCCUUUCUGCUUCAUCAAUUGAUUAUAGACCAUUAAUUACCUAUGCCCUUUUUUGUUUCGGCUUUGCUUUACAGUAAUAGUGCCUAGAUGUAAUGAUAGGAAAAUGUGCGAAUCGGUUGUCUAUUCAUCUGGUGUACCUCUAAUAGCUAGAAAAAUGAAGGUAUAUAUCCUUUGAAAUAUUCAGUUUGUUUAGUGUCUAAACUAUGUUUUGUUCAGUCAACCAUUCCUAAAUUGUUUCGAAGCUUCAUGCUGCAUUUAUCCAGUUUGUAGAGCCUGGAACUAAGUUCUAUAUGGACAGUUCUUGCAGCAUCUGAGGAUCCCCUUCUGCUAGUAGUGCAGCAUCAUUAAAGGCACCUUUGUUAAUGGUGUUGAUUCUGUCUCAUGGACGGCAAAUAACUCAGUGAAGCUUUUUAGUUCCCAGAGUGAUGGUACUCAUUGUUGGACCUUUUUCAGCGCUGCAGCUUAUGGAAAAUGAAACAAGGUUCCACAGAUCUGUUGGUACAUAAAUGUGUGUCUUGUUUAAAAUACUUGUUUUCACAUGAUUAUAUGCUAGCAUUGACACACUUUUUUAUCAAUUGCCUAGACCUGUUGAAUCCAUUCAUACUUCAGCUUGAAAUCCGAGCUAUUGAAACAAGGCUGCAAUGAGUUCAGUUUUGGACUAUCCUUAUAGUUGUCCUAUUUCCUUUAUGGUUAUAAGUGCUGCGUUUGGCAUAUGAAUCUAAUUGAAUGAAAGUGAAUCAGGGGUUGGUCUUAAAAGCGCAUAUUGUUCAAAUACAAAAAGUAAUAUUAUUUGAGACAAUUCAUACGGCUUCCUUUGAGUGAAAAAUAGUCAUAUUACCAUUUAAACUGGCAUGAUAUGUUCUUCCAGUUUAUUUGAAGAAUUAUGAGAAGAACCUCAGGUGUGUUAACUAAAAAAUGCCCAAAAUGGACUGUUCAUAUUCAUGCCACUGAAUCCCAGGUAUGUUAAUUUUAAACUCCAAUUAAAUGCUCUAAUCUUUCUUCACUCAUUUUAGCAUGUAUUCCAUAAUUCAUGCUUUCUUCUUCCCCUUUUAAUUUUUCCUCUUCUUCUCUUUUAGCUUCCGUAGUAUUGGGAAUCAGUUGUUAUUGAUGUUGGAAAAAGGAAUUGUUUUAUUUGGAUCAUAAGAGGGACAAUCCUGAGCUUGAUUAUGUACUUUCCAUUUGACGCCAUUUAUAUUUAUAGGCUUCUUCAAUAAGUUGAUGUCGUUAUCUGUGUGAAUAUUUUUAGCUCUUGUAAUAAUGCUAUUUGAUUUCUGAUAACUAGUAAUUGGGUAUGGAAAGUGAAACAAGGUUUCCCAGGUCAGUUCAUAAAUAAAUAUAUGUUUACAUUCACGCACUUGCUAGUCAAUUGCUUAGAGCACUAGCAUAGUAGAAUAGCUUCACACUUUAGCUUGAAUUCCCAAGCUAUUGAAUGAGUUCAGUUUUAUGUGCAUAUUUAUUUAGAUUUGGUAAUAAUAUUAGCUUGAUUUUCUGCGUUAUACUUUGAAUCAAUAUAAUGUUUCAAUUUUACAGCAGAGAUUUAUGUUGCUAUUUAGCUUCAGAAAUAUCAGACAAGGAAUUUCAAACAUAAGCUCGAAGCUUGAUUAUUCACAUAUAAAUAAUGUGAUCUAUGUCGAUUGCAGAUUAUUUAGGAAGCAGUAUAGGUCAUACUGAGGUGUUAUCGUGCACAAAAUUAUUGUUUCAUCUGACAUAUUGUUCGCUUAAGCAAUAGUAAUGAACUUGAGGUGUUAGUUUUUGAAGUCUUCUGUUUAUAUAUAAGUUGUAUUGAAUCUCUCUCGACAAUCUUUCUUCUAGUUUUGAUCAUUGCAUCAUAAUUUUCACAUCUGUGUUUAUAAUAUAACUCUGUGCAUUACUUCAUCUUUUUCUCACUUUUUGAUUCCUUGCAUCUUGAAUCUGUUUAAUCAAUAUUCUGGACUUCUUUUGUGGAGAGGCUGCCCUUCUGAGAAUCUGUUUUCAGUUAUCACUUACCCCUUCUAAUAGUUUGCAAACCAGAUGUGGUUUUUGCAUGUUCAUAAACUUGCAAUGUAAUUUGUUUAUUAGUUCAGUUAAUACAAAUUUCAAAGAUGAAAAACACAAAACGACUAUUUAUUCCAAGCGUAUAUAUUUAUAUCUUGGACAGCAUUGAACUCUUUUUUUUAAAAAAAAAAAAUUGUUACAAUUGCCACAUUUGUAAUCUAAAAUUUAUUGGGAAUCUAGAUACAGACACUUAGUAGUGCAAUCAAAAAUAAAAAAAAUCUGUCGGACAUUAACUUGAAAAUAUGUUUCUACUACUAUUUGGAGAAGUGUAUAUUGUACGUGGCAUUGAACUUUUCUUUCUAUUUCUUUUUUCAAAAUUAUUACAAUUCACACAUAUUUCAUUCUAAAAUUUGUUGAGAUUCUAGAUACAAAUACUCAAGGAUACAAUUUUAAGCAAAUGAGCAGUUUGCAUAAUAUUUUACUCGUGGAGACUGGAGAUAUCUACCCUUAAUUAUUUAGUGAAAAUAAAUUAGAUAUCAAAUUUUGUCAUAACAAAAUUAAUCCAAAACAAAACAAAAGAUGUCACCUUAAUUGUUGAUAUAUCUGAAUCUUAUUAUCCUCCUUUUGCAACUAUGAAAACAAAAGAAUAUUUCAGCAGUGGCGAGAGAGCAGGGCAGAAUCAAGUAUAAAACAUAGGAUAAGGAACGAGAUUAUAACGAACAAAACUACCACUAAAUGAUGACAACUUUCAUUUCAUUUGCAUCUUCAUCCUCUCUGAUUCUUCAACCCCUUAAACCCCCAAAAUCCUCAAGACUCUCAAAAGCAAAGACACUAACUUCAACCAUUAAAGCAACUUCUUCUCAACCAAAACCCAACAACGCAAAUGCUAAAAAACCCACUUCAAGAAACCGCAGAAGAUCAUCGUAUGGCAGUUCGAGAAGGUCAGCUCUCAAGAAAACAUUCGCCCAAGAGCAAGUCACGUUCACUACACCCGUCUCCAGUGACCCGUGUGUGGGGAUUAUUGGUGGAGGCAUGGCCCGUCUCGCACUCUCGCUUGUGCUUUGAGUUUGGAUAAGAGAGGUGUAAAGUCCACUAUUUUUGACACGGUUUGUCACUUGUCUGGUUUCUUGGCCUUUUUUUUUUCUGUACUUUUGUGUUUUUGAUUGGAGAGCUUGAAGUGGGUGGCCAAUUCAAUUAUCUGUUUAAUAUGGUUAGGUUGUGUUUGUAUUUGAGAGUAUACGCUUGUAUAAUGGUAAUGUAAAAAAUUUGCUGUCAACAGUCUAGCAUGUGUUGUUAUGCAUUGAAUUUUGAUUAUAAGCAUCUUUUGGAAUUGAGGUGCUCUGACCUUUGAUCUGCGUUUGUUGAGGAAUGAAAUUAAAACAUUAGCUGCUAAAUAAAAAUGGGGGUUCAUCAAAAUUUUAGUCAACCACAUUUAUGUAUUCUUAACACUGUGCUUUGCUAUAUCAGGGGAAUCAUGGCUUGGGAGGAAGAAUGGGAACCAGAAUGAUUGGUCCUCAACCACUGAUAUUUGAUCAUGCUGCUCAAUUCUUUACUGUGACUGAUUCUCGGUUCAUGAGUUGGUUGAUGGUUGGUUGGAGAGAGGUCUGGUGUGACCAUGGGAAGGUGCGAUUGGAGAGCUUGAAGUGGGUGGCCAAUUCAAUUAUCUGUUUAAUAUGGUUAGGUUGUGUUUGUAUUUGAGAGUAUACGCUUGUAUAAUGGUAAUGUAAAAAAUUUGCUGUCAACAGUCUAGCAUGUGUUGUUAUGCAUUGAAUUUUGAUUAUAAGCAUCUUUUGGAAUUGAGGUGCUCUGACCUUUGAUCCGCGUUUGUUGAGGAAUGAAAUUAAAACAUUAGCUGCUAAAUAAAAAUGGGGGUUCAUCAAAAUUUUAGUCAACCACAUUUAUGUAUUCUUAACACUGUGCUUUGCUAUAUCAGGGGAAUCAUGGCUUGGGAGGAAGAAUGGGAACCAGAAUGAUUGGUCCUCAACCACUGAUAUUUGAUCAGACAGCAUCUUACAUGGCAUACCUUUAUUUUUAAAUUAUUUAAAUAAGUUCCUUUGUCCUUCAUGCCUUUAAUGCAUUUUGAUUCUUGUUGCAGACCUCUAUGGUUAGCAUAGUGAGACCUUGCUGGAUAAGUAAUCUUGAGCCAUUUAAUGGAAUGUGGCACUUGAGGGAGAAUGUGAAACCACGUGGGCAGUUUGAUGUGGUUGUUAUUGCUCAUAAUGGUGAUUCAGUGCUGCUAUCCUUUCUCGUUUUCUCUCUCUGUGGAUUGUUAUAGUCUUACAUUUGCAUUCCAAAAAUGCAGGUUAUUGUUUUUCGUAGUUGUAUGAACGUGACAAUUGCCUUUGCUAUUGGAAAAAAAAUAAAAUAUUUCUGAUUUUACUCUCUAUCAUUACAGUGGAUUAGGAAUGGAAAAUAAUCUGGUUUAUUACAGGGAAACCCUACCGAAAUCCAAACUCGGUCCCUCUCCCUAACCAUCCUGGAAUACCCUGGGGGGUUAGAAUGCAUAUAGUGUUACAUUAUAUGAUUUUGUAGUUCGCUGAGUUCUUAUGUUUUCUGGGAUACUAGGACUUCAAAAAGCGCUGAAAACUUCAUAGAAUUUCAUACUGAUUUUUCACUGUCAAUUUGGAGAAAAUGAUGGCUAGAUUACAAGUAAGAUUAAGAGCGACUUUUAAAUUUAAUCAACUGGAAGACUGGUAUUGAAUGGCUAUUAGUUAGGUUAGAAUAAGAUGAGCUAGACUUUCAAGCUGUGCCAUGCAUUCACUGGCCGUUGUAGUAUUACGUAGGUUGUUAUGGAAGUAAAAAAGAUCUCUAUAAAUUUAACAACCAGAUUAGGUUUCUAGAUCCAGAAGUCGAGGUUAUGUUUAUUUGCUUACUCUUUCGACUGUUAAUUGCCUAUGUCUUUUUCUGUUUACAUUUUGGCUUAGCUUUGUAAUAAUAGUUCCUUCAUGUAAUGAUAGGAAAAUGUGCAAACUGGUUGCUUGGUUCAUCUGGCUUACCUCAAAUAGCUAGACAAAUGAAGGUAUAUGCUUUGAAAUAUUCAGUUCUUUUAAUAUUAUCUAGCCUAUGUUUUAUUCAGUAUUGGCCAGUUCUAAUUAUUUUGAAGAUUCAUAACUCAUUUUCCUGGUUUGUAGAGGCUGGAACUAAGUUCUAUAUGGGCCCUUCUUGCUGCAUUUGAGGACCCCCUCCCACUGGGCAGUGCAUCAACAUUUGAAGGCGCCUUUGUGAAAGGUGUUGAUUCUGUCUCAUGGAUGGCAAAUAACUCAGCAAAACUUUUGAAUUCUCAGAGUGAUGCUCCUCACUGUUGGACCUUCUUCAGCACCGCAGCUUACGGAAAACAAAACAAGGUUCCACAGGUCAGUUUGUAUAUAAAUGUGGGUCUUCUUAAAAGUACUUGCUUACACAUGAUAAUAUGCUAGCAUUGGCACACUUUUUAACCAAUUGCCUAGACCUCUACUUGAAUCCAUUCAUGCUUCAGCUUGAACUCCAAGCUAUAGAAACAAGGCUGCAAUAAGUUCUGUCUUUUUGUGCAUAUUUAUGUUCCCUUUUAUACUUGAAUCAAUAUGACAUUUCAAGUUUACAGCGAACUUUGGUGCUGUGUGGAUAUAUAUAUGUUGCAAUUUAGGCUUUCUGCAAGAUUUUUAAUGAUUUUUUUAUCAUUUAUUAGGAAAAUAUCCCAACUGCAACAGCAGAGAAGGUGAAAAAAGGUAUGCUCGAGGGUGUUGAAGCUGCACUUGGCCGACCGAAAGGUUCACUUCAGAAGCCCAUUUAUACUCGAGUCCAUUUAUGGUAAGACUCCACUUUUAAGGACAUGACCUUGUAAUUUCAUUUUUUUAUCUUGUCCAAUUUGGAUCCUUGUAACCUACUUGACCUGUAAAUAUUUGCUGUUGGUGUUGGUUUAGAAUGAGUGGUUGAUUUGAACAAGCUUAAAAAGUUAUUGUGUGGACUUGUGUAUAGUCCUAGUUCUAUUUUCCUGUUACGCUCAUUUUUAAAAAAAGAUGGAACAUGUCAUUCCAAUUUAUUAAAUAAAUAAAACAACUUCAGAAUUUCAUGAUUAAGAAAAUAGUUCCUAUGUGAUGAAUUAGGUAUUUAUUUAUUUAUAUAUCUAUUUUAUUUAUUUAUUUUUUUGGGGGGGAAAUGUGUAGGGGUGCAGCUCUUCCAACUAAUACUCCAAGUAUUCCAUGUAUCUUUGAUCCUCAUGGAAGGGCUGGUAUAUGCGGCAAUUGGCUGUUGGGUUCAAGUGUAGAGUCAGCUGCAUUGAGUGGCAUGGCUCUUGCCAAUCAUGUAAGCAAGAAUAUGAUUUUUCUUUUGCUUAUUUGGUUUUAUUUUGUGCAUGUAACUAUAUAUUUCAUGAUUGAUAUAAAUAAAAUAAAAUAAAUCUAAGACAACCAUUCUAUCCCUAUAGGGACAUCUAAAUAUAAAUUUGCAGGUUGGCUUCAAUCAGAUUGAAAUAUCAGACAAGUUUCAACAACAUUAGCUUGAAGCUUGGUUAUUCUUAUAUAAAUAACGUAAUCGGUCUAUGUAGAUUGCAGACUAUUUAGGAAGUGGUGGAGUUCGUCCUGAGGAAUUUGCUGUCGGUUUACACAACGAGUUUCAAUUGCUCGAAGGACAUGAUAUUGGACAAUUCCCGGGUUUGGAGUCCGUGAAAAAAGAGCAAGUUCAAGCAUAUCAGCUUACUUCUUGAAUCCCUAAGCAGGCCACAAAAAUUUCUGGAGUUUUUCAAGGUAUACUUCUAUUGAUACACUCUUUAUGGCUUUCUUUUUUUCACUUGGGUUACUGUCAUGUUAAUUCUCUUGGUUUUUAUGGCUAGGAUUAAGAAGUUUAUUCACAAAAUGCAGUUAUUGGCAUAGUUGCUAAGCAAGCAUCCUGAAAUUCUUUUUGUGAUACCAUCCAUUAUGAAACGUAAAUGAGUACAGAUGCAAAGGAGAGCGGAUUCUUGGAGCAGCUAAAUCCUUACAGAAAACUUGUUUUCAGUAGCAUAGGUGACAGGAAUUGUGAUAUUUCCCUGGCUUUCAUGGAAGAAAAUAAAAAAUUUCUAAUAACUGUAACCUUUUUGAGUUCUCCACAAAUCAGUUUGAAUAUGAAGCCAAAUAUCAGAUGCAGAUUUUAGAGCAACAAAGUUCAAUGCUAUCAGUUGUUUUGGGUUCAAGUGAUCAGAGCUUCAUCCGGCACAAGCUCGCCUAACAGAGUAUGAAAAAUAUUGAAACCUACAGUUAACAAUUCUCAAGUUCCAUAUUUGACCUGUAAUCACAUUCAAGUUAAUACAUGACUACUGAUAUAUGAAAUGACAUUUUUAUUCAGUUCCAGGAAAGUCGCAUGCAGAGGAUUUAAGUUUCAUAUUAAUGGAAUGGUUUUGAGCUUUAUUAUUAGAUUUUAAAAAAAAAAUAAUUAAUGGAGUUAACAUUACUUAUUACAGGACAAGAAAGAGAGAUUAAUUCUCCAUGGGAAAAGCGUUGAAAGAAGCUUCUCAUGCGCGUAAUCAGCCUCUCAGUUGCUUACCAUGGCAUCUUUUCCAUACUUAUGCACAUGUUGAUAGAAUUCUUUCUUGGUUAAAUAAUCUGGGACAAAUCGCUGUUCAUUGGCAACACGAGCAACAAAAUAUCACACAAAUUAAUUCCAACAAAAAUAAUAUUUUUACACGAGAGACUUGUGUGAGAGAAGAGGGUUAAUUAGAUGAUUACUAUUGAGAUCACAAGUAUGAGCGAAAUGAACACAGGCAAUUGAACAAACCGUGACAGAGUCUAUCCAGCUGAAGAAAUCGAAAACUCUUCGGCAUUUGUCUGCAAGCUUUAAAGCCGUCGGAAAACCAUUGUGCUUCUGCUAAAUUAACUUGAUAGCCAGCAACAAAAACAACAAGAAGAGCCCAGCACAGUAGCAGUUUCUAGUUUUUCAUGCUUCCCUUCUUUUCUUUCUUGAGAUUGAAAUGAUUUAAGAUUUAUUUAAAGGGUCUUUGUCUUGGUAUGCAAAUAAUGGUUUGAAAACAGAUUAUAUGCUAUUACAAGUUAAUUUUUCUGAUAACGAGUGUUUGACUAGGAUUCUUGUCGUAGUGUAAUUAUUAAACAUGAUUUUAUAAUUAAUGAUUCUACUAUGGUAGUAAUGAUUAUAUAAUGAUUUUAUAAUUAAUGACUCUACCAGGAUUUGAAAACUACUAUGGUAGUAAAAUUGCUUGAAGCAACAGCUUAAAAUUAUCAGAUGGUGUGAAAACCGGAGAAGAUCUACCAAGAGGGUAAUGAAGUUUUCUAAAGUCCAACUGAAAUGAUUUCAGGAUUCACUUCAACAAUGCAAAAACAUAUUUGAUAUUUCAAAACUGAUGAAAUUCAUUAUCAUUAUCGUUAUCUUGGACGUAUUUGAAAUGCAUUAUCAUUAUCGUUAUUUCAAAACUGAUGAAACAUAUUUGAAAUGCAUUAAUUACUGAUGCUAGCACUUGAAAUAAAAAAAUAAAAAAUCAAAUGAUAGCCGUGUUCAAGAAGCGAAGUAUUUUUAUAUUUCAUACUUGGCCGUACCGCAAACCCAAUUUAUAAGACAUGAAGAAGAAAUCUCCUUUAUAGAGUUAUUUCUAAAAUGGCAGAAUCUACCAUCUUGAAUCAAAGUAUAUCAUUAGAAAAAGAAGGAGAAUUAAGGACAUUUUAUCUCGAGAGCUACCUGAUAGGGUACUCCAUUCUUGACAGAGUACUGGCCCUCGUUGUCAUAUUGCCACAGAAUCUGAAGUUCUUUGAGGAAAUGAAUGCUUUGGUGGAAGAAGACCUUGAGCAAGAAAAAGACCAACAUGAAAGAGAGAUGAAGAAAAUCUCUAAUUUUGCAAAUAUGGUCUGAUUGGCUUGUCAGAUAACUAACCAAACUAAUCACUACUUUCAGUGUCAAUCAAAUUCCAACAAACAAUUCAUUUUCUGUUCGAACUCGAGUGGUGAUCAGCCAAAUAAAGUUGCCUGAAAACUGCUCCGACAAAACUCUGGGGAUAUAGUACAUUGCUUGUUGAAAUUGGUGUAUGUUAAUAGAAAUAUAAAAGCCCUUACCGAAAUUUGACCGAGAUUGAAAGUAGCGAUUAAUUUGGUUAGUUAAAACUUACAAGCCCACAAGACCAAUUUGAUUAGUUAGAGAUCUUCUUCCACCAAGCAUCCACUUCCCCAAAGGAUUUCACCCAGAGGAUUUCAAGAGAUCGAUCUUUAAUUUGCCGUCUCUGAACAUGAAACAUGAUCCAAUAUAUUAUCACCACCUAGCAAUAUCUGAGUAGGCUUCUCUUUAACCUUGCAUGUUAUAAAGAUUGAGUACAUAUAAAUAAAAGGCAAGUGCUAAGUUAUAUGUAAUGUAACUUACACUACUCACAUGAACAGUGAGUGAGCCCCACACCAUCACUAUUAAUGUGAGUAGAUGUAAGUUACAUUAAAUAUAACUUAGAGGGAUCUAGAUAAAAUUGUACUCCGAAAAUUUGCCCUGGCCCUCAAUACAUGUUAAUCCAUGAGUUAGGUAAGAGUUAGUUGGCUUUGUCCUAUUUAGGAUUGCUGCCUUAUAGGUGUAGCUUCUAAGCAACAACCUCGGUUAAUGACUUUGUAUUUGAUGAAAAAUCUUUGUUACUCUCACUAUUUUUUUCAAUUAUUAUUUUUCAAGCUUUAAAAAUCAUAUUUAUCAAUUAUUUUCAACUUUUAUUUCGUUGCAAUUGUAACUCAAUUUUUAAGCCACAGCACUCUAAAUAAAUCCUCAACAAUUAAUGGUCUCUUUAACCUUGAAAUAUUAAUAACCCACCUUCGGUCACCAUGAGCCACCACCGCACCACGAACUGCCAUCGGCAUUUAUAUUUUGCUAUCUUUUGACGUUAAUUUUAUACUAUUAGAAUCUUUAUUACUGGAUCUACCCAACAAUUGCUUGUAUCAUCGACAAUAAAGUUUCUCGUCAUUUUAAGUACAUAGAUACAAAACUUUGAUCGUAAAUCUACGAUGAACAGAAGCUCUAUUUUCGGUAUUACAUUUACUGUUAUGAAACUCCAACGAUAAGGAUUCUCUUGGUAUCAAAAUUGACGUCAAAGGAUGCCAAAAUUAUAUCGAAGAGGGUAGAUUACGGUGGUUGGUGAUGGUCAAUAAUUUUGCCAUUCAAAUUUAUUAUUUGAUAAACUAAUGAUAAACAAAUUAAAUAUGUUUUAGUGUGUUAAAUAAUUUUGUAUUUUAAAAGUCAACAAGACAUUGACGGGGAGGGGGGAAGGGGGCAUGGGUUUUGAUAACACAGCAAAAAAUGCAUUAACGUUGUAAUUAGUGUUAUCCAACGCAUUUCAUUUCAAUUACUAAAAAUUGGUUUGUUUCAAUUAACGUUGUACCCAUGAAGUAGUGUAUGCCAAACAUAUUUUUUAAGUAUUGAAAUUGGGCAAAAGUUAUGUCAUAAAAAUAUUUGAUAAACACUUGUUACUAUAAUUUAAAAAUUAAGUUGAUUUGAUUAAUAAGAUAAAAAAUUUAAAAUAUAUUUUUUGUUUUUAUAAAAUUUUAUUUAAAAAUUAUAUUUAUUAUGUAUUAUUAAUUUUUAUAUCAAUUUAAACAAAAAUGAGAAGAAGCCCCAGCCUUUUAAUAGAAAUGCGAAGGCAGUGUUGCAACUUGGGUCGGUCCUCCCAAGUACAGUACUAUGGUACUGAUCAAAGUCCCAACCUCAUCUCAGUUUUGAGGUUUAAUCCCAUAAGGAAAAUAAGAAUAUAUGAAACUAGAAGCUAAAAUUACAUGGUCACAUGAUUGCAAUUGCAUAGGCUGCAUGGGUGGACUUAAUCAUAACUGAGGAAAAGAAGAAGUAGCAUGAACAUUUAUUUUGGCACCACUUUGUUAUGACUAUAAUUUGUGAAAAACAACAAGCUUAUUUAUAUAUGCUACAUUAGUAUUGAAAUGGAGUUAGGUGCAUACAAACAUCUUAUCAAGGCGUAUGCCAUUAUUAUAAAAUUAUGUAAGGCAAGUUCCUUCAUGUCAUGUCCUUUUACGGGUCUAAUUCUGUUUUAAUGAUUGUUGCAUCUUAAGGUUAAUGGAAUGAGACCUGCUGGACAAGUAAUCUUGAGCCAUUUUUUCUUCCCAAUUUUGUUUGUUUGUUUUGGGGAUUGUAAUGCAAAAGAUUUUAGACUGGGAAUGUAAUUAUAUGUUGCUAUGAGCUUUAGUUUGAUUAUAAUGAAUAAAUAAAUGUAUUACUGAAUUUCAGAAAUGAAGCUAGUGGGAAGAAGAAUUAAGCUUAAUUGAGAUUGAUAUAUAGAGGGGUACUGUGAUGAUCCAAGCAUUGAAGGCACAAAGAUCCCUCUCUGUUGGAUUACAAACGAGCAAGGAUAUCAAAGAAACCCCACCAACAAGGCAAUUUAGAGACAAUCUGUUCUACAUAGAUUCACUUAUUCUCUAACAUAAAUUACUUCUUGUGUGUUUUCUUAAGCAUUCAUUGCUUUUUGGGACUUGAUAGAGUGUUGUGGGAGUUUGACAAUUAUAGUAUCUGUGGAACUUAUAUCGUAGCUUUUGUUAUGUCAUGACAUCGCAGCUUAGUUUUAAUCUCAAUUGUUAAUGUCAUCAUCACGAUUCAUGAUGUCAUGGAAGUUCAUGAAUGUUUAUCUUCAGCUAUGUAAAUGAUGCAAAUCAAUUAUUAAAUGGUCAAUUUUAUUCAUAAAUUAUUAAUUAUAAAAGAAAUGAAAAAAUCUCAAUAGUCGGUAGAAGUAAAGGUAUCAAUUUAAUUAGAUCAUAGAUAAUAAACAAAAAAUAAAUUUUAAGUAAAUCAUAAAUAAAAAAUAAAAAAAUUAAUUAAUUACUAUAAGGUAUAAAUAAAAAAUAAUGACAUAAAUGGAAGUCUCAUAAAUAGAUAUUUAUAUUUUAAUCUUAUCCCACUUAAACUCAUGCAUAAAUUAGGAUUAAUAAUCUCAUAAUUUAGGAUUAAAUUUAAAUUUAGAUUUCCUCUGUCUAAUCGAGAUAAACUUACAAAAUAUAGGAUAAAUAUUUAAUCACAAAAUUAAUCCAAUCUCAUACUUAAAACCUAGUAUCCACUAGGAGCUGUACGUUGCAGAUGGUAAUGGGCACUGCCUGCACUCCGCAUUGGGCUUAUUAUUACUAAAUUCACACUCGCAUAAAAUUUAAAUUAUCAAACCGACACCCACAUCUGCUGCGGGUUUUAAUUUUUUAAGAAAAUCCACCCGUUGUAGGUUUUGACAAUUACUAUCUACAAUGCUACCCAACGGAUUUUUUGCGGGUUCUCAUAUUUAAAAUAACAAAUGUUUAAUAUAUAAAUUUAUAUUAAUAAGCUAAAAUUCCACAAAAAUAUACUCAAUUCUAAAUUUAAUCAAAGUAAAUAGAAAAUUAAAAUUUCAAUAUCAAUUCAACACAAAUUCUUAAAUUUAAGUAUGAAAUAUAUAAAUCCAUAAAAAAAAACCACAAAUGCCACGAAAAAUUCAUGGGUGUGCGGUUGCGGCACAAGGGUGAAAGGAAAAUGGGUAUGCUACUGCUGCUCAUGGGUGGAAGGGAAAUAGUUUGGAAGGCUAGGUUUUGCAGCUGCUGCUCAAAGGUGAAAGGGAAAUAGUUUGGGUUUCCUUUAGGUUAGGCUAUGAGUUGCAACUUGCACACACGACAUGUAACGUAUUUAUACUUUACAUUUAUUUAAUUUAUAAAUUUUUAGAUUUAAUUAUUUUUUCAAUUAAAAUUACAUUAAAAAUAUUUGGGGAAAAAAGUUACAGGUUUAGUAGAUAUCCAGGCGGCAUCCAUCGGAUAUUUAGUUAAUACCAAACCCACCCACAACGUAGUGCAAGUUUCAAUUUUUGAUACCAAACCCGCCCGUAACCCACAAAAUUACUAGUAAUGAGCGGGUUUUGGCAGGCAAGUUUGGACGAAUUUACUGGUUUGUAGGUACCAUUUAGGCUUGGCAAAAUCUGGAUCCAGUCCGGGUUUUGGUGUUGCCCGGGACUGGACCAAAUGAGUGAAACUCAAGACCGGACCCGGGUUAAAACCCGAUUUUUCCAGGUGCGGUCCGGGCUCAAGCCUGGCACCCUCGGGCCGGGGUUUUUUAUCCGGGUUUCUAAGCCCGCAUGUGAUAACUCAAUAUUUUUUUUCUUCAAUUUUUUCUUUCAUUUAUCUAACAAUGCAAAUUUUAGAAAAGAAAAUAGUCGAAUAAACUCAUUCAAUCUCAAGCUUUAAAAAAGAAAAUAAUCAAAUACAAAUAUAUAACAUACUAACAAUGCAAAUUUACACAAAUAAUAAAUAAAAAUUAUUUCAAUCUACUUUCUGAUACCUAAAUUCAUCCAAUUUCUAACCUAAACUCAUUCAAUUUAUAUAAAAAAAUAAAAUUAAAUUCAACAACACAAUAAUCACACAAUAAAUCUAAAUAACAUCCAACAUAUCAUAAAUUCAUAAUUAUAUAUAUAUAUAUAUAUCUUAAUUUUUAAAUAAUAAUUUUAACAAAAUUAAUAAAAUUAUAAUUUUUUUUUAUCAUACAAGUGUAAAAUCAAAUCAACUUAAUUUUUAAGUUAUAACAACUAACAUUUAUCAAACAGCUUAGUAUUAUUGUUUAAAAUGCCUAAGUUACCCAUUUAAUAAUUUAAUAUAUAAGAUACAUAUGUAAUCGAAUGAACAAGGGAAUUGACAUAUAAGCAAAUCAAAGAUAUUGUUUAACAAACAAUAAAAUUGUGCCACGUUUUGUAAGGAUGAGGAAACUUAACGGGCUUAACCGGAGCCUAUCGUUCAUUGAUUGUCAAGUUUUGUAAUGAGUACGGCUGCUCGAUCGCCAUCUUUUGCAAGCACCAGCUGCCACACUGCAGACACUUCCACCAUUGCGAAAUGGUCAUGCUUCAGUCUUUUUGUUUUUGUUAUGAGUGCCGCUAAAUAUCAAGAACAACGAGAGAAGGAUGAGAGAAUUACCUAUUCUCUCUCUCUGUUGUUGAUUUUUUUUUUCUCUCUCUUCUCCCACCACAUGCUUCAUUCUCUCGUCAUUCUUUCGUUUUUCUUGAUACUUAACAUUUUUCUUUUGUUAUACACAUUCGAGCAAGUCUUGCGUACAUCAGUUUGUGCCUGAGUUGCUGCCCUUUCAUUUUUACUUUAUGUAUUAAAGCAUCAUUCAUAAUCCUCCUCCCCACUAAAAAUGUUUUGAUAAAAUUAAUUAAAUAUUUAAAUUAUUUUAUUUAUUUAUUGUAUUAUGAUUACCCAAUAACUUAUUUACAAGAUAUUUAAUUUCCUUAUUAUUUUAACUUAUUUACAACGAUGGCAAUUGAACUCCCACACUCACUUCAACGACUUGACAAUUAAUGGUAGGAUAGUAAGCCUUUGAAUUUACGGAUUAUGUAAUGACUUCAAUGACUUUAGGCUAUGUUUUGGAGAUAUGAUUAAAUGCAGGAUUAGAUUAAUGUUAGAAUUAAAUAUUUAUCUUAUAUUUGGCAAGCUCCACUUUGGAUUAAAUUAUGGGACUAAAUUUGAAUUUAAUCCUAAGAUUAUGGGGAUUAACAAUCCCAAUUGAGAGAUGGGUUUAGUUAGGAUUAACUUUAAAAAUAAUUGUCUAUUUAAUUAAUUAUUAAAUGAAUAUCUAAUAUAAUAUUGGUUACUUUUAAAUUAUUUGCUAAUUUUUUGAUAAAAUAAAAUUAAAUAUUUAAAUAAUUUUUAAUUUGAUUUAACCUAGUCUAGUUUAUAUUUGUUUAUUAUAAUUAUAAUUGCCUAAUAACUAAUUUUCUGGAUAUUUAGUUUUAAUUAAUUAUCUUUUAAAUUAUUAUCAUUAAUUAUUUUAUUAUUAAAUAUUCAUAAAUAAUUCAUAUUUAUAUUUAAAUAUCAACUUAAAUGCUAUUUAAUUUUAUUCAAAUAAAAUUUAAUAUAGUCCAUUCCAAUACUAUACCAAACAUAAGAUAAUAUUAUAUAAGACAAGCUAAUUUAAUUAAAUUUAAUUAAAUCUAAUCCUAAUAAUUGGUUCAAUCUAAUCAUGCUUCCCAAACGUGGCCUUAACGUAAUAGUGCCGAUAUUUAGGGAUGGCAAUGGAUUGGAUUUGAUCCAAGAUCCAUGUGAUCCAAAUCCAAUCGGAUCGGAUUUGGAUCGGUUUAAAAUGGAUUUGGAUCGGAUUUGGAUAUUGAUGUGCGGAUCUAAGACGGAUCUGGAGCAGAUAUGGAUCUAUCUUAAUAUCUAAAUCCAUAUCCAUAUCCACUCAUCUUUUAAUUUUAUUUUAUUUUAAAAGUUUCUUAAUAAUUGUGGAAUGAUAAUGAUAAUAAAUUUUAUUCAUAGCAUAUUAGUAGUAUUUACCAUGAAUUUAAACUCUUAAAACUUAAAGGUUAGUUUUGUAAAUUUAAAGGUCAGCCAAGCCUCAAAGCAUGUACAUGCAAUAUUCAAAAUGCAAUCCAAGUAAUAUAACCUGGUAAUUUAUUUUAUCAUAUUGGCCAAAUAAUUUUUAAGAAAUAUAGUUAUUCAUAUAUUUAGUCAAAUAUGGUCAUAAUAAAAAUAAUAAAGGACUGAAUAUAAAUCAUAUUUAAUUUAUAUGUCAUUAUCUAAUGUUGUAGAAAUGAGGGUAGGUGUAUCGUGGAUACUAGAAUGAUGAAGGAGACAAUAGAAUAUUAGAUUGAUCUUACUCCUUAUGGGGAUUAACAAUCCCAAUUGAGAGAUGGGUUUAGUUAGGAUUAACUUUAAAAAUAAUUGUCUAUUUAAUUAAUUAUUAAAUGAAUAUCUAAUAUAAUAUUGGUUACUUUUAAAUUAUUUGCUAAUUUUUUGAUAAAAUAAAAUUAAAUAUUUAAAUAAUUUUUAAUUUGAUUUAACCUAGUCUAGUUUAUAUUUGUUUAUUAUAAUUAUAAUUGCCUAAUAACUAAUUUUCUGGAUAUUUAGUUUUAAUUAAUUAUCUUUUAAAUUAUUAUCAUUAAUUAUUUUAUUAUUAAAUAUUCAUAAAUAAUUCAUAUUUAUAUUUAAAUAUCAACUUAAAUGCUAUUUAAUUUUAUUCAAAUAAAAUUUAAUAUAGUCCAUUCCAAUACUAUACCAAACAUAAGAUAAUAUUAUAUAAGACAAGCUAAUUUAAUUAAAUUUAAUUAAAUCUAAUCCUAAUAAUUGGUUCAAUCUAAUCAUGCUUCCCAAACGUGGCCUUAACGUAAUAGUGCCGAUAUUUAGGGAUGGCAAUGGAUUGGAUUUGAUCCAAGAUCCAUGUGAUCCAAAUCCAAUCGGAUCGGAUUUGGAUCGGUUUAAAAUGGAUUUGGAUCGGAUUUGGAUAUUGAUGUGCGGAUCUAAGACGGAUCUGGAGCAGAUAUGGAUCUAUCUUAAUAUCUAAAUCCAUAUCCAUAUCCACUCAUCUUUUAAUUUUAUUUUAUUUUAAAAGUUUCUUAAUAAUUGUGGAAUGAUAAUGAUAAUAAAUUUUAUUCAUAGCAUAUUAGUAGUAUUUACCAUGAAUUUAAACUCUUAAAACUUAAAGGUUAGUUUUGUAAAUUUAAAGGUCAGCCAAGCCUCAAAGCAUGUACAUGCAAUAUUCAAAUUGCAAUCCAAGUAAUAUAACUUGGUAAUUUAUUUUAUCAUAUUGGCCAAAUAAUUUUUAAGGAAUAUAGUUAUUCAUAUAUUUAGUCAAAUAUGGUCAUAAUAAAAAUAAUAAAGGACUGAAUAUAAAUCAUAUUUAAUUUAUAUGUCAUUAUCUAAUGUUGUAGGAAUGAGGGUAGGUGUAUCGUGGAUACUAGAAUGAUGAAGGAGACAAUAGAAUAUUAGAUUGAUCUUACUCCUGCAAUUACUUCUGAAUGAUAUUUUAUUAUCUUUCUUAUUUGUUGUUUUGGUGUAGAAGUAUAAGCUACAAUAUUUAUUAUAUUUUUGAGAAAAAUUAUAUAAUUUAUUUGUUAUCAAUACAUUUUAGCACUCAAUUUUCAAUCUAAAAAAUUAUUACUUUUUUAUUACAAAAUUUUAAAAUUCAUGACGGAUCUAGAGCAGAUUUGGAUUUUAAUUUUUUUUUUCGGAUUUGGAGCAGAUAGAGAUAUUUAUUUCUUUUUUGGAUCUGGAUAUGGAGCGAAAAAUAUGGAUUCAUAACGGAUCUGGAGCAGAUGCGGAUCUUGAUUUUUAUUAUGGAUUUGGAUUUGGAGCAGAGUAGAUCUAACCCAUAUCUGCCCCAUUGCCAUCCCUACCGAUAUUGAUCGUGAUAAUGCACUCACUAUAUUGGGUGAUACACACCCAACCAUUCUUGUCUAGUUGGGGACCAUUCUUGAUCUUUUUAUUGCACUGAUCCGAUGUUCCACAUUUAGCCACGUUUCCGCUUUUACACAACCAAAGUUGUUGACCACAUCCGAAUUAGGGGUGUUAAAAAUGACCCGCCCAGUCCAGAUCCAAACCGCACCCUGACGUUGUGAGCCGAGUAUUACCCGGCCAGUUAUGAAGCCGGGCUGGUUUAUGAAUUAUUUGAUAAAUUCGGGACACGACCCAUAACUCGGAUUUAUUAAAAAAAAUUAAAUAUAUAUUAUUUUAAAUAUUUAUAUUUAUUUGACCCAUCUAUUACACAUAUAUAAAGUUUUAAACAUUUAAAGUUUAUUUUCAUGUCAAAAUUUAUUGAAAUAAAUUUAAAACUUAUAAAAUUACAAAAAAUAAAAAAAUUAUACAUAUAUAAUAUUAAAAAAAUAAAUUUGUCGAAUAAAAUUUAAAUUUUGAAUAAAUAAAAAUUACGGAGUUGAAAAUAAGAGGUUUCCGUCACGCUAAUUUAAAUGGAGAGGAUAUUAAGUUCAGGCUAAAUAAUUAUUAAAAAAUUCAUAAUAAAAAAGCAAAAAGAAAAUAAAAAUAAUCCCAAUCUGUUUGAUGAACAAGGAUAGAAAAGGAUGAUUGUUUUAUGAGUAGAUUUGGCUCAUUGGUUGGAACAGUUUGGUUGUUGACUUGUCAAGUGUUGAUUGGAUGCUCAUCUAGUGGUCCCCAUAAUGUUAUUGAAUUAUAGUUAUUAGGGUUGGUAAAAUGCGGGUUUGGGCUCAGGUAUUGCAAUGCCCGGACCUGACCCAGAUGUAAUUUUUAAAUGCUCGGACUGGGUUUUAAUUCGGAUACCUGGAUUUUAAAUUUUUUAAUAUUAUUUAUGUAUAAUUUUUUAUUUUUUUGUAAUUUUUUAAGUUUUAAAUUUAUUUUAAUAAAAUUUGACAUGAAAAUAUAAAUUUUAAGUAUUUAAAACUUUAGAUAUGUGUAAUAGAUGAGUCAAAUAAAUAUAAAUAUUUAAAAUAGUAUAUUUUUUUAAUAAAAUUUGAGUUUCGAGCUAGGUUCUGAGUUUAUUAAGUGAUGUUUAAGACCGACCCGACUUCAUACUCAGACCAAAUAAUACCCGACCCACAACGCCUGGAUGCGAUCUAGAUCUGGACCGAGGGGGUAUUUUUACCACCCCUAAUUGUUAUCUUCUUUCGUUUUCGUUUCCAUGUUUCAAGAUUUUCUAAUUAUUUAAUUAUGCUAUUUUCUUUUAAUAUGGUACACGCUACACACACUAGACAGGCAAUCCCAUUGAUGCUCUUUCCAAUCUCAUUAAGCAAUCAUCAUUAGCAUAUUUUUACAGCAUUCAAAUUAUUAAAAAUUAAAAUAACAUCAUUAACAGUUUGGAUUGGAACAACAUCUUGAAAUUAUAUAUCAAAAAGCUAAAAUUAUUAAACAAAAAGAAGAAAGAACUUGUAUACUUAUUGAUUACAACUUUCUCAUCUUAUUUGAACAAUGAAGAUGUCUUUCUGUGUGCACAUGCGCCGUAAGAUGAUUACGUUGUGGGGAAAACUGUGAUAAAAUUUUGGACCCAGUUGCCUUUGAUUUUUCAGACUGUCGAAAAUUGCGGCUAUGUGUUCACACUAUAUUAGUUCAGUUUAACCAUGCAAAGUUUUUGGGUAUUAUUCAUUGCGUGACACUGGAGACAAUUUAUAUUUAAUAGUUGGUUAGGCAUUUUGCUUGAUAUUAUUUGGACUCGUAGGGGUGUUAAAAUUUUUGUUAAUUUAUAAUUCAGAUCUUAUUGUAAUAAGAUAGCAAUUUUUGUUGUGGCAAAAUGUUGUUUGUUACAUAAACAGUUCAUACCAAGAAGAGCAGCCAUAUUUGACUUUUUAGAAGGACAUAAUAUUGGAAUAAGCGCAAUUAAGCAGUUAGCAAGCCUUUAGGAUGGAUGGCUUUCUAUGCAAAUGGGCUAUAAGAAUAAGAUGAUUUAAGUUUAGGGGAAAUUUGUACAUCUAGUUGCCUUCAAUUUUUCUGACGGGGAAAAUUGUGAAAAUUGUGGAUGACACGUGUAAUUUAAACAGCUUAAAAGAAGAAAUUAAGAUUAUCAUAUGAUAUAAUUAUAAAACGUCAAAAAGUGUAAUUAGAAAUUUUUGCUAAAGUAGAGAGAGAAUAAAAGGUCACAAAUUUGCUUUAAUUUACUCUAUGCUCCACGCGGUAUACUAGCUAGUACAAAUUCAGUAUGAUCACUACUUUAUAUAUGCAUUGCUUGAAAGUUAUAUAAAGUAAAUCUCUUUCACUUAUCAAAUUUUAAGUAUUAAUUAAUAAAUUAAUAAUGCUUAAUUAGAGAAGAAAAAACUAAGGGACAGUCCGGAAAGAUUAUUUGAUUAAAAUAUAUUCUUAAAUUCUACUAAAAGUUCAAUAGUGAAUAUAAAGUACAAAUAUAUAAUUUAAUAAUUUUCAAACAGAAUGUUCUUUUUUCAAUAAGAUUGGCUCAUAUUAAACUCUUUAUUAUUAAUCUAUAUUCCAUAAAGUACAAACUCUUUAUUAUUAAUCUAUAUUAAACUACCAACAAAGUGUUGGCUCCACUGGCAAUGGAGUCUCCUUAAGUGGUUUGACUGGAUUUGCUCCCCAGUUUGAGUCGCUGGGAAGUCGCAUUUGUUGGGAGAACAUGUGUCUCUCGGUUCGAGCAGGGACUUUUAGUAUGGGUUGUGGUACGGGCUUAAAAGUGCAUCCCAUAGUUGGGGCCCUUCCCAGGAUACCUCGUGGUCAAAACAAAAAAAAAAUUAAUCUAUAUUAAACUCAUGUCUCUUUCUAUACACAGUUGGCCUCCGUGCAAAAAGCAGUUUUCCGCGCGUAAAUCUUGUAUUAAUUUAGUGCAUGAUCUUAAGCAACAUCUUUGAUUUGCUAUUGUGUUGAUUAUCUCUGUUGAUUUUCCUAAUAUUAUAUCAUUUGUACUCUCUCAUACAUAAUAAAUUAUUAAAUCAAUGGUUUAUUCUUAAUAAGUUUUUUAGCAUUAAUUUGGGUGAAGGGGGACACAAUAGAUACAAAAUGGUUUCUUUGAGGAUUUUGUUUUUCUGUGAAAAAUCCAAAACUGAGAUGCGGUCAUGGGAUGAUUCCCUAAAUGAACAGACAUGUGGCAGAUGAAGCAGUCGUGGGUAAGUAUUAUUAGGAAUUUGAGUUGAUAUUUCAAAAUACUAAUAUCCCACGUUGUUUAAACAAGAGAACACAAGUUGAUUUAUUUAUAAAAACUAGAUACAUUGUGGCAUCAGAAUAAUGUUAUGUUAUAUGUAUGUAACUUAUAAUCCUCUCACAUAAAUAGUGAAUGAACCCACACUAUUAUUCAUGUGAGAAAAUUAUAAAUUACAUGCAUGUAACUUAGGGGAUCUUGUGGCAACAAAUCCCCGCAACACGAAACCAAGCAUAACUAAAAAUACUUUAAAGAAAUAUACGUAAAUUCCCAAGAGUUCAAAAGUUCACAAAACCAAGCAAUCCUUCGAAAGUUAAAUUCCCACUAUAAAGAAAUACAAGAAAUUUGUUCCAAACUCAAAAAGAAGACCCAAAGACCUAUAACUCUGAAAGCUACCUUUGAGACACAAGUAACAAAAGAACUUUGAAAGCUACCUUAGUGACAAAGAACAAAAGAACUCUGAAAGCUACCUUAGUGACACAAGUAACAAAAGAACUCUGAAAGCUACCUUAGUGACACAAAUAACAAAAGAACUCUGAAAGCUACCUUCAGAGCAAAAGAGAAGAAAUUACACAAGUAACAAAAGAACUCUGAAAGCUACCUCCUUCAGAGCAAAUCUGAAGGUACAAGAAAUUUGUUCUAAGCUCAAAAAGAAGACCCAAAGACCCAUAACUCUGAAAGCUACCUUAGAGACACAAGUAACAAAAGAACUUUGAAAGCUACCUUAGAGACACAAAUAACAAAAGAACUCUGAAAGCUACCUUCAGACCUUCAGCGCAAAAGAGUCCCUGGAAAAGAAGUCCCAGGAAAAGACCCAAAGACACAAAUAAAUAAAUAAAUUUCUCUUCUCCUGACACAAAGACACCGCAGAUACUAAAGCUACCUUCAGACCUCAAAAACCCCCUAUAAAUAAAUUUCCCCCUCAAAGCCAUCAGACCUCAACGCCAAUUCCCAAUUUCGCAGAUACUAUAAAGAAAUACUUUUUAAUUAGUUGAAACCUCAAAGAAACCCAGAAACCCUUCAAUUCAAACCUCAAAAAAUGUGCCUCGGAAACAAACCAUAUCAGUGCUCUGUUAUCUGGGAUGGGGAUGAAAACCUCGUUCACUUCAAGUGCCGUGUUCCAUCAACGACGAAGCGAGAGGAUGUGAAGGUUGAGAUUGAUGAACAUGGGAAAUUGCUUAUAGAAAUAAGCAAAGGGGUAAGUUCACAUAGUGAUCCUCUCUCUUCAGCUUCUUCCUUGAUGAUCAGAUUCGGAUCCUUUCUCCUAAGCUUCCUGAAGAAAAAUGAGGGAGACACCACCAGCCCGAUAGGCCCGAUGGAAUUUAACUUGCCAGCGGGUCUUAACACGAAUGACUUCGAGACUGCGAUCGAUGACGAGGGGUUGCUGACUCUCACUUUCAAAAAGCUCGUGCCCAUUCGUGCCCAUUAUCAGCGCUCUGUGUUCUGGGACGAGGAUGAAAACCUCGUUCACUUCAACUACCGUCUUCCAUCAGGGACGAAGCGAGAGGAUGUGAAGGUUGAGAUUGAUGAAGAUGGAAAAUUGCUUAUAACAAUAAUAAGCAAGGUGGCAGGUGCACAUACUGAUUCCUCCAUGAUCAUAUCCUCUCUCUUCAGUUUCCUGAAUAAAAAGGAAGGAGACACCACCAGCCAGAUAAUCCGGAUGGAAUUCAACUUGCCAGCGGGUCUUAACACGAAUGGCUUCGAGACUGCGAUCGUUGACGAGGGCUCGCUAACUCUCACUUUCAAAAAGCUCGUGGAGUGGAAGAACAAAAAGCGCGUCUUUCACUUCAAGGCCUAUCUGCCAGCGGGGACGAAGAUGGACGACAUGACGGUUGACAUAGAAGGUCGCAAAUCCCUUGUGAUAGGCAUUCAUGAUCGGCUGAAGAAAGAGGAAGGGGACACCAGUACCCGCAUGUGCUUGAAUGGCAAGAACUUUAGGAGCUUCAUUUUGCCAGAUGGUGUGAACCCAAAUGGCUUCGAGACUGCAAUGGAUGAUGCCGGUGUUCUAACUGUUACCUUCACUAAACUCAAGCCGGAGAAGAAAAAGCUGGGGCCAAUAGCGAAGAAGAUGCUGGGAUGUUUGGCUGAUGCUGCUCUUAUGCUGAUAUGUGGGGGGAUAACUGAUGCGAUUUGUCCAGGAGACUGCUAACAGGCUGGUGUCAAGUAGGUAUUUGCUUUAUGUUCACGUAUGUUGUUUCUGUCGUUUAUCUGUCAGUGUUUGAAAGAAAAAUAAAAAAGAACUCUGGACUCCAUAGUCUAGACCAGGUGUUCGUUAAUUUCUGUGUUGUGUGGUGUUGUGACUCCAGAUCGAGUCAAGACCAGGUGUUCGUCAAUUUCCGUCUUUCGUGGUGUUGCAUCUCCUUUGUUUCAGUGAAAUAAAAAAUGAUAAAACGCUGUUGAGCGAAAAAUAAAUGCAUUUUUUUUUUUAAUGGUGUUGAAUAUUAAAAAAACAAAACAAGGCCUGGUUUCAUGCAUACGUGCAGCCACAAGAUAAAGGAGAAACUGGAGAUCGGUCAGGUGAGCCAAUCAUGCUACAAAAUCUGCAAUCUGUGUAUAAUAGAAUUAAAAAAAAAAAAAACUGCUUGCGGUUGGAUUUUUUUUUUUCAAAUGAGUACAUUGGUAAUGGUGUCCGUAGGAAUGGUAAAAUCCGCAUUUAUAUUUUUAUAUUCGGAUCUGCAUCCGUAUCCGCAAAAAAAAUAUACGGAUCCGGAUGCGGAUAAUAUUCGUAACGGAUACGGGUGAAUAUUCUAAAUAUUCGGAUCUGCAAAAUUAAGAUUCAAUAAUUUAAAACGUAAUUUAGAAAUUCAAUAAUUUAAAAAUUAAAGUAAUUAAAUCAAAAACCUAAUUAAUAAUUAAAGCAAAUAUAAAAUUAAACUAAUUUGUAAAGGUCCAGCCAUGAUUUUUCACUAAAUUUAUGCUUUUACAUAUUAAUUUACUAAAACUAUGAAUAUUGAUUGUUGGAAAGUAAUUGGCGUGGGCUUGGCAGUUGGCUCACCUUUUGUAUUUCUAUUUUCGGGCGUUUAUGAGUGGUGGGAAGCAAGGGUUGAUUUCGGCCAUUUGUGAGUGGUGGGGAGUAGCCGAGCAGGGGCUGAUUUUAGUUGCUUGUGGCUGUACCCACUACUACAAAAAUUCAAAAUAAUGACCCAUAAAUUAUUACGGUUUUUAAAAAUAACUGUCAUUAAAAUUUUUUUAUAACCGUUAUUAUGUAAACCAUCAUAAUAUUUAAUACUUACAAUAACGGUUUUAUAAAAAAAUCGUCAUUAAAUAUAAAUUUAAAAUAUAAUAUUAUUUUUAAUGACGGUUCGUUAUAAAAACCGUCAUUAAAAAUAUUAAUACGAUAAUGACGGUUUAUUAUAAAAAUCAUCAUUAAAAAUAUAUAAUUAUAAUGACAGUUUAAUUAAAAAACAAUCAUUAAAUAUAUAAUUAUAAUAUAAUGUUAAGUUUAAUGACGGUUUAUUAUAAAACCGUCAUUAAAAAUACAAUAAUGCUACACAUCCCAAAUUUUUUAUCCCAAAAAAUUAUUCCAAAUGAUGUGUCAUUAAUUGAGUGGUUGAUAAUUCUUUACAAGAUCCAAGUGAAUUAAUUGUAUUAUCUCACCAACCAAUUGGUAAAUGACACAUCAUUUGGGAUAACUUUUUGAGAUAAAAAAUUUAGGAUGUGUAGCAUUAUUGUUAAAAAUACAUACUUACAAUGAUGGUUUUUAAACUUAACUGUCAUUGUAUCUCUACUAAAAUAUAACCUUAGUAUUAAUGACCGUUAUUUUAGGAACCGUGGUUAAAGAGGAAAUUACUAAUCUUCAUUCAUGACCAUUUAUUUUAUAAACGGUCAUGAAUAAUACAAAUAAAAAAACAAAGCCGAUUUCUAGACUUGGCAUUUUAUUUCAUCACUUCAAAAUAUCUCUCCCAAAUACCCAAAUUCCUUCCAUCACACGCUCAUUUCUCUCCAGAAUAGCCAAGAUUGAUUGUUGCCCACUUCGUAACCAUCACAACCUUGGGAUUAUUGUGCCGUCUCAGUAGCCACCGAGUUGAAUCCCAUUGUUAAUGCUCCAAUGCAUCCUCAGUUCACUGCCUAGGUCAGCUCUAUUUGACGUUUUGAUUUAUUUGUAAUCAAAUUGACACAUUAUCAGCUCCUCUAUUGAAAGCCCUCUACUUUCCACAUACAUUACUGGAAAGGAAUUUGAAAUUUCUUAUUUAUGAGCCAAAUCAUUCUCGCUCUCUAUCUCUCUCUAUAUUUUCAUUUUAUUACUUAUAAAUCUCAUUAAUUUGAUUGGGUAGGUUUCAUGGUUUUGUAACCUAGCAUUGGAUGACUCUAAACAUGGCUACUUCUCUCAGAGAUUAUUGGUGUGCUUGAUAUUAGUAUUGAGUUCAAUCAUCUGCAAGGUUUGUUUCAGUUCUAAUAGUUUGUUUUAAAAUUUUUCGUUGCCAUGUAAUUCUAUGGUGUGGAUUUUAUGAAAUUCAUGUUUAAUUCAGCAAACUCUGUUUCCUUUAAGUAUUUAGUUCUAUGACUGGCAAUAAUAGGUAGAAAAACCUUGAAAGGGCCAUAACAUUUUUCUUUUUUGUUGUUUUUUUAACUUUGUUUUGAUGUAAUAAAAGUAUUCCUUCCUCCCAAACUCAAUUGAGAGGAUUUAAUUGUUCUUUUCUUAUAUUGAAGUGUUUAGAAGCUCUGAUUGCCACUGAUUUAUAAAGAAAACAGCAAUUGUAAAAUUAUUCUGCCGUUAUAUGCUGUUAAAAACAGCACAUGGAACUUCCAAGCACUGAUUUUAGCAACUGGACAACAUCCAUAAAAUUUUCUCGGCGUGUCAUGCUGCUAUUUGUUGUAAAAAAACAGCAUUGAAAAGUUUCAGAUGCUAUUUUAACACAAUUACAGCAGCAUGACAACACCCAAAAAAUUUUCUAGGAGCUGUCUUGCUGCUAUUUGCUGUUAAAAACAGCACCUGAGAGUUCCAAAUGCUGUUUUUAUCAGCUGGACAGCACUAAAAAAAUUUUUAGGUGCUGUCAUGCUGCUGUUUAAGGCUAAAAACAACACCCUAAAGUUGCAGGUGCUGUUUUUAACACAAUUUUAGCAGCUACGUAGCACUUAUAAAAAAUUCUAGGUGCUGUAAUGUGCUGUUUGCUGUUAAAAACAGCACCUAAAAUUUUUUUGGGUGCUGUCAUGCUGCUGUUCAAGGCUAAAAACAACACCCAAAAGUUGCAGGUGUUGCUUUUAACCCAAUUUUAGCAGCUAUUUUCUAAGUGUUGUCAUGAUGUUGUUUGCUGUUAAAAACAGCACUUGAAAAUUUCAGUUGCUGUUUUUAUCAGCUAGACGGCACCCAAAAAUUGUUUGGGUGCUGUCGUACUCCUGUUUGAUUAGAAAAACAGCAUCCAAAGUUUUCAGGUGCUGUUUUAACAUAAUUUCAGUAGUUAGACAGCACUCGAAAAAACUUUUAGGUGCAUUCAAGCUGUUGUUUACUGUAAAAACUGCAAUGAAACUUUCAGUUGUUGGGUUUAUUAGUUAGAUAGCACCUAAACUACUUUAGGAUGCUGUCAUGCUGCUGUUUGAUGUUAAAAGUAGCACCCGAAAGUUGUUAAUGAAAUAGUGACGAUAAUGAUCAUAAUUGAGGAAAAGAAGAACAAGCAUGAACAUUUUGCACCACUGUAUUAUGGAUAUAAUUCCUUCGAAGUAAAAGGCUCUAUAUAUGGAAUAUUAAUAUUGAAUUGGAGUUAGUUAUAUACAACGUCUUACAUGGUAUGCCAUUAUUAUUAAAUUAUGUAAAUCAGUUCCUUUGUCCUUCAUGCCAUGGCUAAAUACAUUUUCAUGCUUGUUGUGGACCUCUUUGGUUAAUGUAGUGAGACCUUGCUUGAUCUUGAGCCAUUUAAUGGGAUGUUGCACUUGAGUGAGAACGGAAAACCUUGUGGGCAGUUUGAUGCAACUAUUAUUUCUCGUAAUGGUGAUACAGUGCUGCUACUACUUCCAUCAUUACCUCGGAUUCAAGAGUGGAAAGGUUCAAGUUUUGUACAGCUACAGGGAAACCCUCUGCAAAUCCAAACCCCUGUGAAAGGAUCCCACUUCAUGACAAUCUUUGUGGGUUUCGAGUUGGAAUACUCUGGCAGGUUAGAAGUUGUUUCAAUUAAUUAUCUAUAACAUACAAGUUGUGUUACAUUAUAUGACCAUAUAAUGAUUCAUUGUGGGAUACUAGGACAUCAAAAAGAGCUCAAAAUUUCAGACAGAUUUUCUCCCUAAAUUUGGUGAAAGACUGAUGGAUGAAUUAGAACUAAGUUUCAUAGCAAUUUGUAGCUGUAAACAUCUAGAAGGCUGGGACUAAAUGCCAUUUGAUUAGGUUAGAAUAAUAUGAACUGAGCUUAUAAUCUUUGUCAUUCAUUCAAUUACUUUUUUAGAUGUCCACAAUUCAUCAUGUUGAUAAUAUCCAAUUGGUGCCUGGUAAAUUUCCUAUGACUAUGAUAUUGGGUGUUAUGGAAGAGAUGAGAACAUCCAUUGUAAAUCAGCUAGAACAGGUUCUGGAUCA